rnacentral:lncRNA from 1 species
AAUGUCCUGAGCUUAAGCGGAUGUUUCUCUCCCAUAUGGACAAUUUAAGCAAAAUAUGGAGUGACAAUCCUCAAGAAACUCUCACUUUUGACAAUUUAUGGAAAGUGCAAGUUCAAAAUUGUAGGAGCCUUGAAAUCGUGUUUCCGCAUUGGGUGGCUACAAGUCUAACCCAACUUAAGGAACUUCAAGUGGAGUCUUGUGGGAUUGAGGAAAUAGUUGCUAGUGGGAAUGAGACUCCACAUUCCAAUACCACUCAAGAUCUUUUCCCAAAACUAACCUUUCUAGUGUUACAUGAUAUGCCACAACUCAAGAACUUCUGCACCAACUUGCCCACUUUGAAAUGGCCAAUCUUGAAGGAACUGCGAGUGACUCAUUGUGAUAAAGCGAACAUGAUGUCUCUUGUAGCAUCUAUGAGCAAUUGGGCUCAAAAAUAUUAUCAACGGGCUUUUAGACCAAGAAGCACACUCUUUAUUUGAAAUGGUAUGAUUUCAGUUGCUCUCCCUUGGUUUCUAUUUUGUUCUUUAAAGCACUCACUGAUCUCAUAUCCACUACAUAAUCAAGCCACGUUAUAUUGCUAUAGAAAACAUGAUCUCCCUUACUUAUUAGUUUGUUGACAACAUUAAAAUAUUUCUAAUAUCUUAAGUAUACUUUUCAUUUGUGGACAACCAUAAGAUAUUUCAUUACCUAUAAUUACAAAAAUAAUUAUAGAUUUUUGUUGAAGGCGCAAUAUAUUCCUAAUCUAGUCUAGUGGUGCUCCUUGGGGAAAUCAUUGAAAAUUUGACAUGAGGUCCACUUCAUUGUUGACACGUGUUGCACAUUUGAACUUUUUUUCUCCAUUUCAUCAUCUAAAAACUCUAUAAAAAAAAAUCAAUACAAACAAUUUUAACAAAGAUAAGAUUAGUACCUUAUGCACUAUUUUCUUUUGUAUUCCUUAAUUGAUCUCGUCUUAUACAUAGUCAUUCUGUUGUAUUACUUUAGACAACCUAAAACUCCUUACCUACGAGUUUGAAGAUAACGUAAUAUAUUUUAUUAUAUCUUAGGCACACUUUUAAGUUUGUGGACCCAUACGUUUCAGUAAUAUCAUCCGUGCAUCCCAUUACAUAAGUUUCCAAAGAUGACUAAUUUUAGUUGACAAGAUAAGAUAUUUCUAAUAAAAGAUGAAGAUGAAUUCGAUGAGCUUGGAGAGAUCUUGACAAGUUCACUCUACAAACUUAACCAUACCAACCUCUAUUCGAGACUUUUAAAAGCUUGAGACUUGAAUGUAGGGCUCUUGAGAUAUAAUAAACUUUAAGAAGAUGGCCACCCUCCAUGUGAAUCAUCUUAAUAGGUUUACUUUUUACGGCACAUGAUUUAUUGUCGAAAUUUUGUUGAAUUUUCUUCUCUUGUUGUAUUGGCAAUUCAACAGGAUUUUCCCAACUUGGAGAGACUUUUAUUAGUCGAUAACAAUAUUCAGAUGAUACAAGAUGGAAAUUUUCCGGAUGACAUGUUUAGCAAGCUAGAAGCACUAACACUGGCAUGCUUUCAUGAUAAAAAGGCUACCUUUCCUUCCAUAUUCCUCCUAGAGAGAUUUCAAAAUCUACAGAGCCUUGAGGUCUUUUGUAGCUCCUUUGAAGAUUUAUUCUCAGACGAAGGGCUUGUUGAAGAAGUGAAACAUCCGGUGCUUGAAAAUUUAAGAGAACUUAAGUUAAACAAGCUACACAACUUAAAGUGUGUGUGGAGAGAAGACUCAUUAGUAUCGAAAAUUCUUCAGAGCAUCAAAACAUUUGAGGUUUGGGAUUGUCCUUGUUUGACAAUAAUUUUUCCAACUGUGACAUCCUUCCAGAAGCUGACCGGCUUAGAGGUAAAGAAUUGCUCUGGAUUGGUACAUUUAGUAACAGCUUCAGCAGUCACAAAUUUGGUGCAUCUUGAAUGGAUAACUAUAAUAGAAUGUGAAAGAAUGAAAGAAGUAAUGACAAAUGAUGGAAAUGGAGAAGGAAAAGUGAUUUCUUUUGGAAAUCUACAAUAUUUGACACUCCAACAUCUGCCAAGCCUAGAAUGCUUUUCCUCCAUCGCGAGUUGUACUUUUAGGUUCCCAUCCUUGUGGAGUAUUGAAGUGGAAGAGUGCCCGAAAAUGAAGACAUUUUCUAUGGGUACGCUAAGCACAUCAAGACUGUAUCAUGUGUCAUUGUUCAGAUAUAAGUGGAGAGGGAAUUGGGAGACGAGUGAUGAUCUCAAUACAACCAUACAAAAAUUAUCAGCAUGAACAAAUUCACAUAUAAUUGGUAAGAUCCAAUUGACGUCAUUCUCUCAUCAAUUUUUUUUUCUUUCUCUUUAUUCUUUUGGUAGUGCCGUAAGUUUUUAAAAUUUUUCUUUUUGUGACUUUUCUAUUAUUUAUUCCGUCAGAUCAGCAUCACCAUUCCGUCAGCUCAUCCUUCAGUGAACAGCGGGAAGCAAAGCAGGGCUCCCCUUCUCCUUCUUGACGCCAGAAGCUCUCUCUCCAUCUUUCUUCUUCUUCUUCUUCUUCUUCUUCUUCCUCCUCCUGCUCGGUGAAGCGAAACUAGGGGGAACCUCUGCUGCCUUCACAAAGGACGGAGCGAAAAUGAAGCAUCAGGAAUUGCCAGGACUGCGAGAAGCGAAGCUGCACUUAGCGGAGUGAAGCCAAGUAGAUUCAACCAGACGCUAUCGUUGUCGCCGUCGUUGCUGCCGAAGGUGGCACAACCAAGUCAGUCGUCCACUCACGUCAUCAAAGAUGAAGAAGAUCACACUCUCUCCCCGCAUCUGCAUCCGACAAAUUGUAAGUUCAUGUUUCUUCCGAUUUUGGUGUCUUAUUGCGAAUUGUUGGGAAUAACGGAUCCUCGAAAAGCGGAUUCGACACUGAAUCGAACCCUUAAAUCAAUGCAGAAGCGAAGCCUGGGAAAACAACACGUAUCACUGAUCGUAAAGCACACCACGGAUUCGAGCGUACCUUGUUAGCCACAGAUUAAACACCGACGCCGAUAGAGGAAGAGAAACUUUGUCCUGUUUGAUCCGAUGAAGCAAAAUCGCCUUUGAAGGGAAGAAAAACGCGCCGUAUGCUUUACUGUUUUUCCUUUUCUUUUUGGAGAGAGAGAGAGCGUGGGAGAAGACGUACGUACAGUUUUUUUGAUUCCAACCGGUAUCAUCUCUCUCUCUCUCUCUCCUCCCUUUUAUACCUUCCCCCAUCCACGGGCCCUAUUCCCGUGGGCCGGGCUUUUUGGGCCCAACUUGGGCGGACGAGCCUUAAGCCCAUCUCAUAUAAAACCAUCAUCUCCCACUCGCACAUGGUGGGCCGAACAGGAUUCUCUUUACCUCUCUUCAACAUUCAUACCGGUGAAUAAUCCGUGUGACCAUCAUACUUUGAGAGCUCGUUGCUAUACAUAUGUUAGGAAUAUAUAGCAGCUCAUAAUGGGUGUCACACUCCGAGUAGAUUUAGUAUGCAGUACCCUAGAUCGAUCGAUCACAUUUAUAUCUCUCUUAAUCUCUUUCAAACUUGAUAUAUAUAUAUAUAUAUAUAUAUAUAUAUAUAUAUAUAUAUAUAUAUAUUGUAUUCACAAUUACAAUUAUCACAAAGACAAUCAUAAUUGGUCGACCAGUGAAUACAAAACUGCAAUGUGAUUCUCCAAAAUCGAUCUUCCUCUUUCCUUCAAACUCUCAAUUUCAGUUUAGCUUACUUUUCUAGAAAUGUCCCAUUAGAUCGAAUCAAUUCAUGACCAUUGGCAACAUCCUAAGAUAGCAAACACUAAAUAGAAAUCUUGAGAAUAAGUAAGAGUCAUGAGGGGACUAAAAAUUGAGGAACUCUUUUCCUCAAGAGUCUCACACGUCAUAAAAGUUGAGAUCAAACUUUUUGCCAAUCUUAUUGGUCGUCUCAUGCAUACGUAGUAUGAAAUACGUAUUACGGUAUUAACUCCUUUCCCAUGGAGCCUAUGUCUACAUUUUUCAAUACCGUACAGAUGAUAGUUCAGACAUGCCCAAUGUCUAACUUGAGUUCACGUAUCUACUCAUUCACAGAAUUCAUCAGAACUCACAUCUAGCAUCUUAGACAGAUAAAGUAAAAUAUGUAGGGUAUUUUACUUUCGGACAUCGUAAGAAUUAUGUCCUCAUCUUAACACUCAGUUAAGGCGACAUAUGUGUUUUAAGCUUGAGCUCCUAGAUAAUAAGCUUAAAAACAGUCUCAUCUCUAUUUAUCACACAGUAAAUAGAGGCGAUUACCCGUGUGAGUGGGCUAAUCUUUUAUCUGUCCGACAUACUUCCUCAACUUAUAAUAAUACACUGAGUAUUAAGAUGCAUAAAGAUCAUACAAAGAUUCAUAGGCAUUAAUCAAUGAAAAACAAAAUUUCAUAAAUGUGAACAACUCAGGGAAAUUACAACUCAGUACAUCAGACUCUACGCAAUCCUAGAGAUUUUACAUGACCACAAAACACAUCUCUAGGUAUUGGCUUUGUCAUAGGAUCUGCUACCAUUCUAUGCGUAGAUAUGUACUGCAAGUUCACAUCCUUUCGUGCAACCAUAUCUUUUACAAAGUUAUACUUGGUAUCUAUAUGUUUGGUCUUGCCAUGAUACUUUGGAUCUUUGGUGUAUGCUAUAGCUGCUUGGCUAUCACAGUUAACCAAUAAUUGAUUUGCAGCUUUCUCAAUAACACCUAAAUGAUCCAAGAAUCUCUUAAGCCAAACUCCUUGUACUGCUGCUAAUAAUGCCACAAACUCAGCUUCCAUCGUGGACAAGGCUAUACACGUUUUCUUCUUACUACUCCAUGAUAUGGCGCCAUUGCUUAGUAAGAAAGAAAAUCCUGAGGUAGAUUUUCUUUCAUCUAAAUCUCCUCCCCAAUCAGCAUUUGAAUAGCCUUCAAGUCGCAUAUCCUUUCCAUGGUAAUUCAACUUGAAAUCAACAGUUCUCUUUAGAUACCUCAAUAUUCUCUUAACGGCUUUCCAAUGUGCUGGACUUGGGUUGGAUUGGUAUCUACUCACCAUUCCAACUGCAAAACAUAUGUCGGGUCAUGUACACAUCAUAGCGUACAUCAAGCUCCCAACAGCACUAGCAUAAGGAACAUGUUUCAUUUGUUCCUUCUCUUGUGGAGUCCCUGAACACAGUCUAUGGCUCAAUCCUUCACCCUUUGCAAUAGGAGUGUCUAUGGGUUUACAAUCUUGCAUACGAAAUCGUUCAAGAACCUUAUUUAUAUAUGUUUCUUGCGAAAGAGACAACAAUCUCUUCAAACGAUCUCUUGAAAUUUUAACUCCAAGAAUGUAUGCAGCUUCACCCAUAUCCUUCAUCUCAAAGUUGGAAGACAACCAACUCUUGACAGUAUUAACCAACUCCAUAUUGCUUCCGGCAAUCAGUAUAUCAUCAACAUAUAAUGAUAUGAUCACAAAUUGAUCCUUGGAUCUUUUGAUAUAUACACAAUGAUCCUCUUCAAUCAUUGUAAAAUCAUAUGCCAUUAUGGCAUUAUGAAAACGUAUAUACCAUUGUCUCGAUGACUGCUUGAGGCCAUAUAUCGAUCUCAAAAGUCGACAUACCUUUUCUUCUUGGCCUUUCACUAUGAAACCAACAGGUUGUUCCAUAUAUAUAUUUAUUCCUCUAAUUCUCCAUUGAGGAAAGCAGUCUUUACAUCCAUUUGAUGUAACUCAAGAUCCAGACUAGCCACUAUUGCCAGAAUAGUGCGAAUCGAGGUAAAUCUCACUACAGGAGAAAAUGUAUCUUCAUAAUCAAUUCAUUCCUGUUGAUUAUACCCAUUCACUACAAGGCGAGCCUUAUGCCUUUCUAUCGAGCCAUCAACCUUUCGCUUUAUUUUAAGAACCCAUUUGUUCCUAAUAGCUCUGCGUCCUUUUGGAAGAUCAACCAGUUCCCAGACUUAGUUUGAUUUCAUUGACUCCAUUUCCUCUUCCAUUGCAUUAAUCCAUUUUUCCUUACUAGGGCAAUUUAGAGCAUCAUUAAUAUUUCUUGGCUCAUCCUCAUCUUGUUAAGCAACCAUAAAAUUUUCCCCUUCAAUGUCAAAACGGGGAAUACUUUGGCGACUUGUUCGCCGUAUGGGAGAUUGUACACUAUGCACAUCAUUUCCCAUCAUGCUUCCACUUGGAUUAGGUAAUGAUGAUGUCGUCUCAUCAUGUGGUUGUAAUUGAGAAUGAGUUGAAUUCAAUUCAUCACUUCUCAUAUUACUCCCACCUCGGAUAAACUCCACUAACAUCAUUAUCCUGAUCCAAUGUUUCAAAUAGGGAGUGAUCUUCCCCUAUUUCGCCCUUCUUAGAAAAUUCAUCCUUUAAGAAUGUGACAUCUCGUGAUUCAAAUUCAGUUAUACUCCCACUUUCCUGCUCACCUAUGAACACAUACCCUUUUGAGUGUUCCGAGUAUCUUAUGAAAAUACUCUUCUUUCUUCUGGGACCUAAUUUCCCAAACUUAUGAGAGGACUCAUGUGUAUAGGCAGCACAACCCCAUGGCUUAAGAAAGCUUAAGUCCAGUUUUCUACCUGUCCAUAACUCAUAUGGAGUGGAAGUAACUGAUUUGGAAGGCACACAGUUAAGUAUAUAGGCAACAAUUAACAACGCAUCACUCCAAAAGGUAAUAGGUAAGUUAGCAUGCGCCAUCAUGGACCUAACCAUUUCCAGUAGGGUUUUGUUCCUUCUCUCCGCAACACCAUUUUGUUGAUGAGUAUACGUAAUAGACAACUGUCUUUCUAUUCCUUUUUCAUCACAUAAUUUUCUGAACUCAUCAGAUAAAUAUUCCCGACCUCGAUCGGAUCUCAAUGCUUUUAUUUUCUUGUCUAAUUGAUUAUCUACCAAGUUCAUAAACCUUUUGAAACAACUUAUUGCUUCAAAUUUAUGAGAAAUCAAAUAGACAUAUCCGAAUCGAGUAUAAUAAUCAAUAAAGGUGAUGAAAUAAACAGCCCCAUACCUUCCUUUCACAUUCAUUGGACCACAGACAUCAGAAUGGAUUAAAUGCAGAGGAAAUUCAGCUCUUUUUCCUUUUCCAAAUGGUUUCCUUGUCGUUUUCCCUUCUAGGCAAUGCUUACAUAUGGGCAAAUCGACUUUUUCAAUGUUGCCCAACAAGCCCUCUUUGGCUAGUCUAUUCAUACGCUGUUGGCCAAUGUGACCAAGUCUAGCAUGCCACACAUUCACAUCAUUAUCAUAUGUAUUAGGAGACGUGAGAAGGGAAUAACAAACAUUUGCAUUAACAUAAUCAAUAUCUAAUACAAUGAAACCAUCCAGAAAAUAACCACAACCAUAGUAAUUUGUAUCCAAAAACAAAUUCACACCUCUACUAUAGAAGUUCAUAUUAAAACAUAAUUUAACCAACACUAAUACAGACACUAAAUUCCGACGAAUCUCCGAAGCAUACAAUACAUCAUGAAGGAACAAAGUGCGUCCACCACGCAUAUUCAGUUGGCAUGUGCCAAUUCCUUUCACUUCAGCUCUGGAGUUGUUUCCCACAUAGAUCCACUUAGUUUCAGAUGGUACUCGUCGGAAUUCCACGAAGGAUCCUCUAUCCUUCGCUACAUGGUCCGUCGCUCCUGAAUCCACAGUCCACAAAGGAUUAUAUUCAGUUAAGAACACAGAACUCGACACAAAAGCAAAGUUCUGAAAAGUACAAGGGGUGCAUACCUUCUUUGGCUCACGACAGUCGCGAGCAUAGUGACCAUUCUUGUCACAGUUGUAGCAUUUCGCCCUUGCAAGCUUCUUCAUGCAAGGACGCUUUCCUCUAUUAUGUUGGUUAAACUUGGGUUUCUUCCAUGAAGGACUAGCUUCUUCCUUGCAUUUCCCUUUAUCAAACCAGUUAAGGCGCUUGCGCUUAGAGCUCGAAGCUCCAUUUGAGCUAGAACUAGCAUGAUAUAUAGUUCAGCAUCCGGCUUAGCCGCCAAGAGGCGGUCCUCUUCCAGCUCAAGAUGAUGCAUUGCAUCCUCAAAGGUUUUGAUAUUUUCAUUAUGGGUCAGGUGCACCUUCAUAUGCUCCCAACUUUGAGGCAAGGAACGAAUCAUUGCUUGCACUUACUGCUCAUCUGUGAGGACAUGGCCAGCAUCUUUCAGCUCAGUUAUCAUGUUUGACAUCUUUCUAAGAUGUUGCUUCAUGGUUUGACCAUGAGGCUUCUUGUAAGAGUCAAACCUGAUAGUGAGCUGCCUCAGUCUGGUCACCGAAGUAUGACCGAAUCUAGCUGCCAAUGCCUCCCACAUUUCCUUGGCAUUGUCAAAAUGCCUAAACUCUCGCAUGACGUCAUUUUCCAUGCUGCUCGGCAACGUGAUGCGAGCUAGAGAGUUCUUUCUUUUCCACGCAGAAAAAGCUUCCUUGUCUCUUUUGUGCUGUGCAGUGGUUCCCUCUUCAGGUUCUACCAUGGUUAGGUUAAGAGCCUCAAGUGCUUCUUGCUCUUCUAGUACAUACUGGAUUUUCAUUUGCCAAAUUUCAUAGUUGUCACCAUUGAGCUUUUCACCUUUGUUCAGCUCGGCAACUAUGCUCUUUGUGGCUGAAGCCAUUGAUCUGAACACAUCAGACAAAUAUGCACGAAUUAUUAAUGUCUAUCAUUUAUGCAUCCCUAUUUACAUAGACUCAUCAUAUUAAUGAACAAUUUCAAGUAAUGUUUUAAAAUCAAAAUGUCACUAUGUUUCCAACCAUCCUCCAAAAAUCCUAACUUAAAACUAUCAUUAAUAUGAUUGUCAUAUGCAAAAUCAAUUCUAUGAAGCUACAAAAACUUCUAAAACUACCCACAUCUAAUUACCCACAGCAACUAGCAAUAACAGAAAGCAAUAGAUAAUUGAUAUCCAAUAAAACAAUAAUGCUUUCAACUAAUACAACUAACAUAUAUGUUGUUACAACAACAACAAUCAGGUAGUUAAUAUUACAUAAGAUGUCCACAAAGCACACUUAACUGAGAUCAGCCAAUACAACUAACACCAAGUCAACACACGAACUGGGAAAGAUCCUCUUUUGUUCAAUUUCUUGAUAUUUUCCCUUGUCACAAUACAGUAAUAUUCAUUUACAAAAUCCAUUACAAUUUUCUUAUAAGAAGCAGCUCUAUUGACAUCCCAUAUGCGAUUCAACACAUCUUGCCAUUCAAGUGGAAGAGUGUUUAUGAAAAAUCGCACCAUCUCUGACUGUGGCAUAGGACGACCAUUCCAUAUUACCUUUUGAAUUUUUCCGUUGACUGCAAGGACGUGAUCAAUUAAGUCACCACUCUCCCAUCAAUGAUCAGUUAGCUCAACUAUCAACUUAGACAGUCUUUCCUUUUGUUCAUCGGUAAUUGCGCGAAUAGGUGUGCGCAACCUCAGGGGAGGCAUUGUUCAUACAACAAAUGCAGAACAAAUAAGGGAUCACAUAUAAUCCACAUAUACGUAAUUGAAAAAGAAACACAUUCUUCCCCCCCCCUUUUUUUUUUGGUCAACGGUCAACGGUCAACGGUCGUCGGUCGUCAGACCGGUCAGACCGGUCAGGCCGGGUCGGACGGACCAACCGCACAUGCCGCGCGCAUGCGCGGGCUGACGUCACGCAGAUGUCAGCCAGCACGUGCCGCACGCGUGCCAGGCGUCCGCUGGUCGGGUCGCCGGCCGGUGACCGCCCGGCCAACCGUCAUCGGUGCUAACGUCAUCGAUGACGUCAUCCCAGCGGUUACUGACCGUUGAGUGACGUCAACAUGCGUCGGUUCGCCGACCGGCGUGUGUGCCGCACGCGCUGGGCGAGCCAGCGCUUCCGGGCGCGUCGCACCCACGCGCAGCGCCUUCUGGCCGCGCAUGUGGGCGCAUGCGGCGUCGCCUGGCGGCGCACGACGUAUCCCCAGACUCAUCUCGACGUCGCAUUUCUUCCUAUGUCAUCAGAAUUCGAUUUCGACUUACGCAAACUCGGAAAAAAGGACGUACAAUGCUCGGGUGUCGGGAUUUCACGCCUCGAUUCGUACGGCCGAAAAGUUUUUUGCGAAAAAUCAAUCAAAAAACGUCAAACAGGUCGGGAAAACGUGAACUAGGGCUCUGAUACCAAUAUUGGAAAUAACGGAUCCCCAAAAAGCGGAUUCGACACUGAAUCGAACCCUUUAAAUCAAUGCGGAAGCAAAGCCCGGGAAAACAACACGUAUCACCGAUCGUAAAGCACACCACGGAUUCGAGCGUACCUUGUUAGCCACAAAUUAAACACCGACGCCGAUAGAGGAAGAGAAACUUUGUGAUGUUUGAGCUGAUGAAGCAAAAUCGCCUUUGAAGGGAAGAAAAACGCGCCGUAUGCUUUACUAUUUUUCCUUUUCUUUUUGGAGAGAGAGAGAGAGCGCGAGAGAAGACGUACGUACGUUUUUUUUAUUCCAACCGGUAUCAUCUCUCUCUCUCUCCUCCCUUUUAUACCUUCCCCCAUCCAUGGGCCCAACUUGGGCGGACGGGCCUUAAGCCCAUCUUAUAUAAAACCAUCACGAGUAAAUUAGGGCUCUAUUCUUCAAAUUCAUUCUACAUUCGAGUCUAAAAUUAGGAGUUCCUCAAACUAGCAAUUUAUUGCCCUUAAAUCUACACCUUCUAUGCUUCCCUCGCGAGCAUUGGCGAGAUUUCUGCGUGUUUGAGCUCUCAUAGAUGGAGAUGAUAUGUUGUGUUCAAGGUCUCAUGUUGAAAUUUCUUUGGGUAGAGAUAUCUUUGUAACAUUAGGUACAAUUUUCUACCAGGAAAAAGGGAGAAAUCACGGAACUUGAAAAUAAUUCGAGAAUUCCACGCCGUCAAAAAUAUGAAAAGUCACUUUUACGCCUUGUUUGCAAUAUAGUCUAGACUGUUUGAGGAAUCACUUGUAAUCUUGAUUGGUUAAGUGUUGCUGGAAGGACAAAAAUUUAUUUUCAAUUAAUGCUAAAUCUUUUCAUAGCAAGUCAAACUAUUGAAGUGUACUUAAACUAUCUCUAAAGUAGUCAUUUUUUAAGUAUAGGCUGGUCCAAGCAUUCAAGAAGAUUGAGGCAUCAUCAGCUGGUUUUUAUGAUCCCAUGUGCCCAAAGCCUCUCACUGCUCUUACAUUGGCCAACAAAUUUCAAAUGGAGCAUCCCUUUGUCAAAGAUGGUGAUGAGGCCCUCUUAUGUUUAGUUUGGCUUGGUAUGAUCCCAUGCUUACUGACCCAAACUCGCACGUCUGAAAAUCAAACAUAUGGAUGCUGUUUAUAUCUUUGCUUAUACUCUAGUAUAUAUCCAAGUUGACUUAAUGUAGUAAAUCACAUGACAUGUUAUUCUCCUUGAACUAUUCCUAAGUGUAUGUCAAAAAUCAGAUAUAUAUCUUAACAAUGGAGUAAUUGAAGGAGGGAAAAGAAUGAAAGGACAAUUAUUGUGACCUAAGUUGGUCGUUGAGGUUCGGAAACAUAACAGUUCUCCUUUUUUGUGGAUAGACGUUUAAGAAAACAAUUGCUGAGGCGAGCCUUAAGAAUUAUAAUCCAAGUCCUCUUACAUGGAGAAAAUUGACGAUGUUAUUCAAUGCUGUAAAUUUAGAUUAUAUACGUAAAUCAUCAUACAAGGGGACUAGUUGAUAAGGACAAGCAAAUUGCAAUAAUGUCAUUACCUCCAUGACUAAAGGGAAAGACCUGAAAGAUAAGGGGGUGGCUAGUUAUCAUAGUGACGAAUAAUUUUAAUGCUAAAUAGGAGAUACUGUUUUAUUUUGUUAUACAUAUCAUAUAUUUGAGGGGAAAAAAAAAAGCUUACUUUACUUUGUCAUAUAGAACCAAUAGUUUGAUAAAUCAUUAAAUUUAGCUGUGAUUGAAAGAAUUGAACAGCUUAGUCUAAAUUUUCAAUUCCAUCCAUGUUCGACUCUUAGAUGUCUUUGCUUUUUCCCUUGCGGUUGUGGUCUGCAUGGCUAAAAUGCAUGUCUGUUAAAUUUAUAUAUGACAUGGAAGGCUUCUUCUGGUUAUGUACCCUAUUGCACUCUAGGAGUGUAUAUUUUGACAUUUGACUUCAUAUUGCAUGUUGAGAUUGAUGACUUUCAUUAUAUGGUUUAUUGUUGAUUAAAACUCCUGGAACCAGCAACUACUGCCUUAAAUUCAUGCUUUGUGUGAUUUGAUUCUCUCAUAAUUGUAUGCUUUUGUUUUGGUCUUUCUUCACCAUAUGUUGGUUUUUCAACCAUGUAAACAAGGAGACUGCUCCUGCUCAAUUCAUCAGGCAACAUAUUCAGGAAAACAAGUAAAUUGCGACUCUUGGGUAUUCAGGCAGGGUGUGGACAGUGAAGCUCAAGAGCUGUAAACGUGACCAAAGGGGCAUUUUUUUUUUUGGCUGGUUGGUCCUCAUUUGCAAGAGAAAUUCGUCUGCAUGUAGGAAUGUUUGUGCGUUUGAGCUCAUUGGGAGGAUAUUGUGUUCAGAGUCUACAUUUCCACUAGUGCUGGUAAGGACUUGAUUUACUUAACAAAGAUUAACUCUAAAGGUUUCACUUUGGUUGGUCCAAAAUAAAUGCUGUACUCCUAAUAAUAUCUCCUUUUAUUUUGUCUUGAUGAAUCAAUGAAGUAUACUUAUAUUCUGAUUGGGUUUGUGAGGUUCAUAAUAAGCUAGAUGCACGCUCAUUAAUGCCACAUUCCAAAUCUAAAUGAACCAAAAAGGAUGUGCUUCACGAUGUCUUGAUUUAUGCGUUCUUGUUGUUCAAUUUGAAUUUGAAAUCAAGUGUCAUAGGCUUAUGAUAAUUUAUGGGUUUUAUUUUUCUCACAGGGAUUACCAGAGAGGUUCAUGAGAAAAUAUGGUGAGAAUCUCUCUAAAAGGAUGCUCCUGAGAGUGUCAACUGGUGCAAUUCAUUGGCAUGCAGAAUAGGAAAAAUGUGAUGAGAUGGUUUCGUUAUCAAAGGGUUGGAAUGAAUUUGCAGAGCAUCACUCUAUAUGUGAGGGCCAAAUUUUGGUCUUUGAUUUGAAUGGACUCCCUUUUCCAUGUAAUAAUAUUUGAUUAUUGCACGUCUAAGAUAGAAUACUUGCCAACAAAUGCUGAUCUGAGGAACCAAGCUUGGCAAUUGUGGAUUUGUCUUGCUGGAAGUGAAUUGCAUUCACCCAAGUGUCCUCAUCUUUGUAAGGCAAGGAAUCUCAUCAGGUGUGCAGAGUUCAUGGCCCAUGUACAAUCAUCAGCAGAGUUUGGGGAGAGAUGGCGAACUGCUCUUCAUGAGAUUUUCGAGGUGUAAAUCUUAAUCUACUACCGAAUUCUCUCCUUGAUUGUGUUGUUCUCCUGUUUGAUUUGAAUUUCAUACAGGAACUCUCCAUGUCGUUAGGCUAAUAGAGACUGUGUUAGUGCUAAUUCAUCCUUGUAGUGUUUUUUUCUGUCUUUAGCUUUUCCGUGUGUGCAUUUGUAUGUGUUGGGCGAUUUCAUAAAUGUCAAGCCAAUGGAAACAAGUGAAACUAAUAGUGUCAAUUUUGAUUGUGCUGAAAAUGAUAUUGGUGUCCACAUGCCUUAUAGGCCCUGGAAGCUAGACCACUUGAAAGACUCAGAUCUAUUGAUUUGCCGUUGCUAUGUCAGUAGAUAUGAGUUUCACUUAACAAGAAUAGGAUAUGCCUAGAGAGCAAAAGCUUUCUUCAUGUUCUGUUUGUGAUUACUGCAGGUAAGCUGAAAGAGCCAUGAUUUUGCAGAGCUCUUGAACUGGCCAGGUAUCCUUUCUUCCAAAGUGCAGUGAGGUGAAUGUAUUGGAGAAAAGCAACGUGGUAAGAUCCUCAUGACAAUGACAACUCUUGAAUUUAAAUACCAUAUAGUUGCUAGACUAUGCUAGCUCUAGGCUAAUCGUACAUCAUGUCAGGGUUUUUGUUUUUAUCCUUCACAUGUAUUGUCGUCCUUAGAAAUCAUUGGUUGUUUUAUUCUUUUUUAUGACAAAAUUGCGAAACAUCUACUUAAGCAGAUAGUUCCUGGUUCAUUGUCACAGAUACACAUCAAGAAAAGUCCGCAGACCAUGGCUCUCAUAUUUCCCGACAAAUCUUGGCUGGUGAAGCUCGUUAGUCAUGAACAUUAUGGGAAGUUAUUUUCCGGUUGGGCCACAUUAACAAGAGAAACUUCUCUGAAGGUAGGAUACAUACUUGAUUGAGCUUAUUAGAAGGGAUGGUAUCACGUUCAGAGUAUCCAUCUUCAGAAUCACUGAGAAGACUUGGGGUCAGAAUAUUAUGCAAAAGGACACAGCAAAGGAAGAAUCCUUUAGGCCAUUUUUGGUGUGAACAUAACUUCAGAAUUUUGCUAGGCUGAAAUUUGCUUCCAAUUCGGCAAAUCAGAUAAAGAGCGUGAGUUUUGUUCUAAUGAAUGGAAUGGUCCUGAAUGUGGAUGAUACCUUCCCUUGAUCUUAGUGUUAGGGCCUGUUUAGCAACGUGCCAAACAGUGCCAGAUUCUGAUUUUUUGUUCCCAGAAUCAGUUUGGGACGAGAAUCGCGUUUGGUAAAAUUUUUGUUCCCGGGAACAAUUUUGGACAAGAUUUGAGAAUAAAAAAAAAUUUUGAUUCUCUGUCCGAGAAUCAAAAAAAGAAUCAAAACGGUAAAACCCUCGCUCUCCCCUUUCGUCAUCCCGGUUGCCGUCCGCCAUCGCCCGCCGCCGUCCGCCACCACCCGCCGCCACCCUUCCUUCUCGGUCGCCGGUCCAGCGAGGUCGUCGGAGGCUCGCCAGGCCAAGGCGAGGUCCAGCGAGCUCGCCGGAGGCAAGCCCAACCACCGGCGAGGCUGGGCGAGGCUCGGCCUCGCCAGAUCGGGCGAGGUCGAGCCUUGCCGAUGGCUGGGCGAGCCUCGCCCAGCUGCCGAUGAGGCUCACCUGGCCACCGGCGAGGCUCGGCCGACGAAGGCCGACCUCGCCAAGGGCUGGCGAUGCUCCGGUGAGCGUCGCCGGCCCUCGUCUGGCUGGUCGCCGGUCUGGCGACCAACCAAAUGAAGAAGAAGAAGAAGAAGAAGAAGAAGAAGAAGAAGAAGAAGAAGAAGAAGAAGAAGAAGAAUAGGAAAACGGAGAAAAAAAGAAAAAAAAAAGGAAAAAAGAAAAGUAAAAAAAAAUUAUUUAAAAUUUAUUUAAAAAUCAAAAGAAAUUAAUUUGGAACAGAAUCAAUUAACACGGUAUCAAACGCAAUUCUAUUCCAGAAUAAAAACUUUUGGACAGUUACCAAACGCACUUUUUUACUCAGAAUCAGUUCCCGGGAACAUAAUCAAAAAUAAUCAUUUCUAGUCAGAAUCAGCUCCCGGUAACAGAAUCGUUGCCAAACGCGCCCUUAGCUGUCAUCAUGUGGGCACGAGUCAUGAGAUGGAGGAAGCUGAUUGCCAAUGUCAAAUUAAGUGCUUCUUCAAUGUUUCUAGUGGCUCAACCUGACAUUUGGAGCUGUAAAGUGUAGUAACAUCGAAUGCACUUCCCUUCAGCCAUAUUACCAACUCUGAAUUUCAAGGCACAACCCAUGGUUUUACAAAGUUUAAUGUGGACAUACAUUAGAUUCUUUUCAUUUUCUCCUUUCGAAUUCAUGAAGAUUCUAUAAUGAGCCUUUUUUUCCAUGUGGGCUGCGCAAAUUGAAGUUUCUGAGUUUCUUCUCAUGUGGAGCAUUUUAGAACUUAUUUUGUCAAAUGAACUGAGUCUUGAAAUGCGUGUCAAAGCAAUUUGGAAUGAAACAACCUGGUAAGGGGGACCAGCAAAUGACAUACGUCGGCAUCGUCUGAAUGUCACAAGGAACCGGCUAUCUGCAGGUAUUUCUUGAAGCAGCAACGUUCAUCAAGGAGAGUUCGGAGUUCGGCCUGAAUGACUUUUGCUUGAGAAAGAGACCAUGGGUCCUGACUCCUGAGCUUCAUCAACUCAUUCCAAAUAUGUUGGUCGAUUUUUGCUUUGUUAUGCUCUCUUCCACUUCAUCGCGUCCUUCGGAUUCCGUUGCCGUUGUUUAGGCCCACGUGCAAAGGGGAUGUUUGGAUAUGAUAUGCCGAUUCGAAGGAUGAGAUUUCUCGAUUCCACUCUCGGUCUUCCUGCUGGUGCGGUGUACCAGCAUUGACGUGGAUGUUGGUCCGUCAGCUGACAAUUAUGUGGGCAACUAUUAAUAAUAUUUUAUUUUAUUUUAUUUUUUGAUUUUUUAUUAAUUUUUUACUUCAUCGACCAAUGCAAUCGGAGGCCAAUUGAGUCAUCAUCGUUUGAGACUACAAGCCAAGGGCGUGAAGAUUGGCGGCGAGCUUGAAGAGAAAACAAUGAGAGAAUGCAGUGCAAAGCAAAGCCCGUGGAGAUGAUGGCCAAUCGUGUUCAUUUACAAAGGGAAAUUUCCACUUUUAUCUCUCGCAAUUUCAACUCCAUAAAAACAUUUUAAUUUUUCCUUAAGUCUUUCAAUUUGAGAUUUCUAUGUAAGUUCUUUCUUAUUGGAAAGCAAAUUGAACUAAGUUCAUUUCCAAUUAUCGAGAUGUCAUCCAUGUAAAUUAACAUCAUGAUAAAUGAAUUUCUUCUCCUAUUUACGGAGUAAAUCCUAACUUAAACAAUGUCUCGGAUAAAUGCACAUAAGACCUUUCAAUAGUUUAUCUGCACUUUUUGCCUUAACUAGUCCUACAGAUUUUAUCAUACAUUUGUUGACAAAUAUGACAUGAGUACUCACAGGUUGCACAGUCUUUACCACCAUAUCAAGGUUGAGCAUACGAAUGACAAGAGUCAUGACACCAUUUGACAAAUGACAUCCUAUUCCGACAAAGUCGGCCAUACUAAGGGUUCAAUAAGUUGAGAACAAAUCAAAUUUAUGUAAUAUCAUUUUGUGGUUUUAGGAUUGAAUCGUAUCUACAUACUAAUCUAGUUCGAGCAUUUCAUCAAACAAGUAAUAUGCAUUUUGAUCAAGGAGCUCAUACGCAAAUGUACGGCAACGAUUGACUUUUAGAUCAUCACGAAAAUAACAGUACAAGUUCUAGUUGCUAAUAGAGCUUCAAUCUCAACUGAUUUACUCACAGACAUUAGCUAAAGCUAACAGGCUCUGUUUCGUUCAUGAGCGGCAGAAACAGAGUGUGUGGGAUUUACCUUGAUGACAUUUAAGUUUUUAACCUCGGACGGUGAUCAGAUCAUUGACAAAGUUCCCAGUGGUGUCAACGCCGAUGAUCGAGGCCAGCGAAAGGGGAACAACCAAGGUUCGUGAACUUGCGAGCGUCCUGACCAGAAAACAGAGCAAAAAGAGAGUUGGCCUGACUACAACGAAACCGGCAAUGGCGGAGCGGCUACAGGGGUGGCUAACGGUGACUGAAGGACGACGGAGAAGGAGAGCCGAUCAAGAAGCCUCAAGAAUUCUCGAGAAAGAGAGUUUCUUCGUCAGGUUCAGCGUAUGCAUACUGUUGUGUUAUCGCUGAGCCUGUGGUGGCCGUCAACGGUGGCUCAACCGUGGCUGGUUUGGCGAUUGGAGAUGGCGGACGGUGGAUUUCUGGUGUCGAUUAGUAAUGGAGAAUCUUCUGGAACUCGACUGAUCGAGAGGGAGACGGAGAGGGAGAGGGAGAGACUGUGGAUUGAGGGCUGCGGUGAGGGAAAUUGUCUGGGCCGAGGUUUACUCCGAUGGGCCUGGCAUGAUCUGGGCUACGAUUGUGGAUCAGACCCAAUAGAUUGGACCAGGCCCUCUCAAUUCUGACCGAGUGGGAGCUUUUUUAUUGCUUUUUUUUUUUAAUUUUCUUUAUUAUCUUAUAUACCUUUACAAAAAAGCAUGUUCAACUUGCUGGCAAAAGAAUAACUUCACAACCGACUCUGCCAUAAUUCCUUAUCUGUGCAAUAUUGCAACAUUAUUCAGUGAGGAUAGUUAUCACACCUAGCUCUAUAAUCCUUGAUUUGAAUUUGAGCAUUGAUGGCAUGGUUGCACUCAUGCUUGAGUUGAUUUCUUGCAAAAUCAAUUAGGUCAAUAGCCCGUUGCACACUCCCUGACCAAAGCAAUUGGCAUGCCAAAUGUGGCUUCGUUAGAAUAGGCAAACCCCUCAAGUUUAGUAAUAAACCUCGUAUCGAGACAUAAUCCAAAACUUGUGAGUAAGUUUUCAAUUUGCGGUUCUCCAUUGCAAGACUUUCGGGACACUUGUAUGAUACUCAAAUUACAUAAAUUGCCCAUGACCAUAAGUGUAAUUCUAUGUGAUGUAGUUCUUUGAUUCACUUUUGUUUAUACUAUAGAGAAACACACCACGUCAUUGGAAUUUGGCUAUAAAAAGUACUCAUUCUCAUAAGACACUCCAUCACUUUUGAUUGAACGUGAAUUUGCAUGGCUUUCAUUGUUUCCAAAUUUGAGCGUCUUCCAUUUCAUGAAUAGGCGAAUUUCGCAUUUGUCAUUAAAGACAAAUUUCAUGACGUCCUUGCAAACCCCCAAUCUCAUUACCUUGUAUAAAUUGGAAUCUUCUUGUUGAAUGUCUUAUUUCUAUCUGUUUAUUUCCUAAAAUUCGCAGGAGCUAUAAUUGCAUAAUAUAUUGUAUCCCCAUAAAUUUAAUUUGUGUAAAAUUUCCAAGACCCUCCUCAUGUUUGUUGCCCAGUUCACACACCACUUUGCAUGCUCUUGAUAUUUAAAAUUCCCACUUCGCAUCUUAAGAUUGACUAAAAAGACCGAAUCACCCUUCAAUUAAUGUACAUAAAUUCAAUCGGGGCGAGAAAAGCGGAAGGGCAUUUUUUAAAAGAAAAAUGACGGUCUAAUUUUAAACUCUAAUAAAUAAAUUCUAAAUGAUGCACAAUUAAUUGAGUUUCAUGCAAGUUAUAUCACCCUUUUUUUUUUUUUAAGAAAACACACCUCGGAGAAUGUCUCCAUCAAAUAAUACCCAGACAAACCUCAUGAAUUAGAUAAUAUAGGCGAGAACCCUAAUGAAUUAACCCAAGCAAAAGGUGACUUGCAAUUGUUGGUGUGAAAAAACUGAUUCAUGUGAGUUUCCUAUGGUACUAAGCUUAAGAAAUUUCUAUGUGCACAUUAACACUACAUUUGUUUCACGGAAAACAAGUUCUGAGGAAACGUUUUCCGAAUUUUCCGACAUUCGUUUCAUAGAAAAUAAGUUGAUUGGAGAAUACAUUUUCCGUCAACAAAAAAAAAAAAAAACUUCUUCAAAAGUGGGGAAAAUGUUUUCUCUUUUCUUUCAUCCCCUUUCUUUCACUUCUAAACCAAACGCUUUUUUUCACCAAACACAUUUUCCUUUUAUUUUUAUUAUUUUAUCUUAAAAUAAUUCGAAUUUUUAAUUAUUUAAAAAAAAUCCUUCUUCUUCGUACUCUCCUCAUGUCCGCGCACGGUUGGCAUGUAUCCGCACACCGCUGCAUGCACCGUGGCCGAAGCACUCGGCCACGGUGGGAAGAAGCAUGCGUAGUAGUCGAACCCCUUUUCCGCGACAGUGGACCUCAGAUCGCACAGGAUGGCGUAGAAUGCCACAGCAUAAUUGUCCUGAUCAGAGUACUGCUCUCCACUGCAUACCUCGUCCACAAAAGUCAAGCGUCCGAGUAGCAGAGCAUCGACGCUCACGAGGCGCGUGCAUUCGGGAAGAGGAACACACGAACGGGAGCCUCAGCAGAAAAUUCUCUAUCGGAUCAACCCCAUUUCCAGACGCUACUCCACCUUCGCUCUCUCUCCGUCGCCUCAGUCCACCGGUUGCUACCGUCGCUGAUCCUCCAUCGCCAGCCAGAACUCUUAUGCACUCGGCACAAAUCACACACGGUGGGGAGGCUCAGAGGUUUCUGAACGUCCAGAGAGUUAUGUCUCUCGGCUUCUUGCUUCGUAUGGUGACCUUCAACAAACCUCCCGGCACCGUUAGCAUCAUCUCCGAUCAUUGCUCCACCAGCAGGCCGUAGCUCUGUUAGCACCUGUUUUCCAGUGAGUUUGCUCGGACUGCUCUGAACUUGUUCGUUUCUCCUUCGCUGGCUCCGAUCCUCAGCAUCAUUGUCUCAGACAACCUCUUCCUCUCAUCCGAUAGUCCUUCGUGCAUCGGAUAAAAUAAAAACUAUAAUCUUCUUCUUCGUUCUUAGUUUCAUGAAGAGAGACUUAGGCAUUUUUGUGUGAUUUUUAUUGUCAAAUUCACUGCUGGCGUGUCCACGCUACAAGUGCUUUGUAUGAUCAUCGCUGAAGUGUUCACCGUGAAGUGUUCACAAUAACAAACUGAAUCACAAAUCAACAUUCACUGCAAUGCAUGUUUGUCUGUUAGAUGGUCGAUACUUGUUUAGUUCUUCCUGCAAAAUGUCUUGCAAAGAUGACUCCGUCUACAUCUAUGUUACUUUGAGAUCGCCAAGUGUAGGUUGCUCUCUUUGGCGGUUUCCGGAGUAAUGUUCCAUAAACUGUACAAUCUGUUCUACUGGGAGAAGAAAGAAAUUCUCAGCAUUAUCUCCCGAAUGCUGAAAAUAUAUUUUCUGCAUUCUGUUAUGUCAUUCUUCGUUUUAAAUUCGAAAUCAAGUUCCGUAGGCUUAUUAAAAUCAUGGGUUUUAUUUUUUCAUGGGGAACUUCAAAGAGGUUCAUGAGAAAAUAUGAUCAGAAUUUCUGAGAGUGUCCAACGGUGCAAUUAUUUGGCCUAUGGAAUUGGGAAAAUUGCGACGAAAGUUAGAAUGAAUCCAUGAAAUCGUACUUGAUAAAAGCUUGUCCAAGAUAGAAUAUCCGCGAUUGACAGCGAAUGCCAAUGGUGAGGAACAGAGCCAUGGCUAUUGUGGAUUUGUCUCAAUGAAAGUGGAAGACGUCGGCGACGGCCAUGAUGUUUUGGUCUGAGCUUGAAGUCUUGGGGGAUGAAUUUCAUUCACCUAAGCAUCCUCAGCUUUGUGAGUUUGUGAAGUUCAUGGCAGUUCCCAUUCGCGUUAAUUUUAGCAGAGAGUUUGGGGAGAGACAGAUGCUCGAACUGCUGGUCACAAGAUUUUCGAGGUGCGAGUUAAUCCACGAGCUAAACCUCCCCAUGCGACGGACUGUGCUGUUCUCUUGUUUGAUUCAAAUUCCGUACAGAAUUUGUAUGUGUUGGGGAGAUCUCGGAAAUGUCAAGCUAAUGGAAACAAACUGAAUCGGUCAUAUAGGAUAUGAUUGUGCUGGAAAAUGGCGUUGGUGUUGUGCUUAUAGGUCUCCAAAGCUAGACCAUUAAAAAGAUUCGAUCUAUCGUUUUUAGGUCGCUACGCCGGUAGAUACCAGUUGCACAUAACAAGAUAUGCCUAGAGAUUGAAAGCUUUCUUCUCUUGCUUUGUUUGCAAUCAAUGCAGGUAAAGCUGAAAGAGCAAGGUGCGUGCAUAGCCCUCAAACUGGCAAGCAAUUUAAAUCCAAGUAUUCUAUCUUGCAACUUGCGGUUUGGCAAAUAUAUCUGAAGAAAACAAUGUGGUCAAAUCCUCAUGGCCAUAUGACAGCUCUUGGAUUUAAAUCGGAUAAUUGAAACAUAGUAAAUGAAAACAUCACCUAAUAAACCAAGCUUAUAAUCAAGGGAGAAAGUAAGUAAAUAUGGAAAUUAAAGUCCGAGAAUUCAACUCAAUACAAUGUUGGUUAAAGAAUAUAUAUUGUCUCAUUAUCAAGCCUCGGGACAAAAAAUCUCAUAAGUUAAGUCUGGAAAUUAAAACCAAGCCUAAUGAAGAUAUAUGUCGAAGUGACCCCAGAGUGUAUCCUAAUAUUAAAGCAAAAGGAAUUUUUUAAAAUCAUUUAUUUUCAUUUUUUUUUAUUUUCUUUAUCCAUUUCAUCUAAGAAAAACACAAUGUAAAAUUUCAAUUUAUUUCAAGAUUCAAGAAAUAUGACCUCCCUAAAUCCGAAGAACAUGGAUAAAAUGAAAUUCAAAUAAAAUCAUUCUUAAAACGUAAUCGCCCAAUUGAGACUUGCGUUUUUCUACAAUUUUUAUUUUUAUUUUUAUUUUUAAUUAGUGAAAACAAAACAGGAGAAUUUAUCCGGACACAAAUGUGCCCCAAAUAUAUCCACUCCAGCUUUUUGACUCACGAACAUUAUUAGCUAAAGCUCAUGGGCUCUGUUUUUAGUUCAUAAGCGGCAGAAAUAGAGUGUGUGUAAACCUUGAUGAGAGUGAGGCUUUGACCUCGAUCAGUGAUCAGAUCAGAGACGAAGUCCCUCGAGGUGUCGACAUCAACGAUCGAGGCCGGCGAAGGGGGAGCGACCAAGGGUCCGUGCUCUUUCGGCCGUCCUGACCAGAAAACAGAGCAGAACGAGAGGAGGCCUUGCUGCAAUGAAAUCGGCGAUGGCGGAGUGGCUACAGUGGCGGCUAACAGUGUCUGGAGGACUAUGGAGAAGCGAAAACUGAUGAAGAAGCCUCUAGAAUGCCUAUAUGUGAUGUGCACAAAGAUGAAAUCGUUGUGGGCCUCGAUUCCCUUCUUCCUUCAUGAGCGCACAUAAAGAUAUUGGUUGCAUUUAACGUUUGGCUUAAUGGAUCAGAUGAUACCACUGCCAAGGUUAGCAUUUUCAUACGAGUUGAGGUCCUUUCUUCCGGAUAUUCAUUCUAUUUAGACUGGCCUCUUUGUAAAGUUUCAUCCAUGAGUGUUGCGUUUAUCUAAUCAAUCUCGUGAUUGCACUAAAGAUUAAUUUGUCCCUAUCACUCGUCCUUCUCCCAUUAGAGAUCGAUAUGUGAUCUUAAAUACUGAAAACUCUCUCAUGUGGCUCAUUGAUAUUUAAUUUCUUCAACUUGCUCACGAUCUAGAAAAGACAUAUAGAAAAAGUGAAGACAAAAUAUUAGGUCCCCAACUUUACAUCUGCCUUACAAAUGUUCCUCGGCUAGAUACAAUACAAGAUGGAUUCACUCCUAUGGAACAUAAUUGCAAUGUAUGCAAUUAUGUCCUUUGAUUCGUUGGAUUCGUAUUAUUCAAUUAUGUCCUUUAAUUUGUUGGAUUGGUGCAAUUCAUAAUCUUUUUCUUGUUUGCAUCUCUUCCUUACAUAGCAUAUUCACAGAUGAUUUGGUUAUCGACUCAAAAGUCUCUGCUUACUCCAACAAAUCAAUUAUCGUACUCACAUGAUUUUGGAUUCUCAUUAUAUUAAAAAACAACAAUAUGACAAAAAAAGACAGUGAAUAAUUUGUAUCUCAUAUAUUUUCUUUUUGUCCUUUUUUGUUGGCCUCUGAAUGCGUAUUGUACUACAUAUUACAUAAUUUCGUUGUGGUUGUGUCCUACGUACGUAUAAUAUAUGCCUUUCAUGAAAAAAGUGCACUAGUCGGGUCCCUUCAUUGAUGCUUCUAAUUUUCAAUUGACUGCAAAUUAUAUGUGGUCUAGCGCGAAUGGGUUGAAGGGCCGAGGCUUAUUUUGAUGGGCUUGGUACGGUCUGGGCUGCACUUGUGGAUCGGGCACAACAGACGGGCCUGGCCCUGUCAAUUCUGACUGAAUUGGACCUUUUUAAUUACUUUAUUUUCUUUCCUCGUUUUUUGUUUGGGUUUUUACUUAUUUUUUACUAUUUUUCAUAUCAUAUUUUUAUAUUUAUUUUUACCAUAGUGCGUGUUCGACUUCCUGGCAAAAAUUCAAGUGUCAAUAGAGGCAACAUUCCAUCAUCUGGCCAAAGAUUUACUUCACAUUGAACUCUACAACUAUCUUUUAUUUGCGCAAUAUUCAUUCAGUGAAAGAAAAGUCCUCAUACUUAACUCUAUAAUCCUUGAGUUGAAUUUCAGUGUGAUAAUGUCGCUGCGCUUGUGCUUGAGUUGAUUUCACAUAGAAUUGAUGCAUUGUGUAUGGCUUGGGCCUUGAAGCACAUCAUUACUGCUCCACCCAUGCAGCACACUGCGGUGGAAUCAUUGUACAUGCUAUAGUAGUUGUACUCAUGCUAGCCAUCUUAGUGCCCAAGUCCUUUAGGAUGAUUUUCACUAUAGUUGCGUACGGAACCAAAGGGAAAUACUGUCGCUUGCUAUAGAUUAUCUUUGACACAGUCGUGUCUACUACAUAGCUCAUUGUGGUGCACAAAAAGAAAGAGCUAGUGAUGCAUACGAUUCCUUGAAAUGCUAUCAUGAUAUUUAUAUAGGUGAUCUGUGUAUUUUCAAGAUUGCUACUUUAUUCAUAUAGUAUUAAUUAUCUUGUGGAUCCAUCCAGGUCUUACAAAGUAAAAGCGUUAUUGCAUAGAUCGAUGUCACUUAGUUAAUAUAACAUGUAGGCAACAUAUGAGCUGGGUAUAACCACAAUGAGUUCACGUCUAGCAUGUGGAAUUGCGAUGAGCAUUUGACAUUAGUGCUGGUGAGAGUUUUAGAGAGCUGGUAUUGAAAGGGGCUAACUCGGAAAGCUAGGGAGUGGCAUAACUUUUUCCCCCUUUGAAAUAUGAAUUGAUCUUUUGUUUACAAGUCCUAAGUUACUCGGUGAAAUCGUAGUACUUAUACAUGAUUCUGCAAUCUUGAAUUGUGCUCCGGCGGUACGUGGACGAACUUUUGUUAUUUGCUUCGGGGUGAUAUUCAUGCAGCCGACACGGUCCGAUUGGGUCAACGCCCGACUACACACUCGAUGGCCAAAGGAAUCCACAUCACCAAAUGGCUUAGCCAGGAUAGUUGGACCCCUCAGUUUCGGUAGUAAGCCUCGUAUCAAUUGAGACAUAGUCCAAAACGCUCACUUAAGUUGUCAAUUUAUGGUGCUUCUCUCCACUACAAAUCUUUUAGAUAAACGAGAUGUCGGAUCACUUAUAGUGCUCAAGCUAUACAAAAUCCCCACGAAUGUAAGUGCGAUUCUUUCUAAUGUAGACAUCUAGCAUAUGUGGUUCAGUGCGAUUCUUUCUAAUGUAGACAUCUAGCAUAUGUGGUUCUUUCAUUCACUUCUGUUUAGAAACGCAAGAUUGGAAUCCAACCAUAGAAAGGACUCGUUCUAAUAGGGCACUCCCUCAUUUGUUAUUGGGUUAGGUAGCUGAUCUCUUAGUCAUUAAUCACGUCAAAUGAAUCUUUGCUUUAAUCAAACUUUAGAGCAAUUCCAACUAAUCGUCCAGCCAUUAUUAUGACAUAGGCAAGAUUAGAGCAAUUCCAACUAAUCGUCCAGCCAUUAUUAUGACAUAGGCAAAAAUAACUUGGUGAUUCUCCAUCAGUCUUGGAAUCUUGACUAAAUGCGAAUCUUCAUUGUUUUCAUUACUUCAAGGUUUGUCAUACAAGACAAAUAUUCUUGACAUCCCUAUAAUGCAACCCCUCAUCUCAUAGCCUUGUAUAAAGUAGAAUCCACAUAUAUAUAUACACAAACAAGAAUGUCUUUUUCAUAUUUGCUUAUUUCCUAAAAUUCACAGGGUAUAAUUGAAUCAAAUAUUAUAUUUCCCUUAAAUUUAAUCCAAAUAAAAUUUUCCAAUACCAUAAUGAUUGGUUCGCAGUUCCCACACCACUUUACAUGCUAGAUGUUUGAAAUUCCUAGUUUGCAUCUUAAAUUAACUUGAAAGACAGAAUCACCAUUCAAUGGUGAACAAAACUUAAGCUGGCGUCAGAAAAGUGAAGGAGCAUUUUUUCAAAAAAAAAAUGAAAACAUAGUCUAAUUUAAACUCUACUGAACAAUAAAGAAUUCUGGAUGAUGCGUGACUAAUCGGGAUUCAUGCAAGCUAUAUUGUUUUUAUUUUCUUUCUAAGGAAACUUUUAUGUUAAUGGAAUUCAUGCAACUAUUGUGCAACCUAGGAAAUUUCUAUGUGCGCACUAAGCGACAAAGAUCCUUUGCCACGGUUUGUGUUCGCGUCAUGCCAUCAGCUCGGGGCUCUGUCUAGCUCGCACUAUCGCUUACUCAGUUCUGCACCACUGUUGACAUCUCGUCGCAUCUAACCAUCUCAGUUGAGAUUUUCCGAGAUUCGACGAGGAUGAAGAACAGAUCUGGGAGAAGGGCAUUCAAAUCGCAUGGCAAUUAAGAACUAAGACGUUGGCAGCAGGAACGCAGAGCUUGAUGCGUGGCGUAGAGCCCCGUCGGGAUCCACAAACACAGCACCGCCACAAGUUCAUGGUCAGCGCGUCGAGGAGAGAGAGAAGAUCGAGGGCCAGCAAAGAUAGAGAAAGAGCGAUGGAGCUUCUGUGUCCCUGGUGACGGUGGCUGGUUUCAGAGGCUAUCGUGGUUGGGCUAGGCAUGCGAGGAAAGUUGCGACGAGAGAAAGAGAGAGGAUUUCUGAUAUAUUUUGCUCAUUUACGGUCAGAAACCAAGUGAGGAUCUUCUUCAUGGAGCACAGUUCGUAGCAGAUGAUCUCCAUUCCUCCUUGUAUAUGCCAUUUUUGUCGACCUAAACUAGUAGUUCUAUAUCAAGUAUUAUAAAUUCUCUUUUUAUUCUUUUAAAAUAUUAACAUUUUAGAUGUGAUUAUCGACUUAAUUGGACUGGCAGUUUCGUGCUCUAGGGAGAGAACCAUCCAAAGCUGUUCAUAAACCGCAAUCCAUCACUAAAUAUGAAAAUCUCUUAAUUAUAAUGAAAUAAAACUUAAUAAUAAGAAAUCUAGUUGGCUUUAUCAUUUGAGGAUUUUCCCUUGUACUAUACUAGCGAAGGAGUACACACAUCUGCACAUUUGCGAAAAGAGAAUUGAAAUGGUUGUGAUAGUACAAAUUUAAAAGUAACAUAUUUGACGAAAUUAUACACAUACACCAUCUGUGUAAAAAAGUUGUGCAUGGAUGUCGCAUACACUAUUAAUUUGAGAGUGGUAUGUGCACUAUUUUUCGAUAUGUUUAUGUGAUUAGUUGAUAGUUGUUUAGAUUUUUUAAGUUAUGAUUUCGUUCUUUCUGUGAUGCCAUUUUCCAUGUUAAAUUUUAACAAUAGAUAUAGGCAUUUCAUGAAAUUCUUUUAUGAAAGUUUGAGAUUGAAAUCCAUCCUCUUCGAAUAUGAUUAUUUUCUAUUUUGUCUGUACUUGUCAACAUCUAACACUACCAAUUUCGAGUGGGGUCACACCCAAACGUCAUCAGAUCCAAUUGAUCUAUUCUUGUGGAUAAUUAAAUGAUUCAAACAUAGACAAAGAUCAGUAGCACCAGCAACUCCAUUCAUCCUCAUUCAUAUCACAUUGCAAUGAUUUCUCAUUGAAGUAUUGUUUUUCUUAGAUGUGACAACUAAUGAUAUUAGAUAUUUUCCGACAAAAGCUUAUGUUAUUCUGUAAAUGAAUAUUGAGAUAUACCACAAAUAUAUAUCUGUAUGUAUCUCAACAAUCACUUUUUUUUAUAAGAAAAUACAUCUCGGCGAACGGCUUCAUCAGAAAGUACCCAAAUGGCCUCAUGCUACAGGUAAGAUAUAGGCGAGAACCCCUCAUGAAUGACCCAAGAAAAAUAAGAUUACUUGCAUUUACUAGCAUCGAAAAAUAGGAUCAUGUUGUGCCCAUCGACUAGAAUCUAAAGCCAAUCGAACAAUCUAUGUUUAUAAUGAGUCGCCACCGAACAAUCUAUGUUUAUAAUGAGUCGCCACCCUGCUAAACCACAUAAAUUUUUAUGUGCACUCUCAGAUAUACAGAUCUUUUGAUCCGGUUUGUAUUCUCAUCACCCAUUCCAAUCAAUUGAUACGCGCUCAGUUCUCUCUCUCUCUCUCUCUCUCUCUCUCUCUGCACGCACCGCAUCUGGCCAUCUCAGUUGAGAUAUCCUGAGAUACGACAAGAAUAAACAGAUCUGGAAGAAGGGCCUCCAAAUCUGUCACUAUCAACGACUAAUCUGUUGGCAACGAUGUGAUAGAGCUCGACAAAUUGUGCGGAGCUCCGUCCCGAUCUCCGUCCCGAUCGACAGACUCGACCUUGCCAUGAGUUCAAGGUUGGUGCAUUGGGGAGAGAGAGAGAGAGAGAGAGGAUCAAGUGGUCAAAGAAGCUAGGGAUGGUGCCAUGGAGUUCUCUAUCUCAGAUGGCUGGAGUCAGUGGUUGUCAAAGUUGGGUCGGACGUGCUAGAAGUUGAAAAGGUGCACGGAGAGAGAGAGAGAGAGAGAGAAUUUUUGAGAGGUUUUUCUCAUGUACGGUUAAAUACCAAAUAAAAUGGAAACAUAUUGCUAGCUCUUAAUUGAGGCAAAAAAUCACAGAACGAUUCUUGGCACGGUAUCUCCAUUUCUCUGUGUAUGCCAUUUUCAUUGACCUAAACAAAUAAUUCUAGGGAAAAUGACAGAUAGUCUUUGAAUUUUGGCACUAUGUGUAACGUGGUCCUUAAACUUUUAUAUUUAUUUAAUACAGUUCCUGAACUUUAAUUCAAUAGACAAUCGGUCCCUGAACUUUUGAUUUUUUUUAAUACAAUCUUUGAAAUUUUGGUACAAGUUCAAUUUAGUUUCUGAACUAUAUAUUAUUCUUGAUUUUAAAUUAAUGAAAGGAUUACAUUAAACAUUUUCAUAUAGUUUAAGGACUAUAUUGAAUAUGUACCAAAAUUUAGACAUUACAUUGUACAAAUUAAAAAUUUAGGGACACCUUACCAAAAAAAAAAUUAAAAAUUUAGGGACUAAAUUAAAUAUUAAGUUAAUGUUCAAGGACCACAUUGCACAUAGGGUCAAAGUUUAUGGACUAUUUGUAUCAUUACCCUAUAAUUCUAAUAUCAAAUAUUGUGGAUUUUCUUUUUAUUUUUUCUGAAAAUGGUAUUGUUUUCAGAAGCCCCUAAAGUUCUUUAUAAACCGUAGUCCACUACUAAAUAUAAGAUCAUUUCAACAAUGACGAAAUAAGACACUUUAAUAGGAAAUCUAGUUGGCUUUAUCAUUUGGGGAUCUUCUUUUGUACUAUACUGGCGAAGGAGCACACAUGCCUGCGUGUUACAAGAAGAGAAUUGAAAUGUGUCCGAAGAGGGGUAAAUGUCGAAAGAGAUGAAUUUAUUUAUUGACUUAAAUUAUAUUCGAAAAUUAUAUAUUUGGCAUAAUUAUAGCAUACACCAUCCUUGUAAUAUAUUAUCAAUUUAAGAGAGUAAGUAUUUAUGAUCUUUAAAUCAUAGGUAUGAGAUCGCUUGUAUCAAUUUUCUUUACAUUGAUGGUGUAUGCUUUAUUUUUUCGGUAUGUUCAUGCGGAUAGUUGACAAUUAUCUUGAUUUUUAUGGUCACGAUUUCGUCCACUCUGUUGGACCAUAUUCCCACAGUACAUUUUAACGACAGAUAUAGGAAUUUCAUGAAGUUUCUUAACAAAGCUUAAGAUUGAAAGCCAUCUUCUUCAAAUUUAACUAUUUUUUUCUUUUUAAUAUAGAUUAGCUUUGGAUUUGUCAAGAUAUAAUGCUACCAAUUUUGAUGGGCUCAAACCCAAACAUUGCCGGAUCAAAUUGAUCCAUUCUUAUUGAUUAUUAAGGGGGUGCAUGACAACCAAAAAUUUAUGUUCCAGAAAUAGUUUUUCUGUUCCAGACCUAUUUCUGGAAGAGAAAUCCGUUUGAUAAACCUAAUCAGUUUUUUUAUUUCUAGAAUAGAUUUCUAUUCCAGAAAUAGGUUUAGAAGAGAAAUCAGAAGUUAAAAUUUUCUACUUCUGAUUUUUUGAAAAGAAAUCAAAAAUAAUUUCUCUCACUAAACCCUAAUUUCGGUGAGUCCUCCCUCAUCUCCUCUAUGUCUCUGCCUCCUGCUCCUCCUCCACCUCUCCUCAUUUUAUUAAAAAUAAAAAUAAAUAUAUUCAUUUAAAAUAAAUAAAUUAUUUUUAUUUAUCAUUUUAUUUUCAGUUUAUUAAAAAUAAAUUUAUUUAAUUUAUUAAAAAUAAUUUAUUUAUGAUAAAUAAAAAAAAUUAUUUUUAUUAAAAAUAAGUUUAUUUUUAUUUGCUUUGAGUGUUUUGCUAAAUAAUUUUUUUUAUUUUUUAUUUUUAUUCAUUUUAAAAUAACUUUAUUCGUAAAAUAAAAUAAAAUAGAAUAAAUAAAAUAAAUUUAUUAAAUUUAUUAAAAAUAAUUUAUUUAUGAUAAAAAUAAUAAAUUUUUAUUUAUUAAAAAUAAAUUUAGUAAAUUUAUUUUUAUUUGCCUUGAGUGUUUUGCCAAAUAAAUUUUUUUUAUUCAUUUUAAAAUAAAUUUUUUCGUAAAAGAAAGUAAAAUAGAAUAAAUAAAAUAAAUUUAUUAAAUUUAUUAAAAAUAAGAUAUUUAUGAUAAAUAAAAAUAAAUUAUUUUUAUUUGCCUUGAGUGUUUUGCCAAAUAAAAUAUUUUUAUUUUUUUAUGAUUUAUUUUAUUUUUUAUUUUAUUUUUUUGUUACUAAAUCAUUUUUAUUUUUAUUUUUAUAUUAAAGGUCGUCGGUUGUCGCCGCCGCCGUCUGGAAAGAAGAAAUUUUGUGUUGUUAUCAAACGAAUUUCUAUUUUUAGAGUAGAAAUUUUGUGUCGUUAUCAAACGGUUAUUUUUGCUUAGAAACUCUUCUAAAAAUAGAAAUAGAAAAAUAUAUUUCUGUUCCAGAAACUAUUUCUGGAACAGAAUGAUUGUCAUGCGCGCCCUAACUAGUUUGAAUAUAUACAGGCCACUCAUUCCAUAUUCAUAUCACAUUGUGACGAGAUUUUUUAGAUCAUCGAUUUUCUAAGAUGUGACAUAUUAUGAUAAUGGAUCAUUUCCAAUAAAAAUUUAGGUUAUUCCGUGAACGAAUAUUGCUCAUACCUAAGCCUACAAUUGCAAAGUUGAAGUUGAGCAUCGACACUAAAAGGACACUCUCUAGAUUUCAUCGUAGGCAAAAUUCAUGCAGCUCGUACAAUCGGCUUGUGUCCCGUGGCCAAAGCACUCGACACGAUUGACAAAAGCGUGGGUAUUAGUCGAACCCCUUCUCAGUUGUGGUGGACGUCAGAUCCUGCAGGACGAUGUAGAAUGCUUUGGCAUAAUCGUCCCAAUCGUAGUACCGCGCUCCAUUGCAUACCUUGUCCACAAAAGUCACGUCCGGAUCGCUUCUUGUGAUACAGAGACAGUGGGAAAGUACUACGAACUGGACUGCGAUUUUGCGUGUUGCGGGCAUGAUUAUUGUGUUCACUAUCUUUCCCUCUCAAAAAGCUCUCUUUUUUUUUUUUUUUUGGUCGAAAAUAACAUCCAUAUAUAUAUCAACUGAAAUUACAACCAUUCGUUAUAGCGUCCGCAGUCAAAAUAGCAAGAAAAACAGCAGGAGGUUGAUGUAACCAGUGUCGGGCUGAAUCAGUUGUGCGAUGGGCCUUUGUAGCCCAGUCAGCGGCCCGGUUUGCUUCUCUCAGACAGUGUUGCAGGGUUAGGUCAGCGAAGCGGGAGAGCAGGUGGAGCGCCUCUUCUACGAUCGGCCGAAGCUCCCACAUGGAUGAUCUGCCAUUGCGCACAGCUUCAACAAGGGGAAAGCAGUCCGUUUCAAUCAACAGAGUGGUAUUAUGGAGUUGUCGUCGCAGUAGAUGAUGCAGGGUACAGGUUAGUGCGUUGAGUUCAGUUUCCAGCGCCGAGUGCGACCGAAAUUUGCUAGAAAAUCCGUCCAUAAGCCUCCCACGAUGAUCUCUGCAGACACAGGCCAUCGUGCCCUCAGUGCUGCCCGGUUGAUAAGCUCCAUCUAUGUUAUAUUUCAAAGUGCCAGAGUCUGGAGGACGCCACAGAUGCGCGGGAUUGAGGUGCGGAAUCCUGGAUCUCGAUCCAGCAACAGCAAGGGAAAGGAGUGAUCGGGUCUGAGUGAUGGCCAUGUCAACUACCCGUCGUGGAUCUGGUGUCUAGUUGCGGAAGACUGCAUCAUUGCGCAUUCUCCAAAUCUGCCAUAGUGUAUUGGCAGUGAGCUCGAGACCGGGUAGGUUCUUUGGUGUCGCUGCUAUGGCUGAGAUCCAUUGAUCAAUUCGUUGGUUGCUCCAAGGGGGUAGUGUGCUAUUAAUAUGUUGGUGUGUCCAGACAGCUCGAGUCCACUCACAUUGGAGGAACAGAUGUUCGAUGGUCUCUUGGUUCUGUUGUUUACACAGCAUGCAUCAAGGGUCAGAGGCGAUGUGUCGAUUAAAGAGGUUGGCCCUUGUCGCAAUUGCAUUCUGACACACAGCCCAGGUAAAUACUCUUAUUUUUGGCGCAGUUUGCAUCACCCUUAGUAGGCUGCAUCGGGGCUAGCCCUCGCCCAACCGGGCCUCUCCUGUGGUGGGUGAGGCCAAUCGACUAGUUAUGACCGGUGGCUGGCCAACGGAAAAGGCAAAAAAGAAAGCCAAAAAGAAAAGGAAAAACGAAAAAAAAAAAAACAUAAAAAAUAUUAAAAAUUCAAAAAAUAAUAAAAAUUGUACACGUUAGCAUCGGCAGUCCUACAUGGCAUUGCCCGCGUCCACGUCAGCAUUUUCCAACCAAAAUUGGCCGAAUUGACCCAAUUGACAAGAAGUGAAAAUGUUUAGAACUAAAUUGGCAAAAAUACAAUAGGUUUAGGACUUUUUGGACAACUUUCCCCCUAAAUUUGUCAGGAUCUUCAGAUAAAUGUCAUAGGAUUCAAUCAGGAAAGGUAGGCAAUUUAUGUAGAAUCUUCUUGAGAGCAAAACUAAUAUAUUUUUCAUCUCCACCAUCUGCUAAUUAUUCAAGAGCAUCUUCCAAUUUCCUAUAGAGAGCCUCUAUUUCCACUCUCAAUAUCGCUAAAACACACCAUUUAUUAAUUAAAAGUGUAAAAUGUCUUUAAUUAAAAUAGGCAACUAAGUAGACCAGAAAAGGCAAGCAAUGGGGGUCUAAGCAACUAUCUAUUUUGAAGCCAAAAAAUAAAAAUUCAAAAAAUACACACACAACCCAACUCCAUCAUCUUGCUCAUGAAGUUUGAACCUGCUCGUGUGCUUUCAAUUUAGUGUUGCAGGUUAUCUUGAUCGGACAUUAUCAUUAUUCACAAAUUAGAAGUCUUUAAGUUGCUUAUUUGACUAAAGAAUAUCUUCCCAAAUGCACCCUAAGCAAAAGUGACUUUAGGGUCACAUUAUUUCUGACUCUUCUAUGGCUCCACAAUCAAGACAGCACAUGGACUAAAUUACCCCUUAAAAAAAUCCCAUUUUUGUUGGCCUUCAUUUGGUUGAGAGCAAGAGUCAUUUGGCCAGGAAAAAACAUAAGCUAAAGAUACCUUUUGUAUGGCUUCAUACAAGGAAAAUUACCAAAAAAAGCCUUAAAUCUAUUGCAACUAUGUCAAUUUAAUCAUAAACUUUUCAAUUACACAAAUUUAAUUCUUAACAUUUUCACGUUUUGUCAAUUGAAUCAAUCCAAUCAAUUUUAGUUAGAAACCACUGACGUGGAUGCUGACUAUUUUACAUGGCAUGACCAACACUAACGUAAGCAAUUUUUUUAUAAUAAUUUUCUUUUUUUUUUCUUUCUUUUUCCUUUUUUUUUUCCUUUCUCUUUGUGUAGGCUAGAUCAAUCUAAAUGGCAAGCACCUUUUGAAAGGUAAAAUAUGUGAUAUGGUAACUUUUCAUUUAUUUGUAACAUUCACGUGUGAUGAGUAACUUUUUUAUACAUCAAAGUCAUUUUCAAGAUGCUUAGUAACUUUUUAUAAUAAAUAUCGCAUGAUUAGUGAAUUUUAUUAUGCUUGGAUAAGUUGCAUGUGUAUUUUGAGUAAAUUUGACUGUUGAAUUCUUCCAUGUGUCACCCAUCCAAUGAUGGAUGUGGAAAUUUUAUAUCUGACAUUGAUGGUGGACCUAAUUAAAACCCAGAAAGGUAUUAAAAUUAAUAUGGAUAGUGCUUUUCUUUUUAAACUAUAAACCCAAUCUCAAAUUUGAGAUCAAUUCUAAAUAUAUUAACAUUAUGUUUUGGGCCGACAAUGGGCUUACUCAAGAUACUUAAAUGAGAUGACCAUCCAGCUUUAGUCACAAGGUAUCCUCAUGCACUCUUUGCUUUUCAUUUAGGUUUCCGGCCACUCGAAUCUCUGAGAAAAAUGUCAUGACUCUUUGCCUUCUGACAAGAGCCUUGGAAUUGGGUAAACUAACAUGCAAAAGGGAAUCUUUCAUUUAAUUAUAAUUAUUAUGAUUUUCAAAGCAAAGUUUAACUAAAAUUUAAAAGUCACAAAAAUACAAAGAUCGAAGUGGGCUCGACAAAAAACCACUGGGGGUUCGCCCCAGUGGCCACCCUUCCAGCAUGGAAGGGGGAGGUGAGGGGUUCAAAUCCUCACCUUCUCAGGAGGAUGGGGUAGGGACGCGUAAGUUUCGAGAAUGGGUUGCGACUCCCACGCCCUGCAAGUGGCAGGGCACAAGUCUGCGAGUGAGUGUAGAGUAGAAAUAGAGUAGGACUGACCAAAAAAAAAAAAAAAGUGGGCUCGACAAACAACAUAAAGUUUAAUUAAAGUUAAUGACAAAUGUAAUCACGUGAAGAGCAAUAUCAUUGGAUACCAACCAACCAGUCACAUGAGCAGCAAAAGCAGCUCAACCACAGUUUGCAAAAUUAUUUGAGAGAUCCAAGGCCACUCGUCAAUUUUGCCUAUUUGUUGCACGGGUCCAAGACUAUAUUUUUCAUAUAUUAUUCUAAAUGUCAGUUUUAACAUAUGUUGCUUUUGUUCGUAUUUCAAGUUAAUUAUUUACAUUUUUAUUGCAGGUGUUUAAUACAUUUAAAAUCCUAAUCGUCAUGUGCGUGUGGGUGUGGCCUGUCCUUCUCCAUUUGUUCUCUUAAUUACAUCUUUUUAUAUAGACAAUGACCGACUACAAAAAGUACUUAUUAAACAAGAAACAAGUUUCAGAUCAAAAAAAAAGAAACAAGUUUCGACCAAAAAAAAAGAAACACACAGUCAUCCUAGUCGAAUCAUUUUUUUACUUUAACAACUGGCAAUCAUUUUUUUAGGCCACUUGAUGGAACUGCAACUUAAAAUUUAUAAUGCAAGAAAUCAAUUCAAAUUUGGACAGAUUUUGUCUUGAUUGAGAAGACCGGUCAUUUCUGAAUCUUAUUUUUGGCCAACGACAAACUUGAACAGUGUGCUGCCCAAUUUGCAGCUUCCCGAGGAUUUGAAGGUGCUUAGUUAACUUAACUAAGGUUACAUUUCAGAUCUCCAUGUCAAUAUAUAUCUCCUUUUUAAUAAUUUGGAUCUUCGUUAAGAUUCUAAAUCGUUAGAUCUCUUAUACUAAAUCGCACACAUUAUUAAUAGAAUAUUAUCAACAAUUAUUUUUCAAUAUAUAAAUCAAUAACACAGCCAUUUAUGUUUUACGGAUGUUUCGAUCUAUAUACCAUUUUAUAUCUACGGUCAACUUAAUAAAAACCUAGAAACGUACCAAAAUUAAUAUGGGUAAUGCUUUUCCAGUUAAAUUUUAAACUCAAUUUCAAAUUUAAGAUAGUUCUAAAUAUAUUGACCUAAUGUUGUGGGCCGACAAACGCUAGAAAAGUCCUAAAAAAUAAUUUGGGCUUAUUAUGGAUACUUAAUUGAGAUGGCAGUCCAAAAGGUAUCCUUAUGCGACUCCUUUUGCUUUUCAUUUAAGUUUCUGGCCUGAGACCUUUGAGAAAAAUAAGUACAAUGACUCUUUGUUUUCUAAUAAGAGCCUUCAAAUCAGGUAAACUAAAAUGUAAAAGGGAAUCAUUCAUUUGAUUAUAAUCAUUACGGUUUUCAAAGCAGAGUUUAAUAAACAAAAAGCCUUAAAAAGGUACCAAGAAAUAGAAAUCGAAGCAAGGCUCGACAAACAACAUAAAUUUAAUAACAAAUGGAAUUACGUGAAAAGCAAUAUCAUCAGGUACCAUACACGGUCACAUGACUAUGUUUUCUUUAUAUAUUAUUAUUUGUGUGAGUUUUAAUCUACUUUGCCUUUGCUAAUAUUUCAAGUUAAUUUUUUUACAGUUUUAUUGAAGGUUUUUAAUAAAUUUGAAACCCUAAUAAUCACCUCGUAUUGAUUUUUGCAGCUACCCGCAUGCACUUAUCGACGAGAAUAUUAAUAUUGUGAAAAAGAUUAAAGAUGCUACUUAUCACAUGUGUAUGGGAAUUUGGCCUGUCCUUGUCCAUUUGUUCUCUUUAUUAAUUAUAUUUUGUUAUAUAGAUAAUGACAAACUAUAAAAAGUACUUAUUAAACAAGCGAUGAUCCUCGUUGAAUCAUUUUCUUACUUUAACAGCUGGUAAUCAUUCGUUUUUUUUGUUUUAUUUAGGCCACUCGAUGGAACUGUGAUUUAAAUUUAAUAACGCGAAAAAGUCAAUAAAAAUUCAUGAAUUUUGUCUUGAUUGAGAAUACCGAGAGCAGUCAUUUGUUAUUCUUAUUUUUGGCCAGCGAGUCACUUGAACAUUGUGUUGUCAAGUUUUCAGCUUCCCAAGAUUUGAUGUUGCUUUAAUUAACCUAACUCAGGUUACAUUUCGAAUCUCCAUAGUCAAUGACUAUCACCUCCUCCUUUCUAGUGAUUUGGAUCUUCGGUAAGAUUAUGAAUUGUUGAGUCACUUGUAUUGAAUCUUGGCCAUUAUCAAAUUGAACAUUAUUAACAGUUGCUAUUCAAUAUAUAAAUCAAUAAUACGACUAUUUUAUGUUUUAGAAAUGUUUCGAUCUAUAUACCAUUUUAUAUUGACUGUGUACUAAAAAGUCUAGAAACGUAUCAAAAUUACUAUUCUUUGGUCAAAUAUUAAAUUUAAUAUGAGUAGUGCUUUUCCAGUUAAAUUAUAAACUCAAUAUGAAAUUUAAGAUCAAUUCUAAAUAUAUUGACCUAACGUUGUGGGCCGUCAAACAUUUCAAGAGUCUUAAAAAAGAAGUUGGGCUUAUUAUGGACACUUAAUUGAGAUGGUGGUCCAACUUUAGUCUUAAAAUAUCCUCAUGCAACCCAUUUUGCUUUUCAUUUAGGUUUCUGACCUGCUUGGAUCUCUGAGAAAAAUAAGCGCGACAACUCUUUGCUUUUCAGUAAGAGGAGCCUUGAAAUCAGGUAAACUAAGAUGCAAAAGGGAAUCUUUCAUUCAAUUAUAAUCAUUACUGUUUUUAAAGCAGAAUUUAAUAAACAAACAGCCUUAAAAGGCACAAAGGUACAAAGAUCGAAGCAAUGCUUGACUACCAACAUAAAAUUUAAGCAAGAUUAACGACAAAUAGAAUCACGUUAAGAGCAGUAUCAUUUGAUACCACACACAUCCACAUGAGCUUUUUUAUAUAUAUUAUUUUAAAUGCUAGUUUCAAUCUAUUUUGCCAUUGCACUUACUUCAAGUUAAUUAUUCACAUUUUUAUUGAAAGUGUUUAAUAAAUUUGAAAUCUUAAUCGUCACCUUGUGUUGAUUCUCACGAGUACUCUUGCACACAUAUCGACGAAAAUAUUGAUAUUGUGAAAAAGAUUAAAGAUUCUACAUAUCACAUGCACGUGGAAGUGUGGGCAGUCCUUGUCCAUUUGUCUCUUAAAAAAUUACAGUUUGUUGUAUCGAUGAGGGCAUACUAUAAAAAGCACUUACAAACAAGCGAUAACCCCGGUCGAAUCAUUUUCCUACUUUAACAUUUGUUUAUUAUUUUUUUAAGCCACUUGAUGGAACUGCAAUGCAAAGAAAUAGAUUGAAGUUCACAAAAUUUUAUCUUGAUUGAGAAGACCGAGAGAGCAGUCAUUUUUAUAUUUAUUUUUGGCCAAUGACAAACUUGAAAAGUGUGCUACCAAAUUUUCAGCUUCCCAAAGAGUAAAUGAUGCUUAGUUAACUUAACUACAGUUACGUUAUAGAUCUCUGUAAUUGAUACUUAUCUCCCCCUUCUUUCGAGUGGUUUGAAUUUUUGUGAAGAUUAUGUAUCGUUGGAUCUCUAGUACUAAAUCUCGGCCAUCAAUAGGUAGAACAUUAUCAACAAUUGCUAUUCAAUAUACAAGUCUAUAACACAAGCCCCCACAUACAUAUAUCGAUGAAAAUAUUAAUAUAAUGAAAGGGAUUAAAGAUGCUACUUACAACAUGCAUUUGUGGGUGUGGCCUGUCCUUGUCCAUUUGCGCUUUUAAUUACAUUUUGUUAUAUAGACAAUGACAAACUAUAAAAUGUCCAUAUUAAACAAUGGAUGAUCCAAAGUCGAAUCAUUUUCUUACUUUAACAGCUAGUAGUCAAUUUUUUUAACCCACUCGAUGGAGUGGCAACUCAAUUUUUAUAGUGCGAAGAAAUCAAGCAAAGAUAUCAAUUCAAGUUCACAAUUGAUUGAGGAGGACUAAGAGCAAUUAAUUAUUUUUGGGUUAAUACCAACAAAAUCCCCAAACUUGUACAUCUGUGAAAAUUUAUCCAUAACCUAAUUCUUUUUACCAUCAAAAUCCAAAACUAGUAUAUUUAUGAUAAAUUUACUGUAAGUUAAUUUUUUGACCAUUAAAAACUCUAAACUUGUACAUUUGCCAUCUAUUAGUUUCUAUUAAAUGGCAUUAAUAUCACGAAAAGACAUAAAGUGGUAUACUUAUGACAAAUAAAUGGUAAAAUUCCCAAAUUGUAUAUUCGUCAACUGUUAUAUGUCAUUAAACUUAGUAAUGGAUAGUAAAUUUAUCACAUGCGUAUUAGUGAGAGAUUUUUGGUGAUGAAAAAAUUAAUUUGAAAUAAAUUUAUCAUAAAUGUAUUGAAUUAAGAUUUUUCAUGAUAUUGACUGUUAUUUUUUUAAUUUUAUUUUAGGCAAGUGAUGACUGGGAGCAGUGUGCUCCCAAGCUUACAGCUUCCCAAGGUUUUGACCGGUGCUAAUUAACUAAAGCGAGAAUACCGAGCUGCAUGGUCCAUGCCGAUCUUCCUUUUCUUUCUCGCGGCUUGAGUCUUUGUCGUGGUUUUGAAACCUUGAAGCUCUGGUACCGAAUCUCUGCCGUUGAUGAUCACAUGUACAAGCAAAAGGUUGCUGUGUUUCUAUCACCAAAUUGUCGACCUGUCAAAGACCAAAUUCUGUACUCCAAAAGACCAAAAUCUGACUUAAUGGAAAAAGCGAUAUUAAAUCUCAGGUCUAAAGACUCAUCACAUAUCUCUCUCUCUCUCCCGCCCUCGAUUGAAAAAAUAGCAAACAUUAUUGCAGCCCCUUCAUUUGAAUAAAUCUGGAAUGAGACCCCUUAGUUGAGGCUUGGUGUUCAGAAAACACAUCAUACCCCACCUUAACGUUCACUGCAUAGGAAGAGUGUAGAAAAAGACUUCCAAGUCACUGCUGAUAUAACUAGCGUCUGACACCAAGGGCCAAGUUCUUCUUCGUAUCAGUGAGUCCAUCGUCACUUCUAUAAAAAUAUGAUUCAACAAGAGCAGCAUUUCACUCAUAUGUAUCUAUAUGUAUCUAUAUGGAGAGAGAGCAAAGCUGUCAAUCAAAAUGAAAUCAACUUUAUAUCUUGCAAAAAAGGCAUUUCUCAAAGAAAAUCACCAUACGCAAGUUCUGAAGAAGAGGCCUCGUGUACACCAUUUGGAAUAUAAAUAAAAGUUCGUAGACUACAUUCACAUACAGCCCAUGAAUUAAAUUGAACAUGUACCAAAAGUUCAUAAAUUACAUUGAACAAUUAAAUUCACAUGGACAAUAGGGCACAUUGAGCUAAAGCUGAAAGAGCACAUUGAAUAAAUUUAAAGUUUAGAUAUCUCAUUAUAUAUUGAGCAAAUUUUAUGGACUAUUUGUGUUAUGUCAGCAGUAACUGCAAAUGAAAAUUAUAUAGAACUAGCAAGAUGUUUGUCAUUUGCCUAUAUAUAUUAUAAAAUGUGAGUUUUAAUUCUAUUUUGCCUUUCCUCAUACUUCAAGUUAAUUAUUCACAUUUUUAUUGAAGGUUUUAAUAAAAUCGAAAUCUUAAUCGUCACAUUUUAUUGAUUCCCACAAGUAUCCACAUACACAUAUUGAUGAAUAUAUUAAUAUGUUGAAAAAAAAAAAUAAAGAUGCUACUUAUCACGUGCAUGUGAGGUGAUUGGCUAGUCCUCAUCCAUUCGUUCUCUUUUACUGAUUACAUUUUGUUAUAUCUAUAACGACGGACUGUAAAAGUUACUUCCUAAAACAAGCGAUAGUUCAAAUCGUAUCAUUUUAUACUUCAAUAGCUACCAAUCAUUUGUUUUUCUUUUUUACCUUCUCGGGCCACUUGAUGGAACUCCAAUUUAAAUUAUAUAAUGCGAAUAAAUUAAUUAAAGUUCACAAUUUUUGUCUUGAUUGAGAAGUCCAAGAGCGGUUAUUUUUUCUUCUUAUUUUUGGCCAAUGACAGGCUUUUUUCUUGGUCGAAACCAAUGACAGACUCGAAUAGCGUGCUAGUGCUACCGAGUUUUCAACCUCCCUAGGAUUUGAUGGUGCUUAGUUAACUAAGCUUACAUUUUGGAUCUCCAUAGAUGAUACUAUUAGAAUAAACAAAUUUUUCAAUCACAUGAAUAUGAUAUAAAAUUAAUAAAUAUAGUGUACCCAAUCAAACGUAACCAUUAUUGAUCUAACGAGUGAGAAGAUGUAUUCUCGUGGGUAUGAAUAUUCAUCACUCUCUUCUAUAAUCGUUACGAUGGUGUGUAUCUUUCUCUCUUCAAUUUUGUCAAAAUAGCGAUAGCAUGAUAAUGGAAUACAUGCAUUCUCCACUGAAAAGAGAUCUUAUAUAGAGAGAGUGAUGGGAUUAAUUCUAAAAUGAAGGUGCAUGCCUAAUUGGAUGUCAAAAAUAUAUUGCCCAUGAUAUAUUUUACUAAAUUGGGCACAUGUCAAAUAUUAGAUAAUAGACCUAAUAAGCUAUGGGUUGGACAUUGUCAAGUCCCAAGAGAUACACAUAUCCUCCUUCCUUCUAGUGAUUUGGAUCUUUGUUAAGAUUCUAAACAUUGGAUCUCUUGUGCUAAAUCUUGGACAUCAAUAAAUAGAAUACUAUCAACAAAUGCUAUUUAACAUAAAUAUCAAUAACAAAUCCAUUUUAUGUUUAGAGAUGUUUCGAUCUAUGUACCAUUUUGAAAAUUAAACUUCAAUUUUUUCUUGUUCAAUUAGGUUAUUUAUGAUGUUACUUCUACAUUUUUAAUAUGGCUUCAAUGUCCCCGCACAAGGAGGGGGUUUAGGACUACUACCUAAUCAACUUUUGCCCAUUAGAAGAUCUCCUCAUGAUAAUAGUAACAGAUUAUUUGCUCAUUUUACUGUGCUCAUAAUCUGGUUGAAUAUGAGUCUAGUGCAACCCACAAACCUACAUAAAAUUGGCUUUGAUUUUUUGAUCUCUUUUUGAUCGGUUGUUAAAAAAUUUAGUGUCAUAUAACAACUUGUUACACUAAAAUUGAGUUUUUAAAUAGAUUUUUAACACAUAUCGCCACCUUUAAAUAGAACUCUGUGUCACUUGGUCCGAACUAUCCUUGUCCAUUUGUUUUCUUUGUUAAUUACAUUCGUUAUAUCAAUGAUGAUAUCGGAUAAAGUGUACUUAGUACACCAGGGAUGAAUUAAAAUCGAAAUCAUUUUAUUCAUUCGAUCUUGAUUCACACAAGCCCCCACAAUAAAUAUCAAUGAAAAUAUUGAUAUAAUAAAAAAGAUAAAACAAAAAAAAUGCCACUUACAAUGUGCUUGUGUCAGUGUGUGGGGUGUGGCCUGUCCUUGUCCAUUUGUUUAUUUAAUUACAUUUUGUUAUUAGACAAUGACAGACUAUAAAAGGUCCUUAUGAAACAAGCGAUAAACCAAUUUUGUCAUUUUCUCACCACAACAGCUGGUAAUCAUUUGUUUUUGUUUUUUUUUUUUUUAAACCACUUGAUGGAGCUGCAACUUAAUUUUUAUAGUGCAAAGAAAUCAAUUUAAGUCGACAAUUGAUUCAGAAGACCGAGAGCAAUCAUUUUUUAUUUCUUUUUUAGGUUAGCGAGGACUGAGCAGUGUGCUGUCAAGUUUUCAUCAUCCCAAGGAUUUGACUAAUGCUUUAUUGAAGCCCUAACGAAGGGGGAGGCUACCGAUGGGCACAGUCCAUCCCUUAUCCUCUUUCUCUCUCGUGACGAGGGUCUUUUUGGAGGCUCUAAUCUCUGAAUCUUCUGUGCUGAAUCUCGGCCAUCGAUAAUCGCAUGUAUCAGCAAAAAGUUCCCGUGUUCCCAUCACGAGAAUCUGAAAAUUAUCGGCCUGUCAAGGACCAAAAUCCGACUCACUGGAACCCGCCCAUAGGCAGCGCAAAUGGCAUAAGUGCACUCUCUUAUCGUUGAGAUUAAGAGUUCGAACUCUCUCGUUUGCAUUUUCAUGACUUAAAUGAGGGUUUCAGGAGUGAAUUACUAGGCUAGCCCUGGAAUUUUACGUCUAAAUAGCAAUUUGCGAUGAGGCCUGACGGUAGUACCGAGCAUCGAAGGGUUGUAUGAUCCUCGAUGGGUGAUCUCUGACAAUUCCUCGAUUAUCAAAAAAAAAAAAAAUCCUAUUCAAUGGAAGAAGAAACAGUAAUGCCUAGGUAUAAAGACUAGUCACAUAUAUCUCUGUAGCGCCUCUACUCUAAUAAAAUCUCGAGUUAGACCCCUUGGUAGAGGCUUGGUGCUCAAAAAAAAAAAAGUCAUAAUACUAUUUCACCAUUAAUAUUCACUGCAGAGGAAGAGCGUAAAGGAGACUUCAAGUCACCUCUAAUGCAACCGGCAUCUCACAUCAAAAGCAAAGUUACACUUUGUGUCGGUGUGUCCAUCUUCACUUACCCCUACCAGACUCUGACUCUGUAAAAAUAUGAUUCAAGCUAUACCCAGCAAUGGUGACAGAUCACAGAAUCUUGCAAAAAAAUGAACAGUACAUAUUAGUUUUAACAUUUUUCAAUACUAAGAAAUCUUACGUUAUUGUUAAGUCACUUGAGGAUAGAAGCCCUUUUUGAAAUAUAAAAAAAGAAUUCUUGAGGAGGUAGUGACCAAUUAUAAAGGAGGCCUUGCUUUUUAUACGGGAUACUUUGUUGGGGUUGUUCCAAAUCUAUCCCUAGAAAAUUGAAUUUUGUAAGUGAAUAAAAAGCACAAAAUGCUAAAAUACCCAUUCUGUUGUAGUUGCCUUCCUACAUUCCAUAUUUUUAGAUUGUCGUUACAUUUCUUGUCUUCUUUAUUUUUCUAUUAAUACCUACAUAAUCUCUUUGUUUGGAAUGAGCUCUGAAUUUAACCAUGCUUAUGAAUCUGUUUGUUGGGUGUACAUUUUCUUUUUGACAAGUUAUACUUGUUGAAACAAAAUUAUAGACUCACUUCACCCACGCAAUUAAUGUGAGGAUCUAUAUCUGUAGAAUGACAUGAGAACAGUCUUUCACUUAAGAGCUGCCUUUAAGGUUAAUACAUAGCACUCUAGAUAACUAGAAAGGAUUUUUCCUUCUUCCAAGAAUUGGAUUUGCUACAUUCUCCAUUAAAAAAAAUGUAGCCACCUGGUCUCCACCUAAGCUAAUCUUAUGCAAAACCGACUAGAAAAAGUCCACUAUCUAAACCACAAAUUGUCCGCAAUGUGAGAGUCCAAUGCCACUCACUACUCUUGAAAGUGCUGGCAAACUUGUAUAUCGGUCAUGUGGCCAUCAUAUUUCUCUUUGUAUAUUAAACAAAAUAGUUGGCUGUAAUUGUAGAUGAAUUUCUAUAAAACUAGCAAGAUUCGCACAGGGCUAAGGUAAUUUUUUAUAUUAUUUUAAAUGUUAUUUUUAAUCUAUUUGGCUUUUGUUCCCACUUCAAGUUAGUUAUUUUUCAUGACUUUUUAAAUUUUAAGUUUGUUGUAUCGUGAUUAUUAUUUGUCAAUAUAUUUAACUUAUGUUAAUAUUUUUAACAAACUACGUAGACAUUCAUGUCAAAAUAGAUAAAUAUUUGACGGCCAAUACUUUAACAUCCCUACGAGGGAAAUUGGUAUAAAAUUAGAAAGAAUAUGAGAUAUUGUUUAGAAGUUAAAAAAAAAAGUUUGGAUAAAAUAUAAUGCAGAUAACACUUUAAACUUGAUGUUGCCAUAAAAAUAUGCUUUCGAAUAUUAUUCUACACUAUAAAUUAAAUGAACGACCACUCCAACAUCACAGUUUUACAAAUAAAAUUCCAUGAAAACAUCCAUGCAUAUACUCAAAAAAAGAAAUUCUGAAGUAUCUAGUGAAUCUCCUACGUUUUAAAUUAUGAUGAUAUUGAUAUGCAUCUCCUAUCUUCCGCUGACGAUUGCUUCCUUGCACCGAAAGGUGAAAUUGUCAAGACUAAAACAGCAAGAUUCCUCUGGUUGACAAAUAGCUGUUGGGAUGAUUGGUGUGCACACACAUUUGGUGGAGCUAAUUAUGCACCCAUUUUACACGUGAUACUUUGUUAGGGUCAUUCCAAAUUUGUCUCUACGCAAUAUUUCCUUAAGAGAACCCAAGGACAAAAUGCUAGAAUAGCCAACCUCUUAUAUUUCCCCUUAUUUCACAUUUCACAUUUGUCUCCAUAAUUUUUCCGUUUUCACAUGUAGUAUCUCUCUGUUGGAAAGGACUUUGAAUUUGAUUAUGCUCGUCAUUGUGUAUGUUCGGUGUAAAUUUUCUUUUUUGAGAAAUUAUACUUUUGAUACAAAAUUAUUCACUAAUUCACGUCCAAAAUCAACAUGAGAGUCAAUAUCUAUAUAAUUAUGCAAUAACAGUCUCUUCUCUAUGCCCUACCUCUAAGGUUGAUACAUAGCAUUCUAAAUAGCUAGAAAAGACUUCUCCUUAUUUUAAGAACUGGAUUUGCAACAUUCUCCAUUAAAAAAAUGUUCCCACUUAGACUCCACCUAGGCUAAUAUUUUGCACUACUAACUAGAUAGAUUAUUCAUAUAUCACGAUGUACUUAUAGGCACUGAUUCCUUAUUAGCUACGUGAGUUCUACUCAAUCUAAUUACAAGGAGAAUGUCUCUCAUGACUUUAAAUUGUUUCUAUUUAGUCAAAAUGUUUUCAAACGGUCCAUAAGAUGCAAUAAUUUGACUAGACAUUAGAUAUAUGGGGUGUCCCUACUCCCUCUCGAGUCCACAUUCAUAUAGUUAAGGCUAUGAAUGUACAUAUUAUUGUGUUCUCUCAUUCUAUGUGCUUAUAUUAUGGUCUUUCAUACUCAUAUAUUACUUGUUUAAAUAUGCAUGUGGAUAGACAAUUCUCUUUGUAUUCUUCAAGGGAUAUAUUGAGGGAAAUAAUUGAAUCACAACUUUGAGUCAUUUAGACAUCAUGCACGAUGAAAUUGAGGAUCCAUCCCAUCUUAUCAAAACGAUGAGGACUAAAUUACAUUUUCAUUUUUCUUUGUCAUCUUCAACUGCAAUCACAAGAGUUUGGUAACGUUGCUUGUAGUUUUACAUGUCCUUUUUUUUCCUUCAUAUUGCCAUCUUUUAAUUGUUGUUUAAUUAAAUCACAUCUUUUAUAAAUGGCAAGUACUUGAAAAUAUGAAUUCCUAUCAACAAUAAGCAUUGGAUGGUGAACGAUUUGAUUAUUAAAGUUAUUGUUUUCAAGAAGGCAGCGAUGCAUUAUUAUUUAUUACCAACCGUCCCAUGACUGUACCAUGCUUGCAAAAGUGAGGUCCAUACGUACUCUUUUGUCUAAUAGAGCUUUGUGGUUGGAAAAUAGCUUUGCUCGUUCCUCAAACCCCUCAUCACUCCUUUUGUCACUUCACUUUAGCAAUGCACGGUCAAGCAUCUUUGCCUCGGUCAUCGAGCAAUCUAUUUGUCCUUUCUUGGACUUUAAUGACAUGAAUAUCUCCAAAGGAUUCGCAAUUGCUUGUCCUGAACUAAUCGUAAUGAAGUGUACUAUACAUGAUUCAAGUUUCCACAACAUCCUUUCAACCAUUAUCCACUAUUCUUGAAAAGGAGAGUAGUCACACGGAUACAAAGAUUUAAACCACAAAAAUUAAUGCAACAAAGUAAUGGGCUCAAAUUACUUGUAUGAUCUCAGCCAUUGAAUGAAAGAAAAUUGACGUUGAUUGUUGGAUUUGGCAUGACCAUUUUGUCCUACCAAACCCCCGUGCGUAUCCAACGCCAAAAGUAGCAAGCUACGUUAUAUCACCAUUGCGCUAAUUCAAUUCGUGAACCAUAGUUUGGGUUCUCUAGCUUUAACCUUCUGAAAUGAGGCAACUACAACUAAAAUUCAAUGCGUAGCACACUGCUUAUGGAAACUGAUAUUAUCAAGUUGCAGAAUUUAAAAUACCGUAGUUUUCUUCCUCUUUUUUUUUUCUGCACUUCAGUUUGACUAUGAGUUAUUGUAAAAUAAAGAAUUAAUUGCAAAAAUUUUCUUGAGAAAAUGUGGAAAUGAUCUCUCCAACUCGAUACUUCUCAAGGCUCCGGUCAGUUCAACCGGGACUGUAAAACUAGAAAAGCGAAACACUAACAUCUUAUUGUGGAAAUGGUGUCCGGGAUUUACGUAGCAUUACUCCAUUGGUCAUGUCCAUCUCAUAGUUUUCAAAUAUAAAGGGAACCCUUUUUUUCACCUAAUAUUAUUCAACGAGAGUGUGUACAGAUAUUAUGAUGAUAUACAGCUGCACAAAAAUGCAACUAAUUUAAACUAAAUGUGCAAUUUGGUGAAAUUGUGAACAUCCCCACGGCUACUUAAUACGUGCAUGAGUUCAAUCAAACAUCGGCAUGGCUUUGGCGAUUUAUUAAAUGAGAUUAGCAUAGAUUGACAUGUAGCUCCAAAAUUAUGGCACCCCAUCAUUCAAUUUCACUUUCUACAAUGUCAUAUUAGUAUAUAAAAAAAUAGCAAUAUAGACUAGUCACAUAAUGAUAUGAAAAAAAAUUAAUUGAAAUAUGAAGAACAAAAAAGUAUCAUAACAAUAAGCCGGUUCCUCCAACACCAAAAAUAAAAAGAAAGUAUCGUAACAAUUAGCCUUGUCUUGGUCACGGAUCAGGCUCUGUCCAGGGACUCAUCUAGUCUAGUGAUGUCCAUGAUACGAACAAAAUUCUUAAUCUCUACGCGCAAAAACUAAUCGAUAAAAGAUAAGUCUUCGAUCUCCAAAGGAUGCGAAAACAUGAGUUAGAAUUUAAAUUUUAUUUUUGGUCGAAAGUUAGACUUUAAGGGUGCGUUUGGCUGCACCCUAUUUCUGUUCCCAGGAACAGAAAUUUCUGUUUUUUUGUUCCUCGGAACAAAAAAGGAACAGAAACGCGUUUGGGUGCGUUUCUGUUCCUUUUUUGUUCUUUUGUUCCCAGGAACAAAAAAAAAACAGAAACAAAACUUAGAAACACUUUUUUAUUUUAUUUUUCUUUUUCUUUCUUUUUUCUUUCGCCGGUCGCCGGCCUCGGCCAUGGCCGGCGACCGGCCAAAAGAAAAAAAAAAAGAAAAAAGGAAAAAGAAAAAAGAAAAAAAGGAAAAAAAAAAGAAAAAAAAGGAAAAAAAUAGAAAAAAUAAAAGAAAUAAAAAAUUAUACAAAUUUACUAAACGUGUUUCUAUUUAUUUUUUGUUCCCGGAACAAGUUUACCAAACGCGUUGUUUUGUUCAGAAAUUGUUCCCAGGAACAGAAACACUUUUUUUUUAUUUAUGUUCCCUGGAACAAUUUUUAAACAGAAACGCAAACAAACACACCCUUAGUUAAUGAUGAUUUGAAAGAUUUAAACAAUAAUUUAUCUAGAACGAGCGACUGAUAUGAAGAUAUCAUCUAGAAUAAGACGCGAAAAGGCUCCAAAUCCUCCUAGAUCGAUUGCGCGGGUCCCUUUUUCCUCUCGAUGUGUCUUUUCCCCCUUGGCUUUUCUCGGAUUCCCUUUCUAUUUCGGUGUCUGCAUAAGGCCGGUCGCGUCUCCCUGAGUGAAGAGGCUAUUCAUGCCAGGAUCUCUGCCUUCAUUUCCUCGAAAUGGACGAGAGAUCUUUUGUAUCCCUUGCACGCGAAGCUGAAUGGUGCUUCUUACAAUUGCCAAAAAGUACGUCCCGCGUAUCGUAAAUAAUUAAUGGAAAAUCAGGCUUGUCCGCUAAACACAGUUUGUUUUUUGCUUCGAGAAAACAUGAAGGCCUCAUCCCUUUUUCUCUUUUUGCCAGAGAUCCCUGGCUCUCCCUUCAAUUUCAGUCAAACCUCUUACUCAUUCUUCCCCUUUGUCAAUUGCAUGAAACUUACCCCUUUCCUUUAUCAAUUUCAGCAUCCCCACGUUCCACAAAUGCCAUGAUUCGGACUCUCCUUAAGCAAGGAAUCAUGCCCAAGCAUGGUAUGAUUCCAUGCCGUUGUGAUUCCACAUUAAUCCGUACCAUGAUGACUUAACAUUCUUGCUUGAAAUUCUGAGUUUAUUCUUACAACUAUUGUUGGCAAAAAAAAAAAAAAAAUGAAACAACUUCAAAUUUUCCUUACAAACCAAGUUUUCCUUCUAUUUAAAAGCGUGAUUUGAGGGGACCUUCGUCAAAUAUGUGAAAAUUGGAGAGACAAUACAUGAAAAGUCAAGAAAGGGUUUAAUUAGUCCAAGUCUAAUAUGUCAAUAGGUAGAAAACUAUCAAAAUUCAAUAAAUAUAAAAUAUAUAUGCAUUUAACAUGGCCAUUUUAUGUUUUAUUAAGUGUUUUCUUUAUUUUUGAUGUAGAAUUUUAUGUUCUUUUGAAAUAAAAAAAGUCUAACAACAGAAGUUUCCAAUUGAUUAUAGCAUUAGGAAAAGAAUAUCAAGUAAUGUCUAAUUUAUGACAUGAAGGAACUCUCUAUAUGGUGGUGGGAUAAUUACCAAAAUAGUAUGGAACCUAUUGCAAUUAUCUCAAUCAGUUUUAAACUUUUUUUUUUUAAAAUUCAAUCCCAAAAUUUUUGAAUUUGUGCCAAUUCAAUAUAUCCGAGCAAUUUUAGCCAAUCGACGCCGACAUGAACUUUCUUAAAUAAUAAUUUAAUAAUUUUUUUUUAUAUUUUUAUAUUUUCUUUUCUUAAAUUUUCCCCCCUUUCCCCUAAGGCCACGAUAGCCUCACUCACCCAGACUGUGUGAGGGUUGGUACGCCCUCGUCCAAUGCUAGUGAGGGCAUCUUGGCCAUCACCUAUUGACCCUUGCCAUCCCCUAAGCGAAAGGGGAAAAAAUUAAAGAAAAGACAAAAUUAUAAAAAAAUUCAAAAUUUGUUAAAGUAUUAUUUAAAGAAGUGUACGUCAGCGCCGUCAAUGCCAUGUUAGCACCAGUGACCAAAAUUGGCUGGAUGGACUAAACUGGCACAAAUGCAAAAAACUUUAGGGCUAAAUUGAUUUUUAAAAAAAUUACGAUUGAAUUAGCAUAAUUGCAAAAGGUUUAUAACUUUUUUGAUAUUUUUCCCCUAUAUAAUAUAUAGAAGAAACUAAGGGCAUGUAUAACAAAAUUUUUAGAACGAAAAUCAAUUUUUUACUAGAAAUUGAUUUCUCAAUUUAUAUUCCUUGGACGAGUUUCUAAGAAGAGAAAUACGUUUGAUAACGAUUCAAAAUUUAUGUUUCUAGAACAUAAAUUCAUUCGAUGACAUAAUAAAAUUUAUAUUUCUAAAGGGCGGUGACUGGCGGCCAGCGUCUGGCCCGGCGACUGGGGAUGGGCGUCCAAUGAUCAACGUCUGGCGUCAAGCAAUCUGGAGUCAAGCAGUCCAACAUUUUGCGACGGCGAUGAGCUUCCUGCGCUCCAUGGGUGGCGGGUGAACGGCAGGUAGUAACGAGAGUAAAUGAUAAAAAGAGUUAUCGUUUCUCAUUUUUGUUCUAGAAAUAGAAAAGUUCAAAAAAUUUAGCUUUUGAUUUAUGCUCCAAAUCUAUUUAUGAAAUAAAAAUCCGUUCCAAAAAUAGAAAAAUGAAAUUACAUUAACAAACGAAUUUCUAUUCCAAACCUGUUCCGAGGAACAGAAAAAAAAGAAAAAGAAAUAGAGAAAUAGAAAUUUUGUUAUGCCUAACCGGCUAAGCAGCGAAUCAAAAGCCAAGGCUUAAAAAAAGUCAUACAAGUAAAAACUAAGAUAGGUAUUUGAUUAAGCUUGUUCCUUACGUAGGGAAUGAUAUGAUGAUAGCAUUAGAAACUCUUACUCUAUACUUCCGUUUCCUAUGAUAUUCUUUUCUAAAUUAUUAUUUCCAAGAAACUAGCCAUGCAUUAUUAACCCAAUCCCAUGAUUAAACCAUUCAUGCAAAACUGGAGUCCACAUGUAUUCUAUUGUCAGAUGGACUUUGUCAUUGGAAAAAUGCUAUACGUGUUCCUCAAGUCCAAGAGAUGCAAUAAUUUGCCUAGAUGUUAAGUAAAUGGGGGUGUCCCCAUUCCCUCUCAUGUCCCCAUUUAAUGAAGAUGUUGCUGGAUCUAUUACUACCUCAUUCAUUAGUAAUUUGACUUGAGAUUAUAUUAUGUGCCAAAUGUAUAGCCUAAGAGCACAAAUUUUGACAGGCUAAGAUAGAUGACUUUCAGAUUAUGCACCCUAUCAUAUAGUUAAGGCUGUGAAUUAUAACUCUUGAAACUAGCAAAUAUUGUUAAGUGUCAUGAAUAUAUGUAUGUAUGUAUGUAUGUAUGUAUGUAUUGUUGUGAUCUCUCAUUCAAUGUGCUUAUAUUAUGGGCUUUUGUAUUCAUACAUUGCUUGUUCAAAUAUGCAUGCAUACAAUUCUCUUCGCAUUUUUCAAGGGAUAUAUUGAGAAAUAAUCGAAUUGCAAUUCUUAGGCAUUUAGAUAGAUUGUGCAAGGUGAAGCCGUAGAUAUAGUACAUCUUGUAAAAAAAAUGAAAGAGGACUAAAUUGCAUUUACAUCAUUCUCUACUAAGUCCGAACUACAAUCACAAAAGUUUAGUAGUGUUGCCUAUAGUUUUAUAAGCCAUACAUUUUCUCACAUCGCGAUCUUUUAAUUGGUAUUUCAUUAAAUCACAUCUUUUACAAAUGGUAAAAGAUGGUAGCAUUCAGUAUUCUUAGUCUAUACUUUUGUUUUCUAUGACGUCAUUAUUAAAGUUAUUAUUUCCCACAAGGCAGCCAUUCAUUUGUUACCACAAUCCCAUGAUUGAACCAUGCACGCAAAAGUGGGGUCCAUAAGUAUUCUUUUGUCUGAUAGAGCUCUCUUGUUGGAAAAUAGCUAGGUGAGUUGCUUAGGCCCAGCUGAAGUAAUAAUGUAACUAGACAUUAAGGGCGCCAAUAGUAAUCAUUAUAUUUCAGAAAUCAAUUUUUAUUCCAAAAAUAGGAUCGAAUACAAAAAAAUUUCCUCUCAAUUGGCAGCAAUGAAUGGCGAACGUCAAAUGGCGGAUGGUAGCGGCGUCCAGUAGAUGUCGAACAGUGGACAAUCAUCAACACACAUAGACCAACGACUUGCAGACGGCAGCUGUGCGGCCAACGAUUGGCGGCGGCAGAUGAUGAUUGGUGGUGGUGGACAACAAGUGGUGAUAGGCAAGCCACUAGCUAGUAGCAAUGAGGAGCAAUGAGAAGAGUUUUUAUUUUUCAUUUCAAUUAUAAAAUUAGAAAAGUAGAAAAUUUUUAUUUUUCAUUUCUAUUCCAAACUUAUUUUUAGGCUAAAAAUUUAUUUCAAAAAUAGAAAAAAGAGGAAAUUACGUUACCAAACGGAUGAUUAUUAUACCCGUCCUAAAUCAUGGUAUGUCCCAUCUCGAGCCCAAGGUGCUUUUUGAAAAUGCUAAAUAGACGAAAGUGGAGCAUCAAACACAAGAUUUUGGCUACAAUGUGGAAAUAAAUUAAUAAAUUAAUGAUAAGCCAAGAUGGUUAUAACGAGAUCUUUGGCGGCAAAAUAUGCAGAGAAAUCAUGAAAGUUUGAUUGUUAGGUCCAAGCACGCCUCAUGCAGCAAGCAACCACUCAGACCCUAUCAACUUUUUCCAGUAAAAAGUAGCUAUGCUUUGACGCCGCCCUUCCUUCUUCAUCUCUCUUCGUCCUUGCUCUAUUUCGCUCUUUCUUCUUCUUGGCACAACUAUUCUUCCUCCUCCUUCUUUCUCUUCUGCAUCUGCUCCUCCUCCCUCCUAUUGUCCGAAUGGCACGAUAGACAUAUGACGCGGGCACAUUUUGCACUAAACAAUCUACAGUCCCAUGUAUAUGGUUCACAUCAUCAUCAACUCCAUUUGCAUGUUUGACAAAAAGGAUUUGAAAGAAUUAAGUAAAUAUAUAUAAUAUAUGUAUGCAAUUGGAAGAAAAAAAAAGUUCAAAGACCUACUGAUAAUUUUGGCAAAAAGUUCAAUUACUACGAUGCCUAAGUCCCUUAUUAAGUAUCAACUACCGCUUCAAAAUUAGUUCGAGCCAUCAUCUAUUUUUUUGAAAAAUGCAAUGAAGACAACUAUUUCUUUUACCAGUAUUUGCUAAAAUAUGCAUUGUAGCUCACAAGAUAUUACCAUCAUUUGAGGUACACUCGUUUUGGUGAUGAAGUGUCCAGAAUAGCUUUAUUUAACAUGUUGCCCUAUUGAUUCAUGCACGAUGCGCAGAGUCUGCAAAGUACUACUUUGUGGGCCAAUGCCAACACAUGUCCCUCUAACCUCCGUUGAUGUACCAUCAAGUUCCUAUCAAUCUUCACCGAAGAAGAUGAGUUUGUCCGAAAAUCCUCAAAAGGUGCGCCCAUGAGAGUGCAUUGAGUAUAUUCAACGGAUCAAUAAUAUGAUUCUAGCGGACCAUCGGCAAAUACUUUUGAAGAGUGGGAAAUGGAAUAGCUCGUCAAGAAAUUUGAAAGAGAAAAGGACAAAAGUUUUGACAGCUCAACGGGUAUUUGGAGUGAACACCAGCACCGCAUUUUGUGUACCGUGUAAGGCUUCUUGCACGGUGCCUUAGAAGCCUAUAUUAUUGAGUCCACUGUGCACUAUUGGUGUGAGAGUUGCUCUCUCUCUCUCUGAAAAAAAAUCAAAGAAAAUUGUCCAUCGAUGUUGCUGUUCCAGAAUAAUAGGAAAAAUUACAUUAAACUCAUAUCAAUGACUAAUUUUUGAAAGAGCAAUAACAAAGAGACAUUAACAAAGUUCCAACCAUAUCAUCGUAUGGCAAUUUUAUGAUAUUUAUUUCACAUUCUAAUAUGAUGAUUAUGGUUCUCUUAAAAAUUAAUAACUUCAAUUUGAUUUUGUCAAUUGAGUUUUUUAUUUUUAUUUUUCAAGUAAAGAGAAGCCUAGAGGGCCUUUCUAUCAACAAAUCUGCGAAAGAUAAUACAUGAAAAGCCAAGACUUAUUUCCAACUAACGAUUAAUAUUAGGGAUAAUACCUUAAAAAACCCCAAACUUAUACAUUUGUGACAAUUUUACCCAAAACUAUUUUUUUGACCAUGAAAAACCCCAAACUGGUAAACUUGUGACAAAUUUACCCCAACUGAUUAUAAAAAACCAUAAAAUGGUACAUUUAUGACAAAUUUACCCCAAACUAAUUUAUUCGACUGCAAAAAACCCUAAAAUGGUAAAUUUGUGACAAAUAUAUCCUAUGCUAAAUUGGAUUAAUACCACAAAAAAGUCAUAAAAAUUGUAAAUUGUGACAAACAGAACGUAAAAUCCUAAAUAGAUAUGCUGGUUAACUGUCACGUAUCAUUUAACUUAAUAAUUUGAGAAUAAAAUUUAACGAAAACUAACAUAGGGUAAAUUUGUCACAAGUGUACCAGUUUGGGAUAAAUUUGUCAAAAAUAUACAAGUUUAGGGUUUUUGGUGGUCAAAAAAAUAGUUUGGGGUAAAUUUGUCACAAGUAUACCAGUUUGGGGUUUUUUAGGGUAUUAUCCCUUAAUAUUAUUAGACAUAAGGAUCUAAGUUAGCCCAAGUCUAAUGUGUCAAUCACAAGAACAUUAUCAAAACCUGCUAUUCAAUGUAUAAUCUCUAAAAUGGCAAAUCAUCGAGAGCACUCAUCUAUUAAACUCUUAAGGGGACAUCACAUAUCCUCACACAGCAAGGGUUAAUUAAAGUAAAGGGAAAGCUUGUUCAUUUGGGCCUCAUCAAGAGAGUUGUAAGUUUUAGCUUGAUAAUUGGUGACUCUUUCGCUUAAUGGAUCAUUGAUUCAUUGCCCAUGGAGGAGAGAAGUGGGAAAACAAUAUUUAUUGACAAUAAAAGGAAAGAGGCCAGACAAGUGAAGGCACCCAAUCAGUUCAUGCAUUUACAAAUACUUAGAUGUUUUUUUUUUUUUUUUGGUAACCUAGGGAACCUCCGCUUGCCGCUUCGCGGCGGAGAGUAAACCCUGGGGAGACACGUGGGAAACCACCACCCACGUGUCCCGGGUAAGGCGUGGCUAGCACUGAAGCAACGACGACACCGUGGAUCGAACUCGGGAUCUCUCGUAAAAAGUUUCCUUGCUCAACCACCUACGCCACCACCACGGGUGAUUACAAAUACUUAGAUGUUUGUCUGGUAGUUGUGGACGAAAGGACAUGAAGGUAGACAUUGGUGAUGGUGACUGGUCGAGUAAAGGAACAAUAAAAUGCAAAAAUCCAUCUCAGCCUCUGCAACUACUCUCUCUAUCUACCUCUCCCACCACUAACCCUAAUUAAACCAAUCUUUCGUAUAUUUAGAUAGUUGUCCAUGAGCAGUGGAAGAAAGGACAGGUAGACUUGGACAUUAGUGAUGGUGACUAAUCAGGAAACAGUAAAAUGCAAAAAAACAAAAAAAAUCAUCCAUUUCCAUAUAUAUACUUUUUAUGAGUCAUCUAUUUCUAUCACUGAAUCUUUUAUCGGUCUAUUAUCUUUCUUGUCUCGAUGAUGUGACCGACAUAUGGCGGCCUUUUUGUUUUUUUAUUUUUUGGCCAGUGACGACGUGGGGGUAGUCUGCUCAUCACUCUACUUCCCAAGUGGAGCUCUAUCCAUACCCUAUCUCCUCUUUCCUCCUUUGGUUUUUGAGUCAUUCUCAUAUUUUCAACUAGCUGGAUAGCUAGUAUUGAAACUCAGCCGUUUAUUAUAAACUGUCCCAGCAAAAUGUUGCUGUUUUUCGACGCUACCCAUCCUUCGAAAAAAUUAAAAGUGAAAUAAAAAUUAGGUUUAUAAAUUAUGAAAACCCACAUAACUUUACUUGGCAAUAAUUGUAUGCUUUUGAAAGUUUUUAAAACCAAUUUGUGAUUACUGCAAUAUUUGAAAAAUACAUGUUAAAAGUGUUAAGACUCACCACACAUCCCAAGCAUUUAAGAGAAAAGAGAAAAGAGGGAAACUCCAAUUGGAACGAGAGACCACAAAACAAUGUUAGUGGUUACUCGAAUUGUUUCCUAUAUUAAUUGUGUGUUGUAAAGAGUAGCAUUAUUUAAAAAAAAAAAAGUAAACUGAUUUAAAUUGUUUAAUCUACUUAUAAGUUUUGAUCUAACAAUUCUAUAUGAAGAUGCAAUAAUUUAACUAGACAUACGAUAAGGGGGUGCCUCCACUCCAUCUCAAGUCCACUUUUACCAAAGAUGUUCUAAAAGAAAAGCCAAAAAGACGAAAGCAUUGAUUUUUCAAGAAUGACUUCGCAUGAGGAGCAUCACACAUGAGAGACUUUGGCUACAAUGUGGAUUUGAUAGUUAUGCUUGUUUUUUUUUCUAGUUUUGCUAUUAAACCUUUUCAUAAAAAAUGAUUCGGCAUCCAUCUGUUGAUUAGCGACUAUUCCUGCAAAAAAAGUUGCUAUGCGAUUAUUUUUCGACAUUAGCUUUCCUUCAUCCACUUCUCUAUUGGCUCCAUGAAUUUGUCUUGGAUGCUUCACUGAGAAUUGCUUCAUUAAACUGAAAGCAAAAAUUCACAAGGCUAUAAGAGAUAUUUUCCGCUAGUGAGCCUUCCUUCCCACCAGAACCUUUGAAAAAUAGUUAGGAAAAUCUUCUAAAGUCAACUAUAUAUAUAUAUAUAUAUAUAUAUAUAUAUAUGUGUGUGUGUGUGUGUGUGUGUAUGUAUGUAUGUAUGGACACACAUUUCUCACCCCAAUUUAGUUUAAAUCACAUCCCUUUACGUAAGCUGGCCAAAAUAUCCUCCACACGCAUGUGUAUCCUCAAGCAUUAACACAUCCGCCUUUUUUUUUUCAAAAAAUAAAUUUGCCAUUUUCAUUUUCUCUCAAAUAUAUUGUCUUGUAUCUUUUCUUAUUUACUGUAGACCUUUGAUAAGAGAUUCUGAUUUAAAUCUUCUCACUUACUCUUCUGAUUUAAAAUUUUUUUUAUAUAAUAAUUUAUCUAAAAAACAUCUUCAGCCUAUUAAUCACAAAAAAUGGCUGAUUUAUUUCAAAGAUUGGAGCAUAAGCAUGUUCCGGAUUAUCAAACUGCAUUUACGCUUUUGUUGAACUUUUGCUAUAAUUUUUCAUAAACAUCACGACCAAAUCUUCGGUUCUUAGAUUCUUCCAAUUUGAAGUUUCAUCAUUUUGUAGAAGAGGUCGCCUCAACUAGUUAACUUUGUGGGAGAUUUGCUUUAUAUGAACUUAUAGGUUGGUGAAUUUACAGAUAAUUCUCUUCAUUCAAAUGGUUAUGGCCAGUGGUUUUGAGACAUUUGAAAUUUACUUAAUUUUUAUAGCUAAUUGAUUAUUUUACGUUUUAAUGCUAGAAAAUUUGGGAGAUCAUUGGGUGAGUGUUUCAUUUUGAGCAUUUUUUAUUUUAAGUUUGGUUUCUCUGCAUCUCUACAGUUAUUUUAAGAAGGAUAGUUGUUGCUAAACAUAAGAAAGACGGAAGCUCAUUGUUUCAUUGAACUUGUUGACUAUCUAAAAUACAAUUUCAUGUUGAGUAAAAGAAAUCAACAUUUUAUAAAAUAUGGAUUUUAUAUUGAAAAACUAAUGGCUACCUAGGCUCCACCUAAACUAAUAUUGUACACUCCUGAUCAGGUAGAUUACUUAUAUAACAUAAUAUUCUAUUUACUCCAUAUUACUUUCUUUAAUGACGGGUAUCAAUGCAUUGGGGAUAAAGUGACUAUGGGAAUCAAAUUGCUUUUAGAUUGCGUUUACUUUUAGAUAAAACAUAUAAAAGGAUCAAAGAUAAAAAGAAAAGGAUUAAAAAAUCUCAUUUGUGUCUAUAUUAGGAUUACUUUUAGGGAUUAUUUUGAUGGAUGUUUUCGUCUUUAAUAUGUUAGAGAAUUUUUUAGUAGAUAAUUUUCUUUAGCCGAAAGUAGAUUUUGGCUUUGAUUUUUAGCUCACAAGAUAUUCAUGUCUCGCGGUUUAAUGUCGAUGAAAAUGUUAAUAUUAUAAGAAAGAAUAGAGAUGCCUUCUCAUGUAUUUUCCAAGGUGCCACUUGUGCUUUUCUGCCGUCGUAUGUGGGGCACAUUAAAAAUGAGUUAAUGGCAGACCGGGUAGUUACAUGUCACGUGUUCAAUUUGUCAAAAGGUCAAAUGUGGUAAAAGUUAGAACUCCGUGUCACGUGGGUAUGGCCAGUCCUCGUCCAUUCAUUUUAUUUAUUCCGAGGGCGAUGGUUUGAGUGGAAUCAUUUGUUUGCUACUUCAACAGCUGAUAAUCAUCUCUUUCUUUCUCCAUUCGUUGCUAUUCGACGCUUUCCUUCCUUCAACCUGUUUUCGCGCUCAAUCUCUUCGCCUUGUUUGUCCCUUGCUCUGUUUCGAUCUUUCUUCACCUCGGCUCAACCAUUCCUCCUUCUGCUCCUCCUCUUCUUCUUCAGUGUCUGUUGCUCUUUUUCAUCAUUCUCUCUCUGGCUCUCUAUUUUCUCGCUCUUUCUUUCUCAGAAAAAGAAAAAAUCAAAGAAAAAUGUCGGCCGAUUCUGUCGUUUCUAUUGCAUGGGAUGCCUUGAAGAGCUAUGUAUUUGUUCCCAUCAAGCGUCAACUUGGAUACGUGAUCUCCUCCAAGAACUUCGUCGACGGUCUUAGAGAGGAAGCCCGGAAUCUGGAGAACAAGGCUGAGAGGCUCCACAGUGCCGCGGAAGUGGCCAGAAACAAUCUCCGGAAUUUCUACAGGGAGUUCACGGAGUGGGACGCAAGUACUGAGAAGACUUUGAAGGAGGCGGGAAAACUAUUGGACGACUUCGAAAAGGCGACCAAGACUUGCUGCUACGGCACUCUUCCUAACCCCUAUUGUCGCUAUCAGUUCAGCAGGAAGGCCGACGGCAAGAUCGAGGUCAUUAAACAACUCACUAAAAAAUGCAGUGAAUUCAAGGAAUUGAACGACAUCUGCUUCACCGAGCCUGCUCCGGGGAAUGUCACUGCUCUGACUCCAGCCAGGAUAGAGGACAAAGAUGUUGUCCAAUCGAACAUAUCGACGGCCACCAUUUCUUCUGCCUCAAUGUCGAAUAAGCUUAGGGACGAUGACAUCUUCGAAUCCAGAGCUCAAAUCACAAGGGACAUCAAUGAGGCUCUUGCCGAUAAUAGCAAUAGCGUGGUUGGGGUUCAUGGGAUGGGCGGGCUCGGCAAGUCCACCCUUUUGGAGGAAGUCAAAAGGAUAAUAAGCAAAGAGAAGUGGUUUGAUUGGGUCGCUAAGGCCGACGUGUCGAAAAAUCCGGACAUCAAGAUGAUUCAAGGAGAGAUUGCCGAUGCGUUGGGCCUUAGUGAGAUCAAGGACAAGGAGUCCGUCAGCGGGCGAGCGGAACUUCUACAAAGGAGGUUGAGAAAAGAGGAGAAUGACAAAAAGAAGGUCCUCAUAAUACUGGACAACCUGUGGGAGGGGCUCGACUUAGACAAAGUCGGCAUUCCUUGCGGACAUGACAACAAAGUCCUGGGAUGCAAAUUGUUGUUGACGUCAAGAGAUCGUGAUAUUUUGCGACGGAAAAUGGGCUGCGACAAGGACUUCCUCCUCAAUGGGCUGAAGAAGGAAGAGGCAAAAAGAUUGUUUGAGAGGACGGUGGGAGACAAAGUUCAUGAUGACGAGUUCAAACCUUUGGUGAAUGUAGCACUCGACAAAUGUGCAGGUGUGCCUUUCCUAAUUGUUGCAAUGGCGAAACGUUUUAAAGAUGCUAAUUUAUCUGAAUGGAAAGACACUUUAAAAAAAGUCGAGAAGUUUAAAGAUAAAGAAAUCAAUGAUUCAAUACACCAGAUGUUGCAAUGGAGUUAUGAAAAAUUAGAAAAGGAGGUGAAGUCAUUAUUACAACUCUGUGUUGUUUAUGGUACUUCCAACCCUUCUCUUGAAAACUUGGUGAGGUACAGCGUCGGUUUGGGGUUAUUUCAAGAAGUUAGCAGCAUGGAAGAAGCUAGAAAUAGACUAAGCUCACAUAUCCGCACUCUUCAAGCCUCUUCCCUUUUGUUAGAUAGUGAAGAUGUUGAUGGUUUCAAGAUACAUGACUUGGUUCAUGACUUUAUUGUCGAUGUCUCUUUGAGAGAUCACCCUCUUCUUGUGUUGAAAGAUGAAGUCAAGUCAGUAAUAGAGUUGCUGAACGACAAGCCUAGUAAUUAUAUGGCGAUAUGCUUUCCCUACGUUGACAUGGAGGAGCUUCCUCAAAAAUUAGAUUGCCCCGAAUUGUGCGUCUUCUUGUUGUUCACAAACAAUGAAUCUCUUCAUGUCCCAGAUUCAUUAUUUAACUAUACGAAGAAACUCACGGUCUUAAAUCUUACUGGGGUACAUCUUACUCAUUCACCUUUGCCGUUUCAGCUCUUGGAGAACUUACAAACUCUGUGUCUUGAUGGUUGUUUGUUAGAGGAUGUAGCCAUUCUUGGCAAGCUAAAGGGGUUACAAAUUCUCAGCUUUGUGAACUCCAACAUUCAGCGAUUGCCAAAAGAAAUUGGGCAAUUGGUAGAGCUGAGGUUGUUAGAUUUAAACUAUUGUUCAAAACUGCAGAUAAUUGAACCGGGUGUGCUUGGAAGCUUGAUAAAAUUGGAGGAGUUGUGCAUGAUGUAUAGCUUUGAUCAAUGGAAUGCUGGGGAGCUGCCAACUCCACCAACUAAUGCAAGUCUUGUUGAGUUGAAUAACAUGAAGAAAUUGUGCACUUUGUAUGUAUCCAUUCCCGAUCCAAGUGUGCUCCCAAAGGACCUAAAUGUCGAUAAAUUAACCAAGUACCAAAUCCAAAUAGGAAAUGCAUGGCGCCUAAGCAUUGGCAAAGGAUUGAGGAUAUUGGAGUUGAAUCCGACAAGUGAUAUUCUUCAGAAAGAAUGGAUACAAAGUAUCUUAGGCAAAACUGACGCUCUAUGUUUGGAUGAGCACAAUGGAAUUGAGCAAAGUAUUUGCGCAUUAUCCAAAAAAGGUUUUCCAAAAUUAAAGCAUCUACAAGUCAUAAAUAGUCCUUCUAUUCAUUACAUCCACCAAUCGUCAUCACAUACAAAUUUUAAGAGGUUGGAGUCAUUAAUUCUCAAGGAUCUCAUCAACGUGGAGAAGUUAUGCCACAAUCAUAUCUAUUAUAAGUCCUUCAGUUCAUUAAAGGCGGUACAAGUCAAAAGCUGUCACAAGAUGGAAGUUCUAUUUCCUCUUUCAUCACUAAGAGAACUUCCAUGGCUAGAAGAGAUUGAUGUUUCCAAUUGCAAGUCAAUGCAGGGGAUUGUAGAAGCCGAUGAUUGUGGCAAUGUUGAGUUGCAUAAUUUGCAUGUAUUGAAAUUGUGUGACUUGCCAAAUAUCAAGAACUUUUUCAACACCGGGUCAACUCCUUCAAGUAGUAUGCCAAACGACCAAGUUGGCAUGCAAAAUGCAUUCUUCAGUGGGCAACGAGUAAGUUCAAUCAAAAGAAUUCACGCAGAUUAUGGUGCUUAUUUAUUUUUGUUAUUUUCAAUUUAUUUUUCCUAACUACCUUAUCUGUUCAUGUCUUCUCUGUAAUUAGAUAAAAACAAUUAUCCAUUUCUCUUAAUUGUGUAGAAAUACAAGCAAUUAUAUGAAAUCCAUGUAAAUUUGGUUUGUCAUUAGUUUUGAGUUAUUUUUUACUUUCGUGCUGCAAGUAAAUCUGUAUUAAUAAGGUUUCAUAAAGCAAAAAUGAAGGGAAUUUUGGCAUUAAAGUAAUUCCAUAAGCAAAGUAAUUUAUAAUCUUUCGAAAUGGAUUCCACUGAAUUUAGUUAUCAAAUCGUUGUUAUUAUCCACAAAAUGUAUAAUACAAGUGCCUCUCUUAAAAACCUAUACGAAGAAUGGGAAGAAGGGCCAGGUUUUAAAAAUAAAAUCAACUGUGCUAAUAUUAUUGAUGCACUAUUUAAAUAAGCACUUAGUAAUUGCAUAGACCCCAUAACUAUAAGAGUACAAUAUUUUGUGCAUAGGUUUCUUAUAGUGAAUGUAGGCAUUGGCAAAUGUAUGAUUUUUAUUGUGUCACAGCAAAGUUGUCAUUGCAAAUUUGGAAUUCUUGCCGUUGGAGUUUUAAAGUGAUCUUUUCCAUUUCUCUAGUCCAUACGGCGGAAUUAAGGCCAAGUUGUUACAAUAUAAAAUAAUGGAACAAGAUGCCUUGAUGGAAAAUCCACUAUCUUUGACGGGCCUUGUAUUUAUUUUGGCUACUCAAUAUGUCUUUAGUUUAAUUUCCAAAGCUUCAAGUGCUCCACAAUUUAAUCUUCAAGAAAUUUGUGGUGAAAUUUGACUUUUCUUUUUGUUGAGUCCCAUCCAAUUUGAAUUUUAACUUUUAUGUAACUCCAAUAGUUUAUCGGGACAAAUCCACAGUUUGCAUUAAUAAUCCUGUUAAAUUAAUUAUUGAUAUUGAUUUAUUAACGUUAAAGACAAGUUAGUAAGCUAAGGAUAAACAUUUGCCCAAGUAUGGAAAGUGAUAAAUCAACGUUAAAGACAAGUUAGUAAGCUAAGGAUAAACAUUUGCCCAAGUAUGGAAAGUGCGCGGCUAUUUUAUACGGGGAAAGUUGGUGUCAGUGGACCUUGUAGGCUGAUUAGAUAAAAUUGCCCUUUGAUAGCGGUGAUAUUAUCACUGAAGUUGAUGGUGGGGUCCAAGACUCACGCCAUAUAUAAGCUUUCCCAUCAGUAAAAGAUCUGUUCGUCUUUUUUCCCUGAUCGAAGGAACCUUGCUCUCUGAAUUGCACCAGGAAAGGGUACCUGAGCCCUCUCCGUAACUAAGCAGGUCUAGGGCUUCGGGAAUCAUCACUUUUAGAUUUUACAUGAAUUGCAAGACCAAAGUGAUCAAUUCAGUGACUUCUCUAAGUGUACAGCAAUUUCAUUGAAGAAUUUCAUCCAUGUUGUAACUUAAAUAACCGUCUCUAAGUGAUUUAACAAAAGCUAUGUAUGCUAUCCACUUCAUUCUCGGGCUAGCAAAAAAAGCAUAAAUUGUGAUUUGAUUAUUCUAGGAAAUUAACUAAAUUCAAAAGAGGGAGAGAUUUUAUUCAAAUUUGGGAUUAUGAGAGACUACUGUGAUUAUAUGAUAGCAUGAAAACAUUUAAAAAUUACCAUUUUGCCAUUGUCAACAGAAUCCGGUUAGUAUUCCUACUUUUUGUUUUGUUUCCCGUAAUUCCAAUAGCCUCCUCGUCCUGGAGUCGUUGACAUUAGUAUGGAGAUUUCUUUACCAAAUUUGUUGACUUUAUUCUUUUUGCCCUUUUGCUCAACUUAAGAUAGAAUCACCAAUUUCAUGAAUUUGUAAUUUUCAUCUUGGCACGUAUCUAUAUUUACAUCUUAGAAAUUCAUGAUUAACUCAUUCACCAAUUUCGUGAGUGAAUAUCGCAGGUUGCAUUUCCUAACUUGGAGACAUUAUAUAUCACUGGCUUGAAUAAUAUCGAGAUGAUAUGGGACAAUCAAGUUGUUGCGGAAUCUUUCACCAAGCUAAAGUCACUUUGCGUGGAUGAAUGCAAUAAGCUUGUGAACAUUGUUCAUUCUUUCAUUCUAAGACGGCUCUUGAGCCUAGAAAGGUUGGAUGUAAAAACAUGUGGUUCACUUGAAGUUGUUUUUGAAUUUUGGCCACUGAAACAUCUAGAUGGACAUCCUAUUGCUCUUCCAUUAGAAGAGCUGACAAUAUCAGCAUUAUCAAAGCUAAAGUGUGUAUGGGAUAAGGAACUCCACUGUCAAGCUAAAUUCCAAUGUCUACAAUCAAUUAGUGUUUCUAAAUGUGAGAGCCUCACCUCUCUGUUUCCAGCUUCAGUAGCCAAAGAUCUCAUGCAACUUGAGGAGUUGAAGAUCGAUGAAUGUGGCAUUGCAGAAAUCAUCGAAAAGGAAGAUGGACUAGUUCCCAGGUUUGUAUUCCCAAUGUUAACCUCCCUUGAGCUUGAGUAUCUGAGAGAGUUGAAGUGCCUCUACAAAGGAACACAUACUUCCCAUUGGUCGGCAUUGAAGAGCUUGAAGGUGCAUGGUUGUGACAAAGUGGAGAUACUUGCAUCGCACCUUGAGAAUGAGAUGCCACUUGAUAAACAGCCUCUCUUCUUGAUAGAAAAGGUAUGGCCCAAGAUUACUUGUUUUGUUUUGAUGGUGAAUAUUUGAAGUGAUGAUUAAGGUUACAACCAAGCAUCUCAUACAAGCAGCUCUACAUAGAAGAUGGACACUAUACGACUCACCUUCAAUCUAUGAAAAUAUUUCAACAUCAAAACAUCACAUGUUCUUCAAGUGCUGACUGAACAUUCUUGUUAGAUGUAUCCAAUGCAUUGUUGUUGGUCCACUUUUAAUAAAGGUUUAGGCUAAUUCCAAUAGUUUUGCUAUCUCCUAAGUGCCAUGAAGAUGAAAACACGUGGCACAUGUUGUGAUCUUAGUAUGGUACAAAUGUGUUGUCCGACUUGAAUCCUUUAAUGAUUACUAAUGUUUUGCUAAAAACAGAAAGAUGUGACAUUAUUGUUGAUAUUAAUCACUGAAAUUGGUGCAACUGUAAUUGACAUAGAAGUUAUUUUCACAAGGGAUUUAUCUUUAGAAUCAUGAAUGUAACAAGUAACUUAAACUCAAAUAUGGAUACAAGUUGAAUAUAAAGAUCAUUGAUAAUGUUUAUUUGAUGUAGGCACAUUUCCUUUUAUUGAAUCAUGUGAGACUAAACAUUUUAUAAAUGUAAUUUUUGCACGCAACAUGCAGGACUUAUAUCAUAAUACAUGAAUGCUAUUUUAACCAAUCUGGCUUUAAAUUCUGAUUUGACUAUUUUUUCAGGGCGCAUUCCCUAAUCUCCAAGAGUUAAAGUUGGAUUUAUCGAAACGGAUGGAGAUAUGGCAUGGGCAUUUUCAUGAUGGACAAUUCUUUUGCAAGCUUAGUUUGCUUAAGCUUUGUCAUCUCUCCCAAGAGUCUUCAAUAUCCACAUGUCGCUUUGUUGAGAGUUUAACCAACUUGGAAGAGCUUGUUGUAUGUGAAUCUUAUCUAGAAGACCCAAGUAGCAAUGAGGAAGCCAUAGAAGGCACGAGUCAUGAGAUGAAAGUAAUAUUACCAUUUUCAAGAUAUAUUCGACAUCUACAAACUCUAGAUGUGUCACAUUGUGAUGGGUUAUAAAAAAUGUUCACACCGACAAUUGCUGAAAAUUUGGUGGCACUCACAAAAUUGAGGAUAAGUAAUUGUAGAAUAUUGAUAGAAGUCAUUAAUGAUGAGAAAGGUGGGGAUGGCCGUGUGGUGGCUUUCAAUCAACUGAAGUAUAUGGAGCUUGAUGGGUUGAUAGGGUUGAGAAGUUUCAGCUCAGGUGGAUACACUUUGAUGUUCCCGCUCUUGGAAGAUAUCAUUGUGACUAGAUGUCCCAACAUGAAGUUUUUCUCUCAAGGACCGACGGAGGCAUCAAAGUUAAAGAGAGUUCAAGUAUCAAAGGAAGCGUGGUUUUGGGCAGGAAACCUCAACAUCACCAUCCAUAAUAUGUUUGAAGAAAUGGUAUGCACUAGUUACCAAAUUCCAUGUAUUUGGAUGGUUUUGAUCACUAAAUGAAUAAUAGCUUUUUGCUAGCUAGAAGUUUAUGCUUAACGAUGCAUUUUUUUUUAUAGGGCACGUUUGCUGGAGUAGAGAAAAUGCUGCUAUCUGAGUUCCCUGGGUUGAUUGGAAAAUGGCACAAUGAACUUAAUCCCAUCAAGUCGUAUUGGCAACUCAAAUCAGUGGUGGUAGAUAAAUGUCCAUCAUUUAUUAACGCUAUUCCAUCCAGAUUGAUGCUUGUCUUAGACAAUUUGGGCUAUUUGCAAGUGCAUGAUUGUGAGUUGCUUGAAGAAAUAUUUGAUUUGGAAGGGCUGGAGGUUGUGGAAAGCACUCGAGUACUACCUCAGCUAUGGGAAUUGAACUUGGUCAAUCUACCAAAAUUAAGGCGACUGUGGAACAGAGAUCUUCAAGAAUCGCUAUGCUUCAAUUCUCUAGAAAGUCUCAUCCUUUAUAAUUGCAGCAACUUGGGACAUGCUUUCUCUCCAUCAAUGGCUCAGUGCCUUGCCAAUCUUAAAGUAAUGGAAAUAAAGGAGUGUGGUCAAAUGGAAGGAGUGAUCGUAGAGGAAGAAGCAAAGGGAAGCGCAACGGAGAAGAUUACAUUCUCAAAGCUCCGGCAGAUGACUAUGGAAUACUUGCCCAAUUUGACUUGUUUCCUCUUGGGAAAAAAUCAUAUACUGGAAUGCCCCAAAUUACAAAAGAUGAUAAUUGCCCAUUGCCCCAAGAUGGAAAGUUUGAUUGGGCAAUCUCAGAUGGAGGAUGACCACAGCACCCCUUCAUUUUUCACUUCCCAGGUCAGUCUUUCAAAUAAAUGCGUCUUUGGUGUUUCAUUGGGACUUGUUCUCGUAGUAUUGGACAAUGCACGGUAUGAUGCAAAUUUUGUGCUUGUGCCAAUUUAUAUACAUAAUCUUCUAAUAUUUAAGAUGAAGAUUAAAAAUAUUCUAAUCCUCAAUAAAUAUUACUAUUAUAUGUACAUCUCUAUAUCCUAUUAGAAGUGUUAAGUUGGUGUAAGUUUAUGAAAUCAUAUCAUAUGCAGUACUUUAGAAUUAAUCAGCGAGGUUCCUAAAAAAGUUAUCGCAAUAACCAUAUAAAAACAUUUACUUUUUGCAAUUUCAAUUAUAAAGAACUAAAACAGAAAACUUAGAAUGGCAUCUAAAAAUGGCAGAAAAAAUAUUAAGUAUCGCCCCUUCAUAUUUAUUUGCGUGGAAGCAAACUAUUGUCAUUCUAUUAAACAUGAAGAAAAGGGAAAAGUAAAACUUCAUAAUUGUAAAAGCCAAUUUCACAAAUUGCUUAACUAUUAUAGCUCAUUAUACCAUAAUUAGUGGAGCCAACUUUUUUAUUUCUUAAUAUUCACCGAUGCUUGAGCUAAGUCUUGAUAAAAGGAAAAAAAAGGUCAAUAUGCCUGAAGUGGUUAGCCUUCCUUGUUCGUAAAUCAUAUUUGAAUUGCUAUGCUCCAACAACCUAUCAAAUUAUGCACCUAUAUUGUACAAUAAAUAUUAAUUUUGGAUUAUUAUAUUGAGUGAUAAUUAGUGUGAUACCGUGCACAAUCUAUAUUUGGCAAAAGAAAAUGCAUAUUACUUUUUCCAGAAAAAAGAAACGGCUAAAAAAAGGAAAAAAAAUGAAAGAGAAAAAAUGACAGCUGGAUAAUCCAAGGGCGGUUGCCAACAUUGCAAGUCUUAUUUCAAAACUAGAUGACAAUAUUUAGUCAAUGUCCUAGCUAAAAUAAAUUUUUUAAAAAUCGGAAUAAAUUAUCCAACCAACAACACCACCCAAGGGAAAAUAUUAGGUGCAUUAAAUACACUGCCUAGGAUUCGUAUUGAAUCAUCCGCAGACUGACACGUGACAAUGCCGGACCCACUUGUCAGUUGAACCGUUAAAAUUUUUGCUCCCCCUUUCUCUUCAAUAACGGCCCAUCACUUGAAAGCACUACUCUCCUCUUCCUGGUAUGGCUCUGCUCCCUCUCUCUCUUUCCUCUGCGAAGGUGCAUCUCUAUACUUGAACCACACCACCACCUUGGCCUCCAUCAAUUGCUGUGCGCUCACCGGACAGGAAAAAAAACAGAAAAAGGAAAAAAUUAGACAAAGUCUAUUUGGGGUUUUAGACUUCUCCCCCCUUAAGAAUUGUUCUCUCUCAGCCAUUUCAGUUCACCUUGAUCUUCCUUUUUGCAACGAGGAAAAGAAAAAAGUGAACCAAAUCUACAGAGUCAAGUAAUAGUAACUCUUCUUUCUUCCCCUCGCCCCCCUUCCUCUACUUUCUUUCUUUGGGCCGAUUGAUUGGGUGGUCCGUCCAGUGGUUGAAUCGGAAGCUUCGGAAUCGCUUCUCUGAAGCUCGCCUCCUCUCUGCACGCGUGCAUGCGUGGGUUCCGAGCGAUUACGCGAACUGGAGCUUGUUGGUUAUGGUGGAUCGAGGUGGAUCUCCGAUGCGGAAGCGAUUUCAGCGUCGAUUCGGUCGGGGCGUUGAUUCCGGCGAAGAAAAAUUAAAAAAAAUCUUCUCUUCAGCCCUCUCUUCCUCCUCCUUCGUCCACAGCUGCCCGACCUUCGCUCCUCCUCCGCCGUCGCCAACGGCGAAGUCACCAGCGCCUUAAUUAGGCUGACCCUUGCUAUGUCCAAGCCGAGCAUGGCCGUCUUCCUCUGUUUUGUCCGCCUCAUCGUUCUACAGAUCUUGAAAUCUAGCCGUCCAUAGCGACGGAGUUGCAGAUCUGGAAAUCGACCACCGUCGCUCGUAGCCAUGGACGAGCCGCUGUCGCUGUAGCCAUGGUUGCAGAUCUGGAAGUCCCGUCGCGAGUAAUGACGGCUUAUGGACCACGGUCGGCUCGUGGUCGGCCCCAUCCAUGGCCGAGCCACCCCUCCAUCGUCACAACUGCUUGUGGUCGUUGCCCGUCCUGAUCUGGACUGGAGUUGUGCCUCCAGAUCUGGUUUCGUCCAUGGACGCAAGCCUAGCUCGUCCAUGGCUAGCGAGGAGGCUCCCCCAAAGAUCUAGCGACCACUGCUUGUCCAUGGCCAUGAGCCUUGACGGCGAGUUUGAGAUCUUGACGGCUAUGGAUUGCGAGAUCAAACGAAAGAAAAAACAGAGAAACAGAUGUCAGGGAAGAAUGGCCAUGGAUGAGAGGCCGGAGCUUGAACGCAGCCAUGGACGAGCGGCGUCAUGAACGGGCAGACCACAAAGACAACGGAGAGGGUUGGACGCCAAGCAAUAGUCGCCUUGGACGCGGCGCCGGGAACUCCGCCGGUGGCGACGGCGGAGGGAGGCGGGAAGGUUGGGCUCAAUGUGGAUGGAGAUGGAGAUGGAGAAGGAAAGUGAGGUGGAUUGAGAUUUUUAAUAUUUAGUCAAUGUCCUGGCUACAUAAAAAAUUAAAAAUAAUAGGAAUUGAUCAUCCAGUCAACACUUUCAUUCCGUCUCAUGAAGUUCUCCUCAUGUGAAGACUAAACGCAAUAAAUGACAACCUCCUCCGCCACUUCUCUUUUUUGGGUCGAAUCCUCAGGCACUUGAAAAUGCGCGAUAUCGACCCAAAUUUGAUUGUUUUGACCUUUUUUUUUUAUUACAGAUUCCAUGCAAGUUUUGUUUUGUUUUUUUUUUCCCUGACGGAGGAAUUUUUUUUUUAUUCUCAUAAUUCUGCGCAAUUCUUUCUAUUGUUUUAUGUGAGUAGAAUGUUUAAUUAUAACAAGUAUCUACACAUUUGUUUACUUUUUAAUUUUAAGAAUUAUCACUAAUUAUUUAUUUAUACUGUCAUUUGCAUGUAUAAGUUAUAUAAUACCAAGCCCCGCAUUCUAAGAAUAUUUCAAAAAGUCAUUAUAACACUCAAUCAACAAUACUAAUAAAUUUGGGAAAGUAUGAAAAUAGUCAUCUAAUCUUUUGGUAGUGAUAAGUUGUAAUAGCGUUAAUUUCAUUUUAAUAUCAAAUAUGAGUUGUCAUAUACUAAUUGAUAGAUUUAAGGAAGUGUGGAAAGUCAAUUUUUUUUUUUUUUUUGGUGACAGGUCGUAAUUGCAUUAAUUAUAUUGUAACCAAAUGAAAAAUAUAAAUACUUACUUUUCAAUGAAUAAUUCAUUGGAGGUCAUGAUGUAGUAAAAAAAAAUUUUGAUUUUCUCCAUACAAACAAAAUGCGAUCAACGGGUGCACACCCACUUUUUGCCAAGGGGUGGAUCACUCGGUACACUGCAAGAUUCUAUUUUAUUUUUCCACCUCAAAUUUGAAUAAAUAUUAUUUCGAGGGUGUUAUUAAUGGUCCAAUGUAAAACUAGUAAAUUGACCCAACUUGUUUUUGCUGAGAUCAUAACAUUAUGUUAUUUAUUCAAGUCGUUAUGUUGCCCAUGCCUAUUAAGAAAUUAUUUUCUUUCAAUACAAAAUUUUUCCAUACAUAAAAAAGAAAAAGGUUGUGAACAAUUGAAGUCACUAUAUUUUUUUUUAUAUCCGGUUCACCAUAUAAAUUUCAUGACUAUUUUCUUUGGUCGAUGCUGAACGUACUAUUGAUUUAUAAAAGCAUUUAUAAUUUCAUGCUUGUUGCAAUGCAAUAUUCUUGGCCUUAUUCUUCAGUCAAAUUGUAUAAAAGCAUCAGCCAACCCCUUUCUAUUUAUGUCACUAACAAAAUCUUAACUUCUCAUGAUUUGUGAGAACGAGGGAAGUCUAGAAAUUCCUUCUUUAAGGUCAUAACUCAAUGCAAUCACAUUCAUUGUGUCAUUUUUUUUUUCUCAAUAUGGCAGGUACAAUUUCCUAAACUUUGGUCGAUGGAUCUCUCCCACAUGGACAAUUUAAGCAAAAUAUGGACUGACGCUCCUCAAGAAACUCUAACUUUUGAUUGUUUAUUGGAAGUGGAGGUUCGAAACUGUAAGGGACUUGAAAAUUUGUUUCCGUAUUGGGUGGCUACAAGUUUAACCCAACUUGGAAAACUUCAAGUGGAGUCUUGUGAGAUCGAGGAAAUAGUCGCUAGUGGGGAUGACAGUCCACGCUCCAAUACUACUCAAGAUCUUUUCUCAAAACUAACCUCUCUGGUGUUACAUGACAUGCCACGACUCAAGAGCUUUUGUCCUAACUUGCCUUUGAAUUUGCCAUUAUUGGAGGAAUUACGAGUGACUCAUUGUGAAAAACUGAGCAUGUUAUCCUUUGUGGCAUCCAUGAACAGAUGGGCUCAAAGAGAUGAUCAACAAGACCUUUCAGAUCAAGAAGCACACUCUUCAUUUGAGAGGGUAUGAUUAUAGUUGCUCUCCCUUAGUUUCUACUUUGUUCUUUAAAGCAGUCACUAAUAUCAUAUCCAUUGCAUAUUAUGUCGCGUUAUGAUGUUAUAGAAAACAUGAUCUCCCCUACCUAUUAGUUUGUUGACAACAUUAAGAUAUUUCUAAUAUCUUACGUACACUUCCAUUUGUGGACAUGCAUAAGAUAUUCCAUUACCUAGAGUUACUAAAAAAUUUACUAUUCUAUUGAUAACAGAAUAUAUUCCUAAUCUAACCUAAUGGUGCUCUUGGGCGACAUCAAUAAGGAUUUGAUGAGAGGUCCUCUCCAUUAUUGACACGUGUUGCACACUUGAACUUUUCUUCUCUAUUUCAUUUUCUAUAAACUCUAAAAAAAUCAAUUCAAACAAUUUUUUUUAUAACAAAAAUAACGUUAGUACCUUAGUGCACUAUUUUCUACUGUAUUUUUUAAUACACUAGUCGUCAUGUUAUCCUGUUAUAAUACUAUAGAAAACUAGAAUCCCUUUCCUAUAAGUUUGCAGACAACAUAAGAUAUUUCUUAUAUCUUAAGCAUACUUCUGAAUUUAUGGACCCCAUAUGUUUUAGUGACAUCUUGAGUGCAUCCCGUUACAUAAGAUUCCAAAGAAGAUAAAUUUUUGUCAACAAGAUAAGAUAUUCCUUACAAAAGAUGAAUUUAGUGAGUGCAAGGAUCUUGAAUUUAGAUUCACUCUAUCCACUUGACCAGACCAACCUCUACAUGAGACUUUUAAAAGCUUGAGUCUUGAACACAAGGUUCUUGAGAUAUAAUGAACUUUAAGAAGAGGACCACUUUCCAUGCGAAUCAUCUUAAUAGGUUUACCUUUUACAGCACGUGAUUUAUUGUCGAAACUUUGUUGAAUUUACUUCUCUUGUUGUAUUGGCAAUUCGACAGGACUUUCCCAACUUGGAGAGACUUUUAUUAGUCAAUAACAAUAUUCAGAUGAUACAAGAUGGAAAUUUUUCGGAUGACAUGUUCAGUAAGCUAAAAGCACUAACACUAGCAUGCUUUCAUGAUAAAAAUGCUGCCUUUCCUUCCAUAUUCCUCCUAGAGAGAUUUCAGAAUUUACAAAGCCUUGAAGUCUUCUGUAGCCCCUUUGAAGAUUUAUUCCCGAACGAAGGGCUUGUUGAAGAAAGGAAACAUCCGGUGCUUGAAAAUUUAAGAGAACUUAAGUUGAACAAGCUACACAACUUAAAGUGUGUGUGGAAAGAAGACUCUUUAGUGUCGAAAAUUCUUCAGAGCAUCAAAACAUUUCAGGUUUGGGAUUGUCCCUGUUUGACAACAAUAUUUCCAACCGAGACAUCCUUCUAGAAUCUGACAAAUUUAGUGGUGAAGAAUUCCUCUGGAUUGGUACAUCUAGUAACGACUUCAGCAGUCACAAAUUUGGUACAUCUCACUUAUAUGACUAUAAUAGGAUGUGAAAGAAUGAAAGAAAUAGUGGCCGACGAUGGAAACGGAGAAGGAAAAGUGAUUUCUUUUGAAAAGCUAAGUUCGUUGACACUUGAACAUCUGCCAAACUUAGAAUGCUUCUCUUCCAUCCCAAGUUGCAUCUUUAGGUUCCCAUCUUUACGGGAUAUUGAAGUGGAAGAGUGUCCGAAAAUAAAGAACUUUUCUAAGGGUACAUUAAGCACACCAGAACUAGAUUAUGUGUCACUGUUCAGAUACAAGUGGGAAGGGAAUUGGGAGAAGGGUGAUGAUCUCAAUACAACCAUACAGAAGUUAACAGCAUAAAUCAAUGCACAUAGAAUUGGUAAGACCAAUUGAUGUCAUUCUCUCAUCCAUUUUUUUUUUCUUUAGUCUUUCGGCAGCGCCGCAACUUUUUAAAAUUUUUCUUUUUGUGACUUUUCUAUUAUUGAUUUCGUCAAAUCAACAUCACCGUCAACCCUAUCGAUGGAUCUCGGCUCAUCCUUAACUGAACAGUAGGAAGCAAAGCGGGUCUCUCCUUCUCCUUCUUGACGCCAAAGGCUCUUUCUCCAUCUUUCUUCUUCUUCUUCCUCCUCCGUGGAGCGAAAUUGGGGGAAGCCUCUGCUGCCUUCACAAAGGACGGAGCAAAAAUGAAGCAUCAGGAAUUGCCAGGACUGCGAGAAGCGAAGCUGCAAUUAGCGGAGCGGAGCCAAGUAGAUUCAACUAGACGCUGUCGUUGUCGCCGUCGUCACCGCCGGAGGUGGCACCACCGAGUCUUGACAGUUUGUCGUCCACUCACUUCAUCAAAGAAGAAGAAGAUCACACUCUCUCUCCGCAUCUGUAUCCGACAAAUCGUAAGUUCAUGUUUCUUCCGAUUUUGGUGUAUUAUUGUGCGUGAAUUAGGGCUCUCUUCUUCAAAUUCGUUCCACAUUCGAGUCUAAAAACAGGAGUUACUCAAACAAGCAAUAUAUUGCCCUUAAAUCUACAUCUUCUGUGCUGCCCUCCCGAGCAUUGGCGAGAUUUCUGCGUGUUUGAGCUCUCAUAGAUGGAGAUGAUAUAUUGUGUUCAAGGUCUCAUGUUGAAAUUUCUUUGGGUAGAGAUAUCUCUGUAACAUCAGGUACAAAUUGCUAUCAUGAAGAAGGGAAAAAUCAUGGAACUUGAAAAUAUUCCGAGAAUUCCAUGCGUUGUCAAAAAUAUGAAAAGUCACUUUUACGCCUUGAUCGUAAUAUAGUCUGGACCGUCUGAGGAAUCACUUGUAAUCUUGAUUGGUUAAGUGAUGCUGGAAGGAUAAAAUUUAUUUCCAAUUUAUGCUAAAAUCUUUUUCAUAGCAAGUCAAACUAAUGAAGUGUACUUAAACUAUCUCUAAAGUUGUCAUUUUUUAAGUACAGGCUGGUCCAAACAUUUGAGCAAAUUGAGGCAUCCUGAGCUGGUUUUUUAAGGUCCCAUGCGCCCAAGGCCUCUCACUGCUCUUACAUCGGCCAACAAAUUUCAAAUGGAGCAUCCCAAUGGAGCAUUCCUUUUUCAAAGGUGGUGAGGAGGCCCUCUUAUGUUGACUUUGGCUUGGUAUGAUUCCACGCUCAUUGACCCAAACUCGCAUGUCUGAAAAUCAAACAUAUGGAUGCUGUUUAUAUCUUUGCUUAUACUCUAGUGUAUUUCCAAGUUGACUUAAUGCAGUAAACAACAUGACAUGUUAUAUUCCUUGAAUUGUUCAUGGGUAUAUGUUUGAAACCAGGUAUAUGUCUUAACAAUGGAGUAAUUGAAGCAGGGGAAACAAUGAAAGGACGGUUAGUGGGACUUAAACUGGUGGUCGAGGUUUGAAAGAAUAACAUUUGUCCCCUUUUUGUCAAUACAUGUGUUGGAAAGCAAUUGCUGAGGCAAGUCCAAAGAAUUAGAAUCCAAUUCCUCUUAUAUGGAGGAACUUGACAAUGUUAUUCAAUGCUGUAAAAGUAGAAUAUAUAUGUAAAUCACACGAGGAGACUAGUUGAUACGGACAAGCAAAUUGCAAAGAAUGUCACUAUCUCCAUAACUAGAGGGAAAGACCUGAAAGAUAAGGGGGUGGCUAGUUAUGGUUCUGAAAUUUCAUUGUAGAUCUAAUGACUGAUAACUUUGUUUUCAAAUAGGAGAUACUAUUUUAUUUUUUUACAUUAAUCGGAAAUUUGAGAAAAAAAGAUGAGUUUACUCUGUCAAAUUGAUUCAGUAUUUUGAUAAAAUUUGAGUUGCGCUUGAAAUAAUUGAACAGCUUAGAUUAAAAUUUUUCACUUCCAUCCGUGUUCCGAUCAUUGACGUCUUUGCCUUCUCCCCUGCUCUUGUGGUUUGUGUGGCUUAAAUUCAUCGUUUCAAAUAUAUAUGGGACAUGGAAGGCUUUUUCUGGUCAUGUACCCUAUUGCUUCUAGGAGCGUAUAUUUUGAUAUUUGACUUUGGGUUGUAGUCUGAGAUUGUCUACUAUCAUUAUAAGGUUUAUUGUCAAUUAAAACUCCUAAAAGUAGCAACUACUGCCUUAUAUUCACGCUGUGUGAUUAGAUUCUCUCAUUAGUGUAUGCUUAUGUUUUGGUCUUUCUUCACCAUAAGUUGGUUUUCAACCUCAUAAAUGAGGAGACUACUCCUGUUCAAUUCAUCAGGCAACAUAAUCAGGAAAACAAGCAAAUUGCAACUCUCAGGUAUUCAGACGGGUCGUGGAUGGUGAAGCUCAGGAGCCAUGGACUUUUUUUUCGUUGCUUGACACCCAAUUGCUAGAGAAGCUCGUUUGCAUUUAGGAGAUGUUUGUGUGUUUGAGCUCAUUGAUAGGGGGGAUGUGUGUUUAGAGUCUACAUUUCCACUAGUGCUAGUAAGGACUUGGUUUACAUUUACCCGAAAUGAAUUUUGGAAGUGUCACUUUAGAUAAUCCAAAAUAAAUUCAGUAUUCAUAGUUAUAUCUCUUUGUUUAGUCUUGGUGAGUCAAUGAAGUGUACGUCUUCCAUUCCCAUUGGGUUUGUGAGUUUCAUAAUAAUCCAGAUGCACACUCAUUAAUGCUACAUCCCAGGUCUAAAUUAACCAAAAAGAAUGUGCUUCAAUGUGAAAGCGAAAAUUAUAACCUAAACGCUCAGCAUGAGAAUUUAGAGGUGUGACUUGUUGGUUUCUAAGUUGCGCUUUUCUGCACAGUGUUGCAUUCUUUUUCUUGGUCCGUCUCAAAAGUUAUGAAAUUUUCCUGAUAAGAUUUUGUAUAUUGAUGGGUGACAUUACGAUUUAGGAGAUGCCAAGUGUAGCUAAUGUGUUUUGUCUAACGUGAAAAACAUGUAAACGUUAGUAACAUGAUUGGAUGCAUUGAUUUGUAGAUCGUUGUAACUUGACAGAAGGUUUACAGCAGUACCUAUGAAAACUCUACUUUUUCUUUUGUGCAAGUUGGACCAAACAAUCUAAAUGUCAAGUGAGCCCCCAUGAGCAGUUUUGCAUGGUUCCGUGUUUCCGCGGCCUCCCCUGCUCUUGAAAAAACUAGAAAAUUUGAAUCGAAGUAUCCAUCUCUGAAAUUGGUGAUGUGGCCACUAUUAUUAAGGAUAGAACUGCGGUAUGGCCCGUGUCCUUUCAUAAUUGGCAUAGCUCAACCAUGACGCCUUCUACAUCUUUCCCUUUAGUCCACUCUUUUCCCAAGUCGUUUUGGUUUUUCAUAGGAAUCAAUGUUAUCUUCCUUGGAGUGUUCAUGGCUUUAUCUGUAAAACCGGGGCAGUUUUGAUUUUGAAAUUUUAUUUUUUAAAUUUAUGGAUUCAUAAGAUUACCAAUUCUAAAAUGAAAGAUUCUAUAUUUUUUUUUUCCAGUAAUCAAGUGUAAAGAAGAUUACUAUUAUAUAUAGACUAAGAGGAUGUGGUGGGGACGAUCAGUGUUAGCAACUCUUGAACUUUUGCCAUGAGAGUUAAAAAAUUAUGUACACUACCGUAGAGUCUACAAGCACUGUAUUGUGAAAUCUCAACUUCAAGUUGCAAGUUGGGAUUGAAGACUUCUAUUACCCAGUUAACACUAUUAAUUGAACUCCCUGAAACUAGUAAAUACUAGCAUAAAUUUACAUUUUGUUUGCGUUUUCCGUUUAUUAUUUCUUUGUAUUUAUUCUUUUCCUCAUUAUACUACAUUGGUAGUGUUCCUUGUGAAUUCAUAAAGAAACAUUCAGAAGAACUAGCAAAUUGCAACUCUUAGGUAUUUGAACAAAUUAUGGCUGGUGCAGCUCAAGACCUAUCAACUCCAUUAUCCAGCUGGUCGGGCCGCAUUUGUGAAAGAAGCUUAUCUGGAUGAAGGGGAUGUCCACAUGUUUGAGCUCAUUGAUAGGGACGAUUUUAUGGUCAAUCUCCAUCUCCAAUUAUGCUAGUAAGGACCUCAUUUAGGUUGAUUGAGAUGGACAUUGGAAGUGUUGCCUGCAAGUAAUUCAUGUCUUUUUUAUUCAGCUAUGACGAAUCAAUUGGAAGUGCACUUACUUUUAGCUUUGCGUCUCUUUCUUGACCUGCUUACAGUCUUACCAGAAUUCUCCUCUUUUUUUUUUGGGUGCAGGUCAGAACAGAUAGUCUAAAUGUCCAGUGAGCCCUCUUGAACAGCCUUUUCAUGGUUUCAAUUGUCUGUGGCCUCUCACUGCCCUUUAGAAUGCUGGAAAAUUCAAGUUAAGAGUAUCCCUUUUUCCAGAUGGUGACAUGGCCAUCGUUUCUUAAGAAAGAAAUAAUGGUGAGGCCCAGAUCUCCAUUCAUAACUGGCAUAUCUCAAUUAUGAAUGCGACCUAUCUUAUAUAUGUGCCCUAUUGUGCAAUUUUUUCUUGCAUUAAUUUGCUUUCUAUAGAAACACAGAAUAUAUUAUCUUCCUUGAAGUGGUCAUGGUUAUAUGUUUAAAACAGGCUCCUUAACAACUAAAGGGACUAGGGAAAAACAAUAAGUCGGACAGUAAUCAGGAAAUUACCUAGUGAUGGGUGUGGAGACAAGGUCAGAGGGUUGAGACAGGCAAUAACAACCAUAAAUUAGGAAUUUAAUGAUUUCUAAUUGAAGUAUAAAUUCUUCCCAAAGAUGACUACUUGGUACUUUCUCUGUCUUCUAGUUUAAGUAUAAAUUCCUUCCAAAAAUGACUACUUGGUACUUUCUUUGGCUGCCUAGGCUUGGGAAGAAGAGGCAACACGAAAUGUCCAGCUUAAGCAAUAGCUAUUGCAACAAGCCUAGGCUUGGCAUGACUAGGCUCACUGCAAUAGCACGGCAACACUAAUCGGAUAUUGCUCCCUGGCAACAAAUGGUUUACAAGAGCUACUAUUGCAAGCAGGUUCAAACUUGCGAUCAGAAAUGAAGCGAAGGUAGUGUGGCCCUAGACCUCAAAAAUUAGUCCCACCACCUCCGUGGUAUGAAAAAAAGAAAGGCAGCUAUUUUUUUUUUUUUUUUGCCAGGCGAAUGAAGAUCACUUUUUGUGUAUAUGUAUCCAUCUAGGAUGCUAGGUGUAGCUUUUCAUGUUUGUUCAAUGCAUAUCGCGAUGCAAGAUUGGUGACUUGGAAAUCCACCAGAUUUGUGCAUGUCUCUAUAUUGAUCACACGUACUUAGUGUAGAGUCUAAGAGCACAGGAUUGUGAUAUUUUGAUUUCAGAUUGCAAGUUGUGACUAAAGACCAUCUCAUCAAGCCUUUUAGACUGCUAAUACAGAUCUCUGGAAACUUCAAAUAGUAUCAUAAAUGUACAUCUUGUUUGCCUUUUCACUUUAGUGUAUGCUUACAUUCCUUUGUCUUAUCAUACAUUGACUGGUCAAAUGUCUUCAUGGGCAGAGCGUUCCUUAUGAAUUUAUAGAGACAUGCAGUCAAGAAUACCAGCAAAUUGUUACUCUUAGGUAUUCAGACACAUUGUGGCUGGUGACCAUCAGGAGCUAUGAGUGCUACGCUGCAGUGAACUUCUCUAUUGGUUGGUCCAAGUUUGUGAGAGAAACUUAGUCUUGAAUGAAGGGCAUGUCUGCAUGUUCGAGCUCCUUGAUAGGGAUUAUUUUUAGGUUGAAUUGGGAGGUGAACACUGGAAGUGUCACUUUAGGCCAUAUACUAGUUAGAAGCGAUCUCUGCCUCUUUUCUGUUGUGAUGAACCGGAUGAAAGUCCACUUUUAUUUCUGACUCUGCUUUUUUCUGAACUAGCUACAAACUUAUAAUUUCUUGGCCUAGCCACUCCAUUGAUCGGAUAUUGUGAUGAAUAGCCUUGCACACAUUUUCUACUUUGGGUAUUUCUCUUGCGCUUGUAACGCUUUUAUCAUUGCCUUCUUGGAAAGGACCUUAGUUCAGCAUUAUCAUGGUUCUGGUUAUUCAACCUGGUUUCGUAGAACAAAUGAAAUUUAUGCAGUAUGCCAUCAGUCAUGGUCACCUGAUAGUUUUCAAAGAUGGGAGAGAUGGACUCUAUACUCAUGUAAUUGUAUUUGAUUAAAGUGCUUAUAUAGAUACAUUAUCCUUUCAAGCAAGAUGAAAUAUAAAACCAAGAUGGCGAAUUCCUCGAGAAGAAAAUGGGAAGAAUCCAAAGACCUCACGGACCUUGAAGAUUCAGAGGGUUCCUGGCCAUGUUGGAAACCAUUGGCUAAACUGCAAUUACCUUCUUAUCUGCCUUCUACGGUGAUGAAUUCCUUUUCAAUUUGUGAGUUUCAAAGUGAUUAAAUUGCACACUCAUUGAUGCGACUUUGCAAAAUAAUAUGCUUGGAACCAAAAAGGACUAAGCUGCGAACGUCAAAGAGUGACAGAAGUUCCAAAUUGUUCCUCAAGAUAAUUUGGAGGCGCGUGCACAUGACAUAGUUUUCUUAGUCACUCUUCAAAUUUUAAAAAAUUUGAUGAGAAGCUUUUGGUAUGUUGGUUGAUGGCAUUGGUUUGGGUGUUCGAAGUUGUAGUCAAUCAGUUAUAUCCAAUACGAAGAGCGUGCGAAAUUCUGUUUCAUGUUCGCACUUGUUGAUUUCCAAACUAUGCUGGAUCUUUUCAUAAUAAAUCGAAAAAAUUCACAUAUGUGCCCAUGAGAGUUCUUUUUUUAACCGGAGGUCAGACCAAACAGCCUAAAUGCCCAGUGAACAAUGUUGAGCCGGUUUUUCAGUGUUUUACUUGUCCAAGGCCUCUCCCUGCACUUGAAAAAGCUUAGAGAAUUUGAGUCAGAAUAUCCCUUUUUCAAAAUGGCAAUAUGGCAAUUUCUUGUCAUGAAAGGAAAAGAACUGUACAUUCCUCAUCUCCAUUCAUUAUCGGCAUAUUUCAAAUAUGAGACAACAUGACAUGUUAUUUUCAUUGAAGUAUUUGUGGCCAACCGACCAUCCUAAUGGCCGAGUAAUGGAACUUGGUAAAAUGGCAAUCAAAAUGGUAAUUGUGAUAUAACCUUUAUGGUUGUGUGUGUCGAUUCGGAUUAUUAACUAGUGCGUCUACCUUGAAACAAUCAACUUCUCUAGUUGCUCCAUCAAUUUGUCUUUUGUUCCCUUUUUUAAAGUGGAAAUCAAGGUGUCGACUUUUUUAAAUAAUAUCUCAAUAUUUUUUGAAUUUUUUUUAUUAUUUUGUUAUUUUGUUAAUUUUUUUUUUCAUGCCCUUAGGGUCGGCCAGGAUGUGGGCGUGCAGCACCUCGCCCAGACCAAGUGAGGGCUGGCGAGGGUGUGCAGGGAAAAAAACAACUAAAAAAACCAAAAGAAAAAAAAAUCAAAAAAAUAUUAAAAUAUUAUAAAAUGUCCACAUCACUUUCAGCAGUGUCAUGUCAGCGCAUGCUGAUCAAUAUUAGCAAAAUGGACUUAACUGGCACAAAUGCGAAAAGUUUAGAAUUGAAUUGACUAAAAAAAAAUAGAUUCAAUUAGCACAAUUACAAUAAGUUUAUGAGUUUUUUGAUAAUUCUCCCGACAUUGUUUUCUUAUUAAUGAAUUUUGUCUCACAAUUCAAGGUACAAAAUGGUAUUGUUCUUUAGAAAAGCUUGAAAACUUAUAUAUAUUAAAAUAAUUUGGUGAGAACGAAAUAUCUUUUUUAUCAAGGAAUAGAAAAGGAAAAGGAAAGAAAAGCAAACAAGAAAAUAAAAAUAAGAAAAAUUACUCUUUGCCAUGCCAAACCUAACCUAAAGGUAACAAACUGUCAACACGAUACAACUUUUAUUUAUAUCACAAGAUUCUAUAUGCUCUUCGUCCAUUUAUUACUUGUCAACUUUUACGGACUUGAUACAUCAAUGACCCUUUUCCUCUUUCUUUCUUGAUUCAACAAUAGGGGGAGAAAAAAACACAUCAGACCCUUUUCUGCAAAUAUGGACUCGCGGUCUCAUCCAAAUAUGAAGGAAUCGAUUAAUUGCUCAUUGAAUUCAUAUUGCUCGCAUCUAAUUCUAUAGUCAAAAAGCCGAAGCUAUGCUUCGGCAUUGAGUGUGCACAACUCUUUAAUUUGACCACAAGCGAAAUCCAUGCAAGUAGUACAGUCCAACUACCCCAGCACGAUAGCACACUAUCCACGGCCGAAGCAUCUGGCGUUGCUGUAAGAGGCACUGGUGCAUUAGUUGAAUCCCCCGAUCGCGGUGUCAAACCUCAGAUCGGUCAAAACUUGACCCGAAGCUUGUGCAAAAUCGUUUGGGUACCGCAUGCCGUUGCAUAUCUUGUACAUAAGCAUCACAUCCAGGUCACUUCUUACGAGUCAGACCCCUACAAGAGCCCCAUGAACAUAAGUGUGAGCGUAUGCGAUGUGGACAAGGUCAUCCAAGAGCCCUGUUUCCUCCCUUUUGGUCUCUUUGGUUUGCUACGAGGAAACACACACUUGAGAUUGGCUAUAAAAAGAUUUGUCUCCAUAGUGCUAUCCAUCAUUUAUUCUUUGUUAUUAGGCUAAGCUAGUACCAAUUUUAGUAAUUUAUGACGUCACAUGGAUUUUUUUUAUAACUUCCAAAGCUUUUUCUAUGAAUUAUUUGUUCAUUAGUGUAAUAUGUUGUUGCUGUCCUUGCAAACCCUAAUCUCAUAAUUUUUAAUAAAAUCCCCCCCUCUUACUAUGCAUGAAAAUUUUUAAAUUGGAAUCCUCUAAGUCUACGAAAUAAAUUCACAUUACGAUAAAUUACUCACUUCUUCUUUUUCUGUCCUCUUUCUCCUCUUACUUUGCACAAACGUGUCAACCUCAUGUACUAGUCUUGAAUAUAUUUCUAUAUGUAACAUUGUAAAUUUUAGGCCAUGUAAUUAAUGGAGUUCAUGAUAGUUAUAUAACCCGAAUAACACGAUACUUCUACCACUACUAAUACUACUACUAGGAGUGUAUUAAAAAAAUAAAAAAUAAAAAAGUCCGAAAAGCCGGAUCGAACCAUCCAAAUUGGCCUGAUAAUUUUGGGCUCAAAUAAUCCUGGGCCGGCACACUUGACCUCAAACUAUCCUUGAGUUUGGGACUUGAAUGAUUGCCAAACUAGCCCGAUUCAUAGAUCAGAAACUGUACAUAUAUAUGGCCCCUAUGUCAAUUCCCAUUCCUGCUAGUUGAGUGCUUGACUUCUCUCAUUCUCCCAUCUCUCACACUGGUUGAGAUCCGGCCACCGUUGAGCUGCCAUUGCCACCACCGUCGAGCCCCAUUUAUGCGGCCAUCAAUCCCCACACUCACCAUAUGCCCUUCGUCCAAGACGUCUCGCUCACUCCGUCAGUCCCUCUUCUGCUUGCUCACGUCUUAGUCUUCCUUAUGCUCCCUCACUCUAAACCUGUGAUAAAUUUACUCUCUAUCAAAUUUUAUUGUCAAAUUAUUAAGUUGGAUAACACGUGACAAUUGACAAUGGUAUCAAUUUGGGGUUUUCUCCUCCAUUUGUUACAAUCAUAGUAGUUUGUGAUUUUUUAUAGUAUUAAUUCAUUUUAACAAAAACUAACAAAUAGUAAAAUUAUCACAAAUGUAUCAAUUUAUUAUUUUUAAUGGUCAAAAUACUAAUUUGGGGCAAAUGUGUGAUGUACCAAUUUGGAGUUUUUGUUAGUCAAAAAAUUAAUUUGAGAUAAAUUUGUUGCAUAUAUACUGAUUUUAGAUUUUUUGUGACAUUAAUUCUUUAUUAUUUUUUUGUUUAACACUUUAUUAGUUACAUUUAGAUAGUAGAUGGUAGUGGAAAGUGGCCGUUAAUGACGAUUGGCACUUUUUAAGUGCUAAAUGACGAAAAUCGCCUCUGAAUUAGUCUAAAAUCUAAUCCGAGCUAUCAUCAUAAUUUGGAUUUUAAGGCAAUCUAGAUCGAGAUAUCAAAAGAGGAACCUCUCCCUUAAAGAAUCUACAAACAUGGUAAAGCUAUUUUAUAAACCAUAUUCUCUAAUAUCCUUAUGUUCAAAUGAAAAUUUACGUAGAAUAAUAAUCGAGUUGGGAGAAUCAUUACCUACACCCAGUGCAAACAAUAUUCCUCUCAUAGCAUGUAUGAAGGUCUACUAGGAGUGAAACUCAGUCAAAUUAUUCAUGAGUCGUUGGAGCUUGGGUUGAUGACCAUUUGAGAACUAAUAUUUAGUCGAGCUCUAACUCGAGCUACUUGAGUAUCUUGCCAAUUGAAAGCUCAAGCUCAUCAAUACUUAGCUCAAUAAACUUUGUAAACCCGAUUCAAAAAAAUCAAUUGUAAAUAAAAUUAAAUAUUAACAUCCUCAUUUGCACACACGUAAUAUAUAGUAUAUCAUCUUUUUUUUUUUGGUAAAGGUAAUAAUAUUAUAGAGAAGGACAAAUGUACAAAAGAUCAGUUCCAUAACCGACACUCUUAACCGAUUGGCAAAAGUGAAGGGGAGCCGAUGUAAAAGAAACAAGGGCCGAGCCCGCUAGCAAACACUAAGGCGACACCCAAGGAGCACCGGCGCGGUGAUGGACCCAUCAACCCUCCAGUGAAUAGCCUGAGAAUGCGGAACGGAAAUGAGAGCAGCACAUAGCGAUUAAGGAGCAUAUCCACUUAGAAACACGCCCGGGUCGAAGCCCCAUCCUCUUUGAAGUCUUUGAUUCCUCGGAGAGGGAGAGACAUUCUUAAAGGUGUUGGCUUUAUCUCUAACCAUCUUGAUAAGGUGAUUUUCGAGCGCCGGAAGCACAAGAGAUUCACCUCUGAAAAGGAUUGCAUUCCUCUUCUUCCAGAUGAGAUGGCAAAGGCCACCAAAGGAGAACCGAACUAUUCUGUGAUAGAAGUCAUUUCCAGAUAGGAACUUCCGGGCCCAAGAGAGUACCUCAUCCCAGCAUCGGUUUCUCCAAGGAAUGUUGCAUUUGGCGGCCCAGAAGAAGGCCAAAGAAGUCGAGAUGCGACAUCCGAAGAAAAGAUGAUCUCUUGAAUCAGGGACUUCACUACAGAAGGCACACACGACCAUAGGAUAGAAGCAUUACCUGGGUGGGAAGGCGAUUCUUUACAAUUAGCUAGAGAAUGAACUGGUAGCGAGGGACUAUAGCGGAAUCCCAUAUUAGAGGCGCCCAGUUAACCGAAGAUUUCUUGGCUCUAAUAAGGUUCCAUGCCGAUGAAACCGAAAAUAAACCGGAGGGAUGAUUGCACCAGAAAAACCUGUCAUUGCCCGAAGUCAACUCUGGAAGAGAUAUACCGCAUCUCACCAAGCAUUCCUUUAAGGGCCGGCCCAAUGGAGAGAAAAGGUCAGCAACAACCGCAUGGUCAGGGAUGCGAAGUCUAUUUCUGAAUGAUGAGGGCACGAAUGCAUCAAGCGGGCCACACGAUAACCAGUAAUCAUACCAUAGGGACACCGUGUAGCCGUUUCCAACCUUCCAUCUAAAGGAAUUUCGAAAAUAACUUCUAAGUUGGAGAAUAUUUUUCCAAGACCAGGAGCAUAAUUUGGGUUGGGACACAAUCCAGAAGUUCCUUUUGGUUAAGAAGAUGGAAUGGAUCCAACGACACCAUAACGAUUCCUUAUCGUGGAAGAGGAACCAUAUAAAUUUUACCAUUGAAGCUUUGUUGCAAUCCCUCAGAUUCCGGAUACCCAAUCCACCUUCAUUUUUAGGAAGACAAACGUCCUUCCAUGCAACCUUAGCUCCACCACGGCCCAGGGCCGUUCCUUUCCAUAGAAACUGUCUCAUGAUUCUUUCAAUAUUGUCUAGAACCGAGGAAGGAAGAGUAAAUACACUCGUCCAGAAUGAUUGAAUGGCAUGGAGCACCGAACGGAUGAGUUGUAAUCUACCCGCAAAUGAUAAGAACCGGUGAGUCCAAGAUUGGAUUCUAGCAGUGAUGCGGUCCGUCAAAGCAAUACAAUCGGCUUUACUCAGUCUAGAGGAAAUAAUAGGAACUCCCAAGUAACGAACAUGGAGCUUACCUUCUUGAAAUCCGAAUGCCCAGAGGAUUCUAUUUCGAAUGGAGAGAUCACCACCAGAUAUAAAGAUCUCACUCUUAUUCUUGUUAGGAAGGAGACCACUCCAAGAAGAGAAGAUGUCAAGGCCUCUCUUUAGCAUGGACACCGAGGACCAAUCCGCUUGGGAAAAUAGAAAAACGUCAUCGGCAAAGAACAAGUGAGAUAGUCGAACCGGUUUACACCUCCAGAAAUAUUUAAAGUCCUGGUUCGCCGUGCGGGAAGCCAACACUCCAGAAAAUACUUCCAUUACUAAUGUAAAUAAGUAUGGGGACAUGGGAUCUCCUUGUCUAAGGCCACGGCCGCUCGGAAAAAAACCAUGAAGAUCACCGUUAAUGGCUAUCGAGAAUCUUGGAGUCCGAACGCAAGCCAUAACUAAUUUGAUGAAUCCUUCCGGGAAUUGGAAUGCACCAAGAACACUUUCCAAGAAGUCCCAAUCUACCGUGUCAUAUGCUUUGUGAAAAUCAACCUUAACCGCACAUUUUGGAAGAUAAGGAUGAAGAUGGAAGCCCGCAAAGAGUUCUUGGACAAGGAGGAUGUUAUCUCUAAUUCUCCUGCCUUUCACAAAUGCAUUUUGAGAUUCACUGACCACCUCAUUCAACACGGCUGCUAUUCGAUUAACUAGUAUUUUAGUGAUAACUUUGUAAAUGGUAUUACAGCAAGCAAUCGGUCUGAAAUCCGACACAGCACUCGCAUUGGGAAUUUUAGGCACAAGAGCAAGGAUCGUUGCAUUUACCUCUUUGAGUAGUCUCCCGGAGUGGAAGAAGUCCCGAACAGCCAGCAAUACCGAGGGACCUACAAUCUCCCAAUUAGACUUGAAAAAUUCCGAUGGGAAACCAUCCGGGCCUGGGGCCUUGCCCUUUGCAAGUGAGAAUAGAGUGGAUUUGAUUUCAUCAUCUGUGACUGGUUCAUCGAAGACACGAAUCUGCUCAUCAUUAAGGGGUCGGCGUAUAGCACGUUUCAACUCCUCAAAAGAUGGUUUAGAUAAAGCCUCAUGCGGAGAUAGCAAUGAGGAGAAGAAAUUAAUAAAAACCUGGGGCAGCGCCGAGAGAUCAGUUAUAAUAGUCCCAGAGGAAUCUUUAAUGGAUAGAAUUCGGUUACUGAGUUGCCUCCUUUUGACCGAUUGGUGGAAAAAUUUCGUGUUUUUAUCUCCUCCUUUUAGCCACUGAAUUCUGGAUUUUUGACGGUAAAAGGACUCCUCUUGAUUCCUUAGAUCAACAAAAUCCCGACGACAACACCUCUCCCUUUCAGCAAGCUGAGGAUUCAUCGGGUCAGAUUGGAGAUCAGAUUGAACGGCACUAAGGGCCUCUCUCGCUUCCAAUGUUCUUUGUGAGAUCUCCGAGAAAGCUUCUCGGUUGAGGAGCUUGAGGCGGGCCUUUAACAACUUGAGCUUAGAUACUAGCUGAAACAUAGGAACACUAUCACCAACGUAUCCCAUACCUGACGGACAAUGGACUAAAGUCCGGAUGUUCAUCCCAAAAUUCAAAGUACUUGAAUGGCUUCCUUGAGCGAGGCGGUUCAAGAACUUUCACUAUCAUCGGAGUAUGAUCCGAUAUGCCCGGGUUAAGGAAAGCCGCCUCAGAAAAGGAAAAGUCCACGUUCCACUUAUUAUUUACCAACACUCGAUCAAUCUUCCUCAACUUCCUUGAGCUGCCUGCCGAAGUAGACCAUGUAUACCGGAGGCCCACAAAUCUGAGGUCCGUCAACUCAGUUUGAGUUAAACAGUUUGCAAAUUCAUCAAAAUAGGGAAUCCAAUUGGUAGAACUACCAACUCUAUCUGAGGGGUCUUUAAUUGCAUUAAAAUCCCCCCCAACCAGCCAUGCCUCAUUCUGAAAGAUAGCAUUAUAGUGUUGAAGGUCUGACCAAAGCGGUCUACGACGAACAAAAGAAUGUUGCCCAUAUAUAGCAGAAACACAACAACUGGAACCAGUAAUAUUAAACUUAAGACAGCCAUGGAUAGCUUGCUCAUUAAUAGAGAUAGGGGAGAAGGAGACAAAAUCCGGGUUCCACCCGACCCAAAUCCUCCCCCGGGGAGAGCAAUUAUAGUUCGCAACCCAUUUCCAACCCCUAAUAAGGGUGAAUGAGAUUUCAUCAAAACGGUCUUCCGGAACUUUCGUCUCGAUCAGGCCAAUAUAACAAAGAUUAUUAACCGCAACAAGGCGCCUAAUUUCCGCACGCCUUAACGGAUCGAUAAUACCCCUAAUAUUCCAGAAUCCAAAAAACAUCCAAAAAACAUGGAGGAAAUGGCUUACCUCUUCCUAGCGGUCUUGGAGCCCUUAACAGGCUUCUUCGCACCAACAGGGAGAGGCGAAUCUUCCAGCAGCUUAGCAAGCUAAUGUUGCAGGCUUUCAGUCAAGUGCAGAUUCGGUUUAAUGCUUGUGGGUUCUUCAACAUUCGAAGGGUCCUCAUCAGAGGAAUCAUGAACACUUGAAUUACAAAUAUCUUCAGAGGUCUCUUGGACCAUAGAAGGAUCCGAUCCAGGAGGGUCAGCCACAGUAGGAGAUUGAGCGUUUGGGGACUGCAACUCUACUUGAGAGCCUUCUUCUUGGAUAAUAGUGUCACUCUUUUGCACCUGACCUUCCUCCGUAAUAGGCGAUAAGCCGAAGGAUACCGUGGAGUUCGCCGCCCUUCGAGCAGCCUCAGCAGCUUCUCUUGCUGCCUGUUUCUUCCUUUUUUUUUUUGGUCUUUCGUUUAAUCUACUUCCAGCCCAUCUCGGCAUUCUCAUGCUCAAUUAAAUCAGCAUUGAUCAGAUGAUCAUUCUCAGCUGGGCGAGAAGGCACCAUACAAUGAGUGCUUGAUUCUCCAAUGAACAGAGAUCUUGAAAUAUCAGUACCAGCAACCGUAUCUGCAGAAACCAGGUCUCGCCUAGGAGCGUGAGAGCUAUCAUCCUUUUGCUCAUAUGAGGUCGGAACAACCACUUCCUUCCCCUUGGUGGAUACCGACUUAGGCUCAGAGUUCGCUUUAGAAUUAGAUUCUGAAUGAUCCACAUUAGCAUCCUCUACUGCAGAAGGAGCAAGAACAGGAACAAUAUUUUUGCAGCUAUGGCCAAACAUUCCACAUUUGGUGCAGACUAAUGGCCUCCAUUCGUAUUCAACUUCAACCACAUCUGUUUUCCCUUCCGUAACCAAGUCUAUAGACUCGUACAAGGUCUGCUGAACCGUUAUUUCAACACACACACGGGCAAAUGUGAGCAUAGACAUCUGCUCCGUUCUUUGGUCAACAUACAAAGGUCUGCCAACAGCACUAGCUACCUUUCCAAUCGCCUGGGCUGACCAAUACGCAAAAGGAAGGUUCCUUAAUCUCACCCAUAUCGGAACAGCCAUGUGAGUGUCUCUCUUAAGUUCAACUCCCGGCUGCCAUUGCUGCAGUAUAAAGGGGAUUCUCGCCAUGGUUAUAGGACCGCCUUCCAGGAGUUUCCUCCUGAAAUCCUUAUUAGGGAUCCAUAGGAGAAACAAUCCCCUUCCGUUAGACAGGACUUCAACCAAUGCUGGUCCCCAAGCUCUCUUGAGGGACUCUUCAACAACGUUAAACGGUAACUUUCUACCGAUAAAAUAGCCAACAAGACAGUCAUAUAGCUUUGGAUCCGCAGCCUGCAAGUCAGAUUCAUUCAUAUGCACGACUGGUUUGUCACUUACAAUCUGAGGAGGCGAGAAUUCCAGAUCAUAGCCUUUGUUAGCAGCACUAGCUACGGAAGCCCAUGAACGAGGAGCAGGCUUUCUUGAUUCGCCCCUUGAGCGGGGUCGAACAGAUUUAGAUCUACCCCUGAAAGCCGAACGUCCUCUACGAGCUACAUUGGACGGUCGUGAAUUCGCAAUACCAGCAGAAGCAGACGGGACAUUACGAUUCUCCACAGCCAAAGAGGGAACAACCGAAGGAAGACGGUCAGUUCUAGGCGAGGAGCCACUUAAUCGGUUCUGCAUCGGAUCAUCCAUCACAGCAGAAUUUGCAGACAACAGAUCGCAAACCCUAAUCCAUCAGCUUCAGAUUAAUCCGUAAAUAGGAAACGUACCCGGAGCUUCUUGGAAGGGGUUUGUAGAGCAGCGAAAGGCACCCCUUGACAUCUUUUUGUUUGAAUCAAGCUCCGGCAUUAAAUUAGUGUUUGGUUGAGCUCAAAUCUUGUUUUAAACAUCGAGUAUGAAGUUGAGUCGAUCUCGAGUUUGGCAUUGUAGCAGCUCAGGUGGCUCAAUUAGAGACCCCUAGGCCCUAGCUGUGUUGACAUCCGAUUCGAUUAAUAAGAGUCUAUGUAUUCAUUGAAGCAAUUAAGAAUUCCGACGUGCAAAUUAUUAAGAAAUCUCAUUGCUCAAGAUUGGGUUGUGAUCUUCAUCACGCAAGUUUUAAAUCCCCUAUAAUUUUCAAUCCCUAUAUUAACCAAUAGCUUAGAUGAUAAAAGUAAAUGAACAUUAAUAAAUGUAGGAAAUCUUCAAAAGUCACCUUUCCUAGGUCCUAGCUGUAAUCUCGUGGGGGACGUAGCUUGGCUUAAAAAAUCCUUCCUGCAACUUUUCUCCGACAAAAUGGCACUCCAGUUCUCUCUCCUCAGUUCUAUGUAUUUGUUUGUUUACUGAAAAGAGGGCUUUUGCGGCAAUUUUUGUCUCAAUAUAAUUUAAUUUCGGAUAACCAUUUGACAAUUGAAAAAAUCCCUCGGCCGAUAAGAAAUUUUUAAUAUCAAAUGUCCACCUUUGCGUUUUUCAUAUAUUAACUUGGAGUGUACAAAGAGAGAUCCUCGAUAAUUUCAACUUUUUUGAUUAAUUGGUAAAUCACUAAGUUCCGUCAUGCUAGUCUCUCUCAACAAGUACUUCUUAUCAUUUAAAAAAAAAAAGUUCCACUUUUAUUUCUCACAACUUCAAUUCUUAAAUUUUUUCAAUUUUCCUAGAUCUUUAAUUGAAAAAUUAACCCAAUUUCAUUCCGGUUAUCAUUAUAUAUCAUCAACAUAAACUAAACAAUCACGAUAAAUGAAUGUCCUCUCCUUGAAGUAAAUAGGGAAUAAUUAAAAAAAUCAACAAUUGUUAACGUCUGAGAAAUUAAAAAGGGAAGAAGAUCCGUCAGGUUUUCCAGUUCUUGCGUUUCUAGCAUUCGGUCCUCUCUACUUCCUCUCUCUCUCUCCCUCCAACCCUCGAGCCGAGCUGCACCGCCUGGUAGCGGCCUUCGACCGCUACCGCCGCAUCUACACCGUCGGGCCACCUCGGCGUUCAGCAGCAGCGCCGCCCCUCUCUCCGCCUCCUCCGAACACAAACCCCACCCCCGGGCAAAAAAAAAAAAAAAAACAAACCCCUAGUUCCCUCGCUUCGGUUCUCCGGGAUUGCGUGAAGAUGGACGAGGACCAGGAGAUGGAGAGGUUUGGGAUGGAGAACGAUUACGACGACGGGCAGUGGAUCGACGGGGAGUUCUACUACCGGCGGCGAAGGGAGAAGCGCGCCCAGACCAAGGGCGACGUGCUCUACGGCGUCUUCGAUUCGGACUACGACGAGUCCUCCAAGAGGAAGCGGAGGAAGAACAGGGACCUCCUAGGUAACGCCGAUUCGUCGAAGCCCGUGAAUUUCGUGUCCACCGGCACGGUCAUGCCGAACAGAGAGAUUGACGAGAACUCGAUGACAGAGAAUGAGGAUGAAGAAUCCGCUGUCGUGGAUGGGGAUAGGCCGGGCUUGGGGGUCUUGAGAAGAACCAACAAGGGAUAGUGACAUUCAUUGAAGCAAAGUUGCAUCCUAAGAAUAUGGGUGUGGGUUUCAACGACUUACAAGGAAACUCUUGCAAAGGCACCUGUUGCCUCGUUGGGGCCAGAGGAAAAGAAGCCAUCACCUGACGUGCCCGGUAAGGAGAAGCUUUGGUCUAAGCAAGCGAAGAAGAAGACGCUGAAAAACAAAGCGAAGUAUAUUACGGCAGAAGAACUGUUGGCGAAGGAGCGGGAACAGGGCGUUGAAGUUGUGCAAAAGGUACUCGACAUGCGCGGACCUCAGGUUAGGGUGUUACCAGACUUGGAGAAGCUGAAUGCAGAAGAGAAGGCGAGGGAGAGUGAUGUUCCUAUGCUCGAGCUCCAGCACAAUACAAGGUUGAUUCUGGACCUGGCUGAGUUGGAUAUUCAGAAGAUCGAUGGGGACCUGAGGAAUGAGAAGGAGACAGCUCUGAGCUUGCAAAAAGAAAAAGGAGAAGCUGCGAGCUGAGGCAGAACUUCAGAAGAAACAACUGAAUAACAUGAAGGAAAUAAUGAAUACGCUAGCCAAAUCUUUUGGUGACAUGCAAAGAAGGUUUCCUGGCGAUUAUACACAUUGUAACUUAUCCUGCAUUGCUUGCUCAUUCGCACUCCCUCUGUUUAUCAGAGUAUUUCAGGGAUGGGAUCCUCUUCGCAAUCCCUCACACGGGUUGGAAGUUUUGAGGUGGAAAUCUCUUUUGCAAGGACAGGAAUGUCUUGAUAUAUGGCAUUUAGGAUCCCCUUGUACCCAGUUGGUUUCAGAAGUUGUCUCGCUUGCUGUGAGAGGCAUUGACACUUUUUGCGAGCGGUUGGACCACUGGCCCACUGCUAGAUCCCACUCAAAAGUGAAUUAAUAUAAUCUCAAGCAAAAGUUAUAAUGGUCCAACAUAGAAAUAGUGAAUUGAUCCAACUCACUUUUUCUGAGAUCAUAAUAUACAGUAUUUAGUCUAGUUGUUACGUUGCCCAUGCCUUUGCAAAUACAAAAAUUUUCCUUAAAUAAAAAAGUAAAAAACUUGUAAACAAUCUAAGUUAUUAAUUUUUUUCCCCGGUUCGCCAUCUAAUAUUGAUGAUGCUUCGAACUUUAUUAAUUAGAAAACAUCUUUGUGGCGUUGUAUGAAAUCAUAUCUACCCAAAAUGUGAGCGCCAAAAACCUAACAGCCACCGGGAGGGCCAUGGCGGCUCUAGUAGGUAAAGAGCUCAAUAAUCCAACAACUGAGCUAUGCACAUGAAACAAGGGAAGCACAAUCAGGGUAGUCUAACUUUGUUAGUUUGUACACACACUUGAUGUUCUGAACCAAUGAUGCCAAAUUGCGCUGAGUUAGCAGCAUGCAAUUGGGGCGACCCGUAGCGUCGGAGGUGUGCCAAGAGCUACAUCUGAGGGAUCAUUGACAACUUUGGACAUUGAGCCAAGGGACAUUGAGCCAAGGCUCGGCUCUACAUCGGUCGAAGAGAGUGAUUUUGGAAUCGGUGGACUGAAGCUUGGCGGUUGGGUGGUGGAUGUUAAGCUUGGAAGCAGCGGAUUGAGCCCAUCGGUUUCCUUCUUGCGGUGUCAAUAGAAGCUUCGGUUCCGAGUCGGAAAGGUAGAACUUGAACUCCUUAGCUGUGUAGUUGGGGUUGAGCGGAGCUGCAGCGACUCGGCAACGGAUUACAGCCGGGAAACAGCAUCACAAACUGCAAAACGAACACGUAUUUCCAAAUUAGCAAACUGCCCCACUAGUCCGUGCAGAUUGGAGAUAUACAUAUGCAGAAUGUGCAGACAACUAGUUUGUCAUCGUUUGAUUGCAUUAAACCAUCCAUCUCCUUUAGAUAAGCUUUGACUUUGUUUUACGAUGAAGCGUUGCUUAUACAUCCCAAAAAAACAACCUUUGGACGCGACAGAAAAGGCUCUUCAUGCUCUUUCCAAUUCAAUUUGUUCCUGCUCAAUUGGCACCACGCGCUUGCAGAAAUUUCACGCCUCAGAUUCUUUUUUCUUUUUUCGAGCUAUUUCCCACUCGAUCUUUCAUAAACAAUCGAUCUCAUCAUUAGAAAUUUAUUGUUACCGCAAUCUUCUUGAUAUUGCAUUCUCGAAUUUAUACAGCUUCAUCAAGGAAAUUUCUGCAUUUGAAUUGUUGGAUGCAAAUUGCGCAACCCCAAAUCUUCAUAACCAGACAAAAACAUGCAUAAUUGAGUAGAAAGAUUAAUGCACCUGAGAUCCAUCGAACAUAAAACGGAAGCAGGAAAAAGGAAUUACCCACAGGGGAUCCACAAAUCAAGUCAUUCUCCUCUAUUACCCUCCGUAUUACUGGCUCAAUGAGGUGGCCCUCACGUUUAGCAUUAGGUAAACGCUCCUUAAAUGAGGACAUGUAGCGUUAGGUUAACGCUCCUUAGGUGAGGACAUGUGAGAAUUAGGGUUAGAUAAGAGACUUGACCACUAUUUAUAGAGUUUUCAACCAGUUCCCCUCAUUACGGGCCAGGCUCAACUCGGUCCACAUUAGCCAGUUCCAUAUUAGACUAAUUAAGAAACCUUCUAUCUCACUUUAAACCAAAUCUCAUAAAACGAUAAACGUUAAACGGUAAAUUAUAAUAUCAAUUAAUGUAGUCCACAAUUAGGAAAGCUCUUACAUGGAUUCCCAUCAUCACACAAACUGAAAACAUGCGACGUCGUACUUGCGAGGAGAUUCAAUGAUCGGGGGACAUAGAUAUCUCCAGUCGGGGAAAUCCGACGCCACCUUCUUCAACAGGCUCGCGAGACGGAGUCCCUCCUUGGCGAGAUCGCUAGGCUGAAGCUUCAGAUUCAUGCCAUACGGCAUGGAAUUCAGAUUCCGCAAGGCAAUCCGGGGGAGGUGGCGGACGUGGCUGCUCUGUUGCAGGUUUUGCAGGAGAGGAAUUUAAUCCCGGAGAGUGGUUGAGCGCGAGUCUGAUGCUACUGGAGAAGAGAGAGGAGAAGAAAACUGUAGUGGAGGAGGAGAGAGAUGAAGAUUGGGGUUUUCUGUGGCGAUUUUGAGAGAGGUGAGAAAGAAGGGAGAGAAAAAUAAAAACGGUUAUUUUUUUUAUUAUCCGAAUUGAAAAUAAUGCAUGAAAUUUCAGUUAAGUUGCAUUCUAACACCCCUAUUAUAAAUGGACAGCACUAGCGUCGUUAAAUGAUUUUGAAAACAUUCGUGAAAAGAAUCUAGAAUUUAGUUUUCCAUAGAGGAACAAUGGGAUUGACACUAGACUACUCAAGAACACAAGCUAGUAUUGCUGGAAGCCCAGAUGGGAAAGGGCAGUAUGGAAAUAAGUCUCUCUAAGGGAACUGGGACGUCACUUUGUAUAGCAGCAGAACUUCUCAGGCAGAAACAUUGGCAAAUUGGCAGUUUCGCGAGCAUUUUGAAUGAUGCAGGACAUAUAGCAGAGGAUGUGAAAAUGAAGCCUUACAUAUCCAAGAAUUUAUUUACUGUUCAUGAUGCUGCUUCUGCUAUCACAAUUCGAACCUUAAAAGAUCGGAUGAAGCAAAGAAAGGUAAGGGACCACUUUAUUGAGCUAAAUACUGUGCAUAACACAUAAUACCUUGGUAAAAAGAAAAACAGGACAUCAGGUUAAGAUCUCGACAGUAGAGGGAAAGCAAGUCGCACCUUUGAUGUAAAGGUUUCUUCUCGAUACGUAGAGCAAGCACCCUCGAGUUUUCCUGUUUAGAAAGCUCGUCGAUGAAAACCUUCAUUUGUACAACCUGAUUACAAACAACAGAAAGGAUUAAGGAAAUUUAUAAAUAACAUGUCAAAAAAGCUAUAGAAAAUAAUGGUUUAAAGGAUAUGCAUACCGAGAGGUUGCUAUUACGAAACAGAUUGAGAGGGCAACCAACCACAAUUCCAAAUAGUGAUAAUUCAGAUAUAUGCAUAUAUACAAGGAAAUAAGAACCCAAUCAAGCCCCAAGUAGAAACGUGUCCAAGACAAUUUGUCACAAAACUAACACUAUACUACUACUAUUAAUAUUACAACAGGGGGCGUGCCAAAAAAUAGAAAAGAAAUAAAAACAUGAGCCCAAAAACCGAGACUGAACUGCUGGGCUGGCCCCAUUUUUUGUGCUAAAAUAGUCACAAGCCGGGCCACCAUAUCUCAAAAUAUCUUUCAAUUCGACCCAAUAUAAGCAAUUUGGGUUUCAGUUAAAGCUUAAAAGGCCCAUACCCGCCCAGUUCACAAAUUAGAAACAAUGUCUCAUUUUCCUUCUCUCCGGGGCUUUGUCAUCUUACCUUUUCAUGAAUAUUUAGGUCUUGACCUGUCUCAUUCUUUCUUCUCUCACGCUUAACGAGUCAUCGAGCCCCCACCAAGUCGCCACUGCGGCAUCAUCGAGCCCCCACUGUGCGGCCAUUGAGCCCCAACACUCACCAUAUGCCCACCCGGUCAAUCGCAGUCUCUCUAUCUAUCUCGGCUCUCCGCUCCCCCACUCUCUAGCAGCAAAACAAGUUCUUACUAGCCUGUUCUGAUGUCUUCAAAGUUUUUGGUUUUAGGGCAUGCUACUUGAAUUUUUUUUAUGGAAUGUAAAAACAAAAACAAAAUAAACUAAACAAUUUUUUUUUUCUAAUUUUAGAUUGCGUGUGAUCCUAUUGAGUCUAGGCCAAAUGGCAUGGCUUUGAUUCGAGCCAGGUCCUUAGGCUAGAAUAUUCUAAGCCACAUAUUUUUGGACGGGCCAAAAAAUUGACAAAAUCCCACUAGGCCCGCAUUUUAACUCAUUCAUAAAAAGUGUGCUAACUCAAUAUAAAUUUGGAUACACUGCACUAGCGAAUCUAAAUAAUCGAUACAAUGCUAAAAAAAAAGUGAUGACAUGAAUGCACUAAAUAACUUCGUUUGGGAGCACAUGGGACUUGCCAUAUAGUUAUUACUAUCAGUUACCCUAAAUAUUUCAUUUAAUUCAUGUAAUUUCAUAAUUUACUACUACAUUCUUCUUCUUCUUCUUUUUUAUGUCUUUAGCUCAUCGAUAAAGCAAACUAAGCAACUUCCGCUCAUCGCUUCAUUCAGUUAAACCAGUCGUGGGUCGGUCUAUCGAUACAUAGCAUCCAUCAUGUAACCUCACUGGCGUCCUACCGUUCCUCAAACCCCUCGUUGCUCAUUUUGAAAUUGUUCCUCAAACCCCUCAUUGCUCAUUUUGUCACUUCGCUUCAGUGUCUUUUUGUCAAGCAUCUUGGCCUUGGUCACUAAGCAACUUAAUUCAGACUGUAAUGAAUAUAAAUAUCUCCAUAGGAUUCUCAAUCGAUUGUCCUAAACCAAUUGUGAUAAAGUCUAUUAUGCAUGAUUCAGAUUUCCACGACAUCUUUUCAAUCAUUAUUUCCUAAUCUGAAAAGAAGAGCGUAAAUUUCUUACAAGAAAAAGUGAAAAAAUCAUGGAACUUGAAAGUUGAGAGGAUUGCAUCCCUCGUCAAACUAGAAGAACAUGAAUAAAAUGAAAUUCAAAUUAAACUACUCUUAAAAUAUAACUACCGUUGCAGCAGAAACAAAUGAUGACCACAGCAUCAGAAAAGGUCAUCACCAAAGGAUUAAAAUCCAGUCCAAGUUUGGGGCAAGGGCGAUUCCUUCACAGAUUGUAUAAGUGCAUAGAUCAAUGGCGAUUCUGACCCUCCAUUCUUUGCAUUCUUUGCAUGCAGAUCUUGCGUUCCUUCACAACAGAAUACACAUUCAAAACUCUGUUCAUAUAGAACACUUUAACUUGAACCAGAGACAUCAGCAAGCCACGAGACAACAAUUUUCAUGUCAUGCGUCGAUCAUACGAGACGAGAAUCCUAACACCAUUUGACAAACUAUCAUCCUAUUCCAACAAGGUCGGCCAUAAUAAAGGUUUGAUAAGUUAGAACAAAUCGAAUUUAUGUAAUAUCAUUUUGCGGUUCUAGGAUUGAAUCGAAUUUACAUACUGAUCUAGUUCGAGCAUUUCCUCGAACGUGAUACACAUUUCGAUUAAGGAGCUCAUACGCAAAUACAAACCACUGAUUCAAUUUCAGAUACUCACAACAACAACAUUAUUACGAGGCCGAGUUGUUAAUCGAGCUUCAAUCUCAACUGAUUUACUCACAGACAUCAUUAGCUAAAGCUCACUGGCUCUGUUUCGUUUGUAAGCGGCAGAAACAGAAUGUGCGGGAGUUUUUGACCUCGAACGGUGAUCAGAUCACAAAAAAAGUUCCUGGUGGUGUCCACGUUGAUAAUCGCGAAUGGCGAAGGGGGAAAAACCAAGGGCUCGUGCACUUUUGGGCGUCCUGACCAGAAAACAGGGCAGAACGACAGUUGGCCUUGCUGCAGCGAAACCGGCGAUGGCGGAGCGGCUACAGUGGCAGCUAACGGUGUCUGAAGGACGACGGAGAAGGAGAACUGACGAAGAAGCCUCGAGAAUUCCCGAGAAAGAGAUGGCGGACGGUGGAUUCCUGGUGACGAUUAGCGGUGGAGAAUCUUCUGCAACUCGGCCGAUCGAUCGAAAGAGAUUGUGGAUCGUGGGCUGCGGUGAGGCAAAUUGUCUAGGCUGAGGCUUACUCUGAUGGGCCCGGCGCGCUCGUUCGGAAGAGGAAUCCACGAAUGGGAGCUCAGCAAGAGAGAAUUUCUUCAUCGGGUCAACCCAUUUCUAGAAGCGUCUCCAUCUUCGCUCCCACUCUGUCGCCUCGGUCCCCCCGGCAGCCACCGCCGCUCGUCCUCCAUCGCCGGCCACGACAACACUCAUGCGCUCAGCACAGAUCACACAGGGCAGAGAGGCUCAAGGAUUUCUAAACAUCCAGAGAAUUAUCUCUCUUGGCUCCUUGCUUCGUCUGUUGACCUCCAACUGACCUCCCGGAUCGCUAAACCACCAGGCCGUAGCUCUGUUAGCACCGUUCUCCGAUCAGUUUGCUUUGGCUGCUCUGAAUUUGUUCGUUUCUCCUUCGCUGGCUCCGAUCCUCAACGUCAUUGUCUCGCACAACCUCUUCCUCUGAUCCGAUCGUCCUUCGUGCAUCAGAUAAAAUGAACACUAUAAUCUUCCUUCUUCGUUCUUAGCUUCGUGAAGAGAGACCCAGGCAUAUUUGUGUGAUUUUUGUUGUUCAAAUUUACUGCUGGCGUGUCAAUGCGCGCACUAUAAGUGCUUUGUAUGAUCCAUCGCAUGAAGUGCUCACUGUGACAUGUUCAUAUUAAUAAUCUGAAUCUCAAAUCAAUGUUCACUGCAAUGCGUGUUCGUCUGUUAGAUGGUCGAUUCUUGUUUAGUUCUCCCUGCCAAAAAUCUUGCAAAGAUGAUUCCAUCUACAUCUAUGUUAUUUUGGCGGUUUCUGGAUUAAUGUUCCGUAUGUUAGAGGAUCAAGAGCUCCAUCCUACUCUGCUACAUCAAGAGUCAGCCACAGGGGAUCCUCAACUCUGGUAGAUGUAGAUCACCAAAAGACUAUCGUGAAGUAAAUAAGCUGAAGACAUGGAUAACCAGUCUUAUCAACGGUGGAGAUUUUACAAUGCCGAAGACGUGGAUUGCCAAGUCUUAGGAUUUGUCAAGACUGCUAUUCUGUUAUAAAUAGCUGUAAAAGUUUGUUAGUUUGUGUCGGUUAGUUCGUUUAGUCUGUUAUUAGUUUUCCAGCUUCUCUCUAUAUAUAAAGAUAGAAUUGAGCUCAGGAAAAGGUGUGAAGAAGAGAGGAGAGGGAAGAACAGGAGAUUCAAUAUUGAUCUGUUGUAUUUGAUUUCUCUUUGUUCAAAACUUGGAUACAAUGAACUAAGAAUUGAAUACUUCUUGUUCAGAUCCUUUUGCAACUCUAUCGAGUUUAUUCUCUAUCAUCAUCAUCAUUCCUCAUCUUCAUCUUCUGCAUUCUUGGAUUCUCAAUUUCUCAUGGUAUCAGAGCAGAGAGCAUCUGAAUGAAGAGAUCCGUCCAGUAAUAAGUUCUUGCAUCAAGACAGAAGAGAUGAACGAACAAUGAAGCUCUCUGGAUCAAGGUAAUCACAUAAGAGCUCAUAGUAUUACUGUUGUCAUCUUCUUCAAGCUAAAGGAUCGUAAUAAUGGCAAUUAGAACUCCAAAGUACCCUUUUCCGAUACAUAUGAAUAUCUCGAAUUUUGUCACAAUCAAACUUGCUGAAGACAACUUCCUAUUGUGGCAAGCUCAAAUUCAAAGGUUUUUGAAAAGUCAAGAUCUUUUUGGUUUUGUUAAUGGAGACAUUCUUUCACCUCCUCGAAUGCUGCAAAGAGAGGAUGAAGGUUGUGAAACUGAUCUUAUCAAUCCAGAUUACACUGAUUGGACUAGAACAGAUCAGUUGAUUUCAUCAUGGAUCUCUGGAGCUGUUACUGAAAACAUUAUGAGCUUGAUAAUCGGAUUAGAAACAUCAUCUGAAGUAUGGCAAACCCUUCUGAAAAGGUUUACACAGAAGUCAAUUGCUAGAGAGUUCGAACUAAGGGGAAAACUGCAAUCAUGCCAAAAGCAUGAACAAACCCUUGCUGUUUAUCUCAGGGAAUAUAAAUCCAUAUGUGAUCAGUUGAAUGCAAUAGGCAAACCAGUGGAUGAAAUAACCAAAAUGUUUGGUAUAUUGGAAGGUUUAGGUCCUGAGUAUGAAAACUUUCGAACUACCAUAUAUUGUUUAAAGCCUCAGUAUGAGUAUGAUGAGGUUAUUGCCCAAUUAGAAAGGUUUGAAUCAAGGCUCAAGUCCUUCUCCAGGAAUCAAUUCAACCCGAAUUUGGCCUAUUUUGGACAAAGACAGUCUCAGAUACAGUCUAAAGAUACCACAAAUGAAGAUUACAUCUCUCAAGCUUCUGGAUUUAUAUCUCAAAGAGGAGGUUACAGAGGUGGUCGAAGCUAUGGUCGUGGCAGAGCUGUAAACAAUAGAGGUCGUGGUUUUGAAAGAUAUCAGAAUUACAGAACAGAUAUCUUAAAUCCAGGACAAGGAGAUCAACACCCCAGACAGAGAAAUGUUAUCUCUACAACAAAUCAAGGAUUUAGACCCUACACCACUUACUCACAAAGGUGCCAAAAUAUCAAAACUUAUCCAUAUGUAAACUCAAAUAAGAACUUACAGGAUGAGAAAGAAACAAGUAGCAUUCGACUCGAAUGUCAAAUAUGUAAAAGAUCUGGACAUGAUGCUCUUCGCUGCUGGUAUCGGUUUGACAAUUCCUAUCAAGCAGAAGAUAUUCCAGCAGCAUUGACGGCAAUGCAUAUUGAAGACUCAACAGGAAGUGAGUGGUAUCCUGACUCUGGAGCUACAACUCACAUCAGUGCCAAUCCUGGUAUGCUCCAUACCCUUUCUAAAUAUCGAGGACAUGAUACUGUUAUGAUAGGCAAUGGAUCAUGUUUACCUGUAACUCACAUUGGCAACACUUGGCUGAAAACAAAGAGUAGUACAUUACCACUUAAUGAUGUCCUAAUUGUCCCAGAGAUAAAGAAGAAUCUUCUUUCAGUAUCUAAGCUCACAGAUGACUAUCCUUGUUCUUUUAUCUUUGAUAAAACUGGUGUUUAUGUAAAGGACAACAAUACCAAAAUAAUGGUGAAGCUCGGAAGGAAAACUAGAGGGCUUUAUCAAGCUAAUCCACAGACUACAGAAGCCUUCUUUACUCAGCGGCAAAAGACAGUCGAUGAAGACACAUGGCACCAGCGAUUGGCUCACACAAAUACACAAGUAGUUAAACAUUUGCAGAAACAUAAGCUUAUACAAUUUGAUUCACCAUCUAAGAAUGUAUGCAGCAGCUGUCAAAUAGCUAAAAGUACAGCUCUAUCGUUUCCUUUAUCGGAUUCUACAUCAAGCUUUCCAUUAGAAAGAAUUCAUUGUGACAUUUGGGGACCCUCACCAGUCUGUUCUUUUCAAAAGUUUAGAUACUAUGUGAUUUUUGUUGACAGUUUUUCUCGAUACUGCUGGUUAUAUCCUAUGAAGUUGAAGUCUGAGUUCUAUGACAUAUUUGUUCAAUUCCAAAAGUUAGUUGAACGACAGUACAAUCAUCAGAUUAAAAUCUUUCAGAGUGAUGGAGGAGGAGAGUUCGUAAGCAACAGAUUCCAAACUUGUCUAAGACAUCAUGGAAUAAGACAGCUUAUAUCAUGUCCUCACACACCAGAACAGAAUGGGGUCUCAGAAAGGAAGCAUCGACACAUCGUAGAACUGGGAUUAGCUAUGCUAUAUCACUCAAAAGUUCCACUAAAAUUUUGGGUGGAUGCAUUUGUGACAGCUAGUUACAUCAUAAACAUUCUUCCCACACCAAAGCUGAAGAUGGACACACCCUAUAAUAAACUUCAUAAUAGACAGCCAAGGUAUGAUCAUUUAAGGGUGUUUGGCUGUGCAUGCUAUCCUUGUUUGAGACCAUAUGCUGUCGCGACCUCUUUUUUUCUGGCGCCCGCAAUCGGGUACGAGCGCCUAAGGAGGCUAAUGGCUCGGCUGAAUUUAUUAAGCCUGGACUCUCCCAAGUCCACCAAUUCACGACUUUAAUAAUUUGAGUUUUUAACCCAUAAAUCAAUUUUUAAAAUGGAGUCGCCACUAAUCGAUUUGAGGUGGGUUGAUUAGAAACCCAAGUGAAGUAUCGGGAGAAAUACUCACUUCUGCGCAACUAGAGAAAUUAGGAUCGGGGACUUGAUUACACUAGUUAAUCACUAAUGCCAUUUCGGUACCUAAUCUUGUUUAAACCCUAAGGCUUUUUGGAUUUUUGAGAGAUUUUCCAUGCAUUUUUGGGAGGAAAAACAUUUUUUGAGUAUUUUUCUCAUUUUUUUUGGACAUAAAAGGGAUUUUUGGUAUUUUUGGUAUUUUUUGGAAAAUAUGGAAUAUUUUUGAUUUUUUUGAUUUUUUUUCUUUUCUCGGAAAAUAAAAUAUUUUUAAAUAUUUUUUCAAAAUAUUUUUGGAAAAUAAAUUAUUUUUUGAUUUUUCUCGAUUUUUUAGAAAAUAAAACAUUUUUCGACAUUUUUAAAUAUUUUUCGAUUUUUUGGAAAUUAAAACAUUUUUUUAUUUUUUAUUUAUUAAAAUAUUAUUUUUAUAUUAAAAUAACAAAAUAAAACCGACCCGGGUCGGAUCCGCGGGUUGGGUCCGACCCGGGUCGGCGACCCAAAUGCGGACGGGCCCGCGUUGCGGGCUCGACUCGGAUUUUUCAUCUUUUCUUUUUUCUUUUUUUCUUUUUUUUUUAAAAACGACGCCGUGGCCGGGCGUUUGGGGACGCCCGGCCCAGCCCGACGACCCGGGUCCACGACCCGCUCCGCGACCCGACUCCCUGCGAACCCUACCCGACCCGGAUCCGAAUUCACGACCCGGCUUCCGCCGCCCCGGAAUCUCGCGAAACCCUACCCGGUUCCGAGGUGUUUGGCGGCGACGGCGACUAUGGCGGCGACGUCGAAGGUGACAACGGCGGCGGCAACCACUGCAGCCACGACGGCGGUGACAACGUCGACGGCGACGACGGCUAGGUCAACGGAAAACGGCUGCGAUGAACAAUAACGCCCCCCUUUUUACCUUCUCUCGGAUGGGGACGGCGACGGCAGGAGAGCAGUUCGCGAUGGUGGAGGCGACGACGGCAGCAACUCAGCUUCCCGAUCUGGCGCGGCUUCGGCGGAUCGAUCACGGUAAUGGCUCCGCGAGGUGAGGCACGACAACAAGCCGUCGAAGCAACGGCGUCGGGACUGAGGUGAACGGUUGCAGCACGGCGUUCGGCGGCAACAACAGCAGCAAAAAAAACCAGAUCUACUGCGUAGAUCUCGGCCGGACCCUCCUCGGCCUUGAUUCCUCCUCACUUAGGCCAGAUCCGAGCCUCCACAGGCCGGAUCUGACCUUCUCGAAGUCACUCGCCGCCUGCCUUCCCCGAAGUCUCUCGGUGGAAGGUGGGCUAAGCUCGCGACCCGAGCUCUCUCCUGCGCUCGCCCUUCAACCCUUCCCGAUGUCUCUCAGUGAAGGAUUUCCGAGCUCGCCACACCCUCCGACGAUGCUUGCGACCACCUAUUUAUAGGCGAAGGAACUCCGGUCGACAGAGGGGCUCGGUUGCCGGCCUCCGGCUUGCCCACCGGUUCUGCUCGGCCGAACCGGUGUCCCAUCGAGCUUUCCAGCGAAGCUCGCUCAGCAUUGAUGGCGCCUGCGAUCUUAUCCCCUCCGGCCGACGUCGCCCUACACUCCUCGGCCGUAGGCCGUCCUUGGCGCGCGUCGCCGGCCAUCGCGCGUGAGAUGCAAGCGACUGAGGAAGAAGAAGACAGGAGGAAGAAGAAGAGAGAAAAGGGGCCGGGCCAAGGGUGAAGGAAAAUGGGCCACAUGGGCCACGCGGAGGGGGAAGAGAAAGGGAAAAGAAAAAAAGGGCUGGGCUUUUGUUGUUUUUUUUUUGUUUGUUUAUUAAUUAUCUUAUUUAUCCGAAAUAAAAUAAAAACUUAAUUAAAUAAAAUUAACCUAAGUAAAAUUGAGGUGUCAACAGCUGCCCCUCUUUGAAGGUGAGCUCGCGGAGGUUGCAUUCAAAGACAGACUGAUGCCUCAAUUUUAUCCAUACAUGCAUAGCAGAUUAUAUUUUAUUUGGGAUCUAUUAUUCUAUGUAGGAAAAGAGCAAUAUAACUUUACAUAUACUAAGACAGAUAAGAAGAUACCUGUAGUUACUUACCGGGAGUGAGUGAGAUAGGGUGUGAACCCCGAGUUUUGGCAAGUAUCAAGGCGUCAUCUUACCUGGUGAUAUGAGGAGGUUGCUUUUCCAGGGCUCGAACCAUUCUUCGGUUACCUGUUAAAACAAUCAAUGAUUUUUCUAGGGCCCGAACCUUUCUUCGGUCGCCUUGACGGGAGACUGCUCUUCCAGGACCCAAACCAUUCUUCGGUCGCCGUGACAGGAAGUUGUUUCUCCAGGACUCGAACCAUUCUUCGGUCGCCUGUUAAAACAAUCCAUGAUUUGUCUAGGACCCGAACCUUUCUUCGGUCGCCUUGACGGGAGAUGCACCGACCUUUCUCAGGGCAUCUCAUUUGUGGGUGCCUGAUUUGUAUCAAGGACACCAGUUGGAACCCGACCUUUCUCGAGAGGAUGCGCCGACCUUUCUCAGGGCAUCGAUUUGUGGGGCGUCUGACUUCUGUCGAAGACACUAGUUGGAACCCGACCUUUCUAGGGAGAUGCGCCGAUCUUUAUCAGGGCAUCGAUUUUGGGGGGCGUCUGACUUCUGUCGAAGACACCAGUUGGAACCCGACCUUUCUCGGGAGGAUGCGCCGACCUUUCUUAGGGCAUCGAUUUGUGGGGCGUCUGACUUCUGUCGAAGACACCAGUUGGAACCCGACCUUUCUCGGGAGAUGCGCUGAUCUUUAUCAGGGCAUCGAUUUUGGGGGGCGUCUGACUUCUGUCGAAGACACCAGUUGGAACCCGACCUUUCUCGGGAGGAUGCGCCGACCUUUCUCAGGGCAUCGAUUUGUGGGGCGUCUGACUUCUGUCGAAGACACCAGUUGGAACCCGACCUUUUUCGGGAGGAUGCGCCGACCUUUCUCAGGGCAUCGAUUUGUGGGGCGUCUGACUUCUGUCGAAGACACCAGUUGGAACCCGACCUUUCUCGGGAGGAUGCGCCGACCUUUCUCAGGGCAUCGAUUUGUGGGGCGUCUGACUUCUGUCGAAGACACCAGUUGGAACCCGACCUUUUUCGGGAGGAUGCGCCGACCUUUCUCAGGGCAUCGAUUUGUGGGGCGUCUGACUUCUGUCGAAGACACCAGUUGGAACCCGACCUUUCUCGGGAGGAUGCGCCGACCUUUCUCAGGGCAUCGAUUUGUGGGGCGUCUGACUUCUGUCGAAGACACCAGUUGGAACCCGACCUUUCUCGGGAGAUGCGCCGAUCUUUAUCAGGGCAUCGAUUUUGGAAGAUACCUUGGAUAUUUGUGAAGGUCUCUCACCUCUUGGUAAUGGGAAUGUCGAGGGUGUGCCCCGCUUAUUCAUGAAGGUGUCUCACCUCUUGGUAAAGGGGAAUAUCGAGGAUGUACCUGGGAUAUUCGUGAAGGUUUCUCGCCUCCUGGUAAUUGGGAAUAUUGAGGACGUACCUGAGAUAUUCGUGAAGGUCUCUCGCCUCCUGGUAAUUGGGAAUAUUGAGGACGUACCUGAGAUAUUCGUGAAGGUCUCUCACCUCCUGGUAACAUAAAUUUGAGUGUAGCACAAGACUUACCUGGAUGGCCGCAGGCACUUAAAAGGGGUGGAAAACCUGGAUAGCCACAGGUGUACAAAGUACUGGAAUACUUGGAUGAACACAAGUAUUUAAUGAUAUAACAUGGGACUACUCAGUUGGUCCAAGUGUAAGAAAGCAUACCUGGGUAGGUGCAGGCACACAAAGCAGUGGAAUGCUUGAACAGCUGAUAUUAUUUGGGGACAACUCGGGCAAGUUGAGUGUCAUGAAAAGGAAGUACCUAGACAAUAGUGGGUACUUUGAUGAUAUGGGGAUACCUAGACAGCAGUAGGUAUUCCAAGAGAUACUUGGUCAGUCACAAGUAUCAAUACUCUGGGGACAACUCGGACAGGUCGAGUGUCAGAAAAAGGGAGUAUCUGAACGGCGACCGGUACUCAAAGAUAACAGGGAUACCUAGACAACAGUAGGUAUUUAACAAUAAAGGGAUACUUGGUCAGUCACAAGUAUCAAUACUUUGAGGACAACUCGAAUAGGUCGAGUGUCAAGAAGAGAGUACCUGGACAGUGAUAGGUACUUUAAGACAAAUGGGGAUAGAGAUAUGCUUACCCGGCAAUAUCUCUGAUCUCUAAGAGUAUGUCUGCUAUUUGCAUAGUAUGCACACAUGAUUGUAUAUGCUGUAAAUUCAUGAGUUCAAAUGAGAUUCAUGCAUGAUAAUUUUGUCAGUUUUGCAUCAUCUGAGUUCCACUGGGGAAGAUUUUGAAAGACAACCUUCAUUUAGAAUGUAGAUGUCUUGAGCAUGCCAGACGAGGGACUUUCAGUCUGAAAGGACUUUCCGCUCACUCUCAUGGAAAAGGCUAUCCUGACCAUUGAUGCAGGAUUUAUAAGGACCACACUAUCUCACUGUCAUCAUGUCAGCAGGGGUCUGAGUAUUCUCGCAAACAGUACGACUUUACCAAUGUGAGAGGUCUUUGUUGAAAUUGUGAUGAAGACUUGGUCAAUAGCUCAUCAAAUGGGACCGUCGAGGUCAAGGCUCAUGAAUGAAGUGCCGCACGAUCAUCUCCAGGUUUGCAAGUCAAGAGUCCUGCGAAAAGAGAUAGAAUAGUCUUGCUCGUACUUCUUCGAGCGAUGCUUAUAGACAUAUGAAAUCCUACGUUAAUUGAAGUGCCCCUAGUCUGAAGAGACUUUUACAAUGGGAUGCAAUGUAGGAUUGAUUCAUGUGUAAAAGGGUGAGAGCUGGUGAUUGUCUUGGCAUUUGUCACCAGUCUUCCUUCUCACUGUCAAAUGGAGGCUCUAUCAAUUGAACCACAACAACAACUUUUCUUAACUGUAUUUUUUACUGGGGGGCAUUGGCCUUGCUUUUACCAGGCACACUGCUUUUUUCAUGCCCCUAUUUUUAUUCCAGUUCUCCAUUCAUGGACAUUGACCUUGCUUUUACCAGGUACACUGCUUUUUUAUGCCCCUGUUUUUUCAUUCUUGUUGCUUGAGAGCUGAUCUUGACAAGUUCAAGCAAAUGCCUUUGUUAGACUAUUGAGUCUUCAUCUUUUGCCGGCGCUUCUGAUUAUGCUGCUCAAACAGCAGUGGCUUUUGCUUUGCCUCCAUGUGAGGGUGAAUUUACAAACUCAAUUGAGUUGUACAAUGGAUACAAGUGUAUAAAGAAAGAGCUGCUCUUCAUGACUCUAGGGCACUUAAAUUAACGCGAGUGUUCAUAUGUAAUAAAGACACUCAAAGAUUGAUGCAAGUGCAAGCAAGAAAAUUUCUAUCUCUCUUCUCACCUUGUGAUGCUGCUUUGUCUCCAAUCUGCCCCAGUGUGGGGUGGUUCUUGACGGGGGUAUGAAAGAAACUUCACCAAUGUAUGGGGCUCAAUGGGGUGAGCGAUGGAAUGCCUCUCACUAUUUUGGUUAUCGUACCAUUCGCGAGAGAACUCUUUGCCCUGCAGUCAUGGAAUCUUCUGCACUCAUCUCACAAGUGUAUAGAUGGGGGACUGUGUGUAGGAUAUGGCUUGUCUUUCAUCAUUCUGACGUGCCUUACCCAGCACGCUCAAUUAAUCUUGUAUUAUUCACUUAGCUGUCUAUUCUAAUAAUUCUCAGUGGAAUCAGUGAUUUAGACAGACAAAAUCAUCAUGCAUAAUUCAUCUGGAAACGACAUGCAACAUUUUGAAUAUGAUGGAGUUUGAACUCUUCAAAACAAGUGAAUGGUUUUGACUCGCAAAAGACCCUAUUGACAACUUUAGGGGCUAACAUAAUAGUGUUUCCAAAUAUGUUAGAUUUUGAACAUCAAAAGGGUUAUUUGCAAAUGGACGUCGAUGGUUGUCCCUAUUGAUUAGGAAUAUGACACAUGAAUGAUCAGUCGGGGUUGGGAAUCUGAUCGGGCAUCUCUGCUUUUGCCCCUGCAGAAGAGAAGAUGUACAAGUAGAUUAAUUAGUCUGGCCAAAAUCAAAUGUGAGUUGAGGCCUGAAGGAUCUCUGUCAUUUGCUUUGGCAAUACUUGAGACGCCAUUUUGCUUGGGAGAGUUUGUCAUGCCUCUCAUUGAUUUGUGAUUUUUGUUUUUGACAGUCAGUUAAUCCUGCAACAAACAAGACAUGCUUCUCAUUGAUUCGUUAUCCUUGCUUUUGACAGUCAGGUGAUCCUGCAACAAACAAGAGGGAAUGUGUUAGUCAUGAACUCUUUCAAGAGUCAAAUAACUGGAAUCGAUACAACUUUACCCUUCACUGGUUUGCAGAUGAUUGGGUGAACCUGAAGUGAGAGGGGGACAUGAAGUCCUAUGUCCCUUGCUUCAUUAGGUCAAUUAUUCUCUGAAUUAGCUCCUGGAUGACAUGUCUUUUUACACGAAGCCAGGUGAAUUUGAUGUGGGUCAUUUCCACGUACUAGCUUGGCCAAUAUUGAUUUGCCUAACCAUUGAGUUUGGUUCUUGAGUUGUGAUGCUCCCUGCCAAUAGGGGGAAUAUGUCAAAAAUGAAUUUAAAGAAGGGGGAGUAUUGGAAACGAUACCAAAUUACUCUUCUCCAAAGUCUUGAUAUUUGAAUGUCGAUGACAGCCUUUUCGUCUUGGCAUAGUUUGACAUUUCUUUCAAUUGGCCUUCCUCACUUGUGACCAUGUAUGCGUGAUUGUUGGUCGUUGAUUCAUCUUCAACGCCUUCCUUAUAUGGAAUUUCUCUUUCUGUCUUUAACUAUAGCAUCAUUGGGCAAAAGUCAUGUACCUCAAGCUUUUAUGGAAUCUGAGAUCAAAAGUCUCAAGCUUUCUGAUGGCAAUUACUCCUCGGAAGAAUACGCGUUUGGAGUGAAGUUUCUAGAUUCCAAGAUCAUUGUCCAGGGUGUGGGGCUAUAGAUUGCUUUGACUGUCUAGAUUCUCUCCCUGUUGACAGUAAUCACUUUAAAGGAAGAUAAGCAAAUCCUUCUUUGUGCUUCUUGGCUUGUUGGAGCUGGAAGUCCUGUCAAUGAACUCGGGACAUCCUGCCUCGAGUUAUCAUGCUAUGCAUGCUUCAAGUUUGAUAAUAUGCAUGUGCCUAUUACAUCCCAUCCUUCGUUUCCUGUAGAUGGAAGAGAGAGGAUGUUAUUUUCGACAUUAUGUUCAGGGAAUAGGACUUACCAUUUUGAAACGUGAUGAUCAUUUAUGUUUGCCCUCGCUUUCUUGGAAGGGUGUCUUUGAAUUUGGUGGGUUCACCUGAUGUGCUUGCUUCAAAUGCCCGCUGUCACACUAAGUUAAAGGGGACGGGAAUGAUCUUCUGAGACAUAAAGUGAGUGAGUCAGAAAGACAGACAUGAUUAAAUUUAUCAUCUUUUUUGAAAGAUUUUGGUGAUGAAGUGUUUUCUAUUUUCAAAAUAUGUAUUCAGGGGAGAAAAAAGCAUGAGGAAGCCCAGCCCUCAGUAUUCUCCUUGGAUAUAUUUUUUCAUGGUUGGAUAGCAUCACCGGGCAGGUUUGGAGUACCGCCUCAUGCUCUUAAACAAAAUAUUAGAAUUGUACAUUAGAGUACUUGAAUGGAAAAUACAACAAUAGCACACUAUACAAGAUGAGAAACAUGAAAUUAUAAAAACAAGUAAAACUCAUGAAAACCCCUGUGUAAAGGAGCGCUUUGAUAGUGCUGAUCUUGAAGCUAAGCGUCUUUGAAUUCCUCGCCUUCAGUAGACUCGAAGUAUUCGCAUGCGAUGACUACCUCGUUGAAGUUACGGAAGUGUAACCCAUGCAGCCAACAGCGAUGCUUGCAGGACAAAACUUCUAUGAACUGCUUCAUUAACUCCUCUUCAGCCAGUUGAGGGUGGGUUUGCAUCAUGAAAGCCCUCCACCUCCUUGCGUAUGCUCGGAAAUCUUCCAUUGGUUUUCUUGUGAAGUGAGCCAAGCUCUCACAAGGCAGUUCAGUUCCGAUCUGGCUUUGGUACUGAUGCAAGAAUGUGGAAGUCAGCUCAUUCCAAUCCUUUAGAAGAUAAAUGUUUGCUGUGAUAAACCAUUGCAGUGCAGACCCCGUAAGAGUUUCUUGGAAUGCCUGAGUUGUGAACGACAUCGGGCCAUAGUACCGACUCAUUUCGGCAUGGAGAUACUGCAAGUGGGCCAUGGGACAGGCUGUGCCGUUAUAUUUGCGGAGAUUUGGUAUCCACAUUUCUAUGGGGCUCAUGAUCCUACGAGGGCAAGACGGGCUUGAUGUAUCUUGGUUAGGCCACUGGUUUUCCCACUGCAUAUCUGUGGUGGUGGUGAAUUUUUCUGUUUCAGGGAAGCUGGACUCUAUCGAGAUUACCCCAUUGCUUUCUUCCGGGUCAAAGUUACCGAAGAAGGAUGAGGGAUUUAAGCUAUCCUCAUGGUCAGGUGACGAGCUUAGUACUUCGUUAGGAUCGUAGCGGAUAAAGACGUAUGCUUCUUCUUCUAACGGGCCUUCAUCCCCGGAUGAGAGUAGGAAACAGUUAUACGAUGAAUCGUCAGUUGCAUUGUCGAAAUAACGCUGGAAGUCUUUAGGAUUGUAUUCUAGGGCCGGGAAGUCUUCAAAGCUGUAUUCUUGGGAAUGCUCGAAGCUUUGGUGCGGUGGCUCAUCGAUAGAUGCUACAUUGAUUUGCUUAGGCUUUCUUUUCUUGGCUUCUGGUCCAGACCUUUUGAGUAAGGCUCUUCGUUUUGCCAGCUCGAUUCUGUCAAAGGAAGUGAGAGACAUUGGAGUUUCACUAUCUGAUUCACUUCCCAGGUUGAUAGGGGUUGGUAUUCUUUGGACCCUAGCUCUUGGAGUAAGCUUGGGGAGUUGUCCAGUCGUGCCCCGAUCUUGAACAGGCUCUGUGUCUUUGAUCUCGUACAAAGGCUCCUUGCCUUUCAUAGUGGGAAAUUUUCCAGUAACAGGGUGUUGUUCAGUUGCCCAUUUAUCAUGCAAGGCUUUAUUGACAUGCUCUUCUCCUAUCUCAGCGACUAACGGUUCCUCGUGCUCCGCGAUCAUCGGCUCUUCGUAGGGUAGGGUGAUGUCAAGAUUAUACUCUUGGUGAAAAACAUGAAUUAGUUCCCUCCAGGUUUUAAGGGGAUUAAUCUUCUUGAUAAUGUACCACCGCAAGGCAGGGCCAGUCAAGCUCGAUUGGUACGAUUGAAUCAUCCUUCGGACCAAGUAGGCCUGUAGGUAGGUCUCUGGGCGGGAGGUAUCAGCAUACCUUUCGCAUUCAGGUGCUUUGAGUUUUUCAGGGAUCUCAAUGCCGGCGUAAUUGGAUAGGUCCAUGGGAUUCUGCUCCUGUAGCUGGCUUAACUUUUUCAUAAUCCUUUCAAACUGUCUAUGGUACUGGCUAUUUUCUGGCAAAUUUGCAGGUGUCAUGACGGUGUUUGAGGCAACUAUGGAGUUGGGCUCAGCUUGAGUGGAUUUCAUUUGUCUUGAGAGUUGUUGAAGGACAAUUGACAUCUGUCCUACGUCGUCUUCAAUGUUAAUAAGGCGAUUUUGUGCAUCAUUCUGAUCGGGCCCUAAUGCAUGAGGCCAGUCGUGAGCUAUUGGUGGCCGGCGAUUCAUAAUUACCUGCUCGUUGCGAAAACAAUGAAUGAGCACGAAAGUAAACAAAGAUUGACCCAUGGCAAUGGUCUAAUUGCUUUUUCAUUUAUCAAAAGAUGAUUUAUAGACUGCCAACUCCUAACAUCUAGGACUUGAAAUUGAAAAGACAGGAGGAAAUACUAGAUAUUAAACAAGAGUCCCUAAACAAUGGGACAUAACUUUCACACUAUUUACACUAAGGGGCACAUGAUUGCCAAUUUAUAUGCGACGGGGAGCCUUGUUCUUGCGAGAACACCUGCUUCCUUGAACUGGCUCUGAGGUGUGCAUCCAGUCCAUUCCCGAAUCCCUCUCCAUGAGCUCUGCUUGCUCGUGUUGGCUGCUCUCGCUGAUCAAGUGAGGGACUAAUGGCUUCCAUCUUGUCGGGAUGCGAUGGUUGUGGAUGUAGGACAUGGAGGCGUGGUGGGCUUUUUCUUCUCCCUCAAGCCCUUCAGGUACCACGAUCCUUUUACGAUGGCACUUGUUCCAUGCUUCUUCAUAAAUGUCAACCAUGUAUUCAAAAUUUCGAUGAGUGAAGAGAAGUGGAGGGGUCCUCUUCUUGAAAGAUGGCGGGAUCUCCUGAAGGGCUCCAUACUGUCGUGCCACCCGUUGUGGGAAAUAGGAAAAAGCACCGGUGAGGCCGAGCAGCGGAAUUGGAUGGCGGCGCUUGAAAGCAAAGUGAGCUCUCUUUUCAUAGAACCAACCAGCACGCCAUUGGAAUGCCUCAGGAGCCGGGUCUCUUAGGAAAUUUAUCCAAUUUAAACAGCUUUGAUUGGGAAUGUAUGGUCCUAAAACCAUAAAUUUUUGUAAUGGAUUUUCGAAGUCAUUCAUUCCAGAUGAUCGCAUGAAGCCCUGGAAUUCGCUUAGGUGAGAAAAGAACCAGACUUGUAAAAUUUCAGGAGAGGCUCGCAUGAUUUUCUCCGUGUUGUCUUUAAAACGAUUAAAGGACAAGAAUGUUUCAGUUAAAAUCAUAUUGACAUAAUUUUGCCCUCUCAAGAUUUGAUCAACUAUCCAUGCCAUCUUAGGACUUAUGACAUUUCUUUGAUGGGGGAAAAUGAUGAACCCAAAAAAGCCCAGGAGGAAAAUCUCACUUUUUUGGGUCAUAGGCUGAUUUUGAAAACAGGCGUUCAUGAAUUCUAGUGGGCAGGUAUUGUUGUUGCCUUCAAGAAUUUGUCUCAUGACAUGGAUUUCAGUUCCUAAAAGUCGCGCUAACCCCUGCCACGGGAGGAAGCCUGUCGAUGGCUUAACAAGCUUUUUCUCGAGAGGCAUUCCAGUGAUGAUGCUGUAUUCUUCCAGAGUUGGGGUUAGCUCAAACCCACCAAACAUAAAAGUAGUCGUUUUCAAGCACCAGAAAUGUGCCAUGGCCUGUAUGACUUUGGGACGAACAGUGAUUUGAAUCAACGAUAGGAGAUGACCGAUUUUGGCCUUCACGCGCUCUUGGGCAAGCUGGUCCAAUUGACCCCACCAUCUGAAGAGUUCCGCCUUAGGAGCACGAAUAAACUGGAUAUCGUCUUUCCCCAUUGCAUAUAAACUGAGACUUGAAAAGCUUAUCCUAAAUUGCCAUGGGCCAAAUAAAAAGACUGAGUAACAGUAAAGAAAUCACUUUGCUUUUUAAAAAAAUUGCAAGCACCAAGACAUACAGAUGGGAUGUGCGGCUCGAUUUCUAACUCAGAAGGAUUGGUGAGAUUAAAAGGAUAUCCGCCCGUCGCAGUCUCGCGUUAGCAGCAUACCCUCUUAACCACGUCUAAGAAAUUCGAGGAAAAGAAAGGCGACCUCUACAUCGCAGUCUCGCGUUCGAGGUCGUAUCUUUCUUAACACCAUCCUAGAAAUCCUAUGGCGGCCCAGGUCCGGCGGCCGGGUUGUGUGUGCCAUGUGUAGUGUUUAAAACAGUAAAGCAUGCACAACAGUUUAUGAUCACAAAACAUUUUAUUUUAACAGAAUAAAAAAACUUUAAGCUAUUAUCCUGCACAAAAGAAAAAGACCCAAGUUAGCAAAGUAUUUAAACAAAGAUAAAAAUGGCCUAAGUCCUCAAAGUCCCAAGCGGAGUCGCCAAGCUGUCGCGACCCCUUUUUUUCUGGCGCCCACAAUCGGGUACGAGCGCCUAAGGAGGCUAAUGGCUCGGCUGAAUUUAUUAAGCCUGGACUCUCCCAAGUCCACCAAUUCACGACUUUAAUAAUUUGAGUUUUUAACCCAUAAAUCAAUUUUUAAAAUGGAGUCGCCACUAAUCGAUUUGAGGUGGGUUGAUUAGAAACCCAAGUGAAGUAUCGGGAGAAAUACUCACUCCUGCGCAACCAGAGAAAUUAGGAUCGGGGACUUGAUUACACUAGUUAAUCACUAAUGCCCUUUCGGUACCUAAUCUUGUUUAAACCCUAAGGCUUUUUGGAUUUUUGAGAGAUUUUCCAUGCAUUUUUGGGAGGAAAAACAUUUUUUGAGUAUUUUUCUCAUUUUUUGGACAUAAAAGGGAUUUUUGGUAUUUUUUGGAAAAUAUGGAAUAUUUUUGAUUUUUUUGAUUUUUUUGAUUUUUUUUCUUUUCUCGGAAAAUAAAAUAUUUUUAAAUAUUUUUUCAAAAUAUUUUUGGAAAAUAAAUUAUUUUUUGAUUUUUCUCGAUUUUUUAGAAAAUAAAACAUUUUUCGACAUUUUUAAAUAUUUUUCGAUUUUUUGGAAAUUAAAACAUUUUUUUUAUUUUUUAUUUAUUAAAAUAUUAUUUUUAUAUUAAAAUAACAAAAUAAAACCGACCCGGGUCGGAUCCGCGGGUUGGGUCCGACCCGGGUCGGCGACCCAAAUGCGGACGGGCCCGCGUUGCGGGCUCGACUCGGAUUUUUCAUCUUUUCUUUUUUCUUUUUUUCUUUUUUUUUAAAAACGACGCCGUGGCCGGGCGUUUGGGGACGCCCGGCCCAGCCCGACGACCCGGGUCCACGACCCGGCUCCCUGCGAACCCUACCCGACCCGGAUCCGAAUUCACGACCCGGCUUCCGCCGCCCCGAAAUCUCGCGGAACCCUACCCGGUUCCGAGACCCGGAUCCGAUUCGACAACCCGGAAAUCGCAAACCCUAGGGUUUGCGAUUCCGCGGCGCCGAAGAGGGGGAACCGAGGUGUUUGGCUGCGACGGCAACUAUGGCGGCGACGUCGAAGGUGACAACGGCGGCGGCAACCACAGCGGCCACGACGGCGGUGACAAUGUCGACGGCGACGACGGCUAGGUCAACGGAAAACGGCUGCGAUGAACAAUAACGCCCCCCUUUUUACCUUCUCUCGGAUGGGGACGGCGACAGCAGGAGAGCGGUUCGCGAUGGUGGAGGUGACGACGGUAGCAACUCAGCUUCUCGAUCUGGCGCGGCUUCGGCGGAUCGAUCACGGUAAUGGCUCCGCGAGGUGAGGCACGACAACAAGCCGUCGAAGCAACGGCGUCGGGACUGAGGUGAACGGUUGCGGCACGGCGUUCGGCGGCAACAACAGCAGCAAAAAAAACCAGAUCUACUGCGUAGAUCUCGGCCGGACCCUCCUCGGCCUUGAUUCCUCCUCACUUAGGCCAGAUCCGAGCCUCCACAGGCCGGAUCUGACCUUCUCGAAGUCACUCGCCGCCUGCCUUCCCCGAAGUCUCUCGGUGGAAGGUGGGCUAAGCUCGCGACCCGAGCUCUCUCCUGCGCUCGCCCUUCAACCCUUCCCGAUGUCUCUCAGUGAAGGAUUUCCGAGCUCGCCACACCCUCCGACGAUGCUUGCGACCCACCUAUUUAUAGGCGAAGGAACUCCGGUCGAUGGAGGGGCUCGGUCGCCGGCCUCCGGCUUGCCCACCGGUUCCGCUCGGCCGAACCGGUGUCCCAUCGAGCUUUCCAGCGAAGCUCGCUCAGCAUUGAUGGCGCCUGCGAUCUUAUCCCCUCCGGCCGACGUCGCCCUACACUCCUCGGCCGUAGGCCGUCCUUGGCGCGCGUCGCCAGCCAUCGCGCGUGAGAUGCAAGCGACUGAGGAAGAAGAAGACAGGAGGAAGAAGAAGAGAGAAAAGGGGCCGGGCCAAGGGUGAAGGAAAAUGGGCCACAUGGGCCACGCGGAGGGGGAAGAGAAAGGGAAAAGAAAAAAAGGGCUGGGCUUUUGUUGUUUUUUUUUUGUUUGUUUAUUAAUUAUCUUAUUUAUCGGAAAUAAAAUAAAAAAUUAAUUAAAUAAAAUUAACCUAAGUAAAAUUGAGGUGUCAACAUAUGCAAGCCACAAAUUUGAUCCUCGAUCUCUCCCCUGUAUCUUCUUGGGUUAUAGUAAUCAGCACAAAUGAUAUCGAUGUCUGGUAUCAACUAAUAAUCGUGUAUACAUCAGUAGACAUGUUGUCUUUGAUGAACAUUCUUAUCCUUUUAUAAAGAAGUUGGUCAAUGAGUAUGGACAGUAUACAAAUCUAUACAAACAAUGGAUUGAAGGAAUACAUUUCCUUGAACCUUCAAGAACCGAGUUAACAGACAAUGGUUCUUUGCAUCAGUCAGCCAAAACCCAGAUCCAUCCUGAUCUAGAUGAUUGCUAUAAUCAUCACCUAUGUCAUAGACAACAAUCUCAGACCAUUUCCUCGAGAACUAUGUAGAAUGAGAGAACAACAGAUGAACAACCUGUCAUGGCUUCAAUAGAUACUAUGCCUACAGAUCUAUCUACCUCUCAGGGACAACAUAUUACCAGCUCUUCAUCUUCACACAAUGAUCUACCAGCUGAAAGUAGUUCUGGUGAAAGGUACUACAAUUCCAAUUCCAUUAUGUCUUCUUCUCAAGGUACUCUUAAUAAUCAUCAUAUGCAAACUCGACUAAAGUCUGGGAUUAGAAAACCAAAUCCAAAGUAUGCUUGUUUAGCUGAGUAUCAAGUUCCUAUGGAACCACGGUCUAUCAAAUCAGCCUUAACUAAUGAAGCCUGGUACAGGGCUAUGAAAGAAGAAAUGGAUGCUCUUGAUGAAAACCAAACCUGGACAUUGAUUCCUAGAACUGACCAGAUGAAUGUGAUAGGCUGUAAGUGGGUAUAUAAGACCAAACUCACACCAGAUGGGGGUUUUGACAGACUCAAAGCUCGUCUAGUCGCCAAAGGCUUUCAUCAAGAAGCAGGACUUGACUUCACUGAGACUUUUAGUCCAGUCGUGAAACACACAACAAUUCGAAUAGUGCUAUCUCUAGCCAUGAUAAAGCAAUGGCAAAUACAUCAGCUUGAUGUUAAGAAUGCUUUUCUUCAUGGAGAUUUGAACGAGACUGUAUACAUGGAACAGCCACCUGGCUUUAUCCAUCCUCAGAAGCCAAGUUAUGUCUGUCUGCUUCAAAAGUCCCUAUAUGGUCUUCGACAAGCACCAAGAGCUUGGUUCGAUAAAUUCAGCAAGUUUUUACUUGAAAGUGGCUUCUUCUGCAGCACAUCAGAUCCAUCCUUGUUUGUUCUUCAUACAGACUCCCAUACAGUCUUAUUGCUACUAUAUGUUGAUGAUAUCAUCUUGACUGGCAGUUCACCACAUCUCUUAACUACCCUUAUUCAGAAACUAGUCUUCACUUUCAUAUGAAGGACCUUGGAUAUCUUCACUAUUUUUUGGGCAUUGAAGCCAAACGAACUUCAUAGAAACUCUUUUUGUGCCAAACAAAAUAUGCCACUGACUUGCUGAAACGAGCUCAUAUGGCAGAUUGUAAACCAAUCUCAACACCCUUGCCACUUCGAUCAAUUUCCAUGGCUGACACUGCAAAUCAACUCACAGACCCUGUGGAGUACAGAAGCUUGGUUGGUGCUCUUCAAUACUUAACCAUUACUCGACCAGACCUGGCGUUUGCUACUAACCUUCUCUGUCAAAAGAUGCAACAUCCUACCGUAGGAGACUUUCAUCAGUUAAAAAGAGUACUUCGAUAUGUCAAAGGUACCAUACAUCUUGGGUUCUAUCUUCAUUCUCAAAGUUCAGUAAACCUCUAUGGUUUCUCAGAUGCUGAUUGGGCUGGUUGUCCAACUACACGACGUUCCACAACGGGGUUUUGCACAUUUCUUGGAUCUAAUCUACUUUCUUGGUCUGCCAAGAAACAACCUACUGUUUCCAGAUCCUCAACAGAAGCAGAAUAUCGUGCACUUGCUUCGACAAUUGCUGAACUCACCUGGAUAACUUUUGUGUUACGAGAUAUUGGCAUCUCUCUUCAAUCACCUACAUUAAUAUACUGUGACAACAGAUCAGCAAUUUCUCUUACAGCCAAUCCAAUAUUACAUGCUCGAACCAAGCACAUUGAAGUUGACUUUCACUUCGUCCGUGAGAAAGUUUCUUCUGGAUCUAUUCGUGUUCAGUAUAUCUCUACUCAUCUUCAAUUAGCUGAUAUCUUUACUAAGUCACUCUCACGAUUAUCUAAUCUUACUCUCCGAACCAAAUUGGGAAUGUGGUCGUUCACCCUUCCCAAUUUGAGGGGGGAUGUUAGAGGAUCAAGACCUCCAUCCUACUCUGCUACAUCAAGAGUCAGCCACAAGGGAUCCUCAACUCUGGUAGAUGUAGAUCACUAGAAGACUAUGGAUAACCAGUCUUAUCAACGGUGGAGAUUUUACAAUGCCGAAGACGUGGAUUGCCAAGUCUCAGGAUUUGUCAAGACUGCUAUUCUGUUAUAAAUAGCUGUAAAAGUUUGUUAGUUUGUGUCGGUUAGUUCGUUUAGUCUGUUAUUAGUUUUCCAGCUUCUCUCUGUAUAUAAAGAUAGAAUUGAGCUCAGGAAAAGGUGUGAAGAAGAGAGGAGAGGGAAGAACAGGAGAUUCAAUAUUGAUCUGUUGUAUUUGAUUUCUCUUUGUUCAAAACUUGGAUACAAUGAAAUAAGAAUCGAAUACUUCUUGUUCAGAUCCUUCUGCAACUCUACCGAGUUUAUUCUCUAUCAUCAUCAUCAUUCCUCAUCUUCAUCUUCUGCGUUCUUGGAUUCUCAAUUUCUCACCGUAAACUGUACAGUCUCUUCUACUGGGAGGAGAAAGAAAUUCUCAGCAUUAUCUCCCGCUUGCUUAAAAUUUAUUCUCAUGUUUUUUUACAUUGAAUCGCUUGACCAUUGAGAUUAAUUUGAUUUAUUUUCUAUUGAUUGCGUCUUUGAUGAAUCCAAGUAACAAUCCAAGGUAAGUUUCGAUUGUUUGCAAUGUGAAUUUGGUGGCUGGGGAGGUUCCGCUGUGAAACGUUGGCCUCAGUCGCUCUGAAUGAAAGAAUACGUUUUCUUGAAUUGUUAUCUUGAUAAGGAAGAGAGUGACACAGGCUACGGUUUGUUGUGAAAAAGAAACAAGCAACAAUUGCUGAAUUUCUAUUCUGCAGGAAAUGGAAGCGAAUUAGAAUAACUAAUGUGCUUUUGGAUGCUGAUUGCCGGAUUAUCUUGUGAACAUAUGGUAUCUUUAUUUCUCUUUCGAAUGUUUGGUAUUUGCUCCGCUCUCUUACUGGUAACCGGUGCCGCGAACUUCUUGGUUGAUUAAUUCCUCUUUCUGCAAAUGACUUUGGCCCCAGUUACAGUCCACUUUCAGUAUACGAGUCAUCAUUGUAAUUUGAGUACCGGGUGAUGUGAUACAGUCUUGAAAAUUUCAAAUACUAAAUUCCAUCAGCCUCAGUUUUUUUUUUUUUUAAAAUCAGAAUUUCAUGUUUGAAAGAAUGGUUUGUAUGAAUGAUCUUUGCACUGGAUUAACUCAAAUGAUAUUUCAUCAUAGAUAUUUAGAACAGAGUAUUUCUUUAGUUGGCUACUUUGCGACCUUUGUUGCUGAUAAAGUAGAUUGACUUGCUAGAAGGAAUUAGUGCUUUGUAAGUGCAGCCAAUUUUUUUGUUAAUUUCGUUGCUGGGUAUUAAUUAGUUCAUGGAAUGAUGCUCAUCAGAUUUGGUAGAUUCAAACAAUGGUAAAUAGCCCAUGCAACAUCAGGAAAAUAUGAAAAAUCAUUUCUUAUUUGUUGAGAAUCAUCAUCAUUCUUUCUCUCAGCAGUGAGAGAUACUGCAAAUAUCGUAGAGUACGAAUUGAAUGAAGAGGUAUCGUAACUUUGGACUUGUCUGUCAAUCUUGCUUAUCUCAUCAAUGGCCAAUGUUAUGCUGAUGUUUGAAUGAAUCCAAGCACUUAUCUUUAGUAGGCUUUGGAAUUUUCACAAUCUAUGGAUCCAACGAGUCUUAACAAUUGAUGUGUCGGGGAAUUUCUUACCUAUACCAAGUCCACUGGGCGGAGUCUAUGUCAGUGGUUGAUCAUCUAAGCCCCAUAUGCAACAUUCAUGUGAGACUCACUUGAACAACUAUUGAAAUGGACCCAAUCUAAGCGAGUGCAAGCACCACCUUGCGGAAGCUAUGCUUUGGCUGAUGGCAUAAGACGUGAAAAUUCUUUAAUCUCAGCCUUCUUUGUGCUCUUGCACUUUGGAUUUAGGUUGUGCCCUGGACAUACUUUUAGUUAUGUUAAUGGGGGAUUAGUACUUAAGGAGAUAUGGAAAUACUCUCCCGAAUUCGAUGCUUCCAAAGGUCAAAGUAGUUCAACCUGGGCAACUAGAAAAGAGUAACAACGAGGUCAAAAUGUUAUGGAGCAUUACCCCAUUGGUCAUUUUCAUCUCAACCUUUUCAAAUGUGGAGACAACUCCCUUGUUCAGGUGAUAAUACUCAAUAAAGGUGCUUCUGAGAUAGAUUAUUCCUCAGGAUCACUGCCUCGGACGACCUCUUCCUCUGAUCCGUUUGUCCUUCGUGCAUUACUAAAAUAAACAUUAUAAUCUUCCUUUUCGUUCUUAGCCUCAUGAAGAGAGACUUCAGGCAUUUUUAUGUGAUUUUUGUUGUCAAAUUUACUGCUGGCAUGUCUAUAUGUGUGCCAUAAGCGCUUUGUAUGAUCAUCACAGGAAGUGCUCACCAUGAAGUGUUCAUAUUAACAAUCUGAAUCACAAAUCAACAUUCACUGCAAUGCGUGUUUGUCUGUUAGAUGGUCGAUACUUGUUUAGUUCUUCCCGUCAAAAGUCUUGCAAAGAUGAUUCCGUCUUCAUCUAUGUUACUUUGAGAUCGCUGUGUAGGUUGCUCUCUUUGGCGGUUUCUGGAUUAAUGUUUUAUAAAUUGUACAAUCUGUGCCACUGGGAGGUGAAAAAAAUCCUCAGCAUUAUCUCCCGCACGCUUAAAAUUUAUUCUCAUGUUAUCUACAUUGGAUCAUCUGACCAUUGAGAUUAAUAUGAUUUCUUUUGUGUUUGAUGAAUCCAAGUAACAAUCCAAGGUAAGUUUCGAUUGUCUGGAAUGUGAAUUUGGUGGCUGGGCAGGUUCCUCUGUGAAACGUUGGCCUCAGUUGUUCUGAAUGAGGGUAUGAUUGCUUGAAUUGUUAGCUUAAUAAGGAAGAGAGUGAUGCAGGCUACAGUUUGUAGUGUAAAAGACACAAGCAACAAUUGCUGAAUUUCUAUUCUGCAGGAAAUGGAAGCGAAUUAGCAUAACAAAUGUGCUUUUGAGCAAUGAUGUUGAUUUCUGGAUUACCUUUGUGAACAUGUGGUAUCUUUAUUUCUCUUUUGAACAUUUGGUAUUUUCUCUGCUCUCUUUCUGGUAAACAGUAGUGCGGACUUCUUGGUUGGUUAAUCCUUCUUUCUGCAAUUGACUUUGGCCCCUGUUAUGGUAUGCUUUCAGUAUACGAGUCACAUUGUAAUUUGUGUACCUGGUGAUGUGAUACGAUCUUGUUGAUGCAUUUCUCAAUAUGUUUCCCAAACUUUGCUUGUUGUAAAAAAAUUCAAAUAUUAAAUUCCAUGAGCCUCAAUUUUUUUCCCUUUUUUUGUUGAUCAAAAUUCUGUGUUUGUAUGAGCUUGAUCUUUGCCCUGGAUUAACUCGAAUGAUAUUUCAUCAUAGAUAUUUAGGACGGAGUAUUUCCUUAGUUGGCUACUUUGUGGCAUUUGCUGCUGAAAGUACAUUGACUUGCUAGAAGGAAUUAAUGUUCUGUAAGUGCAGCCAAUUUUUUGUUAAUUUUGCUGCUGGGUAUGAUGAUGUUCACGGAAUGAAUGCUCAUCGAAUCGGUAGACUCAAACAAUGGUAAAUAAAUAGUCCAAGCAACAUCAGGAAAAGAUAAAAAAGCAUUUCUCAUUUGUUGAGCCAUCAUCAUUCUUUCUCUCGGUAGCGAGAGAUGCUGCAAAUAUCGUAGAGUAAGAAUUGAAUGAAGCGGAGUCGUAAUUUUGGACUUGCAUGUCAAUCUUGGCUUAUCUCAUCAAUAGCCAAUGUCAUGCCAAUAUUUGAAUGAAUUCAAGCACUUAUUUUAAGUAGGCUUUGGGAUUUUCUUACCUAUACUGGGUCCAUUGGGCGGAGUCUAUGUCAGUGGUUGAUUGUCUAAACCCCAUAUGCAACAUUAAUGUGAGAUUCACAUGAACAACUAUAGGAAUGGAACCAAUCUACACGUGCACAGACACCACCUUGAGGAAGCUAUUCUUUGGCUAACGGCAUAAAAUGUAUAAAUUCUCAAAUCUCUGCCAUCUUUACGCUUUUGCAAUUUGGAUUUAGCUUGCGAUUAAUAAGGGCCCUAGACUUACCUUAAGUUGUGUUGUUAAUGGGGCAUUACGAAAGGUCAUAAGUAGUUCAACCUGGGAAACUUGAAAAGAGUAACGACGAGGUCGGAAUGUUAUGGAACAUUAGUCCAUUGGUCAUUUUCAUCUCAACCUUUUUAAAUGUGGAGACAACUCCAUUUUUCAGAUGUUAAUACUCGAUAAAAGUGCUUGUGAGAUAGAUUAUUCCUCGAGCAAUGGCCAAAUAUCAAACCCUGAGGAUCGAUUUUUCUAACAAGAAAGGGAUGAUGUUGUCAAGCUUGAAGAUUUAGAGGGUUUCCGGCAACGUCAAUCGCUUUUACCCUGUUCUGGCGAAUUUUCUGAUUGCCCAUCAGUCACUCAUCAUGAGAAUUUGAUGGCAAUGAAUGGUAGUCUUAUUAGUCACGUUUCUGCCUUUAUCAGUGCAUUUUCUUCGUUCUUUCCAAAUUCUUUAAUGCUUUUUGAUCAGCAUUUUGGAUGUUGAUAUAUACGGUAAUAUUCAGAAGUGCAGAUUGUAAUUAAUCGGUGUGGUGACUAGCUCUAAUGUGAAGGGGAUGUAAAAUUAUUUGAUCAAUUUUAUUUUUCUGGUUUUCCAUGGAAAUGCUAACUACCAAUGUAUGCUGAAUCAUUUCAUACUAAGUCAACGCUCAGUAAUUUCUGGAAAUGGAAUCACCAUAAUCUGAAACUUUACAGAGACAAAGUCUCAAUCGGCAAAGAAUUGGAACCCACCAAAGUUGCGAUCUUGAAAAUCAAUGACGGCAGAGCUUUACUUGAAGGUGAAAAAGUUGAAGCUAUUUUGAGAAUUCUUCGCAACGGAACGGGAGCUCUACUGGAUGGCUCUACUACGAAUGUUCCAGCAUUGUCGGCGUUUUAGACGGAAGCCACUCGCUUGCUCGAAGCAUUGAAACGUUUUCGGUCAAGGCGAGAAAGUGUGUUGGAGCUCGAGUCCGACUGCGAAGAGCUGGUCAACGUAGUGCUUAUGAAGACGGCUCUAAUAGAGAAAGCCCAGCUAUCUUUGGCCCAAUUGUACUUUCUCUCCCUGGCCCAUUGCCACCGGUCCACAAACAAAAUGGCUGAUUGGGCCGUGAAAACCAAACGUAUGAAUGCUCUCCCUCCCUCUUGAGUGGCCCAUCCCUCCAAUCUUUAUGGAAUUAUUUUACGUUUGGAUGCCCCUUUGUUGGGCUUUUGUUUUAAAGACCCCCGGGUUUUAAUUCACGCCAUGUCUUCAAAUUUGAAAGCUUGCCUCGUAUAUUAGUUUGUCUUAAGCUCGAAUUGGUCGACGGUCAAAACACAAGUUCAAAAUUACAUGGAAAGUAGAUGAUCAAGCAAGUCUUAAGAACUAGAAUCUGGAGAAAUUGGACAAAUUCCAACUGAGGUUGUUGACGCAAUUUGACUUGAAAAACUAGAAAACUGAAAUUGGACCAGCAAGUGAACGGAAAGAUUAAUUAAACUGGAUUUUCAUCCCUAUCCUCUUGGGAAAAAGACAAAUAAUUUGUGGUUGAAUCUUUUCAACUACUUCACACCUCGGCACCAAGUUGUCGAAUCGGUGUUUUUUUUAUAACUCAAUAUCUAUAUAAAUGAUUUUCGAUUGAAAUAGUCUCGUAAGCAAGAUCAUUUCUCCAAUCUAAUGAAGUAAAAUAACCUUCACUGCAAUCAUGAUGCCUCCUCUAAUAAAAAAAGAAUAUCCCAUUGAUGUCAAGAUGAAAGCAACAUAAUGACUAUAUAAAUAAAUAAGUUAGCCGACUCGUUUCAUUUAUAAUAUUCAAUUGUUUGUAAGUUAACAUUCUUGUCUUGGUUGAGGUGGCCAACAAUGGUCUUUUUUAUUUAUUUUUUUAAUUUAUACAUUGGCCAGUUUCGACUUGUAGCAAUGUGCUACCAAGUUUUCAGCUUCCUAAGGAAUCGAUUUGUGUUUAGGUGAGGCUUAACUAAGUCAGGUUACCGAGCUCCAUCGUCCAUGCCCAAGGAAGUCACUGGUAUUUUUAUUUGAUUAGUCUAUAACAUUUUUAAUCUUCUCACUAUUUCUUUUCAUACGCAAUAGUUGUGCUCUUUUUCUAGUACUGAGUAAACAAAUAACAAUUCAAAAUGUAAAUAAAAUUGCCAAAAGAAAAACCGAUAUAUGCAACGUCUAGGCCGUACCAUAGGUCUCUGGGUAGUCGCGUCUCAACUUUUGUGCCCAUUGAUCAUUAGAAGAAGUGGACUAAAAAUUCUUCAUCGUAGUUUACUAACAUGAAAAUUGAACAUGCACUUCCUUUUUAGUUAAAUUUCCUUAUUAGUCAAAAAUAAACUCUCAUGUGUCAUGUAAGCCACCAAAGGGCGCCUCAAUUAGCGAAGAUGAUUGAAUCAUUCCAAAGCAUGAGAGAAUAAUGUGACCUUAUCACUUGCCGCGUUAGAUAAUUAUGUUGUCGUCUCUUUUCCCUUUACCUAACCUAUAAAAAACGAAAGCAGUAAUCGAAUAUUCUUUACAUCUAUAUCACUUAUAUUCUCUUUAUGUAUAUAUGCACCGCAGUAGCAUUAAGAUAUAGCAAAUACUUGAUUGACUAUUUAAAAAUAUCGCAAUGGUGGGUUCACAUCCACAUCAAUCAUAUGCAAAUCAAUCACGAAAACAAGCAAAACUAACCAUUUAACAAGAGAUUAUCUUUUCUUAAGAAAUUUUGCCAAACGCGAUAUACAUUAAUUCUUUAAUAUUAAAAAAAAAUCAUAUUUACGUGGCAUCUCUAUUUUGCAAUUAUUGAACAAUAGUAAUGUGAUAGUAUUAUGUUAACAUUGAUAUUUUCGAAAUGACACAUAAUGCAAAUGAGACUAUUCUUUAGAAUAAGAAAUUAUGCUUAAUUAAUCCCAUGAUUGAUAAUGUUGGUUGGGGAGUUGGUUUCUAGCUUAGGAACCGGAGAUCUCCCAUUAGAAUCCCACAAAUGCACGAAAACUGUCUCAAUUAAUGACGCAUCUUCUCAGGGGGGAUUGGGGUGAGGACGAUUCAUUUCAGGAGUGGGUUUCGACUCCCACGGCCUGCAAGGAGGCUGGGCAAAAGUCUGAGAGUGAGUGUUAGAGUAGGAUUAGAGUAGGACCGACCAAAAAAAAAAUAAUAAUAAUGAAGGCAUCUCUAUCUUGCAAUUAUUGAACAAUAGUAAUAUGAUAAUGUUAUGUAAACAUUGACAUUUUCAAAAUGACACAUAAUGCAAAUGAGAUUAUUCUUUAGAAUAAGAAGUUAUGCUUAAUUAAUCUCAUGAUUGAUAAUGUUGGUUGGGGAGUUGGUUUCUAGCUUAGGAGCCAAAUAUCUCCCAUUAGAAUCCCACAAAUGCAUGGAAACUGUCUCAAUUAACGAAGGCAUCUCUAUCUUGCAAUUAUUGAACAAUUGUAAUAUGAUAAUGUUAUGUUAACGUUGAUAUUUUCAAAAUGACACAUAAUGCAAAUGAGAUUAUUCUUUAGAAUAAGAAGUUAUGCUUAAUUAAUCCCAGGAUUAAGAAUGUUGGUUGGGGAGUUGUUUUCUAGCUUAGGAACCGGAGAUCUCCCACUAGAAUCCCACAAAUGCACGCAAACUGUCUCAAUUAAUGAAGGCAUCUCUAUCUUGCAAUUAUUGAACAAUUGCAAUAUGAUAAUUUUAUAUUAACAUUGAUAUUUUCAAAAUGACACAUAAUGCAAAUGAGAUUAUUCUUUCGAAUAAAAAGUUAUGCUUAAUUAAUCCCAUGAUUGAUAAUGUUGGUUGGGGAGUUGGUUUCUAGCUUAGGAACCGGAGAUCUCCCACUAGAAUCCCACAAAUGCACGCAAACUGUCUCAAUUAACGAAUGCAUCUCUAUCUUGCAAUUAUUGAACAAUUGCAAUAUGAUAAUUUUAUGUUAACAUUGAUAUUUUCAAAAUGACACAUAAUGCAAAUGAGAUUAUUCUUUAGAAUAAGAAGUUAUGCUUAAUUAAUCCCAUGAUUGAUAAUGUUGGUUGGGGAGUUGGUUUCUAGGUUAGGAACCGGAGAUCUCCCAUUAGAAUCCCACAAAUGCACGAAAAUUGUCUCAAUUAACGAAGGCAUCUCUAUCUUGCAAUUAUUGAACAAUUGUAAUAUGAUAAUGUUAUGUUAACGUUGAUAUUUUCAAAAUGGCACAUAAUGCAAAUGAGAUUAUUCUUUAGAAUAAGAAGUUAUGAUUAAUUAAUCUCAUGAUUGAUAAUGUUGGUUGGGGAGUUGGUUUUUAGCUUAGGAACCGGAGAUCCCCCAUUAGAAUCCCACAAAUGCACGCAAACUGUCUCAAUUAACGAAGGCAUCUCUAUCUUGCAAUUAUUAAACAAUAGUAAUGUGAUAAUAUUAUGUUAACAUUGAUAUUUUCAAAAUGACACAUAAUGCAAAUGAGAUUAUUCUUUAGAAUAAGAAGUUAUGCUUAAUUGAUCCCAUGAUUGAUAAUGUUGGUUGGGGAGUUGAUUUCUAGCUUAGGAACCAGAGAUCCCCCAUUAGAAUCCCACAAAUGCAUGCAAACUGUCUCCAUUAACGAAGGCAUCUCUAUCUUGUAAUUAUUGAACAAUAGUAAAAUGAUAAUGUUAUGUUAACAUUGAUAUUUUCAAAAUGACACAUAAUGCAAAUGAGAUUAUUCUUUAGAAUAAUAAGUUAUGCUUAAUUGAUCCCAUGAUUGAUAAUGUUGGUUGGGGAGUUGGUUUUUAGCUUAGGAACCGGAGAUCCCCCAUUAGAAUCCCACAAAUGCACGCAAACUGUCUCAAUUAACGAAGGCAUCUCUAUCUUGCAAUUAUUGAACAAUAGUAAUGUGAUAAUAUUAUGUUAACAUUGAUAUUUUCAAAAUGACACAUAAUGCAAAUGAGAUUAUUCUUUAGAAUAAGAAGUUAUGCUUAAUUAAUCCCAUGAUUGAUAAUGUUGGUUGGGGAGUUGGUUUCUAGCUUAGGAACUAGAGAUCCCCCAUUAGAAUCCCACAAAUGCACGCAAACUAUCUCAAUUAACAAAGGCAUCUCUAUCUUGCAAUUAUUGAACAAUAGUAAUAUGAUAAUGUUAUGUUAACAUUGAUAUUUUCAAAAUGACACAUAAUGCAAAUGAGAUUUCUUUUUAGAAUAAGAAGUUAUGCUUAAUUAAUCCCACGAUUGAUAAUGUUAGUUGGGGAGUUGGUUUCUAGCUUAGGAACUGGAGAUCCCCAUUAGAAUCCCACAAAUGCACGCAAACUGUCUCAAUUAACGAAGGCAUCUCUAUCUUGCAAUUAUUGAACAAUAGUAAUAUGAUAAUGUUAUGUUAACAUUGAUAUUUUCAAAAUGACACAUAAUGCAAAUGAGAUUAUUCUUUAGAAUAAGAAGUUAUGCUUAAUUAAUUCCAUGAUUGAUAAUGUUGGUUGGGGAGUUGGUUUCUAGCUUAGGAAUCAGAGAUCCCCCAUUAGAAUCUCAAAAAUGCAUGCAAGCUAUCUCAAUUAACGAAGGCAUCUCUAUCUUGCAAUAAUUGAACAAUAGUAAUAUGAUAAUGUUAUGUUAACAUUGAUAUUUUCAAAAUGACACAUAAUGCAAAUGAGAUUAUUCUUUAGAAUAAAAAGUUAUGCUUAAUUAAUCACAUGAUUGAUAAUGUUGGUUGGGGAGUUGGUUUCUAGCUUAGGAACUGGAGAUCCUCCAUUAGAAUCCCACAAAUGCACGCAAACUGUCUCAAUUAAUGAAGAUUAUUGAAUCAUUCCAAAUCAUAAGAGACAGUAGGACCUUAUCACUUACUGCGUCAAAUAAUUUUGUCCUUGUCUCUUUGUGCUUCCCCUAACCUAUAAAAAAAAAAAAAACGAAACGAGUAAUCGAAUAUCCCCUAUAUCUAUGUCACUUAUAUUCUGUGUAUAUGCAUUGUACUAUCAUUAAGAUAUAGCAUAUAUGUGAUUGAUUCUAUUUAAAAUAUCACAGUGGGGGUUUCCAUCCACAUUAAUCAUAUGCAAAUCAAUCACCAAAAGAAGCAAAACCUACGAUUUUAUUGAGAUUAUCUUUUCUUAAAAAAUUCUGCAAAAUGUGACACACUCUUAAUCUUUAUAAUAAAAAAAAAAUUAUGUUUACGUGGCAUCGCUAUCUUGCAAUUACUGAACAAUGGUCAAAUGUGAAUAUAGUCAUUUUCAAAAUGAUGCAGAAUGCAAAUGACUAUUACUUUUUAAAAAAAAUUAUGUUUAAUUAAUCCUAGAAUUGAUAAUGGUGGUUGGGGAAUAGGGGAUUUCCAGCUAAAAAAAUUAAAAAUCCCCCGUUAGAAUCCCACGAAUGCAUGCAAAUUGCUCUGGAUUAGAGCCACCUACAUAGAUCGAAGGGUUGAGCUUAACCAAUUCACGAUACUUGUAAGAUAUUUCAUAAGCUUCUAGGUAGACGGGUGUCCAUGCCUAUGCUCCUAGAUAAUAUAUAUAUAUAACGCUUACUUUAGGAGAAUCCGCAUUUUAUACACUAAUUAUUUUAGUAUAUACUUAUUCCUCAUAAACUAGGUAGUUUUUAUGCAAAAGGUCCUUAUCAACUAAAUUACAAAGAGUACAUCCCCCAUGACUUUAAUUAGUAAUAACACUUUUAUUCAUCAGAAAUUAGUCAUAACAUUUUCAAAUACUCCUAAUAAAUAUACAUAUUUAGGACUAAUUUGACAUUCUAAUCUAAAAAUUAUGGUUGGUAAAAAAUUACAUAACCUCAAUAUUUCCUUCUGAACUGACUUUUUAUUUUUAUUUUUUUAACGGCCCUUCUCAUGUGCAAGCCAUAUCAGGAAUAGCAAGUGAAAUUUGACAACUGAGAGUGGACUCACACACGAAAGGGGCAAGUAGAACUUGACCAUAAUACCAUGUUAGAAAAUCCAAUCCAAAGAUAUAUAAAGAGCAUAUAAACUUCAUUAUCAUGCAAUGGGGGAUAUUUCAAUACAUGCCAACCAAGGAUAGAGCAGAGCCCCUCUAAUGCAUUUGUAGCUCCUAAUGAGCUUCACAAAUCAUGAUAUGCCGAAAUGCCUAUGAGUUGCUCUUUGCUUUUCUUCAAUAUGUUCCUUGAUGAAUCCACCUAGAAUAGUCUGCAAGCAUACAUGUGUGAACAGCCCAGAUGUGAAUUUGCUUAAGUGGAAUGAGAAAUCCAAGGAUAAAUUUGAAGACAAAGAGCAAGAAGGUAAUGAUAUGAGAUUAAAGAAAUCUAAUGAUAAAUUUAUUCUUUUGAAAGUGCUCAAGGAUGAAAGAAAUUGUUGGCUGACAUUGUCUCCUAAUACAUGUCAUUAGGAGACACUAUGUAGACGAAAGAAAACCUGCAAGAAGUGGACAUCAAAAGCUAUGACAUGGUAGUGCUAGCGUAGAGCCGCUCGUGGGGAUUAUUCAAGUGACUAUCUUUACUCCAUUUUUUUAUUUCCUGGCUCAUGUUACUCCAAUUAGGAUACCCCAUGGACACAUUUAAAAAAAAAAUACCAUGUCAUGAUUUCCCACACAAACCAAAUCAACUUGAAAAGCACAAUAUUGAGUCAUAACAAUUAAUGCGUUGGGGAACUCCUUGCCUGUAUCAGAUCCAUUGGGCAGAGGAAGGAUCCAGGUGGACCCUCCCUUAUUUCCAGGUGCGACAGCCUCCCCAUCACUUCGUUGGCCGGCAAGAUUGGCCGCGCUUGCCCCCGUUCAACAACCUGCAGACGCUGUAGCCCCAGAUCAAGCAGGUGGUCCAGCAGUAGCAUCCGAUCAAGGCUCCUUCCCAAAAAGAAUAAAAAUAAAUACUUUUAAUGUAAAGCUUGUGGUUAUAUAUGUUUCUGAUUUGUGAUAUCACGUCAUUAUAUCAUGACUGGAUUACCUGUGAGUUUCUUUUCAUUCAAUAAGUAAAGGUGUCGUGCCAGGGAAAUUGAAAAUAAAAUAAAAUUGAAGAGGCUCUUCUUUUUGGUGAGAAAACGCGAGAUGGUUCUCUACUGCCUUUGUUUCCUUUUAUUUUGGUCCUUGUUGGAUAGGUCUAAGGACAAUCUAGGAGUUCUAAUUUCAAUGGAAAGCUGUUCUUCUUAGCACAUUUUGCCGAGCCGUUCUCUUCUCAAGGUUUGUCAUAUUUUUGGCACUUUGAGUGAGAUUGAAUUAUUCACUUAGAAAGUUUAGGUGAUGGCAUCUCAUUUAGAAUGAGUACUGCAUUAUCAGUAGAUAGAUACAAGGGUCUAAGUUAGUCCAAGUAUAAUAUGUCAAGAAGAUUAACAUGAUCAAAAUUUGGUAUUUACUCCACAAAUCAAUAAUACGGCCAGCGAAUCAAUGUUUGUCCAUUAGCAGUCAAGGAAAGGAUGGAGAAUUAAUAAAUAUUUGUCCACCAGCCGUGGAGGAAAGGAUGGUUUACCAAAUCAAAGUUUGUCUAAUCACGAAUUGUCUAUGAGCAAUACCAGUUCGUCCAUUAGCAGUGGAGGAAAGGAUGGUUUGUCUAAUCACCGUUUGUCUAAUCACCAUUUGUCUCUGAGUGGUGCAUGAAAGAAUGGAUAUCUAAUCAAUGUUUGGUCAUAAGCAGUGGAGUAAAGGAUGGAGACAUAGACAUUGGUGAUGGUUACUGGUUAAGGAAUCAUCCAUCUCUAUAUGCGUAUUAGAUGGGGACUAGGACAUCAGGACUAGUACCUAACCAAUAUUUGCAUCACUCGAUUGUUUAUGUGUCCACAUUAUUGUCUUGAUUGAGGUAACCGAGAGUGGUAUUUUUUUUUUUGGCUGAUAACGGCUUGGCACAUUUUGCUACCGAGUUUUCAGCUACCCGAGGAACUGACUCGUGUUUAAAUUAAAAAUGGGUUUGUAAUGCAUAUUGAGACAAUUAUUACACAAGCGGUGAUUACAACAAGCUAAAAUUAAGUUUCAAGUCAUAAUCUCAUUUUGACGAUGACAGACUAUAUGAAGUACUUAUUACACAGGAGACGAUUCAAGUCAAAUCAUUUUGGUACUUUAGUAGCUAGUAAUCAUAUGAUUUUUACUUUCUCUUUAAGCCACUCGGUGUUAAAAAAUGCAAAGAAACCAAGCUAAGAGCUUGCAUACCAUGUAGAUAUUACUUGAUUGUUGAUAAGCUGCGGGUCGAAGGGUCUAAAGAUAAUUUCUCGAAUUGCUGGAAAAGCAAAUGCUGAAGCAAGUCUUAAUAAUUAUAAUCCAAGCCCUCUUGUAUGGAGAAAUUUGACAAAGUCAUUCGAGAAGAAUAUACGUGUAAAUGACACAGACUGUUAAUAUGGACCAUCAAAUUAUAAAUAAAUUCGCUGCUUCCAUAACUAAGGAAAAAAACCCAAAAGAUAAGGGGGUGGCUAGCUAUGAUUCUGAAAUUUCAUUGGAGAUCUAAUGACUAAUAAUUUUAAUAUUAAAUAGGAGGUACUGUUGUAUUUUGUUAUAUUAAUAAGAUAUUUGAACAAAGAAGAUUGCUUUACUUUGUCAAAUUGAACCGGUAGUUUGAUAAAACAUUAUUUGAGCUAUAGAAUCAAACCUCUCUAUUCUAUUCUUUUUCUUUUCUCCAUAUAUUUACAUUCCGAGCUUGAGCUAAUAAUCAAAAUGAGUUGAAUAUAAAUUUGGGGCAAACCUACAAAGACCCGCAUAAUAUAUUAAGUGACUCGAUAGAACUAGGCACAUUCUUACCUUAAAAAAAAAGUAGAACUAGAGCACCAUAAAUUUGAGUUGAUGACAUGCUGCUAACUUACAUGCCAUGUAUGAUAAUAAUAAUAAUUAAAAAAACAAACGUACAUAUCACGUGGGUGUGGCCUAUCCUUAUUUGUAUGUUCUCUUCUAAUAAUUACACUUUGUUCUUUUGAUGAUAACAAAUUGUAUAAAGUGCUUAUUACACGACGAAUAAUGUAACUCGAAUCAUUUUGGCAAUUUUAACAACUGAUAGUUAUUCAUUUUUCAUACUUAUAAACCACUUGAUGUGCAUGCAAUAAUUUUGGUUUGUUUAUAUUUCCAUUUUGUGGCCUUGAUUGAGGUGACUGGUCUUUUUUUUUUUUUUUAAUUUUAAUUUUUGGCCAAUGACGACUUUUGCUAUUAAGGAAGAAGAUUUCAUGGUUUACUUGGUAGUGGAACCAUGCUUUAAAUUUUAAAAAAUGCAAAGAAAUCCUACAAACAGCUCACCGUCGUUACUUUUGAUUGUUUAUAAUUUCACGUCGUGGUCCUGACGAAGGCGACUGGUCUUUUUCAACUUUAAUUUUUGGCUUAUGCCAACCUGCAAUUUACGGUAAAUGGAAUCAUAUGAAGAGAAAUAUCAUUGACGGCCACAUGCUCAUUCUCAUUAGGAGUCAAACCAUAGUUCGUUAAAUAUCUUAGAGUCCCAAGGCUACUCACUUCUCUUUUCCGACUACUCCACACCAUGCCAACAAGUCGUCAAAUUAGUGUUUGUUUACAACUCAAUUUCUGUACGAUCGAUUAACAGUUGAAAUAGUCUCAUAAGCAUCAUCGGUUCUCCAAUUUAAUGAAGUAACAUAACCUUCAUUCCAAUCAUUGCUCGAGUAUUUUCCAACUGCUCUACAUAAUGUCACCAAGUCAUCGAACUAGUGUUUCUUUACAACUUAGUAUCUAUGUGAUCUCCAAGUAGCUAAAAUAGCCUCGUAAGCAUGAUCAUUUCUCCAAUCUAAUGAAGUGGAAUAACCUUCACUCAGAUCAUUGCUUGAGUCUUUUCCAACUACUCCAUACCAUGCCAGCAAGUCAUCAAAUUAAUGCUUCUUUGCAACUCAAUAUCUAUAGGAUCAACUUUAAGUUGAAAUAGCCUUGCAAGAAUGAUUAUUCUCCAAAUCUAAUGAAGUUAAUGUAACCUUCACUUUGAUCAUUGCUCGAGUCUUUUCCAACUACUCCACACCAUGCCCCAAAUCAUUUACAACUUAGUAUCCAUAUGAUCAACUUUCCCUUGAAAUAGCCUUGCAAGCAUCUGAUCAAGCAAAUGUUGAGGCAAGUCUUAAAAAUUAUAAUCCAAGCCCUCUUAUAUGGAGAAAUUUGACAAAGUCAUUCAAGAAGAAUAUACAUGUAAAUCACAUAGACUAUGUUAACAUGGACUAGCAAGUUGUAAAUAAAUUCCCUGCUUCCAUAACUAAGUAAAAAAACUCAAAAGAUAAAGGGGUGGCUAGCUAUGAUUCUGAAAUUUUAUUGGAGAUCUAAUGACUAUUAAAUAGGAGAUGCUGUUGCAUUUUGUUCUAUUAAUAAGAUAUUUGAACAAAGAAGAUUGCUUUACUUUGUCAAAUUGAACCGAUAGUUUGAUAAAACAUUAUCUGAGCUGUAGAAUUAAACCUCUCUAUUCUGUUCUUCUUCUUUUUCUCCAUAUAUUUACAUUCCGAGCUUGAGCUAAUAAUCAAAAUGAGUUGAAUAUAGAUUUGGUGCAAACCUACAAAGACCUGCAUAAUAUAUUAAGUGACUCAACAGAACUAGGCACAUUCCGACCCCCCCCCCCCCCAAAAUACCAGGAUCGGUAGUUGCUAGAUCUGUUCCCGAGAAAGGGUACAUUUUUUCUAAACUGCAUCCGCUGAUAUCUGAAGAAACUUAUAUUCACCACAGCUCUGCUUUCAUGAAUCAGAAUGCGCCUGAGGUUCACUUAAUUCAUCUUUAUUGGUGACCNNNNNNNNNNNNNNNNNNNNNNNNNNNNNNNNNNNNNNNNNNNNNNNNNNNNNNNNNNNNNNNNNNNNNNNNNNNNNNNNNNNNNNNNNNNNNNNNNNNNCCCCCGGUCCCCAAAAAAUGAAGAACCGGGGGGGCCUUUAAAUCGAGUUGAUGACCUGGUGGCGUAACCAUACAUGCCACGUAUGAUAAUAUAAAAUAAAAAACGUAAAAUGUCACGUGGGUGUGGCGUAUCCUUAUCUGUAUGUUCUCUUCUAAUAAUCACACUUUGUUCUUUUGAUGAAUAGGAAAGAAAUGUCUUAUAUAUAACCGUGCAAAAUGAGAGUGUGUUGUGUUCUCUCCUUCCUUUUAUUCUCUAUCGUUUCUAACACUUCCUUUUACUAGUUUCACGUUUGUCAUGGCCGACCUUUCUUCUGUGGCGGCCGAGAGAAUCUCUCAUAUAUUAAUCAACUUGUCUAUAUUUUUCUAUGAGAAAUUCAGGUGAAGGAAUGAAUUUUAGUGUCUUUUAGCAGAUCAAUUUACUCAUGGAGCAACUUUCUUCUGAUGAAAUGGGGUCCAAAUGGAUGGAAUAUGUCAACAUUCUCCGGAAAAGUUCUAUAAUGUUCUCAGGUUCGAGACCUCGAUAUUGUUUCGCUCUUUGGUUCGAUAAACCCCCGGCCAAGGCGUAGGGAGAAAUGGGCAUGGACUUUGAUGCUCGGCCUCGAGAGCCUAUUGCCCAUGCCCACUUCUCUAGCUUUCCAUGCCCAAGUCACUAACGUUCGCAUAAUACGUCUAAUUAGAAAAAAAAAAAUCUUUUCAAACGAUGGGAAAUAUUUUUCUUUUCAUUUUCAAGUUGCAGCCAAAUAUCACAAAAUAUGGUUAUUUUCCUGAAAAAUGAUUUAUUAGAAAACAUAUUUCAGAAAUUAUCACUUUUUUUUUUUUUGUGAAAUAAACAGAGCAUAAGAAUUAAUGAUUUUUUUUUUUUAUGAACAACUCUGUCAAGUUUAUGCACACAUUCGAAUUGUACAAAGCAAGCUUUUUCUCAUUCAAGUCCAUCAAACCUCUCACCAAUAAUGGGGACUCAGAAUAUCAUGAACCAUUGAUAACCUUAGGAAUCGUUAGGAAAAAGAAUGGCUAGAGAACAAAUUUCUUCUCCUUCAAUAGAAUUAGUUUCUUGUCGUGUCAUAUCUAUUCCACAAGCUGCACUCUCCGUUCUCAAAUUCUAAGCACCUUUUUUCUCCCUCCAAAACUUUCAUGUUCAUUCAGUAUGAAACAUUCAAAUGGCUGCUUAAACAAACUCGUGUCGGCAUAAAUAAAGAAGGCUUCAGUCGUGAGUUUAAUGCAACGCUGCAAAGACAUUACACUUCUUUUUUGGGUCAGAAAAGACAUUACACUUUCGAAAGACACAUUUGCCUAGAAGAAAACUUGAAAAGGAAGGAGCACUUCAUAGACAAAACCAACAUUAUCAGCAUUAUAACUACGUAAUCCUGAUUGCUUCGUCUAAGAUUUCUGUCUUGUGACUUUCAGAAUCAUCUCAAAGGCCGUCCAACCUGGAAAGAAGCUUUUUUACAGUAGACUACUGAUUUGCUGUAUUUGAAGAAGUGAUGUAUUCCUGAUGUCUGAGCAGGAAACUCAUGGAGUGAAUGACAAAGAUCCUGGCCAAGACAGAUCUACUGAACAACAAAUCCUAGCGGGAGUGCUGACCAAGUACAGCGUAAACGGUCUGUGUUAUGGUGAGAGCUAUGAUCAAGAAAGCAGAGAAAACCGAUAUGACUGACCAUGGACUGGAAAAGUAAGUGCGUAUCAUGCUCGCCCAGUUGCUGUAGUAGUAUGAUUCCAGUUCCUCAAACUGCUUGGACAGAUAACAGUCACAAACAUUAAAAUCGAUACUCUUCCCAAGCUUCUCGAAUAAAUUAACCACAUACUGGUCAUGGCGAGAAAGUGUUGAGAUGAUCCCAUCUGAACAGAGAAGUGAAACGUCCUUCGACUGUUUGAUGAGGCAGUGCAUGAAGGAGACAUAAUCGGUGAUGUGCUUGGAGCUGUUUUCUUGGCAUUUUUCUAGGGCGAUGCAGUUUAUUAGCACGGUGGUCAUGAAGUCAUCGAUGGCGAUGGGUGGUAUCUCGAGCACCCGUUUCGGGAAACUUAUGUCCAGAAAGCUCUCUGUCUUCUUGGACUUGAAUUUGAUUCCGGAGGGCCUAAGCUGGGUCACACACGGUAUGGACUGAUCCGAUGGCCGGUACUUCUGUUUGCGGUCGCAGUGGACUGGGUUUGUCUCGGGCACCCCUUUUCGGAAAAUUAUGCCCAGGGAGCUCUCUGUCUUCUUGGACUUAAAUUUGAUUCUGGAGGACCUUAGCUGGGUCGCACACGGUAUGGACUGAUCCGAUGGCCGGCACAUCUGUUCGGAGCCGUGGUGGACCGGCUUUCUCGGAAAGAGAGUAAAGUUAAAGAGGUCAAGUAAAUGCUUGUAUGGUCGACUCUUAAUUUCAUCAUAAUGCCGGUAUCGUAGAUCCGUAUACUCGUCCUGAAUCGCCAUGGGUCUUGGAUAGGCCUGAUUGAACACUCUCAAAGCAAGCAUGCACAAAAAGGGAGUCUUCGCCUCGACCCUUGUUGAUCUCGAGAAGUCAAAGAGCGACUUGAGAAGGGAGUACGGAACCUGGUUUUCGAGCUUCAGUAAGUCCCUGAUGAGAGUCCGGAUUAUCAACGGCCGUGUAAGGAUGGGGUCCUCUACGUCAAUUGCAUGGCCGCUCCUAAAAAUGUGGAGCAUGAAUUCCACAACAAAGCAACCGUCGAGUAGCAUCAUCUCCACGAACUCACUACUCGACAUACCCACAACUUCAUCUUCCGAGUAGCAACCCCGGGCAGAGCUUUCUUGAUCUGCCACUAAUUUGAUGAGACUCUCCUUGUCGGAGUCCGUGCGACGAAGGAAGAUUUUGAGGAAGAACCAUUUGUGCUCUUCGAACUCGCACAAAUGCUUCUGGCCCCUGUGCAACGGGCCUAUAGAUACAAUCUCAGGCUGUUCAAACUGAUGAUUGAUAUCGCGAAGAACCAGAGGGAUCCUAAAGAUGGUGCAAGUCGAGGCCUGGGCUUGGAAGGGUCUCACCUCUUCCCCUAGUCGGCGCCUAACGUGAUCCAAGCAGCAAGUUACUGCAUCAUCGUGCGAUCCUGCGUCAGCAUCACCUGGGCCGGCUUCAUCAUAGUUUCUCGGGGGUGAAGUUAGUGCUUUAGGCAUAAAUUGUUCCCGGUUUGUCAUAGACCCGAGCUGAUCCUCUCCAGUCGACUCUGCAGCGGAUCUGGCUGUUUCGUUUUCAACUGCUGGACAUUUAACUUCCUCGAUCUCGACUGCAUGAUAAUCCAUGACACGCACCCUCUCUCUGUCCCUGAAACAAAAUUAAAACAUAGACCGUGCUCCGAAGCUGAAUGAAAAUUUAAGAUCAAAUUUGACCACCCAUUUCCAAGAAAUUACCAGCACAUCAACAAAUAAGACAAUAGCAAGAAUGAAAUGCUGAACUGCUUUUGUCGGAGGGCGUUUCGCCCCUCUUCCUUAAAUUUGUGAUAAUGCAGUUAAAGCAGCAGACUUUAGAACUAACCACGGAAGAUCGGACAGCGCUCAACGUCAGACCAGAAAUUUGAUCUUUGAGAUUGAUGCUCAUCAAGUGUGAAAGAGUCUUCACGCAAAACACUCGUGUUCCCAAAGCAAGAUUUGGAUUGUUAGAGGUCGGCACUAUCUAGUCUCCAUUUAUUUGUGCUUCUUCUUUUUGGUUUUUUGAGAUAUAUGCAACAACAAAAGUCCUAAAACUUAUAAGGAAAGUGUAAUUGAGUCCUAAAACUUACAAAACGUACAAUUAAGUCCUAAAACUUGUCAAAAUGGUUCAAUUGAGUCCUAAAUUUAAUACCGUCAGAUUUACUAACGAAAAUUGCUGACGUGGUGCUGAUAUCAUAUUUUAAAUUAAUUUCUAUUUUCCAUAUGGAUUUUUUAAAUUAUUUUUUAUUCAAAAUAUUUAAAAUUAGUUUUAAAAACUAAAAAGGAAAAAGUAAAAACUGUCGAAAAAAAAAAGAAAAGAAAAUGGUGCCACAGCCAUUGCCCAUCGCCGGAGGGGCUGACGACCGAAGCUCCACUAGUGCCUUUUUUUUUUAAUGGUUUUGUUUUGUUAAAUAAAUUUAGCUUUUCCUUUUUAUUUUUUAAAUCUAAUUUAAACAAGAAUAAAAAUAAUGUUAAAAGCCGCGUGGAAAAUAAAAAUUCAUUUAAAAUGCCAUGUCAGCAAUUCUGUUAGUAAGUUUGAUGGUGUUAAAUUUAGGACUCAAUUGAACUAAUUUAAUACGUUUUAGGAUUUGAUUGAACUUUUUAUAAGUUUUUGAACUCAAUUGUACUUUCCUUAUAAGUUUUAGGACUUCUGUUGCAUAUAUCUAUUGUUUUUUCGUUUUCAAAUUCUUCUCGAGUUGGGACAUAUUUGGGAGAUGUCAGUGAAGAAAGCAAAUCGACCCAGGCCAACUCUAAGUGUGUGUCUACAUACAUACAUACAUACAUAUAUAUAUACAUAUAUAUAUAUAUAUAUAUAUAUAUAUAUAUAUAUAUAUAUAUAUAUAUAUGCCAGCACCUAAUCAAUGUUAGUUUUACUCUAUUCACCGUGAGUCCACAUUGUGGUCAUCCUUAAGGCGACCAGUGCAGUCUUCUUUUUAUUUUUAUUCUUGGCCAGUGACAACUUUGGACAGUCUACUACCAAGUUAAGGCCUUGAGCAAAUUAGGUGAUCGAGCUGUUCGAUAAAUUGAUAGCUCUUUGACACUCCCUUCCUUCGUCCUUUUUUGCACUCAAAUCUAUUCACACUUCUUCGUCUUUUAUUGUUCUUGCUCUGUUUUGCUCUUUCUUAUCCUUGGCACAACCACUCUUCUUCAGUGUCUGCUUCUCUUUUUUAUCACUCUCUCUGUCUUUCUGUUUUCUCGCUCUUUCUUUCUAUUACAAAAAUCAAAGAAAUGGCGAUCCACUUUGUCGUUCCUAUUGCAAGUCGUCUCUUGGAGUACCUAGUUAAUCCGAUCAAGCGUCAAUUUGAAUAUGUGAUCUCCUCCGAGAGCUACGCUCAGGAUCUUCAAAAGGAAGUAGGGAAGCUCGCGUACCAGGCUGAUUCGGUCGACAUUGCCGUGGAAGAGGCCAAAAUAAAUUUUCGGGAUAUCAAGAGAUCUGUCACGAACUGGCGAGAAAGUGUUGAGAAGGCCUUGAAGGAGGCGAGAGACUUGUUGGGCAACUUUGAAGAGGCGAGCGAGACUUGCUGCUACGGGACCCUUCCCGACCGCAGUCAUUGCUAUCAGUUCAGCAGAAAGGCCAUGGGCAAAAUCGAGGAAAUUCGGGGACUCACUCAGACCGGCAAAGGAUUCAAGGAAUUGAAGGACGUUUCCUUCAAUCCUGAUCUGGGGAAUGUCAACUCGACGACAACUGAGCUUACGGAAGAUGGCGUCUUCGAAUCCAGAGCUUCUAUCAUAGAGAAAAUCGUGGACGCUCUUGCCGAUAACAGAACUAACGUCGUUGGGGUUUACGGGAUGGGUGGGAUCGGCAAGUCCAUCCUUUUGGCGGAUGUUGAAAGGAGAAUAAUAAAAGAAAGGUCGUUUGAUUUCGUCCUUCAGGCCAACGUGUCGAUGUAUCCAUACAUCAAGGAAAUUCAAGCUGAGAUUGCAUACAGGUUGGGGCUUCGCUUGAAGAUUACACAGAAUGUCAAAACGCGAGCAGAUCGUCUGCGCAAGAGGUUGCAAAAUGAGAAAACGAAGGUCCUCAUAAUACUCGACAACCUAUGGGAGGGGCUCGACUUGAAAUCAGUGGGCAUUCCUUGCGGAGAUGACAACAAAGUCAUAGGAUGCAAGUUGUUAUUGACGUCAAGAGAUCGAAAUGUUUUACGAAGGGAUAUGCACUGCGACAGGGACUUCCAUCUUGAUGGGCUGACGAAGAAAGAGGCAAAAAAAUUGUUCGAGAGGGCGGUGGGAGACAAAGUUCAUGACGACGACUUCAGACCCUUGAUGGAAGCAGUACUCAACAAAUGUGCAGGUGUUCCUUUCCUAAUUAUUGCAAUGGCAAAACGUUUUAAAUACGCUGAUUUAUCUGAAUGGAAGGACACUUUGUUAAAAAUCGAGAGGUCUAAACACGACGGGUUCAAUGAGAUAACAAAUGUGAUGUUACAAUUAAGUUAUGAUCGUUUAAACGAGAAGGAGAAGUCAUUUUUACAACUCUGUGUGGUUUAUGGCGGCUCGGAGCCCUCUCUUGAAAACUUGGUGAAGUGCGGUAUUGAUUUGGGGUUAUUUCAAGAAGUUAGCAGCAUGGAAGAAGCUAUAGAGAGUCUGAGCUCUGGGAUCCGUACUCUUAAGGCCUGCUCCCUUCUGUUAGAGGAUGGAGAAGCUGAUGGUUUCAAGGUACAUCCCUUGGUUCGUGAGUUUGUGAACGCUGUCGCUCUAAGAGAUCACUGUUUUCUUAUGUUGAAUGAUAAAGAUAAGGAGGUAAUGGAGUAACUCGAGACCAAGGGCACUUAUUGAGAAACUAAUUAAAGAAAGUUUACAGUUUCAAAAGUAUUUAUUGUCCGUAUGUUAUGCACAAUUUGUGCCUUGGAACUUGGAAUUUUCAAAAUAGAGGAUACCAACAGCAUUUGUUCAUAGCUUUACCAAAAAACAGCAUUUGUUCAUAGAGCCCUUGUGAUUUAUUAUCAUAAUAACUCAUUACUAAUUCUUGUCAUUGUAAUCUUUUUUAGAUCAUUACAUCUUUUCAAUUAUAAGAAAAGGAUAAUUCAAUGGCAAACAAUAGCAAUGAGAAGAUGAUGUCAACCGCGACCAUGAUAAUGAUAGUAGUCUUUUUUUUUCUUUCUUUCUUUCUUUCUUUUUCUCUGAUUAUAAUUGGUCUACUCUCAUCCUAGAACCGUUUAUCUUGUUUCGCAUCUUCUAAUGAAGAUGCCCCACUGCCCCUAAAGAAGUUGGUCUUGCUCGUCUUAGUCCAAAAAGCGGUUUGAUCUAUCCACGUUAUUUUAAUUAUCUUAUGCUUAAUUGAAUGAUCGCUCAAUUUGAUUUCUUUGCGAUUUCCCUUUUUCUAGUUACUUAAGCAUUCCUCUAGUUAUUUAGUUUUUCUUUAAUCUUUCUUUUUCGCUUAGAUAAAUUAUGGUGUGUUAGGUUGAAAAUUACGAUAGAACAUAGCUAUGUGCUGUUAUCAUCCAUGAUCCGUUUAAAAGGCAAUGAAGGAGGCUAUAAGCAAAAUGAAAUUUUGGACAAUUCUAUGAUAGUUGUAAGUGCUUGGGGUAUACUUGAAAGCCUACUGUAAGUUUAGCUCUUCAAAAAGUCAACCGUAUAACUUUUCACUUUUGUCAUAAACUUCUUCUUCAAGGUCAUUGGAAUUUUUCCCUCAUUUUUCUGUAUUAAUUUUGGAAAUUUUUAAUUUACUUUAGCUCAUUUGGAGGUCCAAGGAUGAUUUGACUAAGACAAAUAAAAUAAAAUAAAAAAUUACACUUUACCGUUGAAAAUCGCAUGUAAAGGGCUUGCAAAUUGUGAAAUGAACAAAGGAUUGAUAUUCACAAUCAAAUAAAAGUUGAAGGAAUUUAUGUACAGAAAUUUACGAUUAAAUGUGUACUGCCCUCAAAGUUCAUGAUGGGUUUUCUGCAAUUUCCCUUCAAUAUUUUCUAAAUAUAUGAAUUUUAUAUUGAUGUAAAAUUAGCAUCAUUGAAGAAUGAGGAAACAUAUAAGUGUUACAAUUAAGGUUCCGUUUGUUUUACAGAAAAUGUAAUAUUUCUGAAAAAAAAAAUUGUAAAAAUAUAUUUCAAGAAAAUGACAAUAUUUUCAUGUGUUUGGCCAAAAACUUGAAAAUUAACCGGUAAAUAUUUUCCAUUGUUUAGUAAAAUUUCCAAUUUUUAAUAAUUAUUUUUAUUUUUAUUUUGUUUUAUUUUAUUUUUUUCCUUCCUCCACUAGUCGCCAACCCUUAGCGACCUCUCUUGUGGCCGGUUGUGAUGCCUAGCAACCGGUGGAGGAAGGAAAAAAAAAGAAAGAAAGAGAAGAAGAAACUAUAAAAUUAUUAAAUAAUUCAAAUUUGGUAAUAAUAAAAAAUUAUUAUUAAAAAUAUAAGAAAAUAUAAGACAAAAUUAUUACUAAAAUGAUGGACCUCGGCUCAGUCUUAAUGGACUCAACCUUGCUACCAAGGGCUUGGGAAUGAGCAUUGAGGUUUCUAUGCCUAAGCACAAAGUUUCUGGAAAAUGAUUUUUGAUUUUUUAAAGAGGAAAUCUUUUUUUAGAAUUUAAAUGUUAGUAGGAAAAGGUUUUUUGUUAAAUAAGAAAACUUUUUCCAUUGACUCAACUUCAUCAAACCAAAUGCUCGAAAAUGAGGAAAAUGUUUUUUGCGGAAAAAAUGAAGCCUAAGGUUGCAUUUGGCAGUCAAGAUAAAAGAUAAAAUUCAUCAUAUCCUGUGUUCGGUGCUUACUCAAAAUGGGCUAAAGUCGGAUAUAAGAGGAAUAUAGAUUGAAUAAAAUUAUCCCAUGAUGAGGUGAGAUAAAUAUGGAUAGGAUUUCUAAUAUCCAUAAUAAGAAUAUCAUUUUUCUCGAAUAUCAAGCUUCUUAAAUUAACAAAAUAAAAAUAUAUUUCAAUAUAAAUAAUAUUAGAAUUAUAAUACAAGAAAUUCAAAAUAACAAAAAAUAUUAUUUAUUUUUUAAUUUAGGAUUUUUUUUUUUUGGGUGACCUAGGAACCCAUACAGCCGGCAGCCGGCCAAUAAACCUGGGGGGACAUGUAAGCGGGAGGACCCACCACCCCCGGCGUCCCACUUAAGACCCCAAGCGACCGUGAGGAGAUUUGAACUCCUCCCCUUUGUGAGGGGGAGAGAGCCCAAACCAUCAUGGCUACCAAGGCGGUGGUAUUUUUUAAUUUAGGUUUGAUACCCUAAAAAACCUCCAAAUAGAUACACACAUGACAAAUUUACUAAAAAUUAAUUUUUUCAUCAUAAAAAAUCCAAAACUGGUACACUUUCAACAAAUUUACGCUUAAAUUGGUACAUUUGUGAUAAAUUUACUCUAUAUUAAUUUUCGUUAAAAUUUACUGUAAAAAACUAAAUUUGAUGACACAUGACAGUUAAUUGGUAUAUCAAUUUGAGAUUUUGCUCUAUGUAUGUCAUAGUUGUACCAUUUUUAUGGUUUCUUGUGGUAUUAAUUCACUUAAAUGGAGAGUAUAUUUAUCAUAGAUGUACCGGUUUAGGAUUUUUGGCAGUCAAACAAAUUAGUUUGGGGUAAAUUUGUCACAAGUAUACCUGUUGGGGUUUUUUGUGGUCAUUCAGGGUAAAUUUAUCAUAGAAAUACCGGUUUUGGGUUAUUUGUGAUCAAAAAAUUAGUUUAAGGCAAUUUUGUCAUAAGUGUACUAGUUUAAGAUUUCCAUAAUAUUAACCUAUUAAUUUAAUCUCAUUUUAAUUUAUAUAGUCGAAUUUAAUUCUAUCUUAUAAUAUAAAUUCAAAAAAUUAUUAAAUAUUUUAGGUAUUUUGAAUUUGAGGUAUAUUAGUAUAGUUUGCUAUUUAAUAAAAUUUUAUUAGAGAAGAUGUAAAGGGAAAAAAGAAAUAAAAAAAAUAAAUGAAUUAAAAAAGAGAGGGAAAAUAAAAUAAAAUAGGCAAGAGUAUUGUGAUAGAUUUUGACCAUCUCCGUUUGUGAAUUUUUAAAGGCAUUUAUACUAAUAUGCUAUUUAAAGCAAACAAUAUACAUGAUAUGAUAUAAAUAUAUCCAACUUUAUUAUUGUAAUUACCAAAUAUUAAAUAGGGCAUAGUAAAAUCCUUAGAUUUCAUACCAUAUUCUAUCCAAUUAUAUCCUAGUCAGAAAUCCAGACGACCAAUAGAUAAUGAGUGCUUGUUGAGAGAGGAGUUCUAAUAUUGUUGAACAUGCAAAAUGGACAAAAGUAGCAUUAAAGCUUUAAGAUAACUCCAGGACAAUAACUCUAAUUCUUUGUACUGAUGUAGUUAAUGUAAACAAUAGAUAGAGAUAUGUUAGGGGAAAUGUGCCAUAAGAGUCCCAACAUUAUCAGUGGUGCCGGUUAGGAAUUCACAUUGAUUGAGAUGAACAUCAGAGUGUUAUUCUAAGCCAUUCUCAGUGUGGAUCUGAACUCAGGAUUCCUUAUUAUACCUCCUUUGCUCUUUAGUUGCGAAUCAAUGAAAAGUAGACGCUUUUCUGUUUAAGUUUUCUUCUUUCCUGCGCUAGUCUCAAUUCUGUAACUUCCACUAUGGAAAGAAACUCUCAAAUUUGGCGCUUUUUUAAGGUUUCUGGUAGCUCCACCUGAUAUAUAGAACUAAUAAAGUGUCAUGAUGUCAAUCGGACGCUCCUUUAGCAAUCCGUGGUCAUACGAAGUCAGUUUCUAUUUAAAUCACAUUUUUUACGUCCUUUUCAAAUUCUUAAAGAUUUUAUGCAAGUCUUUUUGCAUGUUGGUGCGACCUGUAGUUUUUAAGUUUCUUUAGAUAUGAAGAGCAUUUAAAAUUUAUUCCGUCAAAUUAACUGAAUUUUGAUUUUCAUGAUAACAGUAAUUUUCAAUCUACGCAAAAAAAUUUCAUAGCCAGUCAAUUAAAGAGAUGCUCCCUCCAACGUCUAUUUUAGUUCUCUUGUUUCACUACAGGUGAGAUCGAACAUUCUACAUGCAAAGCGGGCCAUUCUAAGCCGGAUUUUCAUGGUCAUACAAUUUCAAAGCCUCUCACAUCUCCUGAAUUGGCCAGCGAUGUCAUACCAUACCAAUAGCUCUACAUAACUAUGCGCUUUUCCCAAAAAAAUCCACAGAGACUUCCUCGCAUCUCCAUGAUCUGUAUUUCCAGAGUCUUUAUGCUAAUCUGCUGUCACUAGAUUCAUGUAUAAGAAACAGAUUCCGCAAAAUAACGACGUUGCCUAGGAGGGAGCUUGAGGAGUCCACCAAUUUCCUACACCGCAGUAUGACAAAGUGAACAACAUUUAAUACUCAUGCAAAUAAAUAUGAAGCAAAGCAGACCCAAAUAAAAAUUCAUUCAACCCCUAGAACACCAGAGCACAUAAGUUAACAAAUCUAUUUCAAUAUGAUUGAAUCAUUGAUUAAUUUAAAGAAUAGCGACUAAGCUGUGCAACAAUAGGUCACCGAUCAAAGUUUAUGAGUGCAAAGAGUGUCAUUGAAUAAUGAAAGCAAAUUACUACUUAGAAACGAGACGAGCAUGUCCAGUCUGCGAAUGAUUGCUUACCCUUUCUGAACAAAAAAAUGCAGGAAAAGAGGACGAAGGAGACAUGAAGCUUUCUGAGGCUAAUACCAAACAUUUUUAAGCUAAUGAAUUCAGUGUAAUAACAAUGGUCCGAUCCUGCACCCCACAUACAAAUAAUGAAAAAGCAGAGUAAAAGGAAAAACUUUGGUUGAAGGAACAUGCUAGGGAUGUUACACAGUUCAUGAGCAAACUUUCAUUUCACACACCACAAAUGAUUCUUGCAUCCAAUAGAUCCAAAAAGUGAUGAGUGAUCUAACAAGGCCAGAUUCGGUAAAGCUUCCUGUUAAUCCGAUACUCAAACGAUCGAAUAUCGAAAACGAACACAAAAAAUAUGCCCAGGAAACAUGUAACACUGAUCGAAAGAUAUAUCACGGAUACGGACUUACCUUGUUUACCACAUAUUAAGUACCGUUGCAGUCUUAGGGGAAUCCUUUGAAACCUUGGAGUUCUAUUCGUCAAGAGGGAGGAUACUACUUCAAAGGGGAGAAAAAAUAGCAAUGCCUAUUUUCUCUAAUACGCUACAGGUAACCUUAUCCCCUUUUAUUUUAUUUUUUUAUUUUUUAUUUAUAGGCCCUUCACAUACGGGGCGGGUUUUGGCCCAACAUGGGCGAACGGGCUUAACUUGGUCCAUCAAAUAAACAACCUAUCACUUCCUCUAGAUGGAAUGGCGACGUCUUCGCAGGGCUUGGGAGUGUUGGGCACUGACUCCUACUGCAGCUCCUCUUGGAACGAUAGGUACUAACAUAUCGCUAGCCAACGUAGAGUUCAUCUUUGCAGUAGAAUUUAUAACGUGUUCAAUUGGCUGCAAAAUCGAAUGUCAUAAACUCUACGCCUGAGACCAUAGAAAGCAGCGUUGACAUCAACUCCAAUGAAACCAGCCUCUGUGAUUGUAGUAUCAACAACCCUCUCAAGUCCACACUUCUGCCGAAAAAAUGAACUUUUAGACACAUUGAAAGACUCUAGGAUCUAUAGACAUUUCCUCAUCAAACGCAGCAUCCAGAGUCUCUCACAGUUCUUUUUCUCGCAGUAGCAUAACUAAAUAAGGGCACUUCUGCGGUACGACUCUGUUAUAGAUAAAGCCAAAUAUUUGUUUUUAGGGGCUUUUUUUGUCUUUUCUAUUAUAUUUCCUUUUAGGUUAAAAGUGGUACCUAUAUAUUAGCGAUGGCAAAACCCUAGCCGUCAAGACGCUGAAAAAGAAAAUAGAGAGGCAAGAAAAAGAGAGAAGAAAAAAGUGAGUUUUUUUUUCUUGAUGAGAGUUCUCAAUCUCUUUGUGCCCUGAUCUUAAGAGAAUAUCGUCGUUGUAUUCCAACUUUUUCCGAAGUCUAGUGGAUUCGUAGAGUGCCUCUACGCGGAGACGUAGCCCAGGUUUGGGUGAACUUCGAUAACAAAUUUUCUGGCGUGUUCAUUUGAUUCUGCCCUUUUAUUACUAUAUUUUGUCUGGUGAAUUGUUUGCGAGCGUUAUUUUUCUGGAAUUGACGUGUGAUUUCGUAACAACUGGUAUCAGAGCCUGGGUUGGCUAAUCGAAAACAUCGAGGGUUUUCGGUGACGUUCGAUUGAAAGCAAACAGGAUGGCAGAAGAUAAAAUCAGAAUCGAUAAGUUCAAUGGAGAGGAUUUCGGAUGGUGGAAACUACAAAUAGAGGAUUAUCUUUAUCAGAAAGAUCUCUAUGCACCACUUGAGGGUUGGAAACCCGAGAUGGCGGAAGUGGAUCCGACAACAGAAGCCGGAUGGAAAAUUCUUGAUUGAAAGGCGUUAGGUGCGAUUCGUCUAGGGUUGACGAAAAAGACAGGAUACCACAUCGCGAAAGCAAAAACUGCAAAAGAAGCCAUGGAUAUUCUAACGAAUAUUUUUGAGAAGCCGUCCACAUCAAAUCAGGUAUUUUUGCUGAAGAAACUAGUUAAUAUGAAGUUAUUUGAUAGAGGUUCUGUGGCAGAGCAUAUUAAUAGUUUCACGCAAGUCACGGGUCAAUUGGAAUCCGCAUGCAUAAAUUUAGAUAUGAAGCUUCAAGCUUUAUUAUUUUUAUGUUCUCUUCCAGAAAGCUACAAUAUCGUAGUGCAGGGAAUUUCGAGCACCAUGAAUGAUGAUUUAACUCUUGAUGAUACUGUGAGUAGUAUCAUGGAUGAAGAGAUGCGAAGGAAAGUCUCAGGUGGAGAUAAUUUUUCUGUAUCUACAUCUUCAACGGCACUUGCAGUGGAGAACCGUGGAAGAAGUAAAAGUAGAGGAAAUUUCAGCGGUCGUGGUAGAUCACAAUCAAGGGGUAAGAGACAGGUUGCAAAAGAUGAGUGUUGGUUUUGUCACAAAACCGGACACCGGAGGUUUCAGUGUGAAGCCUACAAAAAGAAGCAGCAAGAUGAGAAUCAAGGUGCUAAUGUAGUUAGCGAUAAAUCUUUGCUAGAUAACUUGUGUUUGUCUGCAGGGUUUGACUUGACAACAGAUAAAUGGUUUAUUGAUUCUGGCGCUUCUUUUCAUUGCACCUCACAAAGAGACAUAUUUGAUGAUUAUGCCAGUGGAAAUUUUGGACAAGUGGUUGUGGGAAACGGUCACAUGUGUCCAAUUGUUGGGAAAGGAACUGUGACUAUGAACAUCUCAGGUGGAGGACGUCUAGUUUGCGUGAAACUAGGCAUAUUCCGGAAUUAGAGAAAAAUCUGAUUUCAACUAGUAAACUUGACCAAGAAGGUUUGGUAAUAACCUUUGGCUGCAGAGAGUGGAAGAUAACCUCAGGGGUAAGAGUAGUAGCAAAGGAAAAGCGUACAUGUACACUUUACCUUCUCCAAGGAGACAAUAUUAGUGAUAUGGUUGCAACUACAAUGGCUACAGGUAAUUUAUCUACUCUUUGGCAUUAUCGUUUGGGACAUCUUGGCGAAAAAGGUGUAAAGCAAUUACACUCGAGAAAAUUACUCCCAGGUUUGCAAAAAGUUGAGUUAGAUUUUUGUGAGAGUUGCAUUUAUGGAAAACAGAAGGCUGUUAGUUUUCAAUUGAAUGGGCGACAAAAUAAAGGCCAGAAGUUAGAGUUGGUUCAUACUGAUGUAUGGGGACCUGCUCAGGAACUCUCUUAUGGUGGUAAGAGAUAUUUUGUCACAUUCAUUGAUGAUGCAACAAGAAAGACUUGGGUCUAUGCUCUUAAAGAAAAAUCAGAAGUAUUCGGGAUGUUCAAAAUGUGGAAGACCAUGGUAGAAAAAGAAACAGGUUAUCAGAUUAAAGCUUUGAAAUCUGAUAAUGGUGGUGAAUACACAAGUAAAGAAUUUGCAAAUUAUUUGAGCCGAGAAGGCAUACAUGGGCUAAAGACUGUUCCUAGAACUCCUCAAGAGAACGGUGUAGCUGAAAGAAUGAACAUGACUAUUCUAGAACGUGCGAGAUGCAUGAGACUACACGCGGGUCUCCCGCUACACUUAUGGGCUGCCACAGUUGAUGCAGUUGUUUAUCUUAUCAACAUAAGUCCAUCUAGUGCAUUGGAUAGAGAAAUACCACAAGAGUAGUGGUCAGGUAAGAAGAUUAAUUAUUCACAUCUAAAGGUGUUUGGUUGUAUUGCAUAUGCUUUGAUUGACAUAGAGGAUAGAAAAAAGCUUGAUGCUAAGUCCCAGAAGUGCGUCUUUAUCGGAUACGGUGGCGACGAGUAUUGCUAUAGGCUUUGGGAUUAUAAGAAUAACAAAGUUAUCCGUAGUCGCAAUGUGGUAUUCCAUGAAGAAAAGAUGUACAAGGAUCGUCAGACAGAGACAGAGCAUGAGAAGGUAGUACAACCAGAAUAUGUUGAACUAGACACAAUGCCCGUGAAGAUGUUUCCAGUAGAUCAAAGUUCACCUGAAAGAGAGGUUCAAGAUGAGCCUAAUAUCAGUGAAGAGGUAGUUCAAGAAGAACGCAAUGAUUCGGAGCAAACGAAUGACCCUGAAGUACCUGUCUUGAGAAGGUCUACACGUGUGAGAAAGCCAAAGGUAAUUUUUGAUCCAUCAGCUAAUACUGUUCUAAGCCAUGUCUUAUAUACAGAUUCGGGGGAACCAGAGACUUACGAUGAGGCAAAGGUAGACACGUCUCACUUGCAAUGGGGGUGUGCUAUUAAAGACGAGAUGAGCUCGUUAUUUCAAAACAAAACUUGGGAGUUGACCAAGUUGCCCACAGGUAAAAAAGCUUUAUUAAACAAAUGGGUGUAUAGGGUUAAGAAUGAAUCAGAUGGUAGUAUUAGAUACAAGGCGAGACUUGUAGUCAAGGGCUUUUCUAAAAAAGAAGGGAUCGACUACUCCAAGAUAUUUUCACCUGUAGUGAAAAUGACAUCAAUUAGAGUUCUGCUAAGUAUAGUUGCAGUGGAGGAUCUUCAUCUUGAGCAGAUAGACGUAAAAACAACGUUUUUACAUGGUGACUAGAUGAAGAAUUAUACAUGGCACAACCUAAGGGUUUUGAAGUCAAAGGUAUGGAGCACAUGGUAUGUCGCUUGAAGAAAAGCUUGUAGGGCUUGAAACAAGCUCCGCAGCAAUGGUACCUAAAAUUUGAUGGUUUCAUGCAAGAAAAAGGAUUUGUACACUGUGAGUCUGAUCACUGUUUAUUUUCGCAAAUAUGAUGAUGGUGACAUUGUGUAUCUAUCUUUAUAUGUGGAUGACAUGCUUAUGGCUAGUUCCAAUAUGAAGAGAAUCGUAGAAGUGAAGAAGAUGUUAUCAUCACAAUUUGCUAUGAAAGACUUGGGAUUGGCCAAGAAUAUUUUAGGCAUGAAAAUCAUCAGGGACAGGAAAAAUAAGAAAUUAUGGUUGUUGCAGGAAGACUAUGUGAACAAGGUGUUAAAGAGAUUUAACAUGGACAAAGCAAAACCGGUUGCAACUCCUCUAGCGAGCCACUUCAAACUUUCCAAGGAUAUGUGUCCAAGCACUCAAGCUUUGAAAGAUGAGAUGGCGGUAGUUCCAUAUGCAUCAGCAGUAGGGAGUUUGAUGUAUGCCAUGGUGAGCACGAGACCAGACAUUGCACAAGCAGUGGGAGUUGUAUAUGCAGAACCUAAGUAGAGAGCAUUGGAAUGCAGUUAAAUGGAUAUUGAGAUAUCUAGCAAGUACUUCCAAUUACUCACUUUGUUAUGGUGGUACAUCUCUAGAGUUGCAAGGUUAUGUAGAUGCAGAUCAUUCGGGUGAUCGAGAUAGUGGUAAGAGUACCACUGGAUAUGUCUUUACAGUUGCAAGUACAUCAGUGAGUUGGGUAUCUCAACUACAAAAAGUAGUGGCUUUAUCAACAACAGAGGCAGAAUAUGUAGCGAUUACAGAAGCCUCCAAGGAAAUCAUGUGGUCACAAGAUUAUAUGGAGGAGUUACAUCGAAAACAGCCAGUCAGUACACUAUGGAGUGAUAGUCAAAAUGCAGUGCACUUAGCAAAGAAUGCAGCUUAUCACUCAAGGACUAGACAUAUCAAGAAGCGUUAUCACUUUAUCAGGUCAGCAUUGAAAGAUAAUGAAUUAAAGCUACACAAGAUUGAUGGCUCAAAGAAUCCAGCUGACAUAUUGACCAAGGUAGUAGACAGAGAGAAGCAUAUUUUCAGAACUACUACUAUUGGUAUUACUCCAUGUUGAUUGAUGAGGAGUAUCGCAGAGGCACAAGUUUUUCAACUACUAUUUUUUGAAGAAGAUGGAUACAAAGUUGCUUGGUGCUUUGGUAUAUUUGUCUUCAAGUGGGAGAUUGUUAUAGAUAAAGCCAAAUAUUUGUUUUUAGGGGCUUUUUUUUUUUGUCUUUUCUAUUAGAUUUCCUUUUAGGUUAAAAGUGGUACCUAUAUAUUAGCGAUGACAAAACCCUAGCUGUCAAGACGCUGAAAAAGAAAAUAGAGAGGCAAGAAAAAGAGAGAAGAAAAAAGUGAGUUUUUUCUUGAUGAGAGUUCUCAAUCUCUUUGUGCCCUGAUCUUAAGAGAAGAUCGUCGUUGUAUUCCAACUUUUUCCGAAGUCUAGUGGAUUCGUAGAGUGCCUCUGCGCGGAGAAGUAGCCCAGGUUUGGGUGAACUUCGAUAACAAAUUUUCUGGCGUGUUCAUCUGAUUCUGCUAUUUUAUUACUAUAUUAUGUCUGGUGAAUUGUUUGCGAGCGUUAUUUUUCUGGAAUCGACGUGCGAUUUCGUAACAGACUCUUCUUCAGCCUUUCUAUAACUUCGUCAUUCCAUUGAACACCUUCCUCGCAAACUCAAUUCCCUCCUCCACAGCACAACCGAUGGCAAUUGAAUUUCUGAAGACAGCGAGAGAAUUGGGAGAAAAAACAAGAUCGAAAUAGAAGUCAAUAGAAAAUUUUUGAAUGAAUCGAAAUUCAUCCUAGAGUUCAGCACGAGAUGAUGGAUUUCGUCGUCACUUCAGUGUCACGAGGAACCGUCUCUAGAGAUCUCUUGAAGCAACGAUCGUCGGAGAUUUCAAUCGACAGCUUCACUCCUUCAUGGUUUCGUAGAGAGAGAAAGAGAUCCUUCUGUGAACUUUAGACACCUUGUUCUUUUCUCCUAUCUCUUUUCUUUUAUUUUUAUUUUUGUUAUUUCUUUUUUUUAUAUAUUUCUUUAAUUUUUAAUUUAUAAAUAACAAAAGUACAAUUUUAUUAUUUUCUCCCAUCUCUUUUCUUUUAUUUGUAUUUUUGUCUUUUAUUUUUUAUUUUACUAAUCUUUGAUUUGCCCGAUAAAACUAAUGCUACAGUAAAAAAGUUGAAGCCAUGCUCCAAUUUCGGAAGGGCAUAACUCUAUAAUUUGUCCAUAAGUGAAAUCCAUUCAAUUAGCACAUUCCGACUGUGCCAGUCCAACGAUGCAUGCUCCAUGGUCGAAGCAUUGGGCAUCACCAUAAGAACCAUGGUUGUAGUGGUCUAAUCCUCAUGCCCCGGUGUUGGAUUCAAAAUAUCUUUUGGUUCUGCCCAAUCUAGGCAAUUUGGAUUCCAAUUGAAGCUAGGAUUGCCCAUAUCUGUCCGAUUCGUAAUACAGAAAUAACAUCUCAAUUUCCUUCUCUCUGGGCCACUAUCUUUUUUCCCUUUCCCGCAGGUUGAGGUCUUGACAUUUCUGGUCACUCUUCUCUCACCCUCGUCAAGUCAUCUAGUCCCCACCAAGCCACCAUUACGCUAUCGUCGAGCCCCCACUAUGCUCGCUUGGUCAAUCUCUCUCUCUCACUCUCACUCCACUACCCUCGGCCAAAAAAAGAAAAAUGAAAAAACGCUUGCUCUCCUCUUUAUUGUGUCUUACUACAUGUUAUCAAAGUACAAAGCAAGCGACGCGACUCACACUUUUGCUCGUGUCAUGGUCUCUGUCAUGCUCCCCCAUCUCCAGCACUAGCUUGGUUCUUACUAGCCUGUUAUGAUGUUGUUGACACCUAAAUUUUAACUAUUUUUAUUUUUUUAUUAGGGUAACAAUGAUAUUUAACUCAUCUCUUAAAAAAGGUUGUUAAAAAAAAUAUUUUGUGGAGGAAUGAGAUUUUGAAGGAUUUUCGGAUAACGAAGUCAUAUCAAAAGUUGAGUGAAUUGUCUUUAAAAAAUCUUCAUAAAGAAUUUGGGAUUAUUUUCUUGUUGAGCACAUCUCUCCGUUUCUUCGAAUGAUCCUUAGCGAUUAGGUCAAUAUAUGCAAAUCUUCGUAGGUUGAACAAACCAGGGUUUUCUCUGUAUAAAUAGGGGGGCUUUUUCGUUUUCUCUUGGUCAAAAAAAGAAGAAAAGUCAAAGGAAAAGAGAAAUUCUUUGAGGCUUUCUUCUGCUGGCUUCGAAAGUGAAAAGGAGGGUGCAGAAAGUACAGAGAGAAGAGACAGGUGAGUGACGGAGAGGGAGAGAGAGCCAGAAAAGAAAAAAAGAAAAACAAAAGGAAAGGGAAAAGCAGAGCAGAAAACGGGGGACUGUUAAUCGUCUUCUUCAUGUAGCCGCUUCCCCCCCCCUCCCCCCGCCUUCCGCCUGCAACCCUUGCGCCGUCGCCGCGCCACCGCACCCUUGUGCUGUCAUCGCUGCGCCGCCUGCGUCCGGUAGCCAGCCUCGGAUGCUCCGCCACCGCUCCUCGCCCCGGAAGACGCCGCGCCCGUAACGCCGCCUCUGCUCUGGUUCUGCUCGCAAAACCGCUGACCACCGCCUCGAUUGCAGCCCAUCGCCGACGUCAGCAGCUCCUGCGACCUGCCCCGAUUACGACUCCAGACGCCGCGUCCCGCCGACGUUUCGUCCUGCUCGCUCGUUGCUGCCCGAGCUGCCAGCAGUCGAAGCCCGCGCCGUCUCCCUCGCCCGCGAGCUUAUGUCGCUGGUCUGCCCAGAAGCCGUGAAGCCGCUGACCCCCGCCGCGCUCACACCGCCGAGCACCACCGUCGCUACCCCUGAUCCGAGUCUACUGCUGUCCUCGGUGCGCCAUCAGCUACUGCCCGAGCGAUCUCCUGUUUUGUUGCAGGUUUACCUUUGCCGAACCUUGUCGGAGCUCCCACAUCCGUGCCCAUCACUCUCACCGGAGCCCUAAAUUAGCCAUACCGUCAAGCUGAUCUGCUUUCUGUUGCAGCCCAUUGCGACCCGCAACGCCCAAGCCUGCCGCGCCCACACUGCCGAGCACCGACGCCGAUCCACCCAACGCUGGCCCUGCCCGUCCAGACCCGAGCUUCCCUAGCUCCGCUCCUGUGUUGCUGCCGUCGCCGGUUCACCUUGGCCGGAGCCUCCUUUGCCGAGCCGAUUAGUCGAUUCCCCUUGGAGAUACACAAGCGAUGCCUGGAAAAGAAAAACAAAAAAAAAAAAAAAAGGAAAGAAAAGGAAAUUAGGUAGUUUUAUUUUCUUUUUCUAUUUACUUUAUUUAUUUAUUUCUUUUAAGUUUAGUUGUUAUUGUGAAAAUUUAAAGUGAUCUUCAUUUCAUGAAUUCAAUAGGCAUUAUCCGCAGGGUCUUCCCCAUAAUUAUUGUAAUUAUUAAUUUGAUCCGUAAGAUAUCGGAUCAUUUUUUUAAUUAUAUUAAUUUUUGGGGUUUGUCGAUAGUAUUUUAAGUGUUGAAUCAAUAUAAUUAUUAAUUUGAUCUGUAAGAAUUCGGAUCAGAUUUUUAAUUAUUUUGAACUCUUUGUCAUGAUAAUUAGGGUUAUGAUAAUCGUUAAUUUGACCUGUGAGACAACAGGUUAUUUUUUCGAUUAUUUUAAUCCUUUAUUUGAUUAAAUAUCUUGAUUGUUUAGAUUUAGUUGAUAAUUGUUUUUUUUUUUUGUGAAACCACUAAAAAAUCUAAAAAAUAUUUGAAUUAGGAUUCAGUUUGUUUUAGAAUAUUUCUCGUUAUCUUGCAUAUCUAGAAUAUGGAUUUUAUUCCGAAUUUAGAAAAAUAUAAAAUAAAAUAAAAAAACAAAAAAAGUGCAUCCAUUUAGGUUGUUAGUUUUAUCAUUAUUUGAAUUGCAUGUGAAAUUUUAAUUUUGAAAUUAAUAUAAAAACACAAAAAAAUCAUCAUGCAUAUAUCAUGUUGAAUUAGGGCAUUCUUUGCACGUCAUUGCAUAUUAGAUAAAUUGCAUGUUAGAUUAAGAUAAUAUCUUAGUUUAAAUUAGGAUUUAAUGUGACUUGAUCCUUAGUUUAAAUUAGAAUUUUAAUCUAGCUAGAUCAUUUUUGCAUUUUUAAAUAGAAAUAUCAAAUGCACGUCAUUUAGUUUUUAUUAAUUAGAAUUUCCUCGUCAUUAGACUAAGUCAUUUAAUAAAUGUCGCAUGACAUAUAACCCGCAUACUAAAUUGUAUGUUGCGUGUCAUUUUAGUUAAAAUAAUUUUGUAUGUCAUUGCAUUGCAUUACCUGUCAUUAAAAUUAGGUCAUUUGAUUAAUUUACAUUGCAUAUUUAAUUGAUGCAUUUCUUUAUUUUCAAAUUUCAUGAAAAAUAUAAAAGAAUUAGAAUGAAUUCAUUUCAUGCUUUUAGGAUAGAUUGCAUGCUUAUUUAGGACAUACAAUUUUGGUCAUGUUAUCAUAUUAUUUCAUGUUAGAAUAGUGAUAUGCAUCGCAUAAGUCGUGAUUUUCAUUAAAUAAAGUGAAAAAAAAAUUGAAAUUGCGUGUUAAUUAGAAAUCAUAUCUAGGGUUGCUGAUGUGAAUUCUGAUUUAACAAUGCAGAUGAUUUUGUUGCUUCUAAGUAUGAUUUUGUUGCUUCUAAGUAUGUUUUGCAAUAUUUAAUUGCUUUCUUGAGUGUUAAAUUGGUGGUAUGCGCACAUGUAUGAUCACCUCACAUGUUAGGAAGUUAAAUUAAAAUCAAUUCAAUUGCCAAACAUUUUUGAAAAAUGAAAUAAAAAGGUACCGAAAUGGCACUAGGAUAGUCUAGUGUAACCAAGUCCCAAAACUCAUAAAUCUCUAGUUCGUAGGAGUAAAAGUAAAUCUCAUGUUACUUUACUUGGGUUUCUAAUCGACCCACCAAAAAUAGAUUAGUGGCGACUCCUGAUUGAAAAUCAUUUGCAUGUUAAGAAUUCAAACCUAAGUCGCAAAUUGGUAUGGGCUUGGGAGAGCCCGAGCUAAGCUUAAAGACUUAAUAAUCCAUUAACUUAGUUUUAGGUGGUGAACCGAAAAAAUUAGGUCGCGACGGCUUGGCAACUCCGCUGGGGACUUGUGUUAAAACACUUAGUGGACUUAGGCCAAUUUUUCUUUUUAAAAAUAUUUUUUGUUUGGCAGCGAGGAUCUCAGGUAUGUCCCUAACAUUUCUAAGGUGUUAAAUGUUCUUGCAUAUUGGAGGUAUAAGGGGAGUAGUCUUUGCUAACCCUUGUCUUGCAGGGAGGUGUUGAGAUUAAUGAUUUAUUUUUCCUGAUUAGAAGUGUUGUUUGCAUUUAAACUGUUGUGCAUGCUUUAUUGCUUUAGCACCACACUAUUUGCACACAAAACCUGUGGUCGGACCUAGGCUGCGAUAGGACUUCUAGGAUGGUGUUGAGAAGGAUACUUCCUCUAAAGCGAGAUUGCUAUGUAGAGGUUGACAUUCUCUUCCCCGAAAUUUCUUUCAUGGUGUCGAAUGUGUUUGUCCAUAUCCGCGAGACUGCGUGGUUAUUAGGUAUUCCAUUCGACUGAGCCGGAGUUAGGGGGACCUGACACGUUAAUACGAGACUGCAAUGGUCAAAUCAUCCUUUUAGCUCCACCUUGUUAAGCCAUCUAGACAGAAAUCGAGCCUCACUUUUCAUACAUGUGUCUAUGCGGUUGUCAUCCAUUUCCAGUAAAAGUAAGUUGUUUAAAUUCUUUGCAAUUUAUUUACUUUAUUGUAAUUUUGUCGGUCCAUGGGGGAUUAGGUUUCGUCGUCAGUCUUGUUUUAUAUGCGAUGGGGAAAACUGACAUACAAUUCAUUUCUACUCCAAAAAAAAAAAGCUCAAGAAGUGGUUGGAUCAGUUGGAUCAAGAUGGCCAGAGAUAUGUGAAGGCCAGGAUCGUUCAACUUCUCCCACUGUUAGAGAUCAACGUCCACUCUGGUGUGAUUCAGGCACUUCCUCACUUCUGGUGUCCACAAACUUCCACCUUCAUAUUUGGUGAGUUUGAAUUAACUCCAACACUUGAAGAAUAUAGUGUCGCCAUUGGAAUGCCCUUGGAAAAGGAACUUGUUAGACCGCCUAUCGGUAUAGAUUCUAUUUCUGAAUUAUCACAGUUUUUAAAAAUUAAAGCCGAAAAAGUGAGGAAGGUUGUUAAAGCCAAUUGCUAUACAUGCCCAUUUUCAUUUUUGGAAUGCUGUUUUUCAAACCAACCAAUGACUUUAAAAGCUAAGAUUUCAUGUAGCAUUUUUUGGACUAUCGUUUUCUAUCGAAAAAUGCAUUNNNNNNNNNNNNNNNNNNNNNNNNNNNNNNNNNNNNNNNNNNNNNNNNNNNNNNNNNNNNNNNNNNNNNNNNNNNNNNNNNNNNNNNNNNNNNNNNNNNNNNNNNNNNNNNNNNNNNNNNNNNNNNNNNNNNNNNNNNNNNNNNNNNNNNNNNNNNNNNNNNNNNNNNNNNNNNNNNNNNNNNNNNNNNNNNNNNNNNNNNNNNNNNNNNNNNNNNNNNNNNNNNNNNNNNNNNNNNNNNNNNNNNNNNNNNNNNNNNNNNNNNNNNNNNNNNNNNNNNNNNNNNNNNNNNNNNNNNNNNNNNNNNNNNNNNNUAUGGCAUACUAAAUGGUUUCAAGUUGAGGAGGCUCGUUUCUCACACAAGCAUGAUGAGCCAAUUACGUUGUUGGGCUUUUCUAGUGCAACUUCUUACUAUCCUAUAGGGUGGCUCGUCAGUACAAAGCUCUUCAAGAAAUUCCUCUGCCACUCAAAACAGAGUUAUUCCAAGUUCGUUUUAUUCGAGCAAACUAUGACUACUUCAAGGAGAUCCGGAUGAUCAUUGUUGCAUGGAAUGAAUGCCACCUACAGAAGAUUUUGGUGCCCAAGAGACUAAAAGGCGAGAAGGAGAUUCACCAUCCGUCGACAUUCUACAUCCAACAACAUUGGAUUUCUGCCGCCCUACGUCCAGUGGUCCCUGAUGUGACUAAGAAGCCAACCCAAUGAGCACAAAUUGAGCAUCUUAAGCGGAAAGUGGAAAUGAUUGAAGCGGAAAAUAAGAAGUUUCGCAAGGCGUUGAAAUCCCGAAAGCAUAUAAAAUGAGACGUCUUGAAUUUUGAUUCUUAGUUCAAUGUUUAGGGACUUUGAUUUCUAGCUCAAUGUUUUCAAUUUUUAGAUUAAAUGUUUAGGGACUUUGGAUUUCAAUUCUUAGUUCAUUGUUAGGAAACUUGGUUCAAAUUUCAAAUAAAAUCAGGUGAUUAGACCAUUGUCAUGAGCCAUUUUUCCUAUCUUGUCAUUGGUUCUUACAUUACUUUUAUCCGAUUAGGUGAUAAUGGAUCCUCCACGUUCGCCCAUCAUUACACGAUCGAGAGCAAAAAUGGCCGACCAAGCCGAAAUGCGAGAUUGUAUGUCUGUCGUAGAAGACCAACUCAAACAGUUGCUCACCUCUAUGCAACUUAUGACAACUCAAAUGCAAUCUCUCCAAGUGAAUCAAACCCUUGCAUCCGCUCUCCCCGAGAUUGUAGUCCCAAAGCAAAUGAACAAGACUCAAAUUGAUGAUGACGACACGCCUGAACUGGAGGAUGACCCACUGUUUGUCACUACCAAAAAGGUUAAGCCCGAUAAUAUCCCUAAGGUGGAGCAGGAUGAACGCUUCACCAAACUUGAAGAGAAACUGAAAUAAUUGCAAGAGUCGCGAAGUUCACUUCCAUUUGACUUGUCAGUUUAUGAGAAAGUCAAGAUGCCGAAAAAUUUUAAGAUGUCGGAGUUCGAGAAAUACGACAGUAUUUCAUGCCCAAAGGCUCAUUUGCAGAGGUACCACGUACGCAUGGCCUAGUAUGUCAAGAAUGANNNNNNNNNNNNNNNNNNNNNNNNNNNNNNNNNNNNNNNNNNNNNNNNNNNNNNNNNNNNNNNNNNNNNNNNNNNNNNNNNNNNNNNNNNNNNNNNNNNNNNNNNNNNNNNNNNNNNNNNNNNNNNNNNNNNNNNNNNNNNNNNNNNNNNNNNNNNNNNNNNNNNNNNNNNNNNNNNNNNNNNNNNNNNNNNNNNNNNNNNNNNNNNNNNNNNNNNNNNNNNNNNNNNNNNNNNNNNNNNNNNNNNNNNNNNNNNNNNNNNNNNNNNNNNNNNNNNNNNNNNNNNNNNNNNNNNNNNNNNNNNNNNNNNNNNNNNNNNNNNNNNNNNNNNNNNNNNNNNNNNNNNNNNNNNNNNNNNNNNNNNNNNNNNNNNNNNNNNNNNNNNNNNNNNNNNNNNNNNNNNNNNNNNNNNNNNNNNNNNNNNNNNNNNNNNNNNNNNNNNNNNNNNNNNNNNNNNNNNNNNNNNNNNNNNNNNNNNNNNNNNNNNNNNNNNNNNNNNNNNNNNNNAAAUGACCAAGACAACACAACUACUGCGUCAUCAUUUGCCCAAGCAAUAUAGAAGCAUUUCUCUCUCCUGGGUCUCCAUCCCAAGUGCUGACAAUCUCCGAAAGAAAGCUUUGCUUACUAGUGAACCAAAACGUCCCAACCGCGAAAACAUUCACGGUUAUGACCCGACAAAGAAGUGUGACUACAUAACGGUGAAUUUGGGCAUUUAACUGACGAAUGUUUCACCCUCAAGCAUAAGAUCCAAAAUCUCUUGGACACAAAGGCCUUCUCAUUUCAAACUGCUCGGCCAAACGUCUAGAAGAAUCCGCUACCGGAGCAUGAGGGUACAGUGAAUGCUAUCCUAGAACCUAAAGUUAGACGGAUCAAGAACUCGAAGGUGCGUGUGGCAGAUGCCUACAAUGGACUGGUGAGAGCUGGAUAUUAUUCAGAUCAAGAAGAUGUUCCCCCAUCAUUGAUGAAAGAAAGAGUUGCUAGAAUGGUGGAUGAUGGUAUCAUUAUGUAUGCUGACCAUAACUGCAUAGUUUUCACUAUUUCUCAUAUCAUUAUCAAUUAGGAGGAAGAGCAGGCUGCUCUCGAUGAUAGUAAGGAAGAAGUAGAUCCGUCACUCGCAGAUAUGCCCCCGCUAGAAGAUGCAACUAAUGAGGAGAUUGUGAUCGAGAUGCCUCAACCAUAUGAGUAUGUCAACAAUAAGGCAGUGCCUUGGUCCUAUGAUUUAGAUGUUGACCUCGUUACAAGGUCUGGUUGAACUUAUACUCAAGUUAGUGCUCAACCUGCAAAGCCUAUCACUGACGAAGAGGCUAAGGAAUUUCUGACUGUGAUUAAAGCAAGUGAGUAUAAUAUCGUCGAUCAGUGACGAAAUAUGCCUGCUCAGAUCUCUUUGCUCGAGCUCUUCCAAACCUCCUCUGUGCAUCAAAAGUCAUUGAUGAAAGGUGCUAAGUGAAAUUCGUGUACCCGAAAACAGUUGAGGCAGAUAAGCUGGAGGAUNNNNNNNNNNNNNNNNNNNNNNNNNNNNNNNNNNNNNNNNNNNNNNNNNNNNNNNNNNNNNNNNNNNNNNNNNNNNNNNNNNNNNNNNNNNNNNNNNNNNNNNNNNNNNNNNNNNNNNNNNNNNNNNNNNNNNNNNNNNNNNNNNNNNNNNNNNNNNNNNNNNNNNNNNNNNNNNNNNNNNNNNNNNNNNNNNNNNNNNNNNNNNNNNNNNNNNNNNNNNNNNNNNNNNNNNNNNNNNNNNNNNNNNNNNNNNNNNNNNNNNNNNNNNNNNNNNNNNNNNNNNNNNNNNNNNNNNNNNNNNNNNNNNNNNNNNNNNNNNNNNNNNNNNNNNNNNNNNNNNNNNNNNNNNNNNNNNNNNNNNNNNNNNNNNNNNNNNNNNNNNNNNNNNNNNNNNNNNNNNNNNNNNNNNNNNNNNNNNNNNNNNNNNNNNNNNNNNNNNNNNNNNNNNNNNNNNNNNNNNNNNNNNNNNNNNNNNNNNNNNNNNNNNNNNNNNNNNNNNNNNNNNNNNNNNNNNNNNNNNNNNNNNNNNNNNNNNNNNNNNNNNNNNNNNNNNNNNNNNNNNNNNNNNNNNNNNNNNNNNNNNNNNNNNNNNNNNNNNNNNNNNNNNNNNNNNNNNNNNNNNNNNNNNNNNNNNNNNNNNNNNNNNNNNNNNNNNNNNNNNNNNNNNNNNNNNNNNNNNAAAGCCCUAUUAAAGCCCUAUGAAGCCUAGAGUCUCGAUUGCUGGGUUAGGGUACGAGGUGGAGGAAGUUCCGGAAGACAAAGACAGGGAAGGCGUAACCCGCCACCUGAGCAAGGGCGAGAGAGGCAAAAUUUACCACCUCCAAACAUUCAUGAGACGUUCCCUGGUCCUCCAAUUAUGAUGCAAGAUGAAGCUGAAGUCAUGGAUACUCUAGGACAACCAAGUGGGAAAUUCGACUAUAUGGUGAAGUAUUCGGCUCCUGCCAGCUUUUACUUUGACGCCCGCAAUAUAGUUCCAAGUGGAUGGGAUGGCAUGGAUGAUCCGACGCCUUCAAAGAUAGAAAACUCUGAUGACACCUUGGAAGGAAUUUCAAGUUUGUUCGAUGACCUCUCCAUUGGAGCCAUUGAUGGAGAACCUCUGGAAGAAACAGACCCUCGCCCACAAGAGUAACCCAUUUAUCACUUUUGCACAUUCCCAUGCGUGGGAAUUUUUAUUGCUUUCUAGGAAUUGUUUUUGAUUUCUUCUUUUUCACUUUCUUCUUAGGACUUGAAUUGCAUUUUCCAUUCAAUAAAUUGUAAUUUAUUGAUGAAUUUCAAUGAAAUUACAAGUUUUAUUUGAGGGCAUGAUGAGGUACACCAAACCAGCCUAGUGAUGAUAUCCAACCGAUAGAACAAAAUCAAAAUCCAAGGAGAACUCUGAGGCCUGGGCUUCAUCAUGUUUCUUCAUGUCAAAAACAUGAUUUUGCAAAAGAAUGUCAAAAAAAAUUCACAAAAAAAUAAAAUAUGAUUAACCCUGUCUGUCUUUUUUAUCCUUCUAUUUCCUGUUUCAGGGACGAUCAUAUAACAUGCAAAGGUGUGGAAAUGGUCCAAUCCAAUGCAACAAGUGAUGAUAAUGAUGAUCCUGAAGAUUCAAUCGAAGAUUCCAUUGAGGUGCAGCAAAGCUGGGAACAACAUGAAAAAGCCAAGACUCUCACAUCCGAGCAUACCGUCACUAUUAAUUUAAGUGACAUUGAAGAAGCCAAUGAGGUGAAAAUAGAGGCGAAUCUCCCCAAAGACGAGGCUAAGCGCCUAAUUCAGUUACUGAAGGAAUAUAAGGACAUCUUCGCAUGGACCUACGCCGACAUGCCUGGGUUAGACCCAUCAAUCGUGGAGCAUUAUUUGCCUACUAACUCGGACGUGCCUCCUAAGAAGCAAAGGCUGCGAAUAACUAAGCCUGAGCUCUCGAAGAAGAUAAAAGAAGAAGUGAUGAAGCUUUUAAAAGUCGGAUUUAUUGAAGUCUCGCAAUACCCUGAAUGGGUAGCAAACAUCAUGCCGGUGAUGGAGAACGAUGGUCGAGUUUGAGUUUGUGUCGAUUAUCGGGAUUUGAACAAGGCUAGCCCAAAAGAUGACUUCCCGCUACCUCACAUAGAUGUCCUUGUUAAUAGUAUUGCCAGAUUUGAACUAUUCUCAUUUAUGGAUGGUUUUUCUAGGUACAAUCAGAUAAUGAUGAAGGAGGAAGACACGGAGAAAACUGCAUUUAUCACCCCGUGGGGGACCUUUCAUUACAAGGUUAUGCCAUUCGGGCUCAAGAACGCAGGGGCAACUUACCAACGAGCCAUGGUAUCAUUAUUCCAUGAUAUGAUGCAUCAGGAGAUCGAGGUCUAUGUUGAUGAUAUGAUCGCAAAGACUCGACCUAGGAAAAGCCACAUCGAAACCUUGAAAAAGUUGUUCGAUCGACUCCGUGAGUUCAAGCUUCGUCUAAACCCCACUAAGUGCGUGUUUGGAGCAACAUCUGGUAAAUUACUUGGAUUCAUUGUAAACAGUAAAGGGAUUAAGAUCGACCCAGCUAAAGCUAAAGCCAUAUGUGAGUUGCAACCUCCAUCAACGGUGAAAGAAGUCCGAAGUCUUUUGGGCAGAUUGAAUUACAUUGCUCGAUUCAUUUCCCAACUUUCUGAAAUCGGCAAGCCAUUCUUCAAGCUCUUAAAGAAGAAUGCACGAGUCAACUGGGAUGAUGAGUGCCGAGAAGCAUUCGACAAGUUGAAACAGUAUUUGAUGAAUCCACCAGUUCUUGUCCCGCCAUCGCCAGGGCAUCCUUUGAUUCUCUACCUCACCAUUCAUAGUGAGUCAUUGGGUGCGAUGUUGGCACAGGGAAGUCCCGUCGACAAAAAAGAACGAGCCAUUUAUUACCUAAGUAAAAAAUUCACCAUGUCAGAGCUGAAAUUUUCUGAUGUGGAAAAGACUUGUGCUGCACUAGUGUGGGCGUUGCAUAGAUUGAGAUAGUACACACUGCAUUACCAGACAUUCCUUGUAACUGAGAACGAUCCUAUCAAGUACCUACUUGAUCGGCCAGCUUUGGUGGGUAGGUUGGUUAAAUGGCAAAUUUUGAUAUCAGAAUUUGAUGUGCAAUAUAUGCCACAGAAGUCGGUUAAGGGUCGAGUGAUCGCCGAUUUAUUGGCUGAGAAUCCGGAAGCCUCAAAUAGUGAUGAUCAUUCCCUAGAUGACCGUAUCUUGACUGUAAAUGAAGACUCAUGGACAAUGUUCUUUGAUGGAGCUGUGAACUUGUCUGAUUCUAGCAUUGGGGCAGUUUUGAUAUCCCCAGACAGACAUCAUCACCCAGUAGCUACGAAAUUGAUAUUCCCAUGCACUAACAAUACAGCCGAGUAUGAAUCUUGCAUCCUCGGGCUUCAAGCUGCAAUCGAGAUGGGUAUAGCCAAAUUAAAAGUGUUCGGGGAUUCCGCGUUAAUCAUACUGCAGACCGUAGGUGAAUAGAAGACUAAGGAUGCUAAAUUGCUCCCAUAUCACAAGUACCUAGAAGAUUUGAUCAAGGAAUUCGAUGAAGUUUCAUUUGAAUACUUACCGAGGUCUCACAAUCAAUUUGCAGAUGCACUCGCAACUUUAUCAUCCAUGUUGCAAGUCACUGACUGAUUAGAAGUCGAGCCAUUGAAGAUAGAGGUUUUGCCAAGGCCGUCUUAUUAUAUGGUAGUGACUGAAGAAUCUAACAAAAAACCAUGGUAUUACGAUAUCAUGAACUACAUCCAAAAAUAAGGAUUCCCCGAGGAAAGUACUCCAGUUGAUAGGAAGUACAUUAUGAAGAUGGCCUCAAAGUUCUUUGUCAGUGGUGAAAAUUUGUACAAGAGAACUUAUGAUUCAGUUUUGUUGCGGUGUGUGGGUGAAGCUGAAGCCACUCAAAUUAUGCAGGAGGUUCACGAAGGAGUGUGUGGCCCCUAUAUGAAUGGACACAUGAUGGCUAAGAAGAUCAUGAGAUUAGGCUAUUAUUGGCUCAUGCUAGAAGGUGACUAUAUUCAGCAUGUCUGGAGUUGCCAUCGUUGCCAAAUUCAUGGUGACAUGAUAAAUGUUCCUCCAACAGAGCUACACCAGUUUUCUGAGCCAUGGCCCUUCUUAAUGUGGGAGAUUGAUCUGAUCGGCCUGAUAAAUCCUAAGGCUUCAAAUGGAUAUCGUUUCAUUUUGGUGGCGAUAGAUUAUUUUUCCAAAUGGAUAGAAGCUAUGUCAUUUGCAAGUGUCACUGCUUGCAAUGUUGCGAAAUUCAUCAAACGUGACAUAAUUGCUCGUUGUGGUGUCCCUGAAACGAUUAUCACUGGCAAUGGAACAAAUUUGAACAACAAGCUUGUUGAUGAGUUGUUCAGCGAGUUCAAGAUCAAGCAUUUGAAUUCAUCCCCUUAUCGCCCUCAAAUGAAUGGGGCUGUUGAAGCGGCCAAUAAGAAUAUUAAGAAGAUCUUGGCUAAGACAACCGAGAAUUAUCGAGACUGGCAUGACAGAUUACCCUUCGCACUGAUAGCGUAUCGGACAUCGAUUCGUACUUCUACCAGGGCAACUCCUUUUGCUCUGGUAUACGGCAUGGAGGCAGUUUUGCCUGUGGAAGUGGAGAUUCCUUCCCUGAGAGUAUUAUCCCAAGUAGAAUUAUCUGAGGCAGAAUGGUCGCAACAAAGACUUGAACAGUUAAACUUGAUCGAUGAGAAAAGACUGAAGGCUCUCUGCCAUGGCCAAACAUAUCAACAGAGAGUAGCCAAAUCUUUCAAUCGAAAAGUGCGGCCGAGACAUUUCAAGGUAAAUGAUCUUGUUCUAAGGAAACUGUUGCCAAUUUUUCCAGAUCCUGGGGGGAAGUUUGCUCCAAACUACAGUGGCCCAUAUGUGGUAAAUAAGGUACUUCAUGGCGGUGCUUUAAUCUUGGCAUAAAUGGAUGGUCUGUGUUUUUCACUCCAGUUAAUUCAGAUGCUGUCAAGAAGUAUUACCCAUGAUAGAAUUUGCCAUGUUAGGUUUUGAAUUACAAACAUUUUAUGAUGAAUAAAUUGCCUCCUUGAAUUGCAAAUUCAAACUUGUUGCAAAUAUUGCAUGUUUUCCUUGAUGAAUAAUGUGAGAUAAAUUGAAUGUGUCAAAUGGGAUACUUUGGAAUGACGAAAGGCAAACCCUAUUCCAUACACUGACCCCUAGUGAGUUGUGUGAAAAAUUCCAUGCCUACGAGAAAAAGGAUGAUCUCGCAAAGGGUACGUCAACCAAGGUGAUGAGAGGCAGUUUUUUCUACUACCCGAAACACUACAGGUAAAUCCAUUGUUCAGCCCUUUGAGCCCACACACAUAAAGAGCUUUUUAAAUUAUUCCUGUCAAGAAUCGUCCCAUAUUGGGACAAGAUUUGAAAUAAAUGAUAGGAAUUUUCUUACUCACACUUGCAUCAAUAUUCGAGUAUUGCUUUUACAGUGUGACUUGUACGAUAAUUUAAAGUGCCUUAGGACGACGAAGAACAGUUCUUUCUCUAUCCUAUACACUUUAUCCAUUGCAUAGCCCCCUUGAGCCUAUGAAUUAAUUUCACAUUAAACCCAGUUGGUGAUCAUCCCCCACACUGGGGCAAGGCAAGAAAAAUUAAACCACUCAAGUAGCAUGAUUUACAAUGCUAAUAAAAAUGGAGACUUUGUCCAAAAAAAAAAAGAGUGCAAAAGUGGGGCAUGAAAAAGCAGUGUGCCUGGUAAAAGCAAUGACAAUGCCCAAAGAAAAAUCAAACACUUGAUGAAUGAGUCGUAAAAAAAAAGAAAAAACUCAAAUGUUGAGAUGUUGCAAUUAGUGGAGUUGUGAAGUGAAGAAAAUCUUCGACGAUGGAGAGGAAAAUUGCUGGAAAUGUCAAGAUGAUCACCAACUUUGACCCCAUAAACACUUUUUGAGCCAAAUGAUCCUUUCAUUUCCCAACCCAUGAACCCAACCUACGUUACGUCCCUUACAAAGUCUCUUCAGAUUAUAGCACUUGAAUUAACGUAAAAGUUCAUAUGUUUGGAAGCAUCACUUGAAGAAGUGUGAGUAAGAUAAUUUCUUCUUCAUUUCUCAUGUUUCUUGGCUUGUAAACCCCAAGAUGAUUGUGAAAUAUCAUUCAUUUUUUAAUAGCCUUGGCUCAAAGAGUCUCAUUUGCUAAGCCGUUGACCAAGCCAGCGUUGCAGUCCCUGUUAAAGACCUCUUAGAUUGGUAAAUUUCGUACCACUUGCGAGAUUGCUCAAACCCUUGUUUGGCAUGAUAACGGAAAGAUAGAGUGAUUGACAAAAAUCAUGUAUCAAAAGUCAGGAUAAAAUAGCUCAUUUUAAUGAGGAUGAGUGAAAAGUCCUUUCAGAUCGAGAGAUCCCCCAUUUGACACAUCCAUGACACUCAUGUGUUCAGAUUGGAACAUUUUUUUGAAAUAUUUCCCAAUGGAAAUUAGGUGAUGCAGGCUUGAUAUAAAUCAUAGUGCAUGAACCUCCCUUAAAUUAAUGCAUGUUUGUCAUCACAAAUGUAUAUUGCUUUUCCUAUGACCAUGUUUUGCAGAAAACAUUUCCCCUAGGAACAGAGAUGUUACCAGGUAAGUAUAUCUCUAUCUAUACCUUAAAUACUUGUUGUUGUACAGGUAUUUUCCCUUUUGAGUACACUGACACUCGAUGGAGUUGUCCCCAAAGAUUUUUCCCUAGAUUGCAAUGUUAGGCGACCGUAGAAUGGUACGAGUCCUCGACAACACCUAUUCCCUAUUUAGGCGACCGUAGAAUGGUACGGGUCCUAGAAAGUGAAUCCCCGUUUAGGCGACCGUAGAAUGAUACGGGUCCUAAAUAAAACCUAUUUCCCUAUUCAGGCGACCGUAGAAUGGUACGGGUCCUGGAAUGUAAAUCCCCGUUUAGGCGACCGUAGAAUGGUACGGGUCCUAGAAGGUAAAUCCCCGUUUAGGCGACCGUAGAAUGGUAUGGGUCCUAGACACAAUCAAACACUGUCAUACUGGGUGACCGUAGAAUGGUACGGGUCCUAGGAAAGCAGUCUCUUUGCAAAGUCAUGUUACUAUUCUAGGCGACCGUAGAAUGGUACGGGUCUUGGACAUGUAACACAAACUAUCUUGAAUCACUCUACCCUCCUUGAAGGUAAGAUAUUCUAGAUAAGUCUUUUUUUUACCAUUUUAUACUCUUUAAGGAACCCGAGUGAGAGUUAGGUACUUACAGAGUAAAUGGGGAUUUAUCAUGUACCUCAAGAUGCUUUACCACACUGACCGGUAACUAAUUACAGGUACGUCUUUUCCUUUCAGAUCAUGCAUUUGCAUUAACAUUUCCAUGAAUCAUUACAUUACAUGGGGUUCAUUUUCCGAAAAAAAAAAAUCAUUUAGUGCAUGUGCAUAGUCAAAAUUUAUGUCUCAAUUUGUCUUUGAAGGCAACCUCUUCGAGCUCACCUUCAAAGAUGGGCAGCUGUUGAUACCUAAAUUUUAACUUUUUUUUAUUUUUUUAUUAGGGUAACAAAGAUAUUUAACUUAUCUCUUAAAAAAGGUUGUUAAAAAAAUAUUUUGUGGAGGAAUGAGAUUUUGAAGGAUUUUCGGAUAACGAAGUCAUAUCAAAAGUUGAGUAAAUUGUCUUUAAAAAAUCUUCAUAAAGAAUUUGGGAUUAUUUUCUUGUUGAGCACAUCUCUCCGUUUCUUCGAAUGAUCCUUAGCGAUUAGGUCAAUAUAUGCAAAUCUUCGUAGGUUGAACAAACCGAGGUUUUCCUCUAUAUAAAUAGGGGGGCUUUUUCGUUUUCUCUUGGUCAAAAAAAGAAGAAAAGUCAAAGGAAAAGAGAAAUUUUUUGAGGCUUUCUUCUGCUGGCUUCAAAAGUGAAAAGGAGGGUGCAGAAAGUACAGAGAGAAGAGACAGGUGAGAGUGACGGAGAGGGAGAGCGACCCGGAAAAGAAAAAAAGAAAAACAAAAGGAAAGGGAAAAGCGGAGCAGAAAACGGGGGACUGUUAAUUGUCUUCUUCGUGCAGCCACUUCCCCCCCCCCCCGCCUUCCGCCUGCAACCCUUGCGCCGUCGCCGCAGCUCCACACCCUUGUGAUGUCAUCGCUGCGCCGCCUGCGUCCGGUAGCCAGCCUCGAAUGCUCCGCCACCGCUCCUCGCCCCGGAAGACGCCGCGCCCGUAACGCCGCCUCUGCUCUGGUUCUGCCCGCAAAGCCGCUGACCACCGCCUCGCUUGCAGCCCGUCACUGACGCCAGCAGCUCCUGCGACCUGCCCCGAUUGUGACUCAAGACGCCGCGUCCCGCCGACGUUUCCUCCUGCUCGCUCGUUGUUGCUCGGGUUGCCAGCAGUCGAAGCUCGCGCCGUCUCCCUCGCCCACGAGCUCAUGUCACUGGUCUGCCCAGGAGCCGUGAAGCCGCUGACCCCUGCUGCGCUCGCACCGCCAAGCACCACCGUCGCUACCCCUGAUCCGAGUCUACUGUUGUCCUCAGUGCGCCAUCAGCUACUGCCCGAGCGAUCUCCUGUUUUGUUGCAGGUUUACCUUCGCCGGACCUCGUCGAAGCUCCGACGACCGUGCCCAUCACUCUCACCGGAGCCCCAAAUUAGCCGUACCGUGGAGCCGAUCUACUUUUUGUUGCAGCCCAUUGCGACCCGCGACGCCUAAGCCUGCCGCGCCCACACCGCCGAGCACCGACGCCGAUCCACCCAACGCCGGCCCUGCCCGUCCUGACCCGAGCUUCCCUAGCUCCACUCCUGUGUUGCUGCCGUCGCCGGUUCACCUUGGCCGGAGCCUCCUUUGCGGAGCCGAUUCGUCGAUUCCCCUUGGAGAUACAUGAGCGGUGCCGGGACAAGAAAAACAAAAAAAAAAAAGAAAAAAGAAAGAAAAGGAAAUUAGGUAGUUUUAUUUUCUUUUUCUAUUUACUUUAUUUCAUUUAUUUCUUUUAAGUUUAGUUGUUAUUGUGAAAAUUUGAAGUGAUCUUCAUUUCAUGAAUUAUGUAGGCAUUAUCUGUAGAGUCUUCCCCAUAAUUAUUGUAAUUAUUAAUUUGAUCCAUAAGAUAUCGGAUCAUUUUUUUUAAUUAUAUUAAUUUUUGGGGUUUGUCGAUAGUAUUUUAAGUGUUGAAUCAAUAUAAUUAUUAAUUUGAUCCGUAAGAAUUCGGAUCAGAUUUUUAAUUAUUUUGAACUCUUUGUCGUGAUAAUUAGGGUUAUGAUAAUCGUUAAUUUGACCUGUGAGACAACAGGUUAUUUUUUCGAUUAUUUUAAUCCUUUAUUUGAUUGAAUAUCUUGAUUGUUUAGAUUUAGUUGAUAAUUGUUUGUUUUUUUUUAAACCACUAAAAAAUCUAAAAAAUAUUUGAAUUAAGAUUCAGUUUGUUUUAGAAUAUUUCUCGUUAUCUUGCAUAUCUAGAAUAUGGAUUUUAUUCCGAAUUUAGAAAAACUAUAAAAACAAAAAACAAAAAACAAAAAAAAAGUGCAUCCAUUUAGGUUGUUAGUUUUAUCAUUAUUUGAAUUGCAUGUGAAAUUUUAAUUUCGAAAUUAAUAUAAAAACACAAAAAAAUCAUCAUGCAUAUAUCAUGUUGAAUUAGGGCAUUAUUUGCACGUCAUUGCAUAUUAGAUAAAUUGCAUGUUAGAUUAAGAUAAUAUCUUAGUUUAAAUAGGAUUAAUGUGACUUGAUCCUUAGUUUAAAUUAGAAUUUUAAUCUAGCUAGAUGAUUUUUGCAUUUUUAAAUAGAAAUAUCAAAUGCACGUCAUUUAGUUUUUAUUAGGUUAAUUUAAUUAGAACUUCAUCGUCAUUAGACUAAGUCAUUUAAUAAAUGUCGCAUGACAUAUAACUUGCAUACUAAAUUGUAUGUUGCGUGUCAUUUUAGUUAAAAUAAUUUUGUAUGUCAUUGCAUUGCAUUACCUGUCAUUAAAAUUAGGUCAUUUGAUUAUUUUACAUUGCAUAUUUAAUUGUUGCAUUUCUUUAAUUUCAAAUUUCAUGAAAAAUAUAAAAGAAUUAGAAUGAAUUCAUUUCAUGCUUUAGGAUAGAUUGCAUGCUUAUUUAGGACAUACAAUUUUGGUCAUGUUAUCAUAUUAUUUCAUGUUAGAAUAGUGAUAUGCAUUGCAUAAGUCAUGAUUUUCAUUGAAAUUACGUGUUAAUUAGAAAUCAUAUCUAGAGUUGCUGAUGUGAAUUCUGAUUUAACAAUGCAGAUGCUUUCGUUGCUUCUAAGUAUGUUUUGCAAUAUUUAAUUGCUUUCUUGAGUGUUAAAUUGGUGGUAUGCGCACAUGUAUGAUCACCUCACAUGUUAGGAAGUUAAAUUAAAAUCAAUUCAAUUGCCAAACAUUUUUGAAAAAUGAAAUAAAAAGGUACCGAAAGGGCACUAGGAUAGUCUGGUGUAACCAAGUCUUCGAACUCAUAAAUCUCUGGUUCAUAGGAGUAAAGUAAAUCUCUUGUUACUUUACUUGGGUUUCUAAUCGACCCACCAAAAAUAGAUUAGUGGCAACUCCUGAUUGAAAAUCAUUUGCAUGUUAAGAAUUCAAACCUAAGUUGCGAAUUGGUAUGGGCUUGGGAGAGCCUGAGCUAAGUUUAAAGACUUAGUAAUCCAUUAACUUAGUUUUAGGUGGUGAACCCGAAAAAAUUAGGUCGCAACAGAUGUCUUAAGGUUUUUGGUUUUAGGACAUAGUAUUUGAAAUUUCGAUGGAAAGUAACAAGAAAAAAUUAAAAGAAAAACACUUCUUUUUUUAAAAAAAAAAAUUCGGGCUGUGCCCAAUCCUAUUGGGUCUGGGCCAAAUGGGGUGACUUCGGUCCUAGCUAGGUCAAAUCCCAAGCCACAUUUUUGGACGGGCCAAAAAAGGGGCAAAAGUCUGCCCCACUCACAUAUUAACUCAUUCAUAAAAGGUAUGAUAACUGCAUAUGAAUUUGGAUACACUACACUUGCAAAUCUAAAUAAUCGAUACAUAGCUUGGAAAAGGAUCUAAUAUAGUUAGCCAUGUCGGCUACAUUAAAUGUUUUGUAAGCUCGUCCAAGGAGAAUUGACAUAGUAAUAUGGAUGGUAUAUCUUUUGAUCGUGUGAUAUCAAUCGUAUAUGUUUGGCAGAGCAAAUAUAUAUGCAAUUCUUGAGCCCACACGACUUUAUCUUCCAUAAAUGAAAAGACAGAAUUAAAAUAAUUUAGAUGGAAUGCUUUUAUUUGAAAUUAAAAUAAGUGCACUAGAAACUUUAAAAUUUUUUUAAUAAAAGUGUGACCAAAUUUUAAAAUUUAUUGAAUAAUUACAAUUGAGUAAUUUAGUUAGUUUCCCCUGUUAUGACUGACCGAACGACCAAACAAGUGCUCUUUUAAAUAUUCCCAGGAAAUGUUGUGUCAAUGUAACCCCUAGUGAAAAAAAAAUAAAUGUAACCCCUAGUGGGCCCCAUAUCAGCAAAAUAGCCCCAAUAAAAUUCCGCUUUUACCCAAGUGCCGCAUUGUUCGUCGUGCCUCUCUUCAACAGCCGAUUGAUGGUGCGCAUCACACCGUUGGCACUUAUCGAAUUCUUCCAAUCUACCUGUUGGACAGAAUCAAUUAUGAAGAUUUCGAGCUAUUUAAAGAACAUGACGAUAGCCCACCAAUCCUGCUCGCUCAUACAAUCAGGAUCUAGGUUUCCAUAAGUAGAACCUUCCAAGUAUACUUCGCUAAUCAACGGAUCCAAGAUCCCUAAAUCAAUCUUGAUCUGAAUAAUGGAUUCCGACAUGUUGUAUCCAGAUAAGAGAUCUUCUUUAGUCGACAUAAUCAAAUCUUUAACGAAAUACUCUGUUUCAGAUAAGCCUUCUUCGACGGUCUAGAAACUGUCAAUGAGGAUAGACUUUGAGUCUUGAGUCUGGCAGUCCGAAGGUCUUCAGACUUUGAUGGAAGAGUCUAUAAGUUUUCAGGCUAGAUUGAUGGAAACAUUUUGUCAACUUCAAAACACUCAAGGAAGUUUUCUCUAACAAUCUCCCCAUUUUUGAUGGUGACAAAACUUUCCUGCAGAUUUGGAUAACUUUGACCUGCAAAACAUUACUCAAGCAAACAUGGAUAUCUCGCAAAAGAUAAAUGGCUUAGUAAAGAUAACAUUAAAAUCUGCAUCCACAAAAAGUAGGUUAGUUCUAUAAAUGAGCAAAGCCAUAAGAUAUCAAUGGUGCUUAAGACAAACAUUUAAACAAUCAAAUCCAAACCCAGUCCAAAUCAAAACAGCCAAACACAAAAGUCAAGUCAAUCAAACAUAAUCGUCACAAAAGUCAAGAGUUCAGAGCUCAGAGUUCAAAGUCAAAUAUGCACCACAUCUCUCCCCCUUUUUGUCAUCAUUAAAAAAGUAGAGAUGAAAAGAGAAUGGAAUUAAGAUUGCUUGGGAACACGAACAAGUUGGAAAUCUCCCAUUGACUGGACAAUCCCUUCCAUCUUUUUCAAAUCCUCCUUCAAUUGCGCCACAUCUUCACCCUUAGCAUUUGCUUGAACUUGAAGAGCAAGGGCAUUGAUUUGAUCAUACAAAGAAACUGAAGAGGCUUGUCCUGCAUUCUGCAAUUUCUAAAUUUCGUAUCCUAGAGUAUAAAUUUGGUCGCGCAUCUCCAAGAGAACAUCAAGCACUCUACGAAAGUCCGCUGAAUUAUCAGUCUGAAUACUGGCUUUUGCACGAUCAGACGGUGUAUUGGCAGAUGAUGGCAAAUCAGCAUGGUCACGCAGAUUGGGCGAUGAAAUAUCAUGUCCCUCCUCAGGAAAUUGAGAGGCAUAGAUGUCCUAUGGAUCUGCUGGAGAACGAUUUACUCAUUCACUGGUGGUAGGAAAUGAGGACGUACCCCUUUUCUCAAGAUCUCCCCCUAUUUCAAUGCCUUCAGGUGGAGAAAAAUGUUCCUCAUGCUCUGCUUCUGCUUGUUCUCCUCUGCCCUCUUCUUCUUCUUCCUCAAUUCUUUCCUCCUCUGAUUCUUUCUCCAAUUCUUCUCUCUCUCUCUAGUCCUCUGUUCUGUCUCAUCCUUGUCUUGUUCCUAUCUCUCCGUUAUCUCUAGAACAGAACGACUCAAGUUCUUCAAUGCCAUCGCAAAAAUGGUGAUAUCAUCCUCAUCCUCUUCAUCCUCAAUGAUGAGUGCUUUUCUUUUCUUGGAUGGAGCAAUCGUGGGCUCAUUACCUUUUCGCUUUGCAGCCAAAGAGACUGGAUGAGUCUUGACAGGGGUUUUCACCUUGAAUUGCUCCAAAGCCUUGUUGAGUUCCUUCAGACGCAUUUUAGAGACCAUUCUCAGUCCCACCACCAUUUGAUCGCAUGUUCGAACACAAAGAAUUCGGGAAGGCUGAAUGUUCAAAUGUCUGAAUAACUUGGUCACAAGUGCUGAGUAUGGAAGUUGACCCUUAUCCUUCAUCAUUAUUCUGUACAUGUGAGACAUAAUAGUGUGUGGAAGAGAGAACUUUUUGCCAGCAUUGAUGGCAUACAUCAACUUUGCCUCCGAGUUUGAAACGUCGGUUUUUGAAGUUGAUUUUGGUCUGAGGUAGUUAAUCACUAUCUUGUGAAGCAAAAUGUUGGACUCAUUCAUUUGAAUAAGAAAUCUUUCCUUCCGUUGUUCUAUCCUGAACAAGCUCUAUCGUUGCACGAGCAAUAGACACACUAAUAGGUUGAUAUCUCCCUCUUUCAACCCCAAUCAUAUCAGCCAAUGUAUUCAUGUCAACCACAUAGUCCUGAUCUCAAACACUGAAAGAGAAUUUAUUCGCAUCCAAGAAAUUGAGAUUCGAAUAGAAGUAAGUAGCAAGUUCAGCAUGAGCCUCUGUCGUUUCAGAACAAAACUGUUCGAGUUGAAAAAAAUUGAAUUUUUCUCGUAGAUUGACAUUCAGAGAGUCGAGAAAAUCAAAGUCCACAAUUCUAGGGUUUAUCACACCACGCUUUAGCAACUUAGAGUACAGUUGCUUGUGUUCCUCCCAUCGAAAUAAGUCUAUCUUUUUGCUUUAGAUUUUUGCCGCAACACUCAUUCUAGGUUUAAACUGACUGUACAUCCUAUUAUCAUCAUUCUCAUAAGGUUGACUCAGCCCUCCAACACGUGGAUCGCUUGGGAUAUUUGCCAAUGCUUCUUCCGCCAACCCCGCAGGGGCAAUUCCCAAUCGUUUCAUUGUGCGUAAAAAGAAAGUUUCAUUUCUAUACCCUUUGUCUUUCAGAAAUUCAUCAAUAUAGUUCAACGGAGUACCACUCCUCUUCAAAGCACAGUAAAGCUUGUAAGUAAAAGCGGGCUUAUGAGUUCUUAUAGGUUAUGCAUCUUCGAUGAUUUCUUUCUCUUCUCGAUGUGCAACAUCCUGAGGUCUAGAUGGAGGAGAUGGACUUUGCUGAGAAUGUUGUGGGCUUUGUUGUUGUCUAGGAGAUUCUUCUUCCUCGGUGAGAUCAAAGUGCGUAAGCCCCUCACGCAUUUGCUGUGGUCCCCUAUUCGCAAUCCUCAAAGACUUUCUUUGAGACGACAUCUUUCACAGUCUUUGAGAGAUUCCAAGCUUGUUUCUCAAGAAAGAUGAAAACUUUUCAAGGAUUAAACAAGAGAAGAAGACAGAAAUGGAAGAUCUAUGCUCUCUUAGGGUUUUUGGGUUUUUGUGUGUAAAACGAAGAAGAACCGACAGUAUAUAAGGCAGUUGAAGCGAAGCAUACGGAACGUCGUAAAAAGGAAAUAUAAAAAAUGCCUUUUAAAAAUAACUGCAUUUUCAAAAAUUAGAUAACUAUCGUUUAAAAAUAACUUCUUUUUCGAAAAGGAAGGAUUGCAAUAAUCACGAAAAUUGGGAAAUAACAUCAAUCAAUUUCGGAUAGAAGAUCAUACCUUUUCAAGAUUUGAUCCGAGAGAUAAAGUUUCUAAAAUAGAAGAACUAACAGUCGUAAAUCUUGAUUGUCUGAGUCUGAGUGUCUUUAGACUUUCAGUCCUGAGUCUGAACUUUCUCAGACUUUAAGAUAUUGAGUUUGGAACGAAUAACUUCAAAUUGAUUUUUCUCCAAAGGCUUUGUAAAUAUAUCCGCCAAUUGAUUCUUUGAAUCAAUAAACUGAAUUGAAACUUCUCUAUUUUGAACAUGAUCUCUAAUGAAAUGAUGUCGAAUCUCUAUAUGUUUUGCUCUUGAGUGAAGAAUCGGAUUCUUGGUGAGAUCGAUUGCACUGGUGUUGUCACAUUUAAUCUCAGUGUAUGAAUCUUCAAUUCCAAAGUCUCUUAGUUGUUGUUUUAUCCACAGAAUUUGUGAACAACAACUUCCAAGAGCUACAUACUCUGCUUCUGCCGUAGAAAGAGCUACUGUACUUUGCUUCCUUGAAAACCAAGAUAUUGUCCUGCUUCCAAGUAGUUGACAGGUGCUCAAGGUGCUCUUUCUAUCAACUUUGCAUCCGGCUAGGUCUACGUCUAAGCAUCCAAGAAGAGUGAAGUCUCCUUCUUUCGGUACUAGAGACCCAAAUUUGAAGUUGAGGCAAUGUAUUUGAUAACACGCUUUGCAGCACUUAAAUGAGACUCUUUAGGUUCUAAUUGAAAUUUGGCACAAAUACAAACACUAAACAAAAUGUUAGGUCUAGAAGUAGUUAGAUAAAGAAGUGAACCAAUGAUACUCCUGUAUAGCUUCUGGUCAACUUUCUUUCCUUUUUCAUCUUUGUCCAGUUUCAAAGAACUUGACAUUAGUAUAUUAGUCUUUUUGCAAUUUUCUAGUCCAAACUUUUUGACAAGUUCUUUAACAUAUUUUUCUUGAUGAAUAAAGAUUCCCUCCUUCAGUUGUUUCACUUGAAGCCCGAGAAAGAAGGUUAGUUCACCCAUCAUGCUCAUUUCAAACUCAUCCUACAUAGAUUUAGAGAAUUUUUUACACAGAUUUUCAUUAGAAGAUUCAAAAAUAAUAUCAUCAACAUAAAUUUGAACAAGUAAAAAGCUUUUGCUUUCUCUUUUAAUAAACAAUGUAGUAUCUACUUUACCUUUGACAAAGCCAUUUUGAAUUAAAAACUUACUUAGUCUGUCGUACCAAGCUCAAUGUGCUUGCUUUAAACCAUAUAGAGCUUUUUUCAGUCUGAAUACAGAGUCUGGUUUCCUUGGGUCUUCAAAACUGGGUGGUUGUUCCACAUAGACUUCCUCUUGGAUAAAUCCAUUUAGGAAAGUACUUUUGAUGUCCAUUUGGAAUAACCUGAAAUUCUUAUGACAAGCAAACAUAAGUAAUAAUCUAAUUGCUUCUAACCUUGCUACUGGUGCGUAAGUCUCAUCAUAGUCUAUCCCUUCUUCUUGCGUAUAUCCCUUGGCCACGAGUCUUGCUUUGUUUCUUACGACUUUUCCUUUCUCAUUCAUCUUGUUCAUGAAAACCCAUUUAACUCAAAUGAUGGAUUUACCUUUCGGUUUAGGAGUCAAUUCCCAGACAUCAUUGAUGCUGAAUUGCCUGAGUUCUUCUUGCAUAGCUUCAGUCCAUCUUUCAUCAGUUAAAACUUCUUCUAUGCUUUUGGGUUUUAUUUCAGAAAUAAGAGCCACAGCACUAGACUCUUCACGCCUUUUGGAUCUUGUGCGAAUUCCUUCAUUAAUAUCACCAAAAAUAAGAUAUUUGGGAUGACUAGACUUAUGCUUCUAAUUGCUGGUUGAUUUGUCAGAUUGUUGAUCUUUUUCCUCAUUUGAAUCUUCAUUGAUCAUUUGUUGCUUGUCUUCUGAAGUUUGAGCUACUUCUGGAGAUUUAGACUUUGUAGAGUCUGGAGCAAGUUUAGAUUCUUCAAGAUUAGUGUGAAUCGAUUGAUUUUGCAUAAAGUCUUGAAAUUUGACAUUCAUUGAUUCCUCCACAGAUUGAGUCUUUUUGUUGUAAACUCUGUAAGCUUUGCUUGUGAUAGAAUAUCCAAGGAAAAUACUUUCAUCUGAUUUUUCUUUAAACUUACUAACUCGAUCAUUUGCAUUUUUCAAUAUAAAACAUUUACAUCCAAAUACAUGAAAAUAUGAAAUAUUGGACUUUUUUCCUUUGAAUAACUCAUAGGGAGUUUUCUUCAGAAUAGGCUUUAAAAAGACUCUAUUAAUAAUAUAACACGCUGUAAAAACUACUUCAGCCCAAAAACUAGAAGAGAUGUUACUUUCAAUUAAAAGAGUUCUAGCCAUUUCCUGAGUGACCUAUGCUUUCUUUUCACGACUCCAUUUUGCUUUGGAGUAUAUGGUGAAGAGAACACAUGCUGAAGACCAAAUUCAUCACAUAAUUUUGUAAAGUCUUGAUUUUCAAAUUCACCUUCAUGGUCUGUCCAUAUACUUGAAAUAACAUACCCUUUCUCAUUUUAGACCUUUUUAGCAAACUUUAUAAAAUAAGAGAAUGUUUCAGACUUACUUGCCAGGAAAUAUACCCAAGUGAAUCGUGAAAAAUCAUCCACAAUUACUAAACAGUAUUUCUUAUCUCCAAUGCUCUGAGUUCUGGUAGGUCUGAAGAGAUCCAUAAGCAAGAGCUGUAGUACACGAUUAGUGGAUACUUGAUUUAUUGGUUUGAAUGAGUUUCUUACCUGUUUUCCCAACACGCAGGGUGUGCAUAGAUCAGACUUUUGAUAUGUCAGAUUGGGUAGUCCACGAACAAGCUUCUUUGCUGAGAUUUUGGCUAUUUACUUCAUGUUGAUGUGUCUAAGUUUUCUGUGCCAUAAGUUUGUUUUUUCUUGAAUUGAGAUUAGAUAUUGAGUUUCAUCUAGUUUGAUAUCCAAGAGGUAGAUAUUCACAUGUCUUCGACCUGUGAAAGACUGAGAGAAGUCUUUAUUGGUUCCUGAACAUAUUCCUUCUUGAAAGUUGAUUUUGAAAUCGGUGUCGCAUAGCUAACUGAUACUCAAUAAAUUGUAGUUGAGUCCUUCCACUAAGGAAACAUUACUGAUCGUGAGGCUUCCAAUCUUUACAGUUCCGUAUCCCACAAUUCUUCUUUUGCCGUUUCCUCCAAAAGAAACUUUUCCAUCAUUGACUUGUACAAGCUUUAUGAAGCAAUUUGAAUCUCCUGUCAUAUGUCUUGAGCAUCCACUAUCUAGGUACCAUUUAACAUUUUUCUUAAUAGUGACCUGCAUUUAGAAAGGAGACUUAAGCUUUCUUUGGUACCCAUAUUUUCUUGGGUCCAUUGGUGUUAGUGUAAUAUAUGGUCUUUGCCCAAACCUUCUUAAUAGGUUUCCAAACCAUAGGACAUUCUUUCUCAAAAUGAUCUGAGCUAUUACACUUAAAACAUUUAAGAGCACUGCGACCUACUAGUUUUACAAAAACUUUUUGGAAAUUAUUUUUGUAAGAAUCUCUUGUAGAUCUUUGCUUAAUUCUUUCCUUUACUUUAGGAAAAUCAAUUAGAAGAAUGGUUUCAACAAUCGUUCCUAAACCUGAUUUGUUGAAGUAAGGUCUUUGUGCUGAAAGAAUUUUUUAAAGUUUCUCUGAUCCUAUAGAAAAUCUUUUAGAAAUACUUGAGAUAUCAUUUUUCAAGAAUUCAUUUUCUUUUGAAAGAUUGUCUGCAUUUUCUUUCAAAGUAGUAACACUUUUAUCUAAACUUUUCACCUUUUCUUUACAAACAUUUUCCUAUUGUUUAAGUGCAUAAUUUUCUCUUUUAAGUUCGGAAAUCUUUUUGAGAGAAGUUUUGAGAUUAAGACACAAUUCAUCAAUGUAUCUAGAGACUUUAGUAGGGAUUUUCAAAUUACUUAUCUCGAUUUCACUAUCUGAAUCUAUGUCUGUCUCGGAGUCUAAAUCUGAGUCUGAUUGUGCCAUGAGAUAAAUAUUGGCAUAAUCAUCAUCACUUUCCUCACAUUUUGUAUUACUCCAAGUUUCUGCUUUAAGUGCCUUUCGAUAUUUCUCAGCUUUUCCUUUCUUUUUCCUCAGAAGAGGACAAUUGGGUCUAAUGUGUUCCUUUUUCUUACAUUCAAAGCAGACUACAUCUUUAUUGGAUUCAUCAUCCUCAACUGACUUAAUCUGUUGCUUUUGAAAACUUUGUUUCUUUGGAUUGAAUAUUUUCCCCUUUCUGUUUAGUUUUCCGAAUAUUCUUGUCAUGAAAGCAAGCUCUUCAUCAUCCAUAUCGUCUUCAGAACCCGUGACAUCAGAAUCAUCAUUAGAUUUUAAUGCAAUGGAUUUCUUACCUUUAGGAUUUUCAUCUUCGUUGAUUUGCUCCACUUCAUAAGAUUGAAGAGUCACAACCAAUUCGUCAAUAGAGAGUGACAUGAUUUUUUGUAUCUCUCUUAUUGCGGUCUUUAUGUGAUUCCAAUCCUUGGACAGUCCACGCAGUAGCUUAUUUACCUUUAUGGGUCCAGAAAUUGGUUGACCCUGAUAUUCAAGACCAUUCACAAUUUCUGUAAAAUGGCUAAACAUAUCGGUGAUAGAUUCUCCUGAUUUCAUUUUGAAUGCUUCAUAUUGAUCGAGUAGAAUGUUGAUUCUGGUUUCUUUCACUCGAUCAGUUCCUUCAUAGGUGAUGUGUAAUCUAUCUCAGACUUCUUUAGCUGUUUCACAAGAAGAUAUUCUAUUAUAUUCAGUAGGAGAUAAUGCACAAUAUAAAGAAUAAAUUGCUUUCGCAUCAAGAGCUUGUCUCUUGGUUAUCUCUUUUUGAGUCAUUUCAUUAGACUCAACGGCUUCUUUUCCUCUUUGUGAGACUGGUGCAGCUUUAGGAAUGAUUCCUUUGUCUACCACAUCCCAUUUCAGAGGAUCCUUUGAUCUUAGAAAUGCCUUCAUCUUGUUUUUCCAUAUGUUGUAUUUCUUUCCAUCAAAAUAAGGCGGUUUGGUAUUACUUUGCCCUUCAACCAGUCCUGGAGCAACAUACUAGCCAUGGAUCUUUAACUCUGAAGUAAAACACUUCAACUUAAGUGAGUACACAGGCUCUGAUACCAAUUGUGAAAGCUAGUAUGAGCACCUUGAGGGGGGUGAAUAUGUGUAAAAACAAAUUUCCGAGAUAAGUGUGCAACACUAAUCAAUAAUAGAUGAUGAAAAUGAAGUUAGGCUCUUGCAGACAAAAUGAAUUACGAUCAAAGUAAAAUAGCGUAGGGAAGAGAAUAUGAACACAUGGUUUAUAGUGGUUUGGCUUAAUCCAAGCCUACAUCCACUCUUCCGCACUGACAGCCCACCGGCUGGAUUUCACUAUGAAACAAAAGAGUUGUUACAGUAAAGCUCUUCCUUGAUUCCACAGUGUAGAGACUCUGCUACACUUCCUCAAGAUCUCUCAAAGAUAUAGACUCUCUUUUGCAUACAAUAUUUCGCUUAAUAAUUUAAUUGAUUAAGAACAAGGAGUUUCAGACUUUGGAAUUCUUUUAUCGCGCACACACUCGAACAACUGGAAUGUCUUCCUUAUAUACUCAUUCAUGUCAUCACACCCGUUGGCACUUAUCAAAGGAAUUCUUCCAAUCUAACAGUUGGACAGAAUCAAUUAGGAAGAUUUCGAGCUAUUUAAGGAAUAUGACGAUAGCUCACCAAUCCUGCUCGCCCAUACAAUUAGGAUCUAGGUUUCCAUAAGUAGAACCUUCCAAGUAUACUUCGCCAAUCAACGGAUCCAAGAUCCCUGAAUCAAUCUUGAUUUGAAUAAUGGAUUUCGACAUGCUGUAUCUAGCCAAGAGAUCUUCUUUAGUCAUCAGAAUCAAAUUCUUAACGAAAUACUUUGUUUCGAAUAAGCCUUCUUCGACGGUGUAGAAACUGUCAAUGAUGAUAGACUUUUAGUCUUGAGUCUGGCAGUCUGGAGGUCUUUAGACUUUGAUGGAAGAGUCUGCAAGUCUUCAGAGUAGACUGAUGGAAACGUUUUGUCAACUUCAAAACACUUAAGCAAGUUUUCUCCAACAAAAAGUAAUUGUUGAGACAUCUUAAGAAUUAGAAUCUAAGUCAUCUUGUAUGGAGAAAUUUGAUAACGUGAUUCGAUGUUGUAGAAGUAGAUUAUAAAUGUUAAUCACACAAGGAGACUAGUUGAUAUGGACAAGCAAAUUGCAAAGAAUGUUGUUGCCUCCAUUACUAAAGGGAAAGACCUGAAAGAUAAGGAGGUGCCUUGUUAUGAUUAUGAAGUUUCGUUGUAGAUCUAGUGACUAAUAAUUUUAAUAUCAAAUGGGAGAUAAUGUUGUAUUUUGUUAUACCAAUCAACUAUUUGAAAAGGGGCGAAAAAGCUUACUUUACUUUGUCAUAUUGAGCCAAUAGUCUGAUAAAGCAUUAAUUUAGCUGUGCUUGAAAGAAUUGAAAAGCUUAAAUUUAAAUUUUCGAUUCCAUCCAUGUUCGAGUCAUCGAAAUCGUUGCUUUUUCCCCAAAACUUACGGUCUGCAUGGCUUAAAUGCAUGCAUGUUAUAUAUUUAGACAUGGAAGGCAUCUUUUGGCCGUGUACCCUAUUGUAUAUUAGGUGCGUAUAUUUUGACAUUUGACUUCAGAUUGCACAUUGAGAUUGAUGACUUUCAUUGUAUGGUUUAUUGUUGAUUAAAACUCCUUAAGGUAGCAACCGCUGCCUUAAAUUCACACCGUGUGUGAUUUGAUUCUCUCAUUAGUGUAUGCUAAUGUUUUGGUCUUUCUUCACCAUAUGUUGGUUUUUCAACAAUGUAAAUGGGAAUACUGUUCUUGUUUCAUUCAUCAGGCUACAUAUUCAGGAAAACAAGCAAAUUGCGACUCUCGGUAUUCAGACAGGUCAUGGAUGGUGAGGCUUGGGAGCUGUGGAUGUGACCAGGGGGCAUUUCUUCUGUUGGUUGGCCCACAUUUGCAAGAGAAAAUCAUCCGCAUGCAGGAAAAUGUUUGUGUGUUUGAGCUCAUUGAUUGGGAGGAUGUUGUGUUUAGAGUCUAUGAUUCCAUUAGUGCUGGUAAAGACUUGAUUACAUUAAUCGAAAUGAACUCUCGAAGUGUCACUUUGGCUCAUCCAAAAAUAAAUCACUUUUUCAUCAUUUUAUCUCCUUUGUUUAGUCUCGGUGAAUCAAUGAAGUGUACUUCUUCCAUUCCCAUUGCGUUUGUGAGGUUCGCAAUAAUCCAGAUGCACACUCAUUAAUGCCGCAUCCCAAAUCUAAAUAAACCGAAAAGGAUGUGCUUCAAUAUCAGAAAGAAAAUUAAAACCUGAAACGCUCAUCAUUAGAAUUUAGAGGUGUGACUUGUUGGUUUCUAAGUUAUGCUUAUUUGUACAACAUCAUGUAUUUUUUCUUGUUACAUUUUCCUAAUAAGCUUUUGUAUAUUGAUGGGUUACAUUACUAUUUAGGAUAUGCUAAGUGUAGUUAAUUAGUUAUGUCACGUGAAGAACAUGUACUCAUUAGUAACAUUAUAACAGGUAUUGAUUUGCAUAUUGUUGUAACUCGAUACAUAAUAGAGCAGUACCUAUGAGAACUCUUCUUUUACUUCUGUGCAGGUCGGACCAAACAGUCCGAAUAUCAAUUGCGCCCCUCUGAGCAGGCUUUGCAUGGCCUUACAUUUCCGCGGCUUCCCACUGCUCUUGAAAAAACUAGGGAAUUUGAAUUAGAGUAUCCAUUUUUGAAAUUGGUGAUGGGCCAACUUUUAUGAAGGACAGAACCACGGUAAGGGCCCUAUGUCUUUCAUAAUUGGCAUAUCUCAACCAUGACGCCAUCUACAUCUUGUCCUAUAGUCCACUGUUUUCCCAAAAUGUUUUGGUCUUUCAUAGGAAUCAUGUGAGAUGUUAUUCUCUGAGGUGUCCAUGGCUAUAUGUGUAAAAUCAGGAAAGUUUUGACUUUAAAAUUUCUUUUCUUUUCUUUUCUUUUUUAAUUUAUGGAUUCAUAAGGUUACCAAUUCCAAAAUAAAAGAUUUUAUUUUUUCAAUAAUCAGGGGUAAAGAAAAUUACUAUUAUUCAUAGACUAAGAGGAUAUUGUGGAGACAAUCAAUGUUGGCAACUCUUGAAGCAUUACCAUGAGAGUUCAAAAAUUGUGUACACUAUUGUAGAGUCUAUGAGCAUUGUAUUGUCACAUUUUAACUUCAAAUUGCAAGUUGGGAUUGAAGACUUCUAUUAGCCAAUUAAGAUUGUAAUUGAAUUUCCUGAAACUAGUAAAUACUAUAUUUACAUUUUGUUUGCCUUUUCUAUUUAUUGUUUGUUUGUAUCAAUCUUUUCCUCAUAAUACGAUAUUGGCAAAGUGUUCCUUGUGAAUUCAUAAAGAGGUACAUCCAGGAGAACCAGCAAAUUACGACUCUUAGGUAUUUGAACAAAUAAUGGCUGGUGCAGUUCGUAACCCAUCAACACCAUUAUCCAGCAAACACAUCUGUGGUUGGCCCACUUUUAUGAGAGAAGCUUAUCUGGAUGAAGGGGAUGUCUGCAUGUUUGAGCACAUUGAUAUGGACGAUUUUAUGGUCUUAGUUUCCGUCUCCAAUUAUGCUAGUGAGGACCUCAUUUAGGUCGAUCGAGAUGAAGAUUAGAAGCGUCACUUAAGGCUGUAUAUUAAUGAAGCAAUUCAUGCCUCCUUUAUUUAGUUGCGACAAAUCAAUUGAAAGUGCACUACUUUUGGCUUUGCUUCUCUUUCUUGACCUACUUACAGUCUUAUCAGAGUUCUCUUAAUACUUUUGUGCAGGUCAGAACAGACAAGUCUGAAUGCCCAGUGAGCCCCCCUGAGCAGUUUUUUUCGUGAUUCCAAGUGCCUGAGGCCUCUCACUGCCCUUGAGAAAGCUAGAGAAUUUAAAUUAGAGUAUCCCCUUUUCCAGACAGUGAUGUGGCCAUCUUUUCCUAAGAAAGAAGUGGCGGUAAGUCCUAGAUUUCCAUUCAAAAUCGGCAUAUCUCAAUUAUGAAUGCCACCUAUUCUAUAUAUGCGCCCCACUCUGCAAAUUUUUCCCAUGUUAAUAUGCUUUUUAUAGAAACACAUGAUAUGUUAUCUUUCUUGAAGCGUUCGUGGUUAUAUGUUUAAAACGGGCAUCUUAACAACUGAGUAAAGGGACUAGGGAAAAGCAAUAAGUCAGGCAGCAAUCGGCAAAUAACCUAGUGACAGGUGUGUGUGGAGACAAGGUCAAAGGGUUGACAAAGGCAAUAACAACCAUAAGUUAGGAAUUUAAUGAUUUCUAUUUUAAGUAUAAAUUCCUCCCAAAGAUGACUACUUAGUACUUUCUCUGGCUGCCUAGGCUUGGGAAGAAGAGGCGACACGAAAUGUCCAGCUUAAGUCAUAACAACUGCAACAGGCCUAGGCUUGGGAUGAUUGAGCUCUCUGCAACAACAUGGCACCACUAGUCAGAUAUUGCUCCCUAGCAAUGACUGGUUUUGUGAGAGCUACUAUGAUCGGAAAUGGAGGGACGGUAGUGCAGCCCUUGACCUCAAAAAUUAGUUCCACCACCUCGGUGGUAUGAAAAGAAGAAAAGAAGUAUCACUUUUUUUGUUUUUUGUUUUUUUGUUUUUUUCCAGGAAAAAGAAGAUCACUCACUUAUUGUGUAUAUAUGCCCAUCUAGCACACUAGGUGCAGCUUUUCAUGUUUGUUUCAAUGCAUAUCGCAAUGCAAGAUUAGUGACUCGGAUAUUGACCAGAUUCAUGCAUGUCUCUAUUGAUUACACGUACUUGGUGUAGUGUCUAAGAGCACAGGAUUGUGGGGCUUUGAUUUCAGAUUGGAAAUUGUGAUUAAAGACCAUCUCACCAAGCCUUUUAGACUGCUAAUAUGGACUCUGUAAACUAACAAUUACUAGCAUAGACUUACUUCUUGUUUGCCUUUUCACUUUAGUGUACGCUUACAUUCCUAUGUCUUAUCAUAUAUCGGCUGGUCAAAUAUCUUCAUGGGCAGAGCGUUACUCAUGAAUUCAUGAAGACAUGCAGCCAAGAAAACCAGCAAAUUGCUACUCUUAUGUGUUUGGAUACAUUGUGGCUGGUGACCAUCAUGACCUAUCGACGCUAUGGUUUGGCGAACUUCUCUGUUGGUUGGUCCAAGUUUGUGAGGAAAACUUAGUCUUGAAUGAAGGGGAUGCUGCAUGUUUGAGCUCCUUAAUAGGGAUGAUGUUUAGGUUGAAAUGGGAUGAACAUUGGAAGUGUCACUUUAGGCCAUAUGCUAGUUAAAAGCGAUUUAUGCCUCUUUUCUGUUGUGAUGAACCAGAUGAAAGUGCACUUUUAUUUGUAACUGUGCUCUUUUUUGAGCUACUUACGAUCUUAUAAUUUCUAGGCCCGGCCACUCCCAUACAUCCGAUGUUAGUCCUACACACAUUUUCUACUUUGGGUAUCUCUUGAGCUCGUUACGCUUUUAUCAUUGCCUUUUUGGAAAGGAUCUCUUGUUCAGCACUCGGUCCACUUCCAAGUUAUCGAACCUAGUUUUGUAUUACAAAAGAAUGUCAAAAGUGACGUGUUUUAGUUCUAGAAGGGAUGUGGAAAUUUAUGCAUCAUUCCGUCACUCAUGGUCACCCAAUAGCUUUUAAAUAUGGGAGAGACACUAUACUCAUGUAAUUAUAUUUGAUAAAAAAAAAAACUUAUCUAGAUACAUUAUCCCUCAAGCGGUGAUGAAAUUUAAAACCCUGAGAGUGAAUUCCACCUACAUCUGGCCUAUAGUCCACUGUUUUCCCAAAUUGUUUUGCUUAUUCAUUGGAAUCACAUGAGAUGUUAUUUUCCUUCAAUGGCUAUAUGUGUAAAAUUUUGAUUUGGAAAUUUCAUUUUUUUUUAAAUUUGGAUUCAUAAGAUUACCAAUUCUAAAAUAAAAGAUUGCAUUAUUUAUUUUUUUAUACUAAUCAGGUGUAAAAAAGAUCACUAUUAUUCACAAACUAAGAGGAUGUGGUGGUGAAGAUCAGUGUUAGCAACUCCGGAAGUGUUACCAUGAGAGUUCAAAAAUAGUAUACACCAUUGUAGAGUCUAUGAGCACUGUACUAUGACAUUUUGAAUUUGAGUUGCGGGUUGUGGUUGCAAACUUUUAUUAGGCAGUUAAGACUGUUAAUUGAAACUCUUGAAACUAGUAAAUAUAAAUAAUUUACGUUUUGUUUGCAAGAUUCUUAUACGCUCUUGCCCAUUCAUUACUUGUCAACUUUUGUGGACUUGAUAUAGCAAGACCCUUUUUUUUUUCUCUUUCUUGAAUCAACAAUGGGGAGAAAAAAACAUAACGAACCCUUUUGCGAACUUGACACAGCACAACCCCUUUUUUCUCUUUCUUGAAUCAACAAUAGGGAGGAAAAAACGUAUUGAACCCUUUUCCGAAAAGAUGAACUUGCAGUCUCAUCCAAAUAUGAAGGAAUAGAUCAAUCAUUAGUGAAUUCGUAUUGCUCACAUCUAAUUCUACAGUAAAAAAGCUAAAGCUGUCCACUGACACUGAGCGUGCACAACUCUUUAAUUUGACCAUAAGCGAAAUCCAUGCAAGCAGCACAAUCCAAUUGUGCUAGCCCGAUGGCACAAGCUCCAUGACCGAAGCAUUUGGUGUCGCCAUAAUAAGCACUGAUGUAGUAGUUGAAUCCCUCGGUUGCGGUGCGGGACCUCAGAUCAGUCAAGACUUGAUCCAAAGCUCAUAAGUAAUCGUCGGUGUACUGCACGUCGUUGCAUAUCUUGUAGAUAACCAUCACGUCCAGGUCACUUCUCACAAGACUCGAACCCCAUAGAAGCCUCAUGAACAUAAGUGCAUGUGAUGUGGACAUGGUCAUCCUAGCCCUCUUUCCUCCCUUUGGUUCUCUUUUGUUUAAUACAAAGAAACAGACAAUUGAGUUAGGCUUUAAAAAAGGUUCGUCUCCACAGUGCAAUCCGUCAUUUAUGCUUUGUUUUUAGGCCAAGUCAAUCCCAAUUUUAGUCAUUUAUGAUGUCACAUGGAUGUAUUCUUGAUAACUUCCCCAGCCGUUUCUAUGAAUUGUUCGCCCAUUAGUAUACUGCAUGGUUGCCAUCCUUGCAAACCCUAAUCUUAUAAUUUUUUAUGAAAAUUUUCCCUCUCUUACCAUGCAUAAAAAAUUUAACAUUAGGAUCCUCUAAGUUUAUGAAAUAAAUUCACAUUAUGAUAAAUGACCAACUUCACUUUUUUUGUCCUUUUUAUUCUCCUACUCUGCACACAUGCAUCUGCCUCACAUACAAGUCUUGAAUAUAUUUAUAUCUGUAACAUUGUGAACUUUAGGUCAUGUAAUUAAUGGAGUUCAUGAUAGUUAUAAAACCCGAAUUACAUUAUACUUUUGCUGCUGCUAAUACUACCAUGUGAGUGUAUUAAAAAAAGGAAAAAGAAAAGGAAGCCUGAAAACCCGGAUCGAAUCACCCAAACUGGCCCAAUAAUUUUCGGCUCAAAUAGUCUCAAGCCUGCCGAUUUGGCCUCAACAUAUCCUUGAGUUUGGAACCCGAAUGAUUGCCAAAUCAGCCGUCAAUUGAGGGCUCAACUACUCUCGUUCUCCAGUCUCUCAUGCUGGCCGAGAUCCAGCCAUCGCUAAGCUGCCAUCACCGCCUGCCGUCGAGCCCCACUUAUGUGGCUAUCGAGCCCCACUACUCACCGUAUGCCCUCCGUCCAAUAUGUCUUACUCGCUCCCUCAGCCCCCUUACGCUUGCUCACUUCUUGGUCACUUCUUGGUCUCCUUUUUGCUCCCUCGCUCUCUACCGGUAGAAAAGAGGUUCUGACCAGCCUGUUUUGAUGUCUUAAGGUUUUUGAUUUUCGUACAUUCUAUUUGAAUUUUUUAUUAAAAUUUUUCAAAUGAUAGAUAGUCCCUGUUAAAAAGAUGCAAUUACGCUUUUUAUUAUUUUUGUUUCACAAUCUAUUAGUUACAUUUAGAUAGCGGAGAGUAGUGGAGAAUGGCUGUUGAUGACAAUUUUCACUUUUAAGUACUAAACGGCGAAAGUUGCCCCGAAUUUGUCUAAAAUCUAUUAUCAUCACAAUUUGAUUUUAAGGUAAUUUAGACCGAGAGAUCAACAGAGGAAUCUCUACCCUUAAAGAAUUCACAAAUUUGGUAAUGUCAUUUUACAAAUUCUAUUCUCUAAUAUCCUUAUGUUCAAAUGAAAAUUUAUGUAGGAUAGCCAACUAGUGCUAGUGCAAGAUAUGAUCCCUCAUCGAGCUAAUCGAGUCACGAAACAUGUUACCUAGACCGAGUGCAUACUCUAUUGCUCUCACAGAAAGCAUAUAUGAAGGCCUACUAAGAGUGAAACUAAGUCAAAUUAUUCAUGAGUUAGUUCGAGCUAGGGUUGAUGAUUAUAUGAGAACUAAUAUCUAGUUGAGUCCUAACUAUAGCUACUCCAUAAUCUUGUCAAAUUGAAGCUCUAGCUCGCUAAUACUUUUGUAAAUUUAAUUUAAAAAAUCUAAUUGUUAUAAAAUUAGCCAUAGACAUAUCAUCUGCACACACAUGUAUAUAGCCUAUGGACUUCUCAUUUGAAUCAAGCUCCUAUAUGAAAUUAAUUCUUGGCCGAGCUCUAAUCUAGUUUUAAACACUGGCUACGAAGUUGAGACAAUCUUUUGUUUGGCACUAUAGCAGAUUGAUUAGACUCGACUCCUAAGCCCCAACCAUGUUGACACCUAAUUCGAUUAAUGAGAGUCAAAGUGUCCAUUAAAGCGGUUAAGAAUUUUGAUGUGCAAAACUUGAGUGCAACGUUAUCGUUGAGAAAUCUCAUUACUCAAGAUAUAGUUGGAUCUUCAUCAUGCAAUUUUUAACCCCCCCUAUAAUUUUCAAUCCAUAUAUUAACUGAUAGCUCAAAUGAUGAAAGUAAGCGAACACUAAUAAAUGUAAGAAAUCUUCAAGAGUCGCCUUUCCUAAGUCCUAGCUAUAAAUCUAGUAGGGACGUAGCUUGGCUUAAAAAAUCCUUGCUGUAACUUUUCUCUGACAAAAUGACACUCCAGUUCUAGAGAAAAUUCUAAAUAAGGAAUCAAAGUGUUCUCAUUUUCUCAAAUAAAGGCAAGGAAUGGCCUUUAUUCAAUAAAGGCCUGCAAUGGCCAUGAUUAUUUCAAAUAAGGACUUAAAGUUACCAUGGUUGUUUGAGAUAAGGGCUCAACCUCGUCGGUUAUUGGUUGGCUAAAUAUUUGACCAGUUAGGGGCAUUUUCAUCCAAUUACAAUUUUAAUUUUAAAUUAUUUUUUAUUCUUUUCUUCUUCUUUUCUCCACUCUUUUUUUCCCCCUUUCUAAAGAGAGUUAGCAGUUGCAAACAAAUACUCAGCAACCCUCGCCAGCCAUGGGUAAGGGUCGGCAUGAACUUGGCCACCUUCGUUGGCCGUUGUUAAGGGCCCAUGAGGGCCUACAAGCCCUCGCUAGAUUAGGCGAGAAUCAACCUCGCCUAGGGCUGACAAGGGUUCGGUGACCCUUGCCAGACACAAGCGAGGGCCAACCUCACUAAUGACUACAAGGGCAACCCGCCCUAAGGUGAAGGUAGCUUGUCCAAACAAGAACGUCCCUUGCUAGCCGCUAAGGAGGUCACCCUCACCCAAAUCUAGUGAGGUGACUCUUUCGAGGCUGGCCUCACUCGCAGCAGCCUCCCUAGGGUAGGGGUCGCCUCGCGUUACAUUGAUGAGCACAACCUUCUCCCAGCCCUUUCCGACAUCGCUUGCGGGUGGUCAACCACCAAUAAAUAAGAAAGAAAAGCCAAAAAAAAUAAAGGAAAAAAUAAAUAAAUGAGUAAAAUGCCCUUGACCAACCAAAAAGUCAAGCCACUUUUUGAAGUAGACAUAGUUAGGGCCUUCUUUAAAAUCAAAUCUACUUCAAGUUCUCAUUUGAGAAAAUGAUAGCACUUCAGGCCUUUAUUUAAAACAAGAUCUACUUCAAAUCCUUAUUUGAGAAAAUGAAGACACUUCAAGUCAUUAUUUGAAAAUUUCCCCCAAUUCUAUAUAUAUGGUGUGUUUAUUGAAAAUUGGGUUUUUACUGCAAUUUUUGGCACAAUAUACCUUUAAUUUUGAAUAACUAUUUGACAAUAAAAAAAUUCCUUGUUGAUAAGAAAUUUUAAAUACCAAAUAUCCUCCUUUCCAUUUUUUCAUAAAUUAACUCGGGGCAUACAUAGAGAAAUCCUCAAUAAUUUCAAGUUUUAAGAUUAAAUAAAUCAUUGAGUCUCUGUCAUGUCAUUCAUCUUCCAACAAGUACUCCCUAUAGGAAGUUUCACUUUUGUUUCUUGCAACUUAAAUUCUUAAAAAAUAUAUAUUUUUUCAAUUUUUGAGGUCUAUUAAUGAAAAAUUUGCCUAAUUUCAUUUUCGGUCAUCAAUAUAACAUCAAUAAAUAUCAUGAUAAAUGAAUUUCCUCUCCUUGAAGUAAAUAGGGAAUAAUAUAUAAAAAAAGUCAACAAUUGUUAACAUCCGAGAAAUUAAAAGGGGAAGAAGAACAACAACAAGAAGAAGAUCCGUUAGGUUUUCCAGUUCUUGCGUUUCGAGCAUUCGGUCACUCUGGGAGCGCAUGGAAACAUUUCUGCUCUUUUUUUGUUCCUGGGAACAGAAAGAAAAAAAAGUGUUUCUGUUCCGGAGAACAGUUUUUGAACAAAAGAACGCGUUUAGUAAGUGUAAAAAAAAACUGUUCUUGAAAUAAAAAAAAGAACAGAAACACGUUUGGUAACUGCAGUCAAUUUUUGUUCUUAGAAUAGAAAAAGAACAUAAACAUGUUUGGUAAACGACAAAAAUGUUGAACUAACUUGUGUAAAACAGAUCAUACGUUGCAUUUUGAGCUACAAGAAAUACAUAGUAAUGCUACAUAUAGAAUGCAACCAUGAAAUUCAGCCAACAUAAGGCAGCAUUACCCUUAGUUAUUACCUUCUUACGAUGCCACACAACCACGCUGCGGCCCGACUUCGGCUGGUUCUCCCCCUUGGUGGUGAAAUCGUCGUUGAACGCCCUCGCCACGUGCUUCACCAGCCUGUCCAUACCACAUCACCAUGAGCAACAAAACAACAAUCGAAGGAAACCCCAAUCCAAUCGAUGAACUGAAAUUCCCCCCUUCCAAAACUGAAUCAAGCAACAACACAACAUCACUUGAAGAUCCUGCGGAAUCGAAGGAUCCACCUGGCUGCUGCUCGAGCGAGUUGGCUGCUGCUCGAGCAGCAGUUGGAGCUGUUGCGCGAGCAGCAGCUCCAGCAGCUCCAGUCGAGCUGCAGCUCUAGUGGAACUGCAGCUCCAGCAGCUCCAGUCGAGCUGCAGCUCCAACUCGAGCAGCAGCUCGCUGGAGCUGCUGCUCGAGCAGCUCUAGUCGAGCUGCAGCUCCAGCAGCAGCUCCAGCUCGAGCAGAGCAGCAGCAGCUCCAGCUCGAGCAGCUGCUCGAGCGAGCUGCUGGCAGAGCUGGCAGAGCUGCUCUGCCGCUCGAGCUGCUAGCAGAGCUGCUCUGCCAGCUCGAGCUUGCAGAGAGCUCGCUCGAGCUGCUGGCAGAGCUGCUCUGCCAGCUCGAGCUUGCAGAGAGCUCGCUCGAGCUGCUGCUCGAGCUGGCAGAGAGCUCGCUCGAAGCAGCUCGAGCGAGCAGGCGUCCCAGAUCUGCCGCAGAUCUGGGCGAGCACACUCGCUUGAGGCUCGAGCGAGCAGCCGUCCCAGAUCUGCCGCAGAUCUGGGCGAGCAACGCUCGCUUGAGGCUCGAGUGAGCCAUCCCAGAUCUGCCUCGCCGAAGCCCAUCGUCGACCGGAGAAGGAGGAGAACCAGAAAACCUACCUGGAUUCGGAGCUUCAGCCGGUGGAGUCGCCGGAGUGAGUCGCCGGAGAGACGAGGCCGAGUGGGAGUCGCCGGAGAGAAGGGAGACACGCCGGAAAGUUGCCGGAGACAGCCGGUGCGUCGGCGUCGUUCUUCGCCGGAGCGUUGGCCGAGUGAGGAGUCGCCGGAGAAGGAGGACGAACGAAGGAGAGCACGAACGAACGAAGUGUUCCCGUUUCGUUUUUUUGUUCUUUUCAUUUUUGUUCCUUUCGAGCGUCCAAGAAGUGUUUCUCAAGGCCAAACAACAAUUUGUUGUUUCUUUUUUUUGUUUCUAUUUUGUUCCGAGAACCAAAAAACAAAAAAAGAACAGAAACCCAACUAAACGCGUUUCUAUUCUUUUUUUUUGUUCCCGGAAACAAAAUCCGUACAAAAGUGUUCCAGAAACACUUCUUUGGAGCGUUUCCAUGCACGCCCUCUCUAUUUCUUCUUCUUCUUCUUCUUCUUCUUCUUCUUCUUCUUCUCUCUCUCUCUCUCUCUCUCUCUCUCUCUCUCCAACCCUCGAGCCGAGCUACACCGCCGUAUUGCGGCCUCCGACCGCCGCCGCCGCCAGGCCACCUUGGUGUUCGGCAGCAGUGCCGCCCCUCUCUCCGCCUCGUCCGAAACACCCUCCCCGAAACCCUUAGGUCCCUCGCUUCGGUUCUCCAGGAUUGCUCGAAGAUGGACGAGGACCAGGAGACGGAGAGGUUCGGGAUGGACAACGAUUACGACGACGGGCAGUGGAUCCACGGGGAGUUCUACUACCGUCGGCGGAGGGAGAAGCGCGCCCAGACCAAGGACGACGUGCUCUACGGCGUCUUCAUGUCGGGGGACUCCGAUUUGGACUACAACGACUCCUCCAAGAGGAAGUGGAGGAAGAAUAGGGACCUCCUAGGUAAGGCCGACCUGUCGAAGCCCGUGAAUUUCGUGUCCACCGGCACGGUCAUGCCGAACAGAGAGAUUGACGAGAACACGGAGAGAGAGAAUGAGGAUGAAGAAUCCGCUGUCGUGGAUGAGGAUAGGCCGGGCUUGGGGGUCUUGAGAAGAACCAACAAGGGAUUGUGACAUUCAUUGAAGCAAAGUUGCGUCCUAGGGAUAUGGGUGUGGGUUUCAACGACUUACGAGGAAACUCUUGCAAAGGCACCUGUUGCCUUGUUGGGGCCAGAGGAAUAGAAGCCAUCACCUGACGUGCCCGGUAAGGAGAAGCUUUGGUCUAAGCAAGCGAAGAAGGCAACGCUGAAAAAACAAAGUGAAGUAUAUUACGGCAGAAGAGCUGUUGGCGAAAGAAGCAGGAACAGGGCGUUGAAGUUGUGCAAAAGGUACUCAGACAUGCGCGGACCUCAGGUUAGGGUGUUAGCAAACUUGGAGAAUCUGAACACGGAAGAGAAGGCGAGUGAGAGUGAUGUUCAUAUGCCUGAGGUCCAGCACGAUAUAAGGUCGAUUGUGGACGUGGCUAAGUUGGAUAUUCAGAAGAUCGAUGUGGACCUGAGGAAGGAGAAGGAGACAGCUCUGAGCUUGCAAGAGGAAAAAGAGAAGCUGCAAGCUAAGGCAGAACUCCAGAAGAAACAAUUGAAUAAUCUAGCAACUGAGUUGUGCACAUGGAACAACGGAAGCACAAUCACAAUAGAGUCUGAUUCUGUUAGUUUGUACCCCACCUGAUGAUGCCAAAUUGCGCUGAGCUAUCAGCAUGCGAUUGGGGAGGGGUGACCCAUAGCGCCGGAGGUGUGCAAGAACAUAGCUACAUCCGAGGGAUCAUUGACGACUUUGGACAUCAAGUCGAGGCUCGGCUCUAUGUCGGUCAAAGAGAGAGUGAUUUUGGUAUCGGCAGAGUGAAGCAUGGCGGUUAGGUGGGGGAUGUUAAUCUUGGAAGCAGCGGAUUGAGCCCGUCGGUUUCCUUCUUGCGGUGUCAGUAGGAGCUUCGGUUCCGAGUCGGAAAGGUAGAACUUAAACUCCUUAGCUGCUUAGAUGGGGUUGGGCGGAGCUGCAGUGGCUCGGCAAUGGAUUACCGCCAGAAACAAGAUCACAAACUGCAAAACGAACACAUAUUUUCCAAUCAGCAAACUAUCAUACUAGUCCCUGCGGAUUGGAGAUACACACACAUGCAGAAUAUGCAGACAACUAGUUUGUCGACGUUUGAUUCCAUUAAAACCAUCCAUCUCCUUUAGAUAAGCUUUGACUCUUUUUUUUUUUUUUUACGAUGAAUCGAUGCUUGUACGUCCCAGAAAACAACCCUUGGACACGACAGAAAAUGCUCUUAAUGCUUUUCCCAAUUCAAUUUGUUCCUGUUCAAUUUGCACCACGCGCUCACAGAAAUUUCAUGCCUCAGAUGCAAUUUUUUUCAGUAGAAAUCGAUGCCAAUUCCUUUCUCUGUUCUCGAAGUACUGUAAAACUCCCAAGAAACCAUCUUCCUCUUUCUUUUCCAAGCUAUUUCCCAGUCGAUGUUUUGCAAGACAUCGAUCUCAUCAUUAGAAAUUCAUCGUCACCGCAAUCUUCCAGAUAUUGCAUUCUCGAAUUUAAACAGCAUCAUCCGUACUUGCGAACAGACCGAGAUGACACAGACGUACCUCGAUGUUGUUGAGGAAAGUGAGUGCGACGGUGUCGGUGCGAGGCAGUGAUGAGCGCGGUGGCAUGGUUGACAAGCUCCUGCAGCUGCAUGUGUGUCAGGUCGAGCUCCUCGCAGGCGGAGACGGCUCUCUUGUUGGGGAAAUCCGACAUUGCCUUCUUCAAUAGGUCCGUGAGCAUAAGUUCUCCCAUUGCUAACCACAGGGAACGAAUCAACGGCAAUUGGCUUCAGCUGAAACCAAUCCUCGAUCGAACUGAAGAGGGGCACCACAAUCGCUUAGCGAGACAAGAAUGAAGGAUCGACAAGAACAGGAAUUCGCACGUAUGCAUAUGAGAUGGAAAUGAGACCAGAGGGAGGGAGGGAAGGAAGUUGAUGCAAUCGAGGUGGCUCCGCGGCCAGUGCGAGCUCGGUUAAGGUGGCGACGGAGACUUAACGGAUCAAAGGCUGUAACUAGUCUCACUAAUGUCUUCGCAAGAAAAUGUUUCAAUAAACUAAGAUAGCCAUGUAAUCAAUACAUUUGUCCAUUCAGUGGACGACAAGUGGCACUAUGGGGGCCCGCUCUAUCAGCAAGUCUGCAAGUCCAUUCUGCACGACAAAACAAAUGUCGUCCAAGUUUGAGAUAAAAAAUGAAAACCGCAGCAUCAGAAAAGGUCAUAACCAAAGGAUUAAAAUCCAUUCCAAGUUUGGGACAAUGGCGAUUCUUGCACAGAUUGUAUAAAUGCAAAGAUCAAUGGCGAUUCUGACAGUCCAUUCUUUGCACGCACACACGCAGAUCUCCUGCUCCUUCACAACAGAAUACACAUUCAAAACUCGAUUAUGUUCAUACAGAACACCUUUAACUCAAACCAGAGGAAUCAGCAAGCCACGAGACAGCAAUUUUCAUGUCAUACGCCGAGCAUACGAGGCGAGAAUACUAACACUAUUUGACAAAUGAGCAUCCUAUUCUGACAAAGUCGGCCAUAAUAAGUAUUCAAAAAGUUGAGAACAAAUCGAAUUUAUGUAAUAUGAUUUUGCGGUUCGAGAAUUGAAUCGAAUUUACAUACUGAUCUAGUUCGAGCAUUUUAUCAAACAAGUAAUGUGCAUUUUAACCAAUGAGCUCAUACGCCAAUACACAGCAAGGAUUUACUUUCAGAUCAUCACGAAAAUAACAGCACAAGUCCGAGUUGUUAAAUAAAGCUUCAAUCUCAACUGAUUUACUCACAGACAUUAGCUAAAGCUAACCGGCUCUGUUUCGUUUAUGAGCAGCAGAAACAGAGUGCGUGGGAUUUACCUUGAUGAGAGUGAGUUUUUCACUUCGGUCCGUGAUCAGAUCGGAGAAAAGUUACUGGAGCUCUCCACGUUUGGGCGGCGUGACCAGAAAACAGAGCAGAAGGAGAGGAGGCCUUGCGGCAACGGAACCGGCAAUGGUGGAGCCGCUACAGCGGCGUUUCGAGCGUGUCGAAAGGACAAUGGAAAAGGAGAACCGAUGAAGGAUCCUCUAGAAUUCCGAAGAGAGAUGGUUUCUUCGUGAGCUUCAGUGUGUGCGUUCUAUCGUGUCAUCUCUGAGCCUGUGGUGGCCGUCGAUGGUGGUGCGACGGUGGCUGUGGUGAUUGUAGAUGGCGGACGGUGGUCUGGGCUGCGCCUUCUGGAUAAGGUCUGGGCUAGACGAAUUAAACCAGGCCCAACAAACCGGACCAGCUCCUUUCGAUUAUGAUUUUUUUUUUCUUUCAUUUCUUUCUUCGUUUGUUAUUUAUUUUUAAUAUUAUUUUUACUUUUUAUUUAUUUAUAUUUACCCAAAUGCAUGUUCGAAUUGUUGGCAAAAAUUCAUGAGUCGAUAGGAGCAAUAUUCCAUCAUUUGGCCUAUGAACAACUUCACACCAAACUCAAUUACAAUUCAUUGUUUGUGCAAUAUUGCGACAUUAUUCCCUUAAAGAUUAGUCCUUGUACUUAACUCUUCCAUCCAUGAGUUGAAUUUGAGCGCCGAUAGCAUGGCUGCACUUGUACUUGAGUUGAUUUCUUGUAGAAUCGAUGCACACAGUACAGUUUGCAUCUUGAAGCGCACUUCGCACGUUCCGUGCACGCAACACAUCGCGAUAGAAUCAUCAUACUCCUGUAGUAGUUGUACCCAUGACUCGCCAUCUUAGUUAAUCAUCAUAUGGGUGAUGCGUGUACUUUUAAGAUUGCCACUUUAUCUGUGUUCUUAGCACGUAUCUCAGUAUUGAUUUGUGCAAGUGCGUGGCACAUAUUCCGUCCAUGGUCUCCUCUGUUGAAUACUCUUGGCCAAGAGAUUACAAUGUCCUCUUUUGACUAACAUCCUCGUCUGUGCUUUGUCGUAUACGGUUUGUUAGGCAUUUAUACAGGUUCGAUACUUUUUGUGAUCAAGAACAGUACAUUCCAUCCUAUAACAUCAAUGAUCUUGUGGGAUUGUGACGAACAUCACAUCAGGUCCAUUUUCACAUUCUUGUUCUAUCGCCCUUCGCCCGCCACUUGUAUCCGGCAAACUCAAUAAGAUAGCUCCACCACCCGUCAUUUCUCCGGCCUGCCAGAAUUUCUUCCAAUUUCCGUGUCUUGUUGCGCGCGAAUCAGUUGAAGUCGGAAGACGGUUUCGUAAAAAUCUCCCUUCUCAAUCUUCAUCGUCGUCUUCUUCUUCAGCUAGGGCUUUGUUUUCAAAUUCGUCCCAUGUUCGAGGUUGUCUUAUGUUUUAUUUUAUUUUUGUUAUGUUUUUCCACUCGCGCCAGUGACUUCAGAUCAUGGUAGGCUGCCUUAGAGUGUCAAAAGGAAAAGUUCCGAAACUAGCUGAAAAGGACGAGGAUUGAGAGUGUAUAUAUGGGUCUUUCUUUAUCAAACUGGCUGUUUGAAAAUGCGGAUGAGCAGACCACUCCUUGUGGCUUCAUCAAGAAACAUCUUCAUGACAGCAAAGUAGUUGCCACUCUUCAGGCAUUUAGACAGAUCGCGGCCGGAGAAGUUAAGGAGCUAUGUGCACGUGGCAAUAAUAUCACGUCAAGUGUAGAUGUCUGCAUGUUUUGAGCUCGUCGAUGGAGAUGAUAUCGUGUUCAAAGUCUCAAUUUUCGGCCCUGUGGGUGCGUACCCGAAUUUAUUUGGGCAAAUCAACUGAAUCUUGAUAUGCAUGGCCAAGCAAUUUUCAAUCUACGCUACAACUUUUCAUAGUUAGUCAAUUUAAGAAACUUUCACGCCAAUGUCUUCUAAAUUCCUCAUCGUUUAAUUGGGAGAAAAGGUUAAUCAACCGAAGCUUGAUCCCUAUCUCUACCAGUUUUGGAUCUAAGUGCAACUUGGUCUCCUUGUCAUGCAAUCCCCAUCGCUAUUGACCUCCAAGAACCACAUCUGUCACUAGACAUUGGACGAUGCAGGAACGUUAUUGGAGGGGCUUAUGACAUCUCAAAGUCAGAAAAUCGGAUGGGAGAGAGAGAUUUCAAGAUAAAUAUCCUUGUCUGAAUGAUCAUCACAUUAUGCAGUUACUCAAAGUGUUAUUUUUUAGAGUGGAUCAGAUGGUUAAACCAUUAAACGGUAAUACGGACAUCCAACCAAUCAAGUUUUAAAAAAGACUGAAAUUGGAGAAAAGGAAGGUAGUUUUAAUAAAUAAAGAGGCAAAGGUUUCGGAAAAUAGCAAAAAGUGGAUAAAGUAGCUGAAGAAGGUCCUACAAACGCUCUCUGCCCGAUCGAAUGCCAUUGCUCACCCGCUAGCAAGUGGACCAACUCUUCAUAGCUACAAAGGCUACGCGCUUGCACCCUCUCUCUUGGAAAAGUGGGCUCUUGUGAGCACCACAUGCACCUGAGUCCCCAACUAGCCAGGUUGGAAGAGGAAAAUUAAACACAAACGUUUUGAAAAAGCCUUUUUCUUAAAAAUAAUUGAUUAUAUCUCAAAUAAUCAGUCAAAAAAAUGUUUUAUUACAAAUAACAAUUUAAUCAUUUUCAUUUAUUCAAUUUUGCAAGUGAUAAAAGCGAUUGUUUAUAGAGAAAUAUUUUUCAAAACAUAAAUUUUUCACAAAACAAAUGAAUCAGUUUUCAUUAUUUUUAUUUAUUUAUUGCCAUCAAGUUCGUCUCACCAUUGACUAAUAAGUCAUAAUCUUACUUGACUCUAUCCUCUGAAACUUGAAAAAAAUACAAUAUUAAUACCCCAAAACUCCGGCAACUUUUUAAAAGCCCACUAACGAUAAUGUUACGAAAGAAAUUGGUAUAGCCUUUUCAUUUCCAGUAUGUUUCAUCUACAAAAUUGCAACACCGAAAUCUAAUUCCCGAAGUAAAUUGAGAGAUUCAUGCGGUCGCAUUGAUGACAAGCAUGCAGUGUAUCCGAUCCUUUGUAGUUCUUGAACUGCAACAAUUUGGUAUAGUAGAAUGAGGAAUAUUGUCUCUCUAAUAAACAUGAAGAAAAGCAAACCCAAAUAAUAAUUCAUUCAAGCCCUAGAGCACCAGAGCACGUAAUUAACAAAUUGAAUUCAACACAACUGACUAAUUACCCUUGUUGCCAAACGGAAUAACAAUUUAGAGGAUAGUGGUUAAGCUAUACAACAAUAGGUCACCCAUCAAAUUUUAUGAGGGCAAAGAGUGUCAUUGAAUAGCAAAAGCAAUUGCUAAUUUACUAUUUCGUAACGAGACGAGCAUGUCCAUAAUCUGCCAAUGAUUGCUUACCCUUUCAGACAAAAUAAGGUAGGAAAAACGACGAGGGAGGCAUGAAGCUUUCUGAGGCUAAUACAUUAGCCUCAAAAAGCUUCACGCAAAUUAUCCACCCCUUGACGACAACGCAUACAAAUAAUGCAACACACUGCAUGUAAAAAUAAGCUGACUGCAAAUCUGAAAAAAGCAGUGGAUUAGGACGAACUUGGUAGGAGGGACAUAUCGGAUACGUUAGACAGUUCAUGAGAACCUCUCAUUUCGCACGCCAAGGAUGAUUCUCACGUCCGAUAGAUCCUGAGGGUGAUGAGCGAUCUAAUGAGGCAAGAUCCAGUAAAGCUUCCUCUCGGUGGGAUGGCGACGUCUUCACAGGGGUUGGGAGUGUUGGGCACUAAAUCUUGCUACAGCUCUUCUUGAAACUAUAGGGACUGAUAUAUCGCCACAGCCGACACGCAGCAUAGCAAAAUUAAAUGUCGUAAAAUCCAUGACAAGCCUGAGGCCAUAGAAAGCAGCGUUGACUUCAACUCCAGCGAAACCAGCCUCUGUGAUUGCAGAAUCAACAACCCUCUCAGGUCCAUACUUCUAAAAAGAAAAGAAGCUUUAGACACAUUGAAAGACUCUAGGAUAUGCAAACAUUUCCUCAUCAAACGCAGCAUUCAUGGCCUCUCUCACAAUCAUCUCUUUCCCAUAGUAUCAUAACUACGUAACGGCAUUUCUGCAGCACAACUCUUCCGUGGCCUUUCUCUUGACAACAUAGCAUCCGAGCCUCCGGCAUUGGCUUUUCGUAUUAGAAUCGAUAACAUCAUGCGCUCUUGAACUCUCUCUCUCUCUCUCUCUCUCUCUCUCUCUCUCUCUCUCUCUCUCUCUCGGACGGGUAUCCUUGGAAACAAAGUCCAGCUUCGUCAUUCCAUCGAACACCUUCCUUGCAAACUCGAUUCCCUCCUCCACAGCACAACCAACGGCAAUUGAAUUUCAGAAGACAGCGAGAGAAUUGGGAGAAAAAACAAGAUCGAAACAGAAAUCAACAGACAAAUCUGGAACGAAUCGAAAUUCAUUCUAGAGUUCAACGGGAGACGACGAAUUUCGUCAUCGCUUCAAUGUCACGAGGAACCGGCUGUCUCUGAAGAUCUCUCGAAGCAGCGAUCGUAAGAGAUUCCAGUUGACAGGCUCACUCCCUCAUGGUUUCGUAGAGAGAGAAAGAGAGAGAUUCUUCUCUGAAUUUUGGACAACUUGUUCUUUUCUCCUCUCUCUCCUUUCUUUUAUUUGCACUUUUGUUAUUUCUUUUUAUUUUGUUUUGUGUCUUUGAUUUGUAUUUUAUAAUAACAAAAGUACAAAUAAAAUUCAGCUUCUUCAAUGAAGGAACUGAAUUUUAAUAUUUUAUCCCCUCUUUUCUUUUAUUUGUAUUUUUGUUUUUUGUUUUUUAUUUUAUACAUCUUUAAUUUGCCGAUAAAACUAAUGAUACAGUCAAAAAGUUGAAGCUAUACUCCGAUACUGGAUGGGCAUCACUCUUUAAUUUGGCCAUAAGUGAAAUCCAUGCAAGUAGCACGUUCCAUCCAAGUACGCUAAUCCAACGAUGCAUGCUCCCUGGCCAAAGCAUUGGGCAUCACCAUAAGAACCACCGGCAUAGUGGUCUAAUCAUCGGGUCUCAAUGUCAGAUUUUCAAAAUAUCGUUCAGUUGCGCUCAAUUUAGGAAAUUUGGAUUUUAGUUAGAGCUGAGAUGGUCAUUAUUCGCUUCAUUUGUAAUUUAGAAAUAAUGUCUUAUUUUCCUUCUCACCAAGUCUCUUUCAUCUUUCAUUUUCCCCGAUCUCUCGUUCUCUCUUAUCUCAUGAUCAUCGAGUCGUCCAGUCCCCCACCAACCCGCCACCGCGCCACCUUCGAGCCCUGAGCCCUGCUACUCACCGUAUGCUCGAGAAAAUAUUGGGUACGUGAGACGCUCCAGCCUGUCAAACAAGAAGGCGUUCGGAGCGCGACACGUAUCCUCCCGUGGGACCCAUCAUCUUUAAAUAUUGGACGAGCAGGGCCACCAGAAACCUUUCCCUCCCGGUCAAAUUUGAAAAAUUCGGGGCGCUCUCUCUCUCUCUCUCCUCCCAAGAAAAUAUUAGCUGGGCCCCACGACAGAUCCUUCUCUCUUACAAUUAAUUUGAACGGAAGCGUUGGACUCUCUCUCUCUCCAUUUUUUCUUUCGACUCUCGCCCGGUUGCUCUGCCCUCCGCUUCUUCUCCGAUCGGACACGGAGCCGCCGGCCGACGAAUCACGCCACCGCCGCUGCUUCCGCAUCCGCCUCGUCGGCCGCCACUGCAUCUGAGCUAGAGCUAGUAUUUUCUCGUUCGUUCUGCCCCUUCGUCGCGCUGCUCCUCCGGCGAACGACGGAGCCCGCCGUCCGACGAACCACACCGCCGCACUUCCGCAUCCGCCUCUUCCGCCACCUCCGCAUCUGCAUUCUCCUCCGUCUUCAAUGGCGACCGGGCUCUUCCUCUCCCAGUCGCCGUCGAAGAAUCCGUACUCGAAAUCAACGUCCGGGCUGAUGCAGGGGAUGCGAGGGAGACGGAAGCGGGACCUCUUGGAUGCUCCGGGUCGAUGCAUCUUGACGUGGAAGACCAGGGUCUUGUCGAACGAGAGCUCGCGCUCCCCUUAGCGGAUAGGCAUCGAGCUGCGGUAGCCGCAACCGCCACCGAUGCCCUUGACAAAUCCAGCCACGGCGAGACGGAACUUGAUCACGAGGAGCCGCCUGAACGCCCCGCCUCUCCUCGGCCACAGCAGCGCAAGGCGGACCACGUCCCAAGCUCUGCGAGUGACGCCGGAGUCCCCGCUUGCCAUUUCCGAAUGCAGAACGUGUUACAGAGAUGGUGAGGACGGCGAAUCGCAAGCGAGCGGAAGCCCAACGCCGGAGUCCCCGCUUGCCAUUUCCGAAUGCAGAACGUGUUACAGAGACGGUGAGGACAGCGAAUCGCAAGCGAGCGGAAGCCCAACGCCGGAGUCCCCGCUUGCCUUUCCUGCUUUACCCAUCUCUCUCUGUUGGUCGGAGCGAGCUUGAGAUGCAUAACAAUGGAAGCUGCCGACAAGGCCACGGAGAAAGCAUUGGCCGAUUCCCUCUCGCGGGAAGUGAACCCUAUCUUUCUCUUUGUUUUUCUUUCUUUUUUCUUGUUGAACAAACGUGCGAAGCUCUCUGCAAAAGCAGUUGUCAUCACUGAAUUUCAAAUAGGCCUGCUAUGCAUGUAAAUGAAUUGCUUAAAUCCAUUGACCCAUUUGUGAUCAUUCAGUGAAUCAGGCUUUGGCUGGCGUUAGAGAUUAUAACUCCCUCAUUGCUUCCUUGUUUCUGCUCAAUUUUAAGAUCAAGGUUAUGUGGGUGAACGGUUCUUGCUCUGUUCCAGAGAAUACUUGCCUUGAUACCAGAAGUUGCUGCUUAUUAUGAUAUCAAAGAUUCUUGGAUUGUGUUUUGCUAUAAUGAUUUACAAUAUACUUCUAUUUGGCCAGAAAAUAUCGAUUUGAUUAUUGUAUCUUGGUAGACUGAAGCUGCUUUUCUUAGAUUGAUGUGCGAACUCCGAGCAAUAGGAAAAUACCGACUAGCACGGUUCAAACAAAUGAUGGUGUUGCCCACGGCAAUGUUCAUUGCUUGUGCAUAAUGGUGCCUUCAUUCUUUUAGGUCGAUAAUGCCGUGAGAAUAACUGAACAAGCCCCGCAAGCUCAUCACUGGAGACGACAAAAUGGCAAACAAUGCCAUAAUAGAUAAAACAAAAACAAAGCAUAUUGAAAGGGCAACCAUAUAUGCCAAAUUCUAAAAGGUUGGUAAGUUAGACUAACAAUGUUGGUAAAUUAUAAGAGAAGCCGGUAAGUUCAGAGCGAGCAAAUGAACAUCAAGCUAGAAAAGUUUUUAGAAAAGUCAAGUUGGUAAGUUAGACAAACAAUGUUGGCAAAUUAUAAACGGGUUCAACAAGUGACAAAAGUUUUUAAAAAAUAUACCAACACGGAAGAGCAUUCUAUACUUUGUGUACCAUAAAGCUAGAAAUCAGCAAAAAGUAAACGAACAGCAUCAACAAAAUUGCAAUAUUAUUAUUGAUGAUUGUUUCAGAAAACAACACAUUUCUUCGAACUUAGGGACUUAGCUACACGCUUUCUCUUCCAGAUCCAAAGGACUUAACAAUUCCUAGUUUUAUUUUUUCAUCGAGAUCCCCAUGAUCGAGUUCAGACCUCGGUUACAGACGAAUAAAGAAGAAUGCAGAGAGCCAAACAGUGCUCCAUGAAACAGAAGGAAGUCUAGGUCGACGAUUUCCCGUCUCUCGGGGGCUUGUCUGCAUACCUCCACGAGUAACAAGAGAACCCUUCUUGAAUGCUGCCACCGACGACCUCCUCGAUCGGCAUAGCAUCCGCUAUCUCUCUCACAUCAUCCUCUACAAGAUGGAGUUCACUUCCCGCGAGAGGGAAUCGGCCAAUGCUUUCUCCGUGGCCUUGUCGGCAGCUUCCAUUGCUAUGCAUCUCAAGCUCGCUCCGACCAACAGAGAGAGAUGGGUAAAGCAGGAAAGGCAAGCGGGGACUCCGGCGUUGGGCUUCCGCUUGCUUGCGAUUCGCCGUCCUCACCGUCUCUGUAACACGUUCUGCAUUCGGAAAUGGCAAGCGGGGACUCCGGCGUCACCCGCAGAGCUUGGGACGUGGUCCGCCUUGCGCUGCUGUGGCCGAGGAGAGGCGGGGCGUUCAAGCGGCUCCUCGCGGUCAAGUUCCGUCUCGCCGUGGCUGGAUUCGUCAAGAGCAUCGGUGGCGGUUGCGGCUACCGCAGCUCGAUGCCUAUCCGCUAAGGGGAGCGCGAGCUCUCGUUCGACAAGACCCUAGUCUUCCACGUCAAGAUGCAUCGACCCGGAGCAUCCAAGAGGUCCCGCUUCCGUCUCCCUCGCAUCCCCUGCAUCAGCCCGGACGUUGAUUUCGAGUACGGAUUCUUCGACGGCGACUGGGAGAGGAAGAGCCCGGUCGCCAUUGAAGACGGAGGAGAAUGCAGAUGCGGAGGUGGUGGAAGAGGCGGAUGCGGAAGUGCGGCGGCGUGGUUCGUCGGACGGCGGGCUCCGUCGUUCGCCGGAGGAGCAGCGCGACGAAGGGGCAGAACAAACGAGAAAAUACUAGCUCUAGCUCAGAUGCAGUGGCGGCCGACGAGGCGGAUGCGGAAGCAGCGGCGGUGGCGUGAUUCGUCGGCCGGCGGCUCCGUGUCCGAUCGGAGAAGAAGCGGAGGGCAGAGCAACCGGGCGAGAGUCGAAAGAAAAAAUGGAGAGAGAGAGUCCAACGCUUCCGUUCAAAUUAAUUGUAAGAGAGAAGGAUCUGUCGUGGGGCCCAGCUAAUAUUUUCUUGGGAGGAGAGAGAGAGAGAGAGUGCCCCGAAUUUUUCAAAUUUGACCGGGAGGGAAAGGUUUCUGGUGGCCCUGCUCGUCCAAUAUUUAAAGAUGAUGGGUCCCACGGGAGGAUACGUGUCGCGCUCCGAACGCCUUCUUGUUUGACAGGCUGGAGCGUCUCACGUACCCAAUAUUUUCUCGAGCAUACUCUCUCUCUCUCUCUCAGUCUUUCUUCUCGUGUCUCGCCCACAUGUCAGCGAGUUACAAAGCGAGUGAUGGGACGGACUCGCUUUUUUGCUCGUGUCAGGGUCUCCCUCCCGCUCCCCCUCUCUCCAGCAAGUGGCAAAACAGGUUUUUACUAGCCUGUUCUGAUGUCUAGGGGUGAGCGGUUCCCAGUUCCUUACAGGUUUCAGGUUCCAAGCGGAACCUGGAACCUACCCUCGAGUACAGGUUCUUCAUUUUUUGGAACAUGAAACUUACCCGUCAGAACCAAGAACCUGGAACCUACCCUGUCACAGGUUCCGGGAUCGGUUCCAAGUUCCAAUAGGUUUUUUUUUUUUUUUUUCAUUUUUAGUUUAAGAAAAAUGGAAAUGAAUGCAGCAAUAAUAAACAAACUUGUCAUUCAUCUAAGAUAGGACAAUAAAAGGAGGAAAAUAACAGAUGAUGAAAGUGCUUUGAUGGAAGCAAGUUCAUCAGAUUUGAUUGAACAACGCAUAAACAAAUUUCAUGAAUUUAGAUGCCCAUAACCUCAAGCUAUAGACUAACUGACCAAGCAACGGAAGCAGUAUUAGUAGAAUGGACAAGAGAGCUUCAACAGCCUGAUUUCUAUUCAAUGAAAAAAUGUCACUAUCCAACAAAGUACAUACAGAUGCGCCUCUUGCUGAGAAUCAUCAGUUCCCCAUAUAUAUUCCACAAACUGACUUCCCUACUUUUCAAAAAGGAAGAACAAAGCAACAAUAAUUCAGGAAGCCGAUUGGGCGUAUGAACCCUCAUCAAGCACCCUUUACGUUGAUAUUACAAUGGAGAUUGGGUAAACUUGAAUGUUAGCUCUACAAUUGGAAGAAACGGUGUACAGCAGAAUGAAUUCAAAAUAAAAAAGUUAAUUACCUCUGGCAUAUCAUUAGGACAGCCAAACUUAUGACAUCCGUCCACAUACCCUGCAAAGAGGCCGGUAUCAUUCGUCUCUCAGCUUUGAAGUCAGAAACUGGAUAUUCAAGAAACUAUCAACGCUCUUUUCCUGGAUUUGAUGAACCGGCAUGUAUGGAUAUGCCCUCUCCCGGCUUUAGCUCUACUUGACAUAUAGCACACAUGAACAGCCUAAACAUGUUGCAUAGGGGGUAUUUUGUAUCUAGUCUGCAUUUUACAAGCAUUUCUCAGUCAAAGAAACAUUGAUACGUCAUGCAAUCACAGUUAGGCAUACAAGAGUGGUCCACCAAAUUACUGUAAAAAAAGAUCCAUUGUUGUGACUGAAAGUGGAGGUUAAGAUGUAGACCUUUAUGAGAGCAUUGCGGAUCCGUCCUCAUAUAACUCCUCCACUACAUCUGGCUCAAUAUAUUCUUGAUCAAUCUGAGAAGAUGAUUCGGAUGACUUUUUACGAAACAUUGACUUGAAUACUCCUUUUCCUGGCUUCUUUGGUGGUGGCAAAGAAGCCAUUGGUUUAUCUUGCGGUAAUAUAUCAAUAACAAUGCAUGUUGUAUCAUCUCGAAGUCUUUUUUCAUGUAAAGCUUCCUGUAAUAAAAGAGGCCGUGAGUUUACAUCUAAUAUAAAGUACAUCAAGCUACGUCAUGUACCAGAUACAAUUUCACCACACAAUAUUUACCACAAACAAAUUAAAUGUUAUCCUAUUAAGUAGGGUUAGCCAUAUGAAUUCUUCCAAUGCCAUUGCACUUUGUGUCAAGACUUCCAUAAGAUCUAAGUGGUCCACAUCUUUUCUUAUAAUCUCCUUCCUACGUCUUCCCUCUUCCCAUUUAACUAGAGUCUUCAUCUCAUACCCACAUCUCCUCACUGGAGCAUCUGAAGGCUUCCCGUUUCAAACAUAUAAGCCUUGUCUAGGUUGUCUCUUCCUCUCCUCCUGAGCAUGAACAAGAGAAUGCAAACUACUCUUGUAGCAGGCGUGCCACAUAUUCCAUGUCUUUCAGUGAACAUCUCUUUCCACCAAUGUUGGUAGGUACUUAAGGUUAAAGCUGCAUUCACGAGGGAAGAAAUAUUCAAGAAUGUUUUGCUCUCCUUUAAACAGCUUAUGAGAAAUGAACCUAUUAGGGAUAGAACAUUGCAUAAAGGGGACUAUAUCAACCAAAAUCAAACAUUUAAAGCACAAUUCAUUACAGCAAAUAAGUAAUCAUCACUCCCAAACCAGGGUCCAUAAACCCCGAUGGAAUUACUCCUGUAUUGAGCUUACUAAAAGAGCACACCUCAACGGCAUAAGGACUAAAGACUUUCAGAAUUAUAAGAAAACAUCAUAUAUAUUGGCCAUCAGGUUAAAGAAACAAAAGAGACAGCAAAAUGGGGGCUUCUUCUCUGCACUUAUCCAGUAAAGUGCAACCAAGUAAGCACGUCACUGAAAGACAUUUUGUUUUCACAUGUUCUACUCAGAUUUCCAAAACAUCAAGCCCAACUAACUAAAAAACAACAACGAGUGUUAGACGAGCACCACGAAAAACAUAAGACUCUAAGCAAUGUUUCUAUUUCGAAGAUUAAAAGAAAAGACAAGGCAGAGCUGCGGCAUCGUGGGCUUUGGGGGCACGGCUUCGGGCGCGACUUCAAGUCACGGCGAAGGCAGAGCAGCGACGUCGCGGGCUGCAGGCGAGGUGCGGCAAAGGCAGCAGCGGGCCGAGCAGGAGCGACGUCGGGGCACGGCAGAGCAGCGGCGUCGCGGGCUACAGGCGAGGCGCAGCGAAGGCAGCAGCGGGCGGAGCAGGAGCGACGUCGGUGCGGGCUGCAGGCGAGGCGCGGCAGGGAUGCUAUUUGGUGGCGUCGAGCAGAGGGCGAAGAGAGAACAGACUCGUGGGUGAAGCAGCAGCCAGCAAGAGGAAGGAAGAAGAAGAAGAAGAAGAAGAAGAAGAAGAAGAAUGGGGGGUUUCGGCCGAGAGAGGAGGACAGAGGAGAGAGAGAAGAAAAGAAAAAAGUAGGGGUAGGGGGGCAGGAAGUGACGUGUGAGAAGGAAAAAGAAGAGAAAAGAAAGAGAGAGAAAAAAAAAAGAAAGGGGAAGGAGGGAAAAUCGAGGGGGAAAUCACGUGGGGGAAGGGGAGAAGGGGAGGUUUUGGGUUUUUUUUUUUUGAAUUUGACCGGUUCCGGUUCUUGUUCCAGGAACCGGAACCGGAACCGAGAACCGCCGGUUCCCAAGAAAAAGGAACUGGGAACCGGAACCGGCCACUUUAGAACCGGGAACCGAACCGGACCCUCCCGGUGCGGUUCCGGUUCCCGGUUCUACCCGGAACCACGCUCACCCCUACUGAUGUCUUCAAGGUUUUUGAAUUUAGGAUGUGUUAUUUGAAUUUCUCAUAGAGAGUUAAAGCAAAAACUAAAAUAAAAUAAACACAUUUUUUUUUUAAUUUCGGGCCGUGCCAAACCCUUGGAUCUGGGCCAUAUGGUAUGGCUUCAGUCCGGGCUAGGUCCUCAGUCACACGUUUUUGGAUUGACCCCCAAAAUAAAAGAAAGGUUUCGCUCCGGUCCUUUGGCCACAAGGCCUUUAUUGGCUUCCACAGCUAAUAGGCUAUGUAGCACGGACAUUCUCCGGAAGCCUUCGUGUCGUAUUCGACACUCCGACACAUAUCCGACACGCUCCGACACGUCCCGACACGCUCCGACACGCGAGUCCAGAAUUCCGACACGUGAUUCCGACACGCACGGGGUCAAUUUUAAAAAAUUUCUAAUACUUGAGAGAUCAAAAUAUAAAUAUACACUUUUGUAAUAAAAGAAGUAAUAAAAUUACUAUAAAUAUACACACAUGGGGUCAAUUUUUUUUUUCAGUUUUUUUUAGAAUUGUUUUAUUUUUUUUAAAGUCUUUUACUAUGAAAGAAGUAAUAAAAAAAUGCCAUAUAUGAUAAAUAAAUAAAUUUAAAAAAAUAUUAUUUCAGAAUUUUUCUUUAAACAAUGUUUUUUUCCUUUAAGUUUUGUGUAUUAUUGUAACAAAUUAAAAUAAUGAAUGAUAUUAUUUAAUAUUUUUCGUGUAAAUUAAUUCUAGGCUAUUAUUAUUAUUAUUAUUAUUAUUAUUAUUAUUAUUUAUGUAUUUAUAUAUAAAAAUAUAUUUAAUAUAUAACGUGUCGGAACGUGUCGAAAUUCUCUAUUUUUAAGAAAUGACGUGUCGGCGUGUCGUGUCGUGUCGUGUCGCGUGUCGCGUGUCCGUAUCGGUGCUAUAUAGCUAAUAGGUGGUCCAGCGAAUGACUGCGGAGCCGUUGGAGAUGAUAAGGGAUGCUAUUCUUCCAUAUCAGCUAACCUCACAAGUUUUCGGAGAACGGUUUGGUUUCGCCUCUUCUCUGUGUUUUUCCCCUUUCUGGGGUUCCUUUUUUCUCUCCCCUUUCUCUCAGCAUUGUGUAAUAUCAGCUCAUGCGAGCGAGCCAAUUGUGAGAAUUGCUUGUAAUUUUCUUGUUUUUUGUUUCUUUUCUUGGCAAAUGGAGCAACACCUAAAACUCCAAUCGCAUUUCAUUAAAUUGGGUAUCAUUAAUCCGGCCAAACCUACAACUUGAGGUGAGUUGUUUUCUUUCAUGACAAAGGCAGGAACACUAGCAUCUUACUAGUCGAAAGUUAAAAAGACUUUUAUCAAGAUACGAUAGUUGGAGCUAUAUAAUUCGUGAUAAAAUAUCGUGCUCUUCUAUUUCCUAUCGAUCGAGUGACAUGCAAAGACUAACAUAAUUUCUAAAAUAAAGGGUUUAUUGUUAUUAGCCCGUGAGAAGACCCAGGAAAAGGGCGAAACAAGAAUUGAAAACUUGUCAAAGAGGACAAAGGAAGAGCAAAUUCUUAUCUGGAUGUGGGGAAUCAUGACCAAAGGGGUUCUCAUCGUUGUCGUUAAUCGUUGGAGCCCCGCACUUGAUUAACGGCUCGAUCUCGGGUGCACGAAUCCGGAUCCAAGGCGAAAAGAGGGAAAGGGCCCCGUCCUGAGGAUGAUCGGGCGCGGGAGGAGGGAGGGAACACGGUAAAAGCGGUGGGGUGGCGGGGCAGGGGAGUGCACCGGCAGACUACUCCUGUUCAAUUUCGAUUGGGUUUGUGAGGUUAAUAAUAAUUCAGACGCACACUCAUUAAUGCCACAUUCCAAGCCUAAAUGAACUGAAAAGGACGUGCUUCUGGAUGUCCUUAUCCUUUCUCGUUAUGUUGUUCUUCAUUUUGAAUUUGAAAUUAAGGGUCAUGACCUAGUUAAAAUUAUGGGUUUUAUUUUUCCCACGGGGAACACCAAAGAGGUUCAUGAGAAAAUAUAAUGAGAAAUCUUCCAAUGGCCUGUGGAAUUGGAAAAAUGUGAUGAGAUGGUUUGGUUAUCAAACGGUUGGGAUGAAUUCGUAGAGCAUUACUCUAUCUGUGUGGGACAAUUUUUGGUCUUCAAAUCUGAAGUGGACUCCAUUUUCCAUGUAAUCAUAUUUGAUAAAAGCAAGUCCAAGAUAGAAUAUCCACCAAUAAAUGCCAAUGGGAGGAACCGACCCUCAGCAGUUGGGCAUUUGUCUGGUUGAAAGUGGAAGAUGCCGACGAUUUCCGUGAUGUUUCGGUCAAGCUUGAAGUCUAGGGGGAUGAAUUGCAUUCACCCAAGUGUCCUCGGCUUUGUAAGGCAAUGGAAUCUGAUCGGGUUUGUGAAGUUCAUGACGGUUCCUAUGCACACUCAUCAGCACAGAGUUUGCGAAGAGACGGAAGUUCGAACUCCUUAUCAUGAGAUUUUCAAGGUAUGAAUCUUAAUCUACGAGCUGGUUCUCCAUAUGAUUGUGUUCUCGUGUUUGAUUCCAAUUCCGUAUUCCGUAUAGGAACUCUCCAUGUGAUUUGGCUAAGAGAGGGAGCGUUAAAGCUAAUUCAACCUUGUAGGGCCCAUUUGGUUCACCUUUUGAGAAAUGCAUUUGCCAAAAUGCAAAUACCUUUAGGUGAAUAAGGUUUUCCGAAAUGCAAAUAUCGUUUGGUAAAAUUUGCAUUGAGAUACAGCUUUUGCCAAAAUAUCGUUUGGUAAAAUUUGCAUCUAUAAAUGACUUUUAUUAAAUUAAAAAAAACAUUUGUAUUUUUUUUUUGAAGUCCAGUCACCGGACCGCCGGAUCUGGCGGCUGAACCGCUGAAUCUAGUGACUGAAUGGCCGGAUCUGGCAGUGCGACCCUAGGCAACGCUCAGGCGCCUGAGGUCGCGCGACCCAGGCAACGGUCGCCUAAGGUGGCGCGACCUCGCCGGCGGUCGCCUAGGUCACGCGACCUCAGGUGACCGUCACCGAGAUUGAGCGGCCUUGGCGAUCGCCGCCUGAGGUCACGCGACCUCAGGCGGCUGCUUGGGUCGCAUGACCCAGGCGUCACCUGAGGCCCAGCUACAGUCGCCGGGGUCGGGCGACCCUUAGGUGGUACUCGCCAGAGCCUUGUCGACACACGCAACUCGAGUCGCCGACCUCCAGUCAGCUUCUUCCGAUGGUGUGCGGUGGUUUUGGAGAAGAUGAACAGUACCGGACUUGCAUUCCGGAGAUGCAACUUCCGAAAAGUACCUCCAGAGCUGCAUUGGGCUAAAGGCCCUUAAAGCCACUUAGAGAUGCAAUUGCAUCUCGCCAAAGUUAUUCAAAAAAACGAACCAAACACCUUUGCAUUUGGCCAAAGGACUUUCCAAAUGCCCAACCAAAUAGGGCCGUAGUGCUUAUCUAUCUCUAGCUUUCCCAUGUGUGCAUAUGUAUGUUUUAGGGGAUCUCAUAAAUGUCAAGCCAAUGGAAACAGGCCGAAUGAGUCAUAUCGGAUUUGAUUGUGCUGAAAUUGACAUUGGUGUGCAUAUAGGCCUCGAAAGCUAGACCAUUAGAAAGACCUAGAUCCAUCAAAUUGGGGUUGAUGUAUCAGGAGAUAUGAAUUUCACAUAAUAAGAAUAGCAUAUGCCUAAGCUUUCUUCAUGUUCUAAUUUGUGACUGUUGCAGAUAAACUGAAACAACUGGGCUUGCGCAGAGUUGUCAAAUCAUAUAGCAAAAUUAAACCCGACCACAUUGCGGUGAGGUGAAUAUAUCUAAAGAAAAGCAAUGUGGUAUGAUCCUCAUGACAAUGACAACACUUGAAUUUAAAUCACAGAGUCGCUAGACUAUAUUAGCUCUAGAUUGAUUGUGCAUCGGGUCAUUAAUUUCUGUUUUUAUCCUUGACAUGCUUUGAAAAGGAUCCUCGUACUGUCUUGGUGAGAAAUCGUUGGUUGUCUUCUUCUUUCUGAUGACAAAACUGCGGAACGUGCACUUGAGUAAAGAGUUCCCGAUCCAUUCCCAAAGAUGCACUUCAAGAAAAGCCUGUAGACUGUGGCUCUUAUAUAUCAGGACAAAUCGUGGCCGGUGAAGCGCAUUAGCCACGAACAUUAUGGAAAGUCAUCUAUUGGUUGGGCUACUUUCUCGAGAGAAACUUCUCUGAAGGAGUGAGGCUUGUGCAUGUUUGAGUUCUAUUAGAAGGGGCAACGUCGUGUUCAGAGUAUACAUCUUCAAGACCACUAGCCAGAGGUAGCUGAAAAAUCCUAUGCAAUAGGACACGGCAAAGGAAGCAUCACUUUAGCUCAGAAUUGCUUGGCUAAAAUCUGCUUCAAAUUUGACAAAUCAGAAAAAAGCAUGAGUUUUAUUCUAAUGAAUGGAAAGAUACCUUUAAUCGAUCCUAGUGUUACAGUCGCCAUGUGGGGAUGAGUCAUGAGUCAUGAGACGGAGGAAGCUAAUUGCUUCUAGUACAAGUCACACAACCUCAUUUCCUUACUCCUCCCAUAGUAGAUUUCCGUUGUCAUCCAACCACUCUUUAUACUUCAAAACACAAAAGGAAAUUUAUAUUCAUUUAAGCAAACAGAGAGAAUAAAAGGAUGUAAAAGCCAUCCUUCGAGUCUAUAUUAAUCAAAAUAUUUAGUGCUCUCUGGUGGUUUUUUUUUUUUUUUUUGAUCGGUCCUACUCUAACACUCACUCUCAAACUUUUGCCCUUACCUCCUUGCAGGGCGUGGGAGUCAAAACCCACUCCUGAAAUGAAAUCGUCCUCACCCCAAUCCCCCUUGAGAAGGUGGGGAUUUGAACUCCCAACCUCCCCCUUCCAAGUUGGAAUGGUGGCCAUUGGGGCGAACCCCCAAUGGUUCUCUCUGGUGGUUAAUACAUAGAUUUUGAUUAUAAUCGGACAUAUACUGAGCACAACUGAAGAAGAGUUCUAUAAGCCAGCAAUGACCUAAAAAAUAGUUCCACAAGAGGGCUCAACCUCCUCGACUUAUUAAAUGAAUCACAAGGCAAGGAAAAGAGAACUUGGGCAAUUAAUGGCAUUAAACGCAAUUAAUGCGAAUUAUGCAGAAAUUAUUAGAAUUAUAGUGAGCUGGGGCUUAGAUGGUGUUCCUUACUCUUGUCAAUUGACGAUGAUAAAGAAAAGUAAAUAACUUGUGUGAAAGUUACCGAAUCAUUUAAAAAUUUAGUGUCUUUAAAACUUACAAAAUUUAUUAAUCAGAUAAAAAAAAUUUACAAAAAAAUUUUACAAAUUAUCUAUGGUUACAAAUUACUUUCAAUCUGCAAAAUGUUACUUACAAAUUUGAAAAACUCUUUUAUGCAUGUGACACUCCAAAUUUCAUAUGGAUUAGAAGAGGGAUAAUUGACCAAUAGAUAAGUGUGAAUGCAAACCACCACCACUAGAUAUUCACCUCCCGAAAAACUUAUUUAGGGGCUUAGAUCAUAACAAAUCGGAUUGUUAAUAUUAGAAAAUUCCAUGCCUAACUUAUAGCUCGAACUUGCACAUUAAUUAAAGAUAUUUAACUUUUUCUAGCCGAGAGAAUGGACAAAUCUAGGCGAGCAAUUCUCUACUUGGUAUUUGGCUCAAAUAAAAGUUGUACUCUACAAUGCUAACCUAAGAAAAGUAUAUAAUUCUCUCAAAUUAAGAUAGGUAAUUUCGCACAAAAAUUGUUAAGCGUGAUUGUGGUUGGUGGAGGAGAAACACCUAUGUAGAUAAACCAAGAAAGCAAAUCUUCAUAAUACAAAAGUAAUUUAUACUAGCCAUUUAGCUUAAUUCUCCAAAAAAGCAUCAACUUUAACUGGAGUAUCAAUUUAGGCCUGACCCUUUUUUUUGUAAGGGAAAAGACCAUCAAAAAUCCCAAACUUUGCCUAAAGUGACAAAUUUACCCCAAACUUUUUUUUUUACGUGAAAAACCCCAAACUUUUCAAAUUGUGGCACAUUUACCCCAUCAAGGACAUUUUUGUCUUAUUUUUUAGGUUUUUCCUUUUUCUUUUUUUCUUCUUCUUCCCUUCGUUGGCCAUGGCGGAGGGAAGCUGGAGUCCGGCAAGGGCUGCCCUCGCCGGCGUUGGGCGAGGGUUGCCCUUGCCUAGGCUGGCUAGGGCCACCCUCGCCGGCGUCGGGUGAGGGCAGCCCUCAGCUGGGCUGGCCCAAUGCCAGUGAGGGCCUCCCUCGCCUGACGCUGGUGAGGGCACCCCUCACUCGAUGCAAGCGAGGGCCACCCUCGCCCGGCGCCGGUGAGGGCCGCCCUAACCAGCCCAGGAGGGGCGACCCUCACCCGACGUCGACAAGGGCAGCCCUCGUCGCACGCCAGCUUCCUUCCACCAACUCCGCUAUGGCCGACAAAGGGAAGAGAGAAGAAAAAAAAUUAAAAAUAAAAGACCAAAAUACCCUUUAGUUUAGGGUAAAUGUGUCAUGGUUGACAAAGUUCGGGGUUUUUCAUUUCACAAAAAAAAAAAUUUGGGUAAAUCUGUCACAGUUGGCAAAGUUCGGAAUUUUUCACGUCACAAAAAAAAAAGUUUGGGGUAAAUCUGGCACUUUAAACAAAGUUUAGGCUACAUUUAGUCGUUUGGAUAAGAUAAGAUAUGAAAUCCUGGGAUUUUUUUAUAUCCUGUCAAUUGUUUGGUGAAUCGCAGAAUUAAAAUCGGAUAUAUUCACAUUAUAUUAUAUACAUUUUUUAAAUAUAAAUGGCAUAUCAUUAUAAAUGAAACUAAAUAUUCAUAAACGAAGAUGGUGAAAAUCUCACGCAACACUAUUCCUUAAUUUAUUUUUAUUUUAUUUUUCCUCUUGUUUUAUAUUAUUUUCUUUAUUAUUUCUUUUUUCCCCUUUCAUCAUUCUUUAAUAAAAUUUUAUCAAGUAGUAAACUAUACUAACAUACAUAAAAUACAAAAAUACAUAAAAUAUAUAAUAAAUAUAAAUAUUUAAUUUAUAGAUUGAAUGUUUAUUAUAAGAUAGAAUUAAAGUUGAAUAUAUAAAUUAAAAUAAGAUUAAUUAAAAUAAAUUUCUAUUUUUUAUUUUUAAUUUCUUAAAUUAUAAUUCAAAUAUUAUUUAUAUUGAAAUAUAAUUUCAAUUUUGUUAAUUUAAUAAGUUUGAUAUUCGAGAAAAAUAACUUUCGUACUAUAGACAUUAGAAAUCCUAUCCACCUUUAUCCCAUCUCCCCCAUGGGAUAAUUUUCCUACAUAUAUUCCCCUUAUAUCUGACUUUAUCUUGUUUUGAGUGAGCACCAAGCGCAGGAUAUGAUAAAUCAUAUCUUAUCCUGAAUUUUAUCCUGUCUACCAAAUGCAGCCUUAAAGUUUUUCGUGAUUUUUCCCUUUUUGUAAUAAAAAAUCAUCAACUUCCAUGCCCAAAUCUAACCCCGCUUAACUUUCCGUCAACUAAUGGUGUUAAAUGUUUGAUGCGUCAAUUUCAAGUCAUUAUCUUUUCCCAAGUCAGAAUUUAUAUAUAUGAUGUCUUUCUUUUUCUUUUCUUUUUUUCUUUUGUCCUUUUUCUUUCUUCUUCUUCCUCUCACUGGACGACAGCCUGACCACCGUGAGUCAGCCGCACGAUCCAAUCAACGGCCCAGCCCUCCGUCCACCACCACCUCACCGCCGUCCUAGCCCUCUAUCCACCACCACCUCGCCACCUUCCACAACCCCAGCCGUCCAUCCUCGCUUCCGCCCUCGACCUCCGCUAAGAUUUUUGUUUUCCCCAACCUCUCGCCAUAUAUCUCCACCACUAGCGCCUCUACUCUUGGCCAAUGACCCCCUGGCUUCCGAUGUCCAGUAGCCCGGCCGCGGCUCGUCCUCGCCGUCGUCGAGCUCGAGUUCGGCCGGUGCUCUCGAGCCUCAAAUUUUGGGUCCAAGCUCAAGCGAGCCUUAGAUUCCAGAUAUGGGGAUCAGCUUGACCUCAGAUUUGUGUUGAUUAAGGUUGAGUAGGGUCGACGGUAGCCACAACUAGAUUUUUGGAGGUCAAUAUCCGUCCGUCCAUGGCUUUUCAAUCCGAGUCUGUGCAUGUUUCUUGACUCAAAAUGGGUGAAUCGGCAGAAAGUUCAGAUUUCUUUUGUUCAGAAUAAGAUCACGACCAGUUUUAUUUAAAAUAUAAGCAAAUAUAAAAUAAAAUAAAAUGCAAUGACAAAAGAGAAGCAUGGUGUAGUUUGUCACUUUUUUUUUUUUUGGGUAAGAGGUAAGAAUGUGUAGUUAGUCACUUUGGGCGCGUUUGGUAACGUUUCUGUUCAAAAAUUUAUUCCAAGGAACAUAAAUAGAAAAAACUAUUUUUGCUCCGGGAAACAAUUUUUGAAUAGAAGAAGGCGUUUGGUAAACUUGUUGCGGGAAUAAAAAAUGAACAGAAACACGUUCGGUAAAUUUGUGUUCUUUUUUUGUUUCUUUUAAUUUUUUAAUAUUUUUAUUUUAUUUUUUUUCUUUUUUCUUUUUUUCUUCUUUUGGCCGGUCGCCGACCUCAGCCAUGGCCGACGACCGAUCGACGAGGGCUGGCAGCCUCGCCCAGCCACGGCGAGGCUCACCGGCCCCCGGCGAGGGCCUCACCGGGCUCGCCUUGGCUGGGUGAGCUCGGGCUCGCCCAGAUCCGGCGAGCGCAAGCUCGCCCAGCCUUGCCCCGCUCCGACGAGGCUCGUCGUCACCUUGGCGGGGCGAGCUCGGGCUCGCCCAGAUCUAGCAAGCCCGAGCUCGCCCAGCCACCAGUGAGGCUCGGCCUCGCCGGGCCACCGCCAAGCCGGUAAGCCUCACCGGUGCGGGGCAAGGCUGGGCGAGCUCGGGCUCACCGGAUCUGGGCAAGCCCGAACCUCGCUAGGAGCUGGUGAUGCUCGGCCUCGCCGGGGGCUGGUGACGCUCUGGUGAGGUCACCGGCCCUCGACGGUGUCGCCGGCCUUGGCCGAGGCCUGCGAACGGGCAAAGAAAAAAGAAAAAGAAAAGAAGAAAAAGAGAGGAGAGAGAAAAAUUUGUUCUUAAAAAUUAUUCCAAAAACAAGAAAAGCGUUUUUCUUGUUUCUUUUUUUUGUUCCAAAUGUGUUCCUAGGAACAAAAAAGUAGAUUUGGAACAAAAACGCAAACAAAUACGUUUCUGUUCUUUUUUUGUUCCCUGGAACAAAAAAACAGAAAAUUUGUUCAUAAACAAAAAUAAAGAGCAUUAACAAACAAGGCCUUUGUCUUCAAGAAACUGAAAAUUAAAUUGGAAAUGGGCUAUGGAAUACAGAUUUAGCUCAUUCCACUGAAGAGUACAAAGAAAUGUGUGCAGACGGAGUAGAAGGCCGCCGAGAUAGGAGGUCUGGAUGCCGGGGUUCCAUCUGCGGUUGCCGCCGACAAAUGUGGUCGGUGGCAGCGGCGGAGGCCGGAGACACUACGGCGGCCACAAGGAGGAAGUGGAGGAUGACAGGGUGGGAUGAUGGUGGCCAUGGACGGAUAACCUUUAGGUAGCGAAAGGAAGAAGGAAGAUUAAAAAAAGAAUAAAAAAAGGAAAAGCUAUAUAUAAUUCUGAUUUGAGAAAAAAAAAUGAGUGGAAUUGACAAUUGAGACGUUUAAGGAUGCUCUUCGGACGGACAAAAAGUUAACAGAGGUCAGAUUUGGAUAUGAAGUCAAAGUUGGUGACUGUUUAUGAGAUACUAAAGAAAAAAAUAUUUGGGGCCAGAAUUGAGAUUUGAACUAAUUGGUGCUAUUUUGAGGAUUUAAUCCCUUGCUAUUUAGAAUAUUUGUUUUCGACUAUGUUUUAAAAAUGGUAGUGUCUAUAACAUGAUAACAACAUGAACAGUAAUAAGCAAGAGGAUGGAUUAGGGCAUGGCUAUUUCCGUAGCAGAAAAUGCUGCAGGCAGUCUUUCUAUUUGAAGAGAUGAUUCUGCCCCCACGGACGAGGACACUAACACCUACAAAACACGAACGGGGCGAGGGGGUUUCUAUUGGUGGGUUCCAUCAACAUUAAAUUUAUCUAUGUGAUGUAGAUGUUUCCGUAAUGGGUUCUCCAUUCUUUUCUUUUUCUUGAGUUUAAGCUUCCAUCAAUUAUCUGAAAAUGGAGGAGCUGGACUCAGAAAAACUUAUGAACUACUACCAAAUAAAAAAUUAUUGGAUGAUGAUUAAUAAUGUUUCAUUAUUUCAAUUUCAAAGAGUUUUGAUGGCUUAAAUCUUAUUUAUCAUAAAUUCUGUUUCUUUGCAAUCAAGAUUAUCUGUGAAGAACGAUGGAUUCAUGAGUUUGUGAUUAUGAAGGGUAUUUGCCUGCAAAAUUUCUUUCCUUGAAUCAAAAGGAGGGUUUAUCUGAUCCCUUCGUGCAUAGAGAAAGGUAGAUUCGUGCCCUCAAAUCUAGCGAGGCAUAUUUUUGCUUAUCAUUUUUGUAAAUCCAAUGAGAUUUUGUUAUAUAUGUGGGGUUGCAGGGGAGGUGAUUGAUUAUAUGCAUGAUCAAGUGACACAGAUCAUUGUUUACUUAUUUAUCCAUAAAAUCUCACACACACAAAUCGUUUAUCAACCAACAUGCAUGGCGGACUAGAUCAGGCUUUCUGUUGCAAAAUCAUUUCCUAAUUCUCUCCACUUGACUUUAGACCUAGCAGGAGGGCUUGAGAGAAUGUGAGUGAGUAUUCACGCUUAUAAUCAAGUUUACUUAACACGAAUCCAUUGGCUUGAUGGGAUUAUUUGUAUAAGUUUAGUUACUGUAUGGAGAUGCUCGAGUUAUAUAUUAGAGAAGUAUCUGCAUCGUCUACGUGAAAAAAUUUUGAGGCUCAUUCCGUCAUAGCACUAAAUAUCUAAGUCCAUAUGAAAACAGAAAUCUGCUAUAGAAAAAGAUAUCUGCCUCUUUCUACUAGGCUUAAACUCGUGUCCGGUUUCAUACAUCGGUCCAAAGCCCAAGCACCAAAUCGGUCCGUAGGGUCUAGCCCUCAACAUAAGCUAAGGUGAGCUCGUUCCUAAAACAUCCUAUCUUCUAGGCAUUAUUUGACGAUGUUAAGCCCAAAGGAGCAAUUAAUCCAAAAGGAAGACUUUCCCUGCUUGAGGAGCAAAGCUUCCCGCAUCUCGUAUGCUCUGAAUUUGAUUAUGCUUAUCAUUGUUUGUUGGGUGUAAAAUUUUCUUUUCAGAAAUUAUACUUUCCGACACAAAUUAUGCACCAACUUCACAUACAAAAUCAAUUGGAGAAUACAUAUCUACAAAAUUAUACAAUAACUGCUUUUUUCUAAGAUUGAUACACAACACUCUAAUAGCUAAAAAGGACUUCUCCUUGUUUCAAGAAUUAGAUUUGCAACGUUCUCUAGAAAAAAAAACACAUAAAUAAUGUGGCCACUUAGGCUUUACCUGAGCUAAUAUUAUGCACUACUAACUAAAUAGAUUACUCAAAUGAAAAUAUUCUUACAUGUAGUAAUUCCAAAAAAUCUUGACUAGACCUCAGAAUUUAAAUUAGGGGCAUGUAAAUCGCCAAAUAUGAUGAGUGUUAUAGGAUCAACGGCUGUGAUUCAUGUGAUGAGUCCGUGUAAGAAUUUGUCAUUCCAAGCGGGGAGGACAGACACUCCUGCGAUCUUACAUGGGGAUCCUAGAAAAGGAUCCUAGAAAAGGAAAAAGCGACGCGAGUGCAUUUUCAAAAAGAGAGAGAGGCUAAGGAUAACUAAGGAUGAAAGUAAAGCAGUGGGGACCAUAACUAUUUGGCAUUGCCUCAAAAAGGUCAAGAGAUCCAUCAAUUAUAUUGGGUUUGGUGGAUUAUGAGUUGAUUUAGUGCUUUGAAGCAGUGUGAAUUGGAUUCCAAAUAGAGAGCAAAAGAGGUGGAAAAAAAACAUGCUUUGGCUCAAUUGAACACCGACAACUCAUUACGUUACUCAUCACUUCCAGAACUAUGCCUAUGUAUACUAUUUUGCUUUUCCUUAAAGUGUUAGACACGACAUGACCGCUUCAAUGUCCACAUUAGAACUAGUCAUCUUCUUCACAAUUAGGAUAUCCAUUAAAAAUGACCAUGAACCUCCUUUAAAGAUUCACCCACAUAAAGUCCCAAUCCCUUUAUCAACUCAAAUUAAUUUUUUGAAAUUCCUUACCGUGGAGACUACGGGAGUCCGGAGCAAAAGUAAUGACAAUGGACGUCGGCAUCAACUUUUUCUAGUGGAAAAUAAAGCAUGUUUUUUUUUUUUUUUUUGGUAUAGUAUUGCCAAAUGCAUAAGGUAGGUUCAUCAAAUGUAUGGCACUUGGUCAAUUAGCUAUCCCAAGGUGGAUGUCUCCGUCGCUAAGAUUUGCAAAGCCUCAUUGAUAAUGACUCAAACGGGCAUAGCUAAGAUAGUGAACAGUAAAAAAUUAUUUAGUUACCUAUGAACUUUUUAGAUGGUUGUACAAUUCCUUAUUAAAAUUAGAGAGUAAAUGUGACUUCUAUCGGUAAGGUAAGGUUUUAAAGAUUUUGGCAUUUUCACUUAAAUAAGUAUGAAAGCAGAGUACGAAGAUCAUGUUUCAUCUUUCAAUUGAAAAUUAAAACUGUCCAAGCACUGGAAAUCUGACCUUCAACAAGUCAGAGUACCACGGCUGGAAACAAAACUUAAUCCAGAAAUCGCGCAUCAUGGGGACCUCCAAAAGAAGGAAAAAAAGCACGGUAGAAACAAUUGGUGAAAGCGAAUGGUGAACCGACCGAACAACCUCUACAUAUGCAUAUAUUUCCAAAGAAUAACCCCGCAUGAAACAAGGUUCAUUUUCCCAGCUAGAACUAGGGAUGGCAAACAAAUAGAGAAGAUUGUGGAGCAGAUAAGAAAGCUCACAAUGGUUUUUCUUUAUGUGAGGAUUGUAGAAUCGAUAUUUCAUGGGAUUUUAAAUAGACGUGUCUACACGUGCAUACCCCUAAAUUACCAAAAAAAAAAAUGCUUACUUUAGGAAAAUGCUAACUAUAUUUGGUAACUUUUUUUAUAUACACUUAUUCCUCAGAAACUAGUAGCUAUUAUGCAAAAGUUCCAUAUGACCUUAAUUUCAAAGAGAAUGUCCCACAUGACUUUAAUUAGUCAUAACCUUUUUCUUUUGUUAAUUAUUAGUCAUAAUUUUUUCAUAUAGUCAUAAUAAAUAUAAGGAUUUAGGAAUAACAUGACAUUAUAAUUUAACAAUUAUGCUUGGCAAACAAAGUUAAACAACUUCAAUUUUUACUUAUGAAGUAAGCUUUUUCUUUGUUCUCACUUAUAGGGAUGAUUAUGAGGGGCUCUCUUUCAACAAAUCUGUGAAAAAUUGAAGGACGAUACAUGAAAAGUCAAAACUUAUUUUCUACUAAUGCUUAACAUUAGCUGGGUAGAAGGCUCCAAGUUGGCUCGAGUCAUAUAUGUCAAUAAAUAGAAUCUCACCAAAAGUUGCCAUCCAAUAUAUAAAUCAAUAACACGGCCAAUUUAUGUUUUCGAUUUGCAUACCAUUUCAAAAGUAAAACCUCAAUUUUUUCCCAUUCAAUUAGCUUGAUUAUAAUGUUACUUCUCUAUUUUAAUAUGAUUUCAUGCCAACACGAAGAGAGGGCUUAGGAAUAGUACCUAAUCCUUUUUUGCGCUCAAAUCUCUUUGCCUUCUUUGUCCCUAAUCAUUCUUGCUUUGUUUCACUCUUCCGUUAUUCUCUCUGUCUCUUUGUUUUUUUUUUUCCUGGGUUUUCUCAACUAAAAAAGAAAAUCAAAGAAAAAUGUAAAAUCGAUGAUACUGUCGAGAAAAAUGGGAAUCGUCACAUUAAAUUCAUCUCAAGAAGUAAAAUUAUUGAUAUAAAGGUAUAAUUCGUGGUUGAAGAACAAGAGCAAAAAAACAUUAGAAAAAUCUCAUUUAUAUCAUCAAAUGAUAUUUUUUUUGAUAAUGUUCUACUUGGACUAUGAGUGCAUCAACCUCGAACAAUCCACGUCUCUGCUGGCUCCAUCAAUUUGUCUUCUUGACUCCUUUGAAGUCAUGAUGUUGUUUUUUCUUGGAUUGCUACAAAAUUUAACAGUUAAUACUUUUGACAUUUCACACAUAAUCAAUGAUGAUAUGGACAUCCAUCUUCAAUCUUCCAUUGCUGCUUUGUUGCACCGAAAGGUGAAAUUCCCAAGACUAAAAGAGAUAGAUUCCUCUGGUGGGCCUUCCUUUCCACCGAAACCCUUGAAAAAUAGUCAGGAGGAUCUUCUAAAGUCGUUGUGAUGAUUUGGUGUAUACAUGCAUAUUCACACACAUUGGGCGAGGCUAUUCACGCUCCCAAUUUAGCUUAAAAUCACAUCCUUUUAAGUAAACUCAAUUAUUAAUAGACCUGCCUUUUAUUUAAAAAUAAACAAAUCUGCCUUUUCCAAUUCCUCUCUCAUCUAUUGUCUAGUCUAUUUUCUUAUUUACUAUAGACAGUUGAUAAGAGUUUCCGAUAUCAAUCUUGUCAUGUACUCCUUUGAUUUCAAAGUUUUGUUCAUGUAAAAAUUUACCUAAAAAACGUCUUCAACCUAUGAAUCAUGAAAAAAAGAAGAAAAGAGAGGCUGAUUUAUUUAAAAGAUUGGAGCAUAAGCAUGUUCCGAAAUAUCAAAUUACACUCAUGCUUUCAUCGAGCUUUAGCUAUAAUUUUUCCAAUUUAUUAUGACCAAGUCUUCAGUUCUUUGAUCUGUCAUGUUCGAACUUUCAUUAUUUUGUAGAAGAGAAUAUUUCAACAAGUUAAUUUGGUAUAUUUUAUUUACGAGCUUAUAAGUCAAUGAAUAAUUAAUCCUCUUUAUUCAAAUGGUUAUAGACAAGGGUUUUGAGACAUUUAAAGUUAAUUUUCUUAUUGAUAAUUGGUUUUUCUGAAUUUAUCAUGCUAGUAAAUUUGGGAGAUCAUUGAGUGAGAGUUUCAUUUUGAGCAAUCUAAAUUUUUUUCACACUGCAUCUCUAGAGUUAUUUCAAAGUGGUGAAGUGGCCGUUUGAUAUGAAGAGAUUCAUGGAAAGGUCCCAAGCUUAAUUCAUUAGUAGCAUGUUUUCAAAUUGAAAAGCUUGCUCGUAUUUUUAGUUUGUUUUUGAGUUUUCAUUUUGUUUGCUUUAUUCCUUAUACCUAUAGCUAGGACUUGAGAUUAUAUUACGUACCCCAUGAAUAGUUCAAGAGCAUAAAUUUUGACAGGUUUAAGAUUGAUGUCUUUCAGAUUUUGCACCAUAUUAUAUAUAGUUAAGGUUGCUGAUUAUAAUUCUCGAAACUAACAAACUAUCAAGUGUUGUGAAACACACACACACACACACACACACACACACACACACACACACACACACACACACACACACACAUAUAUAUAUAUAUAUAUAUAUAUUGUGUUCUCUCAUUCUGUGUACUUAUAUUAUGGUCUUUCAUAUCCGUACAUUGCUUGCUCAAAUAUGCAUGUAGGCAAACAAUUCUCUUUACAUUCUUCAAGGAAUAUAUUGAGGGAAUAAUCAAAUCACAACUCUUAGACAUUUAGACAAAUUGUGCAUAGUGAAGCCGAGGAUCCAUCACAUCUUGUUGAAAAAUGAUGACUAAAUUACAUUUACCCUGUUCCUUGCCAAGACCGAAUUGCAAUCACAAGAAUUUGGUGGUGUUACUUGUAGUUUGAUAAGCCAUGUUUUUGCUCACAUUGUGUUGUUUUUAAUUGGUAGUUAAAUCACGUCUUUUACAAAUGACAAGUAAUUGAAAUUAUGAGUUCCUACGAAUGAUAAGCAUUAACAUGACGAAUGAUUUGAUGAUAGCAUUCGAGGCUCUUAGUUUAUACUUUUGUUUUCUAUGACAAUUUGAUUAAAAUUAUUAUUUUAAAGAAAGCAGCCAUGGAUUCUUACUGGAAUCCCAAUCCCCAUGAUUGAACCAUGCAGUCAAAAAUGGGGUCCAUAUGUCAUUAGAAGAAAGCUAUGCACGUUGCUCAUGCUUGCCUGUGGUCAUUCACUCGUGAAAGGGUUAAUAGUAAGAGAGUGGCUAAAACAGCCAAGAAUAUGCAAUAAUUUGACUAGACAUAAAAUAAUGGGAUGUCCUAUCUCCCCUUGAGUCUAUCUUAGUAUUAAUAUUACAAAAGCAUUGAUUAUUCAUCAAUGGCUUGUUAUAAGGAGCAUCAAACUCCCAAAACUUUUUUUACAAAUCUCAGUUAAUUUUUUUUUUGUUGAAAUUAUAACAUUCAAAUAAUUGAAAAAAAAGUUAUGACACUCAAGUUUAUGUUUUUUAGAAGCCAUGAUACUCAAAUAAUUGAAAAAAAAAUGUGAACACUUUACAAAAGUCAUGACACUUGCAGUGUUUUUUUGCUAUUCUUUUUAGGAUUUUCAUCCUAUCAUUUUCUCAAUCUUUCUUUCUCAAAAGAAAAACAUCAACGGAUGCUGCCAUCAAGAAAAAUGCGAAAAAUCACAGUAAACUCAUAUCAAGAAGUAAUUGUUGAUAAAAGGGUCUAAGUUAUGGUUAAAAGAGCAAGGACAAAAGACAUUAGAAAAAUUCCAACCGUAUCAUCAUAUGGCAAUUUUUUACAACGUUCUACUUGGACUAUGAGUGCAUCAACCACCGACAAUCUACUUCUCUAGUGGCUCCAUCAAUUAAUCUUUUGACUCCUUUCUAAAGGGGAAGUAAUGAUGGGUUUUUCUUGGAAUGCUACAAAAUUUAAUAGUAAAUACUUUUUGGCCUUUGAUGCAUAAUCAAUGAUAAUAUUGAUAUGCAUCUCCUAUCUCCGGCUGACAAUUGCUUCCUUGCACCGAAAGGUGAAAUUGUCAAGACUAAAACAGCAAGAUUCCUCUGGUUGACAAAUAGUUGUUGGGAUGAUUGGUGUGCACACACACAUUUGGUGGAGGUAAUUAUGCACCCAUUUUACACGUGAUACUUUGUUAGGGUCAAAUUUGUCUCUAUGUAAUAUUUCCUUAAGAGAACCCAAGGACAAAAUGCUAAAAUAGCCAACCUCUUAUAUUUCCCCUUAUUUCACUUUUUUAGCUUGCCAUCACCUUUCUUUUGUCUCCUUAAUGUUUCCGUUUUCACAUGUAGUAUCUCUCUGUUGGAAAGGGCUUUGAAUUUGAUUAUGCUUGUCAUUGUGUAUGUUGGGUGUAAAUUUUCUUUUUUGAGAAAUUAUACUUUGAUACAAAAUUAUUCACUAAUUCACGUACAAAAUCAACAUGAGAGUCAAUAUCUAUAUAAUUAUGCAAUAACAGUCUCUUCUCUAUGCCCUGCCUCUAAGGUUGACACAUAGCAUUCUAAAUAGCCAGAAAAGACUUCUCCUUAUUUUAAGAACUGGAUUCACAACAUUCUCCAUUAAAAAAAUGUGCCCACUUAGACUCCACCUAGGCUAAUAUUUUGCACUACUGGCUAGAUAGAUUAUUCAUAUAUCAUGAUGUACUUAUAGGCACUAAUUCCUUAUUAGCUACGUGAAAUCUACUCAAUCUAAUUACAAGGAGAAUGUCUCUCAUGACUUUAACUUGUUUCUAUUUAGUCAAAAUGUUUUCAAACGGUCAUAAUUCAUAUAUGGGAUUAGGGGUACAUUGACAUUUCCAACACAACAAUUUUUUUUAUGGGCAAGUCUGUCAUGUGAAACUAAUAAAGAGAAUUUCAGCCAGCUUAAUAUUCAAAACAGAUCGGAGACCAAUAUUAUGCCUAUCUAUCAUAUGAUACUAUUAUUUUAACGUUAUACUUACUUAGCAUCUCUAUCUUGCACUUAUUGAAUAUUACUAUAUUAUAAUUUUAUGUUAACCUUGUCAUUUUCUUAAGAAAUGGUUCAGAAUAGAAAAUACAAUACUCUUUACUAUAAAAAUUAUGCUUACAUAGCCCCAGAAUUGGCGCAAUUGGUUGGGUCAUUAGGGAUUUCCAACUUAGGAACUAGAGAUCGCCAGUUCGAAUCCCACAAACUAUAUGCAAACUGCUUUGGGUUAUAGUCACCUACAUAGACCAAAGAUCUAAGUUUAAUUGGUUCAUGGAAUUGGCACGAUAUUUCAUGAGCUUCUAGGUAAAUGGCUCUCCACACUCCUACCCCGAUAUUACACAAGUGCGCGCACGCGCGCACAUACACACACACUCACUUUAGGAGAAUGCUAACUUUACAUGGUAUUACACUUACUUUAGGAGAAUGCUAAUUUUAGAUGGGAUUUUUUUAUAUGCACUUAUUCCUCAUAAACUAGGUAGUCAUUAUGCAUUAGAUCUUUGUCAACUUAAUUGCAAAGAGAACAUUCCCAUGACUUUGAGGAAUAUUACCCAUCGAUCUUAAACAUAUUGUACGAAUACCAAUUUAGUUCUAAACUUUUCGAUUUUGCCAAUUUAGUUAUAAACAUUUGUGCAAAAUUCCAAUAUAGUCCUUUUGGCCAAUUUUCGACGUUGAAAUGGUCAUGUGUUAUUUAGAAUGGUCAGCGAUGACUGGAUUGCCACAUCAAUAAUUUCAGGCAAAAAUUCAUCAAAAGGGUUUUAUUGAAAUUUUCCCUAAAGGUGUAAAACUAAAUUGUCAAAAAAUUGAAAUGAUUAAAACUGAAUUAGCAUCUGUAUAAUAGAUCUUAGGACUAAUUAAAUAAUUUUUCCCAUGACUUUAAUUAGUCAUAAUAUUUUCUUUGUUAUAAAUUAGUCAUAACCUUUUUAAAUAGUCAAUACAAAUAUAAGGUUUAUGAGGUAAUUUGAUAUUCUAAUCUAACAAUUAUGGCUGAGUUUGAGAAAAGGAGCGAGGAAGUUAAGCAGCCACCUGGUGUUCCGGUUGAGCAAGCCAGCGAAGAAGACGCGUGAGUUUACUUUUUGCUUUUGUCUGAGUAUACGAGUAGUUAAAGAAAAUCAAUGUCGGAAUGCACUCAUUCGAGGAGCUAUGCGUAAUGACUCAGCAAGUUGCAUAUGAGGGAAACGCCUUCAUAGUUAGUGGAAUAUCCCCUUUCAACGAGAUUCACGUGGCACUCGGCAUAACAUUUUGUUGUUGUCCCAUAUGAUUGUCAUGAAAUAGGAAUACGCAAGAGUGAUUUUGAAAAAAUUCCAUGAGUUCCAUGGUCACUUUGGUCGACUUCUAGUUCUAUUUGCUUACACUUAUAUAUAAAAAAAAUUCUGCAUUUUGCUCUCCCUCGAGAAAAUUAAAAAUGGAAAAAAAAAAUAGGUUUCAUAAAUUAUGAAAAACCAUGUAAUAGCUCUACUUGUCAAUAAAUGUAUAUUUUUGAAAAUUCUAAAUUUCAAUAUUUGAUAACUACAAUAUUUGAAAAAUAAAUGUGAAAAGGAAAAGCUCUGGACAGAACCAAGCAUUUGGGAAGAAAUAAAAAAAAAAAGAAAAGAGGGUCUUUUUGGGGGGGGGGGGGGAGGGGAGACUUCAAUAUGAAUGAGAGCUCAUGGAGCAAAGUUAGUCCUUGCUGGCAAUGAUUUUGCAUGUUAAUUUUGUUAUGUAAAGAGUAACAGUGGUCACUAUGAUUUUGCCUAUUAAUAUUAUCAUCUAAAGAGUAGUAGUGUUCGAGAUAGUAAAUUAGUUUAAAAUGUUAAGAGGAUAGCAAAAAUUUAAUUUCCUUAGAAGUUCUAACCUAACAAUUACAGCUGCAGUUAAAUAUAACCUAGCAAUCAUAAUUGGCUUUAUAUUCUAACAAUUAGCCUAACUAUCAUGUUAAUUCGAAAUUUUUAACGUGAUUUCACAGACCAGCACAAUGAGCGGGGGUAAGAUUAUAUUACCUAACCAAUGUUUGUCCAUCAGACGUGGAGGAAAAACUAGAUGCCCAAAUUAUGUUUGUCUAAAGCGGUGAAGGAAAGGAUGUAUAUCUAAUCAAUGUAUGUCCAUUAGCAUCGGGGGAAGGGGUGGUGAUUUCGAAAUUGGUGUUGGUGACCUGCUCCAUGUAUUAAUAUAUUAUUUAUUAGACUACCAUCAUUGUCUUGAUUGACGCGACCGACAUCUUUUUUAAAUUUUUUUACUUUUGGCCAGUGGAGGCUCUAAGGACUUGGAGCCCUUUGCUCCCAACUUGUAGAGAGUGCAUGACAACCAAUAAUUUCUAUUUUAUAAAUAAUUUUUUUUAUUCCAAAUCUGUUUUUGGAAUAAAAAUUUGUUUGAUAAAUUUAUUUCGUUUUGAAUUUUUCUACUUCUCUAUUUCUGAAACAGAAAUGAGAAAUAAAAAAUUUUCUCAUCAUUCGUCAACUGGUCCUUCAUCCAAUGUUGCCGACCACUGUCCAUCGAUCGCCCGUCGCCCGCCGGCCCCAGUCGCCACCGGUCGCCAUCGCCCGCCGGCCCCAGUCGCCACCGGUCACCGGCCGCCAGCCGACCGCCAUCCACCGGUCCGCCAUUGUCGGAAAGGAAAAAUUUUUGUGUCGUUAUCAAACGAAUUUUUAUUUUUAGAGUAUAAAUUUUGUAUCGUUAUCAAACGGUUAUUUUUGUUUAGAAACUCUUAUAAAAAUAAGAAUAAAAAAAUCUAUUUCUGUUCUAAAAACUAUUUCUGAAAUAGAAAAAUUGUCAUGCGCGCUCUUAGCUUCCGAAGGAAUUGAGUGAGGUUUAGUUAAAGUCUUAACUGAGAUUAGAUUACCGAGCUCCAUAGUACAUACCCAUCCCAUCUUUCUUCUCGUGAUUUGGGCCUUUGUUAAAGGCGAAGAGACAUGUUAAGGUCCCAUCUAGUAGUACAUUUUAGUUUUUUGGUAAAACGUACAUCUCAAUCGUUGUUGAUCAAAUAUUCCAGCAAAAAGUUACCAUGUCUCUUUCUCCAUUGAUUGCUCUUUGACGCUCCCCUUCCUUCAUCUUUUAUCGCACUCAAGUUUCUUCGCCUUUCCGUCUUUCAUCAUUCUUGCUCUGUUUCACUUUUUCUUCUCCUUGCUACAGCCAUACUUCGUCCUCUUUUUCUUAAGUAUGUACGACCCUUUUUCAUCGUUCUCUCUCUCCCUCUCUAUGUCUCUCUGCUUUUCCUUUUGAGGGGUUUCUAUCCAAACGUUUUCUAGCUCUUUCUUUUUCGAAAUAAAAAUCAAAGAAAAUGUCAGAUCGAUACUGUUGUUGAGAAAAAUAGAAAAUUAUUAAACUCAUAUUAAUUAAUAAUUGUUGAUACAAGUGUUCUGAAUACGUAGCAAAAGUUACCAGCCAAUGUGGUGGCUGCGUUGGCUCAAGCUCCCUCCCUCUCACGAAAGGAAAGGAGUUCGAAUCCCAGCAUGAUCACUAAUGGUCUUAAGUAUGGUAUCGUGGUUGUGGUUUCUGUGCUAGUAUCACUUCGGAUUUACCUCGCUGACUGUUGAUUGUACGUGAGUUCUUGGGUCACCAAAAAAAAAAAAAAAAAACGUAGUAAAAGUUCAAUCCCUUUAACUGGAGAGGUCAUCAAGAGAAAGUUUAAGUUUGAGCCCAUUACAUAUUCAGUUGACCCAUCUCUAUUAAAAAUAAUGAGCUAAAAAGUUAUUAAUCAACUAUAAUAAUAUUAACUGCUUAAUACAAAAUUAAUUAUCUAUUGUGAAACUUUUCUAACCCAACUCACAUAUUCAUCUUAACAUUCACCUCUCGCGUGUUGGCUUAGUAUUAUGUCUGCUUCCCCUUGAUUCAAGUAUCGUUCUCCAUUAACAUGACUCAAUUAGAAUCUUCACUUAGGUGCGUGUGCUAACUAAAAUAACAACAACGCCCAUCUUCAUCCCUAGUCUCUUUCUCCAAAUUGAAUCAUGAAGGUUACCAUUAGAACCACAUUGCUACACAAAAAUGCCCACCUCCAUUCCAAGUUUCUUUUGCUAGAUCGAACUAUGAAGGUUGCCCAAAAACUGCGUUAAUCAUGAGAUUCCUUUCCUGAGAUAUUCUCCAAACAUUAGUAUACAUUGGAAUUGGCCAUUAGCUAUCAAUCAUUGGCUCUGGCAUCAUUUCUUAGGAGUGUCUUGCAGAAAUUUGAUACCUUUAACCAAAGAGAUCGCCAAAGAAAAGCACAUGUUUGAGCUAGCCAAUAUGUUUUAUUGAAGCCAAAUUCACUCAAAAACUAGGAUAUAUUAAUUGCUCUAUACCAUACUAAUUCUCCGGUAUAAGACUUUCUAACAUAACUUACAUAUAUAUCUCAAUAAGAAGGAUCUAAGUAAUGGUUAAAAGAGUGAGAACGGAGAGAUAUUAGAUGAACCUCAACCACAUCAUCAUAUGGCAAUUUUUGAUAAUGUUCCACACGGAGUCUGAAUGUGUCUGCCUUAAAUAAUUCACUUCUGUAGUGGUUCCAUCAAUUUGUCAUUUGACUCCUUUUUUGAGUGGAAGUCAUGAUGGGGUUUUUUGGGAUGUUACAAAAUUUAACAGUAAAUGCUUUUAGCCUCUAGCGCAUGAUCAAUGUCGAUACUGAUAUGCAACUCCAAUUUUCCAACGGGAAUAUUUUCAUCAAGUGACUAGUGUGGGAUGUUAACAAAGAAGAGUUCCGCUAUUGCGUAACCGCACUGUCCCUUCCAAUAGCGACGGCGCAAAUGGGACCACGAAUUCUAUUAUGCUUGUAAUGCGCAACCGGAUUACAACUUUAAAAUGGGAAAUCUUUACGAAAAUCCUUAAAAUAACUUUUAUCCCUUUCUGAAUGAAAUGUCAAUCAAAAUGCCCUCCCUCCAAAUUGAGCACCAAGUAAAGUCAUCACUCAUUUCUUUUCGUUUCUCUUGAAAUCAUAAAACAUUCAAUAUACAUACUAGUGUGCAACUAACUUAUAACCGCACACAAUCUCGUCAUAACUAUGAAUAUACAUACGUAUGUAUGUAUGCAAGCACACAUGAAAUUUUAAUUACCUCUUAUUUAGUUAGAUAUACAUCUUGAUCACAAAAAACUUUUUUUUUCUUUUUUUUAAACUUUAUUAACAAAGAAAAAGCUUCACCACGCAUUGUUGCAACUGUUUCUUCCUACUUCCUUAUUAAUUGAAGAAUUAUUGUGUACAGCGGACUUAAAUAACAAUGGCUCUAUACUUGGUUACCGCGAAAUACUAUACAGCCUAUUAACAUAUCGUAAAAUAAAUAAAAAAAUCACCUUUAACCUCUUUCAGUUAAUUAAUCUAGUAAAAAAAAAUGGGGGAUAUCCAAUCAUUGCAAAAUAACGUAAUAUAAGGUGUUGACUUGCAUAUUGAUUUUUUUUUCUUUUUUGAGAAACCCCUUUUCAGAUAAGUGAAGUUCAUAUUAAAGGUAAAGUGAUUGAUGAAAAUAAUGCCAAUACCAAAACGAGACCAAAAAUAUGAUAAGAGAAGAAGGACUUUUAACACCAAAAGAAAUGGAAGUUGGGUUGUAUCGAAUAAGUAUGUAGCUUUUUUCUUUUUUUCACUAAGCAGAGAGGAGAAUCAAAAUACCUAUCAUGGGCAGGGGUGUGGAGUUUAACUCUUAUGAGGAGGCUUAUGAAUUUUAUAACAAUUAUGAGAAAGAAGUAAGAUUUUGUAGUAGAGUUUCAAAAUUGUAGAAAAGGAAGAGAGUAGAGAGGAAAAGUGAGGCAUAGUUUUUUGGGGCUAGCUCCAAAAAAAUAAAGCACCAACUUUAGUUUGAGGGACAAAUCUAACUGAAUUUUUUUUUUUGUCUUGUAAAAAAGCACAUAUUUUAGGUUAAGGGACAAAUCCAGUCUAAAUUGUUUUUUUGUCUUGUAAAAAAAUGUCAAUUUUAGGUCAAGUGACAAUUCUAGCCCCAAGUUUUUUUUUUCUCAUAAAAAAUUACAAACUUUCACCAUUAUUCAACUUUCUAUUUGAAGUUAACCUUGUUUCAAGAAAAAAGGUUCUAGCCGUGAGCUUGGCGGAUCUUGUUCAUGGGGUCUCUCAAUGGGCGGUGGUUUAUAGCUUCAUUUUAAGACAAAAUGACAAAGUCUAGCCAGACUAAUUCAAUUUAGAGCUUUUUGACUUGCUAGUGAAGUGUAGGAGAUGAUGAACAAUUUACCGUUAUUCUCCAAGCUGUGGCUCAAACAAGAAGAUAAUGAAUAGUGUUUUAAAUCCAGCCAGCGAGUGCACGUGGAUUUAUCGCUAAAAACAAUCAAUGGAUCUAAAUUAAAGGGGGCUAAAUUUAGGAUUUAAGUGAAAAUUGGUGAUUUUUUUUAGACAAAAAAAGUUAGGAUUAUAAUUGUCACUCAUCCCAAAGUUAGUGUUUUUUUAUGUGAUAAAAAGAAGAAGCUUGAGCCAAAUUUGUCACUCGACUUAAAAUUAGUGCUUUUUUACAAGACAAAAAAUAGUUUGGGUUAGAUUUGUCCCUUAACCUAAAGUUUGUGCUUAUUUUUGGAAUUAGCCCCAGUUUUUUGCUGCAUUUGUCAAAGGCUAAAAAAAAAUAAAAAUGGGUCAGUUAAGUCGAUUCAUUUGAAAAGGUUAGAAUUCAAUAUUUUUUUUAAUUACUCAAGCACAAAGAAUGAGAAGCCCCAAAAAUGUACAAAAAUAUCUUUAUUAUUCUAAAAACAACGGUUCUGGUGUUUUUCUUUUCUAUUUUAGAAAUAUAAGUCAUAUUUAUAAUAAAAUUAAUAAUCUCUUUUUAGUGAUAAUUUUCGUACUUGUGAUUCUUAUAUUGUAGCAUUCAAUUUCCUUCAAGUCAUUUUUCCCUUGCUUUCGAAAGGAUGGAAAUUCAAGAAAUUAAUUGGUGUUUAGUUGAGGCCUUAAUCAAGGUUAGGUUAUAGACAAGAAAAUAGAACAUGCACUCUAUUUUUAGCUAAAUUUCCAUAUUGGUUAUGUCCAUAUUUUUAACCCACCAAUCAAAGAAUUAGUAAGGAUGGAAUAAACUCUGACUUAAUAUAAACUCGCAUACAUUAAGGAAGCCAUUGCUCUCAAUUAACAAAGAAAUCCAAUGAGAUGUAAAUACUGAAUCAUUCCAAAGCAUGAGAAGAAAAUGUAACCUUAUCACUGCUGCGUCAAAUAAAUUUGUCCUUGUCUCUUUCCACUUUUCCCUACCUAUAACAAUUGAAACGAGUAAUCUAAUAUCCGCCAACCUUUGUAUCACUUAUAUUAUGUUUGUGUAUAUGGGGCAGCGCACUAUCAUUAAGAUAAAGGAAAUGUGUGAUUGGCUCUAUUUAAAAUCAAUUAAAUGGGAUUCCUAUCCACGUCAAUAGUAUGCGAAUCAAUCACCAAAAGAAGACCGACCAAAAAAAAAAAUCACCAAAAGAAGCAAAUCCAGACCAUGUAACUAGAGACAAUUUUUUUUUUUUUAAGAACCUCUGCGGAAUGCAAAAUACACUUGUACUUUACAAGAAAAAAAAGUAUGCUUACUUAACAUCACCAUCUUGCAAUUAUUAGACACCAAUAAUAUUAUAAUUUUAUGUUAACACAGUCAUUUUCAAAAUGAUAUAGAAUGCAAAAUACACUCAUUCUUUAGAAUAAAAAAAAAACAUGCUCACUAAAUCCCAGGAGUGACAUAGCUGAUUGGGAUGCUAGGGGAUUUCCAACUCAGGAAUAGGAGGUUGCUUGUUAGGAUCCCACAAACUGCUUUAGGUUGGAGCCAACUACACAAGCCAAAGCCCUGAGCUUAACCAAUUCAUAAAGCCUACAGGAUAUUUCAUAGAAUUAUGGGUAGAGAGGUCUCCAUACCUAUGCCCCCAUAUCAUAAGUAAAAUUAUAUGCUUACAUUAAGAGUAUCCCAAAUUUAUAUGGUACUCUUUUUAUAUGCACUUAUUUCUCAUAAACUAGGUAGUUAUUAUGCAAAAGGUCCUGAUCAUAUUAAUUACAAAUAGAACUUCCCUCAUGACUUUAAUUAGUCAUAACAUUUUUUUUUUGUUAAAAAAGUAGUCGUAAUAGUUAUAAAUAUAUGGACUUAGGCCUAAUUUGAAAUUCUAAUCUACCAAUUAUGUUGGUAAAAAAGGAAACAACUUCAAUUUUUUUCUUUAAAACUGAGUUCUUUUUCCCUUAAACGGAUGAUUCAAGGGGCUUUAUGUCAACAAAUACGUGAAAAUUUUGAAUACUACAUAAAGACUCAAGAAUUAUUUUCAUCCAAUGGGCAAUAUCAAUUAGAUAUGAGGGUCUAAAUUAGCCCAAGUCUAUUUUGUCAAUAAGUAGAAAACUUACAAAAAAUUGCAAUUCAACUUAUAAGUGAAUAUCAAUAAUAUAAUAAUUUUACGUUAAAAUUGUCAUUUCUUAAAAAUGAUAGAUAAUACAAAAUAUACUUAAUCUUUACAAUAAAAAUUUAUGCCUGCUUAACCCUGGGAUUGGUUUAGCUAGUUGGGACGUUAUGGGAUUUUCAGCUCGAGAACUGAAGAUCCAUUAGAACCCCACAAAUUGCGAGCAAACUACUCUAAGUUACAGUCUCUUACACAGGUCAAAAGCCUAAGCUUAACCGAUUCAAGGACUAUAGGAUAUUUUCUAGGCUUCUAAAUAGAUAGGUUUCUACGUCUAUGCACUUAGAUUAUUAAAAAGAAAAUGCUUACUUUGGGAGGAUGCUAAUUUUAUAGAAAUUUUUCAUGUGCACUUAUUCCUCAUAAACUAGGUAGUUUUUAUGAGAAAAGGUCGUUAUCAACUUAAUUACAAAGAAUAUGUCCCUCAUCAUUUUAAAUAGUUAUAACCUUUUUUUUGUUAGAAAUUAGUCAUGGUUGGCAAAACAAUUAAACAACUUCAAUUUUUUUCCUAUGAACUGAGGUUUUUUUUAUUUAUUAUAAAUUUAAGACAUGAUUUGAGGGGCUUUCUGUCGGCAAAUAUAUGAAAAUUUGAAAGAUAACACAUGAAAAAUCAUAUGUCACUAAGUAGAACAUUAUCAAAAAUUGAUCUUCAAUAUAUAAAUCAAUAACGCAGCCGGUGAAUCCAUUUUUGUGUUUAGCCGUGGAGGAAAGGAUGGUCCCUAUUGAAUGUCCAUGAGCGGCUGAGGAAAGGAUGGAGACAUAGACAGUGGUGUGGUGGCCGGUCAAUUAAUUAAAAAAAUCAUCCAUUUCUCUUUAUAUAAAUGUUUUUUUUUUAAAUAGUUCAGCAAUUUCUUUAUAUUGCUCGAUUGUUUCAUUCAUAGUUCAUUGCCUGAGUGACAAGAGGACUAUGCAAGAGUCUUGGCAGUUGGGUAUUCCUUCCCAGUGAAAAUUAAUUCAUAAAAUGACAAAUAAAUUCUUAUUAAUUAUUGAUAAGACGAGUGAUGACUCUUGCAGCUUCUCAUAUCUCUUUAAAAAUAAUCUUAUAAAUGAAUCAAAUGUCUGAGGAUUAGUCGACAUCCAAUAUCAUCAAUCAUGUUAGAAACUAUCAUCGAUAAAUUGUAUUAUACAUUUGGCUGAACAAAAUCGUGUUCUAUAAUUAAAAUACUAUUUUUGUACAAUCUUUGUUGGAACAUUUAUGGUACAGCAAAUUAUAUAAAAACUGCCGAUUAGUAAGGAUUUACACAUUGAAUGAUAUAUUUCCCUCUACUUUUUUGUAUGGUUGCCAGUAUAGAAAGUAAAGUUUAUGUAAGUAUCUCAGUUGGCUAAAUUCUCAUCAUGAAAGCACAAGGUCAUCAUAAUGUUUCGUGUGUUACUUGACUUUCACUGUUAUAAUGACUAAAAUGCUUAGUAGCCUGCAACAACUAAUUUCAUAUAUGUAUAUAUGUAGGCUAACCUCUUGCUGUGGAAGGUUAUAAAAGUGAAAAAAAAUUAGGGUUAUAAAUUAUCAAAAGCCACAUAACUUUAUUAGUCAAUAAUUGUAUAUUUUUGAAUAUUUUAGGACCGAUUUGUGAUAAUUGCAAUAUUUGAAAAAUAAAUAUUAAAUGUAAAAUACUCCAAACAGACCCAAGCAUUUGAAAGAAAGGGGGGAAACUUCAAUAGGAACAAGAGAGACGCAAAAUAAUGUUAGCGGUGACUUGGGAUCGUUCCCCAUAUUAAUUUUAUCUCGUAAAGAGUAGCAAUACUCAAGAAAAUAAAUUGGUUUAAAAUGUUAAAAAAGAAGGCAAAAGUUUAAUUUACUUAGAAGUUUUGAUUUACAAUUCCAAUUCAAGUUACGUCUAAGGUAACAAUUACAAUUGACAUUAUAAUUUAACAAUUUGCUUAAUUACAAUGUUACUUAUGUAUUUUAAAUAUGAUUUCAUUGAUUCGCACAAGGAGUGACUUUAGGACUAGUACUUGAUCAAUGUUUGUCCAUUAAUGGUGGAGCUAAAGGAUGCGGAAACUUACCCAUUGGUGAUGAUGAUUGGUCAAAGUUAAGAAACAAGAAACCCAUUUCUAUUACCAUAUUCAACUUUUAAUUAAAAGUAUUGGGGGACACUGAAAGGAGAUAUCACCCAUGAUAGUAGUAAUAAUUUAUUUGCUUAUUUUGCUAGACUCACAAUGGGUUGAAAAUGAGUCUGGUGCAGACCCACGUAGGCUCACGUGGAAUUGGUGAUACUUUUUUCAUAUCAUUUCAACUGGCUUAAAAAUUUCAAGUGUCGCACCAAAAUUUUGAUAAUGGGUUUCAGAUACAUACUGCCACCUCUGGAUGAAACUACAUGUCACGUGGGUUUUGAUCCAUCCUCGUCCUUUUGUUCUCUUUAUUAAUUACAUUUGCUAUAGCGAAGAAUGACAAACUACAUAAAGUACCUAUUAUACAUGAGCGAUGAUUUAAAUCCAAUCAUUUUAAUAAUUGCGUUUUGAUCGAAGGUGUUAUAUACGAUUCGGAUUCUAAUCGUCACUCCAUGUUGAUUCACAAAAGUGCCCACAUACAAAUAUUGAUGAAAAUAUUAAUAUUAUGAACAAGAUUAAGGGAUAAUAUUAGGAAAAAUCUUAAACUGAUACACAUGCGACAAAUUUACUUCACAUUAAUUUUUUUUAUCACAAAAAACCCCCAAACUGAUACAAUUAUGAUAAAUUUAUUCUAAACUAAUUUUUUAACAAUGAAAAAUCUCAAACUAGUACACAUGUGAUAAAUUUACUCAAAACUAAUUUUUUUACCGUCAAAAACCAUAAAUUGAUACAUUUCUGACAAAUAUACCCCCGUUAAAUUAUAUAUAUAUAUUUUUGGUAAAGGGUAAGAACCCCGUUAAAUUAUAUUAAUACCAAAAAAAAAAAAUUACAAAACCGAUACACUAUGACAAAUAGAGAGUAAAAUCUCAAAUUGGUACACUCGUCAAUUACCACAUGUCAUCUAAAUCAGCAAUCUAAUUGAAAAUUUUAACGAAAACUAACAGAUAGUAAAUUUCUCAUAAAUUUAUUAGUUUAGAGUAUUUUAUAGUCAAAAAAUUAGUUUUUUGUAAAUUUAUUAUAAGUGUACCAAUUUAAGAUUUUUUGUAGUAAAAAAAAUUAGUUUGUGAUUAAUUUAUCAUGUAUACCGGAUUAAAGAUGAUAUUUGUCAAGUGCAUGGUUGGUGCGGCCUCUCCUUAUCAAGUGGGCGCCACCUAUUUUGCUAUUUGUUGCUCUUUCUUAAUUACAUUUUGUUAUAUCAAUCUGACAGGGUAUAAAGUAUUCAUAUAAUUUUAGUCAAAUCAUUUUGUUACUUUAGAAGUUGGUAAUCAUUCGUAUUUUAUUUUUUUAAUCCACUUCGAUGAGCGUGCAAUUCAAAUAAUGCAAAGAAAUCAAUUUACUCCACAAUUGUGACGUGACGGACAACUACCGUAAUUAAGUUAUAUAUUGAUGUUUAGUUAUGGCCUCAACUAAGAUUAGAUUUUUCUAAGAUCUAAAGUCUGUUGUCCACGUGACUAGUGGAUCAUGCAUAGUCUUGCGAGUUGGGUUUUCCUUCCCAGUAAAAAACUACUUCACAAAAUGAUAUAUGAACUCAUAUUUAUUAUUGAUAUAACAAGGAAUGACUCUUGCGGCUUCUCAUGUAUUUUUAAAUAUCAAUUUUAUAAAAUGAACCAUGUAUCCCUGGGUCAGUCUACAUCCAAUAUCAUCAAUCAUGUUAGAAUUAUCAUCCACAGAUUGUAUCGUUGUUUAACUCAUAAAUGGAUUCCAACCUGAGUAUUGAACUAUCUUCAACCAAAAGAUAUAUCUUUUAUUUUUAUGAAAGGGGUUCAGUGGCGAUUUUAAACAUGAGUUGCAAUUGGCAUGAUAAUGAAGAUGAACAACGAAUUUAAAGGUAAAAGGUGAUAGUAAAUGUUGGAAAUUAACAUGACAUUAAAACUUAUAAAAGUACAUCAAAAAAUAUUAGUAAUCAUGAUGAUCCUUGCAAUAAUUAUAUGUUGCCAUUUUAUACUCCGCCAAUCAUAAUCGCUUAUUAAGACUUAACCAUACUAGAUGCAGUUGUAACUACAUUCCCGAGAUUUUAGGACUCCUAUCUGCACAUCAUCCUAUCCACAAGCUGUUACAACUCUUUAAGUGUCACUAGGUUAACCGUUGCUUGGUGCCCUUAUCUUUAGUCGACAUUUUCACCAUCUCCUUUCUUCUUAGUUGAUAAUUGUCGACCAAUCAUCGUGGUACAUCGACAAUGGUAUCUCUCAAUCGUCUAUAAUUACUGUCCAUUGUCAUUGAUAUGCGCUUCUAUUGUCCUUAACUUACCAAAAACCAUAUCAAUUGUUACAAACUCUAUACCCACUUAUAUCAACAUUACGUCGUUCACAAAAAACUUUAUCAUUUUUUGGUGUAAACAAUUAUACAUAUGGCUAAAGAAAAUCUAAUUAAGCGACUAUCAUGUGAUUUAAAUACAAUCUUUAUUCUAACAAUUAUGGUACAACAUAUUACAUAAAAUGUACAACCAAUCAUAUGGGAUUUACACAUUGAAUGAUAUGUUCCUGGCUACUUAUUUGUGUGGUUGCCAAUUUAGAAAGUUAACUUUACAUGAGUAUAUCCAUUGGCUAAAUUCUCAAAGUGAAAGCACAAGGUGAUGGACUCAAUUUUGUAUUGCAUGCUACUCAACUUUCACUACUAUAAUGACUAAAAUGCUUAGUAUCCUACAACAACUAAGUUCAUUUACAUAUUUACAUAAGCCAAACUCUCGUCAUGGAAGGUUAUAGACCUGUCAUGCAUCGCAUGUUGUGAUGCAACUUGACUUAUGCACCAUAUUUAUAGUGUCAUUAAUAAUUAUGCAUUUAGUCAUAUUUACUUAUGAUAAAUACAUACCUGCGUAAUAUAACCCUCUAAAAAUUUAUAAUUUUCAUUCUAUAGAAAAUUUGUAACAAGGGAUAGUUUUUUCUCUUAUUGAUUUGCUAUCAGUUGUUUCUUUUAAUUUUUAAUAUUUAUUGCAAAGCAUGUACUGUAAUUUCGUUUUUAUGAUGAUAGAUAAUUUUUUGAAUUCUCUAAUAUCAUAUAUUUGUCAAACAUAGACAAUCAUGGAAUAAAAGAUGUUUCUACAUUAAGCAUCUUAUUUAUCACAUACAUGAUAAAUAUUUAUAUUGUCGAUUUGUUAUAUAUAUUGGCUAUCCCAUCACGUAAUUUUUCUAAAAGUUUGUCAAUGAUAUACCUGAAGAAGGGUGCCCAACGUCGAACGAGCGAUCAAAAAAGAUUCCGAAGCAUCUUCAUAGCACGACCCAGCAAUCAUGUUCUUUGGGGGUCCUCAGGGUAUAAAGCCGAUUUCCUUCCUUUUGGUCCGUCUGUAAAAGGCAACCAUACAUUUAUUUAAUUAUAAAAUUCGAAAGUUAUUGUACACUUAGUUAUAUCUUACUUUUGAAAUAUCUAAAGUCAUGUAGUGAAUCCUAUAUAUAUAAAGUGGGUAUCCAUGCAUUAUUGAACUCCUUUGAGAGCUUGUCAAAAUUUGUAAAUCAAAAUAUUAAUGGGGAUAUGUUAAAGUGGUCUUCAAAACCAAUUUGCUAAAGUGCAAAAUAGAUUGAUAUUCAAAUAAACAACAUAUGUUUAGGAAUUUGGGAUUUGUUAAAGUGACUAUCGAUAUCAAAUUAUUGAAUAAAGCUUACACGUGAUUGUGCUGGCUCAACCCUUAAGAGAGUUUUACCAUAUAUGUAUAUAUAUUGCUUUCCUAGGUAAAUCAAUUUAUUAAAAUGACUCAAUUUGUCUACCAUUUAAAUACAAUGAGGAAAAAAAAUUAAUUUAUCCAGGUCAAUCACAUGUUUUGAACAUUAUGAGUCUCACCUAUGACCGAAAUAAUUUAUAGUGAGAUUUGGUAAGUCCAAGCAAGAACUUGCAUGGUAAAAGAUUUACCAUCCUUUAGGAAAGAGAUAUUAUCAGGUAGAGAGUAUCAUUGUACUGCAUAUUAGUCGGAAAAAAAGUUGUUUUCCGGGGCAUUUUUCCUGACAUUAAAAGCUUACCGAAUUACCAUCGGACAGUCCUCCCAAAAAAAAAAAAACCAUUAGGACUUAUUCUGAGAAAGAAUAUAGAUGCCGUUUUCAUGUAUUUUCUGAAGUACUCUGGAAUUUCCGGGGGACCACUUGUGCUUCUCUGCCUUGGCCAUAUGGUCCACAUUAAAAAUUGAGUUGAUGGCAGACUGUAAAGUCACGUGGGUGUGGCCAGUCCUUGUCCAUUCAUUUUCUUUAUUCAUUACCUUUUAUUAUAUCAGUGCUGACACGCUGUUUAAGUCGACUCAUUUGUUUACUGCUACUUGAACAGCUGAUGAUCAUCUCUUUCUUUCUCGGUUCAUCGCUAUUCGACGCUCCCCUUCCUUCGUCCUUCUUUCGCGCUCGAAUCUCUUCGCCUCGUUCUUCUCUUGCUCUGUUUCACUCUUUCUUCUCCUCAGCACAAUCAUUCUUCCUAUUCCUCCUCUUCUUCAGUAUCUUCUCCUUCUUUUCAUCAUUCUCUCUCUGUGUCUCUCUUUCUUUCUUGGAAAAAAAAAAAUCAAAGAAAAAAUGUCGGUCGAUUCUGUCGUUGCUAUUGCGUAUGAUGUCUUCAAGAGCUAUGUAGUUGAUCCCGUCAAGCGUCGAUUCAGAUACGUGAUCUCCUCCAAGAGCUUCGCCGACGAUCUUCGGGAGGAAGUCCGGAGCCUGGAGAAGGAGGCUCAGAGGGUCCGUAUUUUGGCAGAAGUGGCCCGAAACAACCUUCGGAAUUUCUAUGAUUACUUUGCAGAGUGGCAGCAAAGUGCUGACAAGGCCUUGCAGGAGGCGGGAGACCUGUUGGGCGACAUGGGUGAGGCGAGGAAGACUUGCUGCUACGGGACUCUUCCCGACGCCAAAUGUCGCUAUCAGUUCAGCAGGAAGGCCGAGGGCAAGAUCGAGGUCAUUAAGCGACUCGCUCGAAAAUGCAGAGAAUUCAAGGAAUUGAACGACAUCUCCUUCAGCGAUCCUGCUCCGGGAAAUGUCACUGCUUUGAAUCCAUCCAGGAGAGAAGGCAAAGAUGUCGUCCAGUCGACCACCGCAACGGCCUCCGCUUCUCCUGUCUCAACGUCAAAUGAGCUUAGUAAGGAUUGCGUCUUCGAAUCCAGAACUGCGAUCAUAGGGGACAUAAUGGGCGCUCUUGCCGAUAACAGCAAUAGUGUGGUCGGGGUUUACGGGAUGGGUGGGGUCGGCAAGUCCACCCUUUUGGACGAUGUGGUAAGCAGAAUAAGAGAAGAGAAGCGGUUCGAUCUGGUCGCCAAGGCCGACGUGUCACAAAAUCCUGACAUCAAGAGAAUUCAAGGUGUGAUUGCCCAUGUGUUGGGCCUGGACAUGAAGGAUUAUGAGUAUGAGAGCUUGCGAGCGGAUCGUCUGCGCGAGAGGUUGGGAAAUGAGGAAAAGAAGGUCCUCAUAAUACUGGACAACCUAUGGAAAGGGCUUGACUUGAAAUCUGUUGGAAUUCCUUGCGGGCAUGACAACAAAGUCAUGGGAUGCAAGUUGUUAUUGACGUCGAGAGACCGAAAUGUUUUGCAAAGGGAAAUGGGCUGUGACAAGGACUUCUUUCUUGAUAGGCUGGAGGAGAAAGAGGCAAAAAUAUUGUUUGAGAGGAUGGUGGGAGAUAAAGUUCAUGAUGAUGAGUUCAGAUCCAUGGUGAAUGAAGCACUCCGCAAAUGUGCAGGUUUGCCUUUGUUAAUUGUCACAAUGGCGAAACAUUUGAAAUACGGUCGUUUGCCUGAAUGGAGGAAUGCUUUAAAUCAAAUUGAGCGGUGUUCAAACAAAGGGUUAAGUGCAGUGAUCAAUACGAUGUUGCAAUUAAGUUAUGAUCAUUUAGAAAGCGAGGAAAUGAAAAAUUUGUUACAACUCUGUGUUGCUUGUGGCGUCUCUAAUCCCUCCGUUGAAGACUUGGUGAGGUAUGGCUAUGGUUUAGGGAUAUUUCAAAAAGAUAUCAGCAUAAAAGAAGCUAGAGAUGAAGUGAGUACACUCAUCCACACUCUUCAAGCCUCCUCCCUUCUGUUGGACAAUGGAGAUGACAAUGCUUUCAAGAUACAUGACUUGGUUCGUGACUUUGUUGCUCAGUUCAUUUUAAAAGAUCGCCCUCUUCUCAUGUUGAAAGAUAAAGAUGUGUCGGCAACACAAUUGCAGAAUGAGAGGCUCAAAAGUUGUUCAGCGAUAUGCUUUCCCUAUAUUGAUAUGAAGGAGCUUCCCAAAGAAUUAGAUUGUCCCGAAUUGCGCAUCUUUUUGCUUUUUAACAACAAUAUAUCUCUUGAAGUUCCAGAUUCGUAUUUCAACUCUAUGAAGAAACUUGUGGUUCUAAAUCUAACUGGCGUACGUCUCACUCGUUCAUCGACGCCAUUUCAGUUCUUGGAGAACUUAUGUACUCUGUGUCUUCAAUUUUGUUCACUAGAGGAUGUGACCAUUCUGGGCAAGCUAAAAAGGUUACAAGUUCUUAGUUGUGCAAAUUCCAACUUUCAACAAUUGCCGGAAGAAAUUGGGCAACUAACAGAGUUGAGGAUGUUGGAUUUGAACCAUUGUCCACAUCUUCAGAUAAUUGAACCAGGUGUUCUUGGAAGAUUGAUCAAAUUGGAGGAGUUGUAUAUGGAGAAUAGCUUUAAUAAAUGGAAUUUCGUGGAGCAAACUCAACGAACUAAUGCCAGUCUGAUUGAGUUGAAUCACUUGAAGAAUCUUUGCACUCUACAUGUCUCCAUUCCCGAUCCGAGUGUGCUCCCAGAGGACCUAGAUGUCAAGAAAUUAACCAAGUACAAAAUCCGAAUAGGUAAUGUAACACACUGGAGCAAGGACCAAGGAUUGAGGAUUUUGUACCUCAAGUUGGAUCCAAUAAGUGAUGUUCUUCGAAAAGGAUGUAUACAAAGUCUUCUAAGCAAAACAGACGAUCUGUUUUUGGCCGAGUUGAACGGAAGCAAGCAAAAUAUUUGCGCAUUAUCUCAAGAAGGCUUUCCAAAAUUAAAGCAUCUACAGGUCAAGGAUAGUCUUUCCAUCCAUCACAUCCUCCAAUGGCGUUCCCUUAGUGCUUUUGAGAUGUUGGAGUCAUUACUUCUCAUAAAGCUUAUCAACUUGACGAAGAUAUGGCCCAACCAUAUCUCCUCCGCCAAGUCCUUCAGUAAAUUAAAAGUAAUUCGAGUCCAAAGUUGUGACAAGAUGGAAGUUUUGUUUCCUCUUUCAUUACUGAGAGGACUUACAAAUCUGGAAGAGAUUGAAGUUGUCUCUUGCAAGUUAUUGCGUGGGAUUGUAGAUGCUGAUGAUUGUGGCAAAGUGGAAUUGCAAAAUUUGCAUGUAAUAAAAUUGCACCACUUACCAAAUAUCAAGAAUUUUUUCACUGCCGGGACAGUUCCUUCAAAUAGCACAUCAGAGGACCAAGUUGGCACUCAAAUUGCAUUCUUCAAUGGGCAACAGGUAACUCUCUGUCAAAAGAGUAUAAUAUUUAUUCUUUUUCCUACCUUUGCUAAUUAGAUGCAACACAUAUUAUGUUGCUUAAUAAUUUUGUUAUUUUUAGUUCAUAUUUUUUCCUAAUAAUCUUAUCCAUUCAUGCCUUCUCUGCAAUUCUCUUUAUUGCAUAGAAAUCCAACUAAUUGUAUGAAAUCCAUGUACAUUUAAUUUGUGAUAGGCUUUGAGUUAUUUUCAAUUUAAAUGCUGCAAGUAUAUCUAUAUUAAUACGGUUUCAUAAAGCAAAAUUGAAGGGAAUUUCGUCACUAAAGUAAUACCACAAGUAAUUUUAAAUAUUUUGAAAUAGAUUCUAUUGAAUUUACUUAUCAUAAGAUAGCUGACUCUCCAAAAAAGCGAUACGAAAAAUGCGAAGGAGGACCGGGUUUUUUAAAUAAAAGCAACUAUAAUAAUCUAAUUGAUGCAUUAUAAGAGUAUGGAGUUUUGUGCAUGUCCAUGCAUGCAUAUUGUAUACAUAGAUAUCUUUGUACGUAUUUUUGAUAUCACAAAAGCAAAUCCACAAUUUGUGUUUAAUAUCCUAUUAAAUUGGUUAUUUAUAGUGAUUUGUUAAAGGUAAAGAGAAGUUAGCAAAAUAAGGAUGAUCAAUUGCCCAAUUAAGAAAAGCACAUGGCUAUUUUACAUGGGGAAGAAUUGCUGCGAAUAGUACCUUUUAGUUGACUAGAUAAGAUUGCCCUUUUAUAGUGGCGCAAUAUUGCUGAAGUUGAUCAUGAGGCCUUAGACACACAAUAGAUUAGCUUUCCCGUUCAUAAAGUCUUGGAAAUUUAAGUUGUAGGUCCCACGUGUUGGUGUGUGACUUAUCUUCUUCCCCUGCUUUGAGCUAUCAUGGAGAGAGCGCUCUCAAAGAUAAUGGAACUACAUUGGAGAAAUUUUACAAAGAGCCUUUAUGGCUUUGCUUUUUUCUUUUUACAUCGUAAUCUUGUAUAAUAGAUCCUUUUGGUAUCAUCUCUACACCAAAUUUAAAGAAGAUGAUAAAUUAUUCAAGUUCAACAAGGGGGAGCAAUUGUAGAAUUGAUAAAGUAGCUCAUCACAACAACAACAAUUAAUGGCAUUCAAUUGAAAUUGAGGGCGAAUAUUUGUAGUAUAUUAAAUUCUAGACUAGCAAGUGGAAACGUAGUUAAUAGUUUAACUAGCUUUAUUGACAACAUUUUAUAGGAGAUCUUUUUGCUAUAAUAUCUACAUGAAGUUCAUAGAAAAUGACAAAUCAUGCAAGUUCAAAAAGGGCAGUAAUUACAGAUGAAAAAUUCCUUUGUUAUUUUUUUUUUAUCAAUGGAAAUGAUGUUACUAUGCUGUAGAUAUAUUUUAUGGUCCUAUCUCGACUUCUACGGAUAGAAUUUACUAUGAUGAAAGAGAAACAAUAAACUAAGGAUAAAUAAUUGCCCAAUUAAAGAGAGCUAACGGCUAUAUUUUAUUUGGGGAAAACUACUGUAAAUAAAAAGUUUUAUUUGACUAGACAAUAUUACUCUUUCACAGUGGUGCGGGCCCAAGGCUCAUGCCAUACGUUAGUUUCCCUGUUUAUACUUAAUAGAGAGCGAUGGAGACCUAAUUGGUGGGUCCCACAAGGUUAUGAUGUCAGAGUGUGACUUCUUUCAACCCAUGCUUUGAGCUCCCACGGCGAGAGCUUGCUUUAAAAAAUAAUGGAGCUAUUACCCUUUGCCUUUUUUUUUUUUUUUUUUUUUUUUGCUGUAGUUUUUGGGGCUUUUAUCUUUCUAGGAUUCUAAUUCUCAUAAAAGAGUUACUCUUGCCUUAGUACUUCUUUUUAUUUUUAUUUUUUGUGUAAAACCGACAUAUGCAAAGAUCUAUGGGGUUAUAAUGAAAUUGCUUCUUAAACCUAUAAUAAAUCUCCUCCGAUAUUAUAAAGCACUGGCAGCCUCCACAAGUAGUAAUCUAGGGUUAGCUUGUCGGGGAUGAGAAUAGUCUAAUGAACGAAAUACAAAAAAGUUAAAAAGCUGUUGUAUGGGUUGGAGCCAGGCUGACGGCGAGAUAAAUGGGAGACUGUGAGCAACUUGGCAGAAGAUGGAUUCUCUAGAGUCAUAUAGCAAUGAACUUUUGGGGGAAAAAGAACAAAAAGAAAAUAAAGCUUUCCAUCAUCAUUAGGGACAGCUGGAUCCCUCACCUCUAAUGUUAUGGUUUCUGACAUGUUGACUGUGGAUUUAGACUCACCGCAAGGAAAUUAUGACAACAAGUAUGAUUAAUUAAGAUAGGCUACAUAUGCCUCUGAAUUUAAAGGGACACUCGAGAUGAUUUAUGAAGGAUAGGGAAAAAGAAGUCCAGUACUCAGUUAUUGUAAUAUCACAACUGCUGAAAUGUCCAAUUUCAGGUUAUUUUGUGGGGAAAUUAGUCCCAUUUUGCCUGAUAAAUUCGGAGAAAUUGAAGACAUCUAAGAAGGAAAAGAAAAAGAAAUGCCCGUCUUGUAGGAUUAUAAAUGAAUGGCAGAAAAAAAGAGUUCUCCUGACCUAAAUGAAUGAGGAAUGAUGUCAUGUUCGGCUAUCAACUCUCUAUGCCCAUAAGUCUUUUUCAUAUGCCACCGUUUGCCCAAUGUUUAUUUUUUGAGUUAGGCUCCUAACAAGAUGAUAUAUAGAUAUAGAAGGCUCAAUCUCGCCGGGACUCAUGGGACAUGAGUUGUAUACAUCUCCAUCUAAUCGAUAUAAUUUGACAAUUAGAUAAAUACUUCUUGUAUCAACAGAUUUGCAUUAGUAAUCAGAACGAGUGCUAAUUUUUUAUCAUUGCGAUUCCUGAUUUUGCUAGUAAAAUGCAAACAAAAUCUAAUCGUGACAGGAUCCUUGUUAUAUCGUAAAUAAAAGGUAAAGUUGAUUAGUUGUCUUUUGAGGUUGUAAAUUAGCUUUUGUUUAUCAUAGAUUUCCGUACAUGCAAAACUAUCCUAAAGGUUGUACAUUAUCUUUUUUGUAAAUUUCUUUCGCCAAUUGAAUUAAUAUACUAUAAAUAAUUGCCCUCAAUUUCAAUUGAAUGCCAUUAAUUGUAUUGUGAUGAGUUAAUGGCAUUCAAUUGAAAUUGAGGGCAAUUAUUUAUAGUAUAUUAAAUUCUAGACCAAUAGGCAGAAAUGUAGUUAAUUGUUUAACUAGCUUUAGCAAUAACAUUUAAUAGGAGAUCCUUUUGGUAUAAUCUUUACAAUAACCUUAAAGAAGAUAAAAAAUCAUUCAAGUUAAAAAAGGGGAGCAAUUACAUGUGAAAAAUGCUUUAUUAUUUGUUAUUAUCAAUGAAAGUGAUGUUAUGCCGUCAUAGAUAAAUUAUAUGGCCUUUAUCUGCACUUCUACGAGACUAAUCCCAUAUGCAACAUCAGUCAUUGAAUUUAAAACAAAAAACUUUCCACUUGUUAAAUUGAUCAUUGAUAGUAAGUUACUAACAUGAAAGAGAAUUAGUAAACUAAGGAUAAACAAUGCUCCUAAUUAGGGAAAGCUCACGGCUGUAUUUUAUAUGGGGGAAAACUGCUGCAAGUAGAGGGUUUUAUUUGGCUAGACAAGAUUGCUCUUUUACAGUGGCGCGAGCCCAAGGCUCAUGUUAUACGUUAGUUUCUCCGUUAAUAAAGAGCGGUAAUAAAGAGCGGUGGAGAUAUGAGUAGUGGGUCGCACGAGUUUGUGAUAUCAGAGUGUGACUUUUCUUCAACCCAUGUCCUGAGCUCCUGUGGAGAGAACUGGCUUUCAAAUAAUAAUGGAACUAGAUGGGGAAGCCUUUGUGGCUUUGCUUUUUCUUUUUCUUUUUUUCUUGUUUUUGGUAGUCUUUGGGGCUUUUAACUUUCUAGGAUUCUAAAUCUUUAUGAAAGAGUUACUCCUGCUUUAGUACUUCUUAAUAUUUUUAUUUUUUCUAUAAAACCUACAUAUGCUAAGAUCUAUGGGUUUAUAAAAUGCUUCUUAAACCUAUAAUAAAUCUCCUCCGACAUUAUAAAGCAGUGGCAGCCUAUAAAAGUAGUAGUCUAAGGUUGGUUUGUCAGAGAUGACAAUAGUCUAAUGAACGAAACACAAAAAAGUUCAAAAAAACUUGUUGUAUGGGUGGGAGCGAGGGCGAUGGCAAUAUAAAUUGGAGAUUGCGAGCAACUUGGCAGAUGAAGGAUUUUCUAGAGUUAUAUAGCAAUUGGACAUUUGGGGGAAAAAAAGAAGAAGAAAAAAAAAAUAAAGCUUUCCAUUGUCAUCAGGGACAGCCGGAUCCCUUCACCUCAAAUGUUAUGGUUUCAGACAUUUUGACUGUGGAUUUGGACUCACCUUAAGGAAAUUAUGGCAACAAGGAUAAUUAAUUAGGAUAGGUUACAUAUGCCUCUGAAUUUAAAGGGACAAUUGAGAUCAUUUAUGAAAAAUAAGGAAAAAGAAGUCCAGUACUCAGUUAUUGCAAUAUCACAACUGCUGACAUGUCCAAUUUCAGGUUAUUUUGCGGGGAAAUUAAUCGCGUUUUGCCUAAUAAAUUUGAAGAAAUUGAAGACAUCUAAGAAGGAAAAGACAAAGAAAUGCCCGUCUUGUAGGAUUAUAUCAAGAAGCAGACAAUUUUAGUGUGCGAUAAGUCCUCUAGACCUUAUGACCCAAAAAAAAAAAAGUCCUCCUGACCUAGAUGGAUGAGGAAUUAUGUCAUGUUCGGCUAUCAACUCUCUCUGGCCAUAAGUCUUUUUCAUAUACCAUCAUUUGCCCAAGGUUUAUUUUUAAGUUGGGCUCGUAACAAGAUGAUAUAUAGAUAUAGAAGGCCCAAUCUCGCCUUGACUAAUGCAACAUGAGCUGUAUAUAUCUCCAUCUAAUCGAUAUAAUUUGCCAAUUAGAUAGAUAUUUCAUGCAUUAAUUGAUUGUCAUUUUUAAACGGAACAAGUGCUAAUUCUUGAUGGUUGCAAUUCCUGAUAUUGCUAGUAAAAUGCAAACAAAAUCUAAUCGUAGUAGCAUCCCUUGUUAUAUUGUAAAUAAAAGAUAAAGUUCAUUUGUUCUCUUUUGGGGUCGUAAAAUUCUUUUUUGGAUUGGAAAUUAGCCUUCGUUUGUUAUAGAUUUCCGUACAUGCAAAAAUUAUACUAAAGGUUGUACAUAUCUUGCUUGUGAAUUUCCUUUGACAACCAUUUAUAAUACUUGUUAUACUGUGUAAAUUUCCGACUGUCCUUUAUAUGUGUAAAUGCUAAUGUUGAUGGGUUUGUUCGUUAGAUUUCAAUCCCAUCCUUGGAGUCCUUGACAAUGGGAGGACUUCCCAAUAUAAAAGAAAUAUGGAGUGAUCAAUCUCUAUUGGGGCUAAGCAAUCUUCGAUCUCUUAAGGUGGUGCAGUGCAAAUCUAUGUCAAAGGUUAUUAGCUUUGAGUCGCUGGUAAAACUACACGAAUUAAACAAUUUAAGCAUAUCAAAUUGCCAUUCGGUGCAAGAAAUUUUCGAUCUUGACAGACCAAGCACAAGUGGAGAUGUUGAGACUCUGUCUGAGUUGACCACCUUUGAUUUAAGGGGACUAGGGAGCUUGAGACGCAUAUGGAACAAGAAUCCUUGUGGAAUAGUGAGUUUCCAUAAUUUAAAGAAGUUGGAGGUGCAUGACUGUCCCAACCUUAGGUUUAUGUUUUUCCCAACCAUGGUUAAAUCUCUCGAACUCUUGAGAGAUCUAACAGUAAAACGUUGCAAGAAAAUGGAGGCAAUCAUUAUGGAGGAAGAAGGGUCGGGAUUGGAAACAUCAAAAACUCUGGCAUUCCCGAUGUUGACCAACUUAAACUUACAACGUUUGGAAAGUUUGAUGUGCUUCUCUUGUGGAAAGUGUAAGAUUGAUUUAUUUUGUUCUCCUCACUAAAGAUCUUCUUGUACAUAGAUUCAUCCUUGCAAUGCAAAUGGUGACAUUCUUUUCAUCCAAUGAAAAACCGACGACAGAUUCACGAGAAGCUCGAAGUCAGGACUGCAUCAAAUCAAGCUCCAAUGCACUCUUCGGUCGACAGGUACAUGAUUAACGUUAUGUCAAAAUAUCAAAUAUUACAGAAGUAUCAAAUAUGCAUGAGACAAAGCAUAGCGAAAAUAUUUUAAAAGAAAAUGAGUAGCAUGCAAGCAUUAAGUGUUCAGAGUUGCCAACAUGUAUGAGUUGCAAUGUCUUACCUUUAAUUUCUCUGGAAAUAGUUUUCAUAAAGAUGGUUGAACAUCUCUUAUGUUACCUGCACAAAGCAUGAAUGGUAGUACAAUUGCCAAGCAGGAUCCUUAAAAGCUUUCUAAUAUUCACAAGAAACUUAGAACACUCAUGAGCCUCACAUGUACAGCCUAGACAUUGCACGCACGUACAUUGAAAAAGAUUGAAAAAACAAUUGAGAGGAAAGUGAGCAGUGAGGUUCAAGAGGCUGGAGACGAAGGGCCUUUGAGACGCUCACUUUACUUCAUAUGCACUCACAAGAUCUCUCUCUGUCUUCUUUUUCUUAGUCGAAUGAAGCUUUAUUCUCUCUUCAUUGUACCAGCAAAAGGAACUUGAGCUCUCCGCCGCCAAACUGAGCAAGGCCUCUGGGGUCCAGGGCUUCAGAAAUCACCCCUUUUUAGUUUUUACAUGAAUUGCAAGACCAUUCUUGUUAAAGAAAUAAAUUACAUUCCGCAAAUCAGCCAUUUCAGCUUAGCUAUUUGACUUGUCGAGUGAAUAUUGGAAGAACAUUUGAGUGGAAAAUGAAAUAGAGUAAUUUAUGGGCGGAUCCGCUUUGACUAAACUAAAAGUAAUAUAGGACGUUUACCCAAAAUGUUGUUUAUGCCGCCGAAGAGGCUUCGAAAAUGGGCCCUCCCCCAAGAUUAACAUGUCGACUUUCUUAAAUAAUUUUAAUUUUCUAUAGACAGGAAAAUCUUCAAUUAUUUGACUCGAGUUUUUGUAUAAUCUGUCGUUGGUAUCUAACUAUUGGAUCCUCUAGCAUGGAUAAAAGAUCACUGAAUUUUAAAAGGAAAAUUAAAUCGAUUAAGUAUAAUGAGUUCUUUCAAGUGGGGAAUGGUGUAAGUAAGAUUUGUUCAUUUGACCCAAACAAUUCCUUUUUCAAUUCCUUUUUCAAUUCCUUUUUCUUAGCCUCACUUUAUAAUUGCUUUAGAGUAAUAUAAUAUUGAUUUGAGGCAUUCAGUAUUAGAUAAAAUCACACCUCCUACUGUAUUCCACCUUUCGAUGGAUGAUUGGUUGGCUCUUUAAAAUCAAUCUCUCCAUCAUUUUCUUUCUAAUUGCUAAUAUUCUUCCUCAAGCGAUCCUUAGCUGCAUUUUUCUUUUACCACAUCAAUUUAGUGACUUACAAGUUCUAACGUUAAUGACCCUUUUAACGUGAUUCUUGUUUCUUUAAAUAGAAUUUUCCUCCUCUCUAAGUGAUUUAACUAUUGCUACGUAUACUAGCUAAUUCAUUAUAUUAGGGAAGUAAUUAAAUUGAAGAGAGGAAGAGAUUUUAUCUAACUUUGGGAUCUGCGGGAGACGUGAUUGUAUGAUUAUUAUAUGAGCAUAUCCAAAUUACUAUUUUGUCCAUUGUCAAUAGAAUUUGGCUAGACCAGAAUUCUUAAUUUUUUUUUUUAAUUUUUCUCCGGUAAUUCCAAUGGCCUUCUCAUCCUAGAGUCAUCAAUAUUAGUACGGAGAUUUUUUUACUAACUUUUUUUUUAUCCUUUUUGUCCUUUUGUGCAACUUAAGAUAGAAUCAUCGAUUCUGUGAAUUCAUAAUUUAUAACUUGCUACUCAUCCAUAUUUACAUCUUGAAAAUUUAUGAAUUUGUAAUUUAAUUGAAUCACCAAUUUCAUGAGCAAAUACCUGCAGGUUGCUUUUCCUAGCUUGGAGACCUUACAUAUCAAUGACAUGGAUAACAUUGAGAUGAUAUGGGACAAUCAAGCUAUUGCAGAUUCUUUCCCCAAGCUAAAAUCACUUUUUGUGGAUAAAUGCAAUAAGUUUGUGACUGUUGUUCCUUCUUACAUUCUAGGACGACUCUUAUGCCUGGAAAGUUUAAUGGUAAAAGCAUGUGCUUCACUUGAAGUUGUUUUCCAACUUCAACCACCGAAUCCUCUAGAUGGACAUCAUGUUGCUCUUUUGUUAAAAAAGUUAAAGCUAUCAAAUUUACCAAUGCUAAAGUGUAUAUGGGAUAAGGAAAUACACCGUCAAGUUAAAUUUCAAUGUCUACGUUCUAUCAACGUUUCUGAAUGCAAGAGCCUCACCUCCCUAUUUCCAGCCUUAGUGGCUAGAGAUCUAAUCCAACUUGAGGAGUUGGAGAUCUAUGAGUGUGGCAUUGUGGAACUCAUUGAGAAGGAAGAAGGACCAGGUCCUAGGUUUGAUUUCCCCAAGCUAACCUCCCUUAAGCUUGAGCUUCUUAUAGAGUUGAAGUGCAUCUACACCAAAAGACAUGCUUUACAUUGGCCGGCAUUGAAGACCUUGGAGGUCCUUGGCUGUAACAAAGUGGAGAUACUUGUUUCACAACCUAACAAUGAGAUGCCACUUCAUAAGAACCCUCUCUUCUUCAUAGAAAAGGUACGAUGCUAGAUUAUUUGUUUUGCUUCAAUGGUGAAUAUUUGAACUAAUGAUUAAGCCAAGCAUCUCAUACAAGUAGCUUUUACAUACGAAAAUAUAAACUAUACAACUCUCCGUGAAUCCAUAGAAAUAUUACAACAUUGAAACAUCAUGUGUUCUUCAAGUAUUGAGUGAACAUUCUUGUCAAUGUCUGGCAUAACAAAUGCAUACUCGUUGAUCUCCUUAAAAAAAAAGAGAGGCUAAUUCCAAUUUUUUAGCUCUCUCUUAAGUGCCACAAAGAUCGGAAACACGUGGUAUGUGGUGUGAUCUUACCAUGGCACAAGUGUGUUGUCUAAUUUGAACCCUAUAAAAAGUGCUGAUCUUAUGCUAACAAUUAAAAAAGGGGACACUAUUGUUGACGUUCAAAACUGAAAUUAAUGCAAUUGUGACUGUAAUUGAUGCAAAAGUUAUUUUCACAGGGGAUAUAUCUUUAGAAAUGUGAAUUUAAGGAGUUAAUCAAGUUCAAAUAUGGAUACAAGUCAAAUAUAAAAUAUUAGCGAUAAUGUUUGUUUCCUGAAGGCACGUAUCUUUCCAUUGAAUCACAUGAGACUCAACAAUUUAAAAUGUAGUUAUUGUGCUCAAUAUGCAAGAUUUAUAUCAUAAUACAUGAAUACUCUUUUAGCUAAGCUGGCUUUAGGUUCUGAUUUGACUAUUUUCUCAGGGUGCAUUCCCUAGCCUCCAAGAGUUAAAAUUGGAUUUAUCCAAACGGAUGGAGAUAUGGCAUAGGCAUUUUCAUGAUGGAGAAUUCUUCAACAAGCUUAGAUUUCUUGAGCUCCGUCAUCUCUCCCAGGAGUCUUCAAUAUCCACAUCGUGUUUUGUUGAGAGUUUACCCAACUUGAAAGAGCUAGUUGUAUGUGAAUCUUAUCUAGAAGACCCAAGUAGCAUUAAAGAAGCCAUAGAAGGCAGAAGUCAUGAGCUAAAAGUGAUAUUACCAUUUUCAAGAUAUAUUCGACAUCUGAAAACUCUAGAUGUGUCACUUUGUGAUGGGUUAUCAAAUAUGUUCACAUGGACAAUAGCUGAAAAUUUGGUGGCACUCACCAAAUUGAAGAUAAGUAAUUGUAGAAUAUUGACAGAAGUCAUUAGUGAUGACGAAGGUGGGGAGGGGCAUGUAGUGGCUUUCAAUCAAUUGAAGUAUAUGGAGCUUGACAGGUUGGCUAGGUUGAGAUGUUUCAGCUCAGGUGGAUACACUUUGAUGUUCCCUCUCUUGGAAGAUAUCAUUGUGAAUAGAUGUCCCAAGAUGAAGUUCUUCUUCGAGGGACCAAUGGAGGCGCCAAAGCUGGAUAGAGUAGGAACAAUUUUGAAUGAAAGGUAUAGAGCAACAAAGUACCAAUAUUUUUGGAAGGGAAACCUCAACACGACCAUCCAAAAUAUGUUCCAAGAAAUGGUAUGCUUUAGUUACUAAAUUCUGUGCAAUUUGAUUUUUUUUUCAAUCACCAAUGAAGUACUUGUUUUUUUUCUUUUUUUUUGCUAACUAGAAUUUUACGUUUAAUGAUGCAUUUUCUAAUAGGCUACAUUUGCUGGGACUAAGUUUAUGAGGUUGUCUGAGUUCCCGGAGCUGAUUGGAAAAUGGCAGAGUGAACUCAAUCCCAUCACGUCAUCUUGGCAAUUAGAAUCAUUAGUGGUGGAUAAAUGUUCAUCAUUUAUUAACGCUAUUCCAUCCAGUUUGAUGCUUGUUUUAGAGAGAACGACAAGCUUGCAAGUGCGUGAUUGCGAGCCUUUGCAAGAAAUAUUCGAUCUUGAAGGGCUUGAGGCUGUGGAUUACACUCAGGUGUUGCCUCAAUUGGAGGAUCUGCACUUGGUCAAUCUACCAAAGUUAAGGCAACUGUGGAAUAGAGAUCUCCAAGGAACGACAUGCUUCAAUUGUCUACAGUAUCUUAGCCUUUAUAAAUGCAACAACUUGAGACAUGCUUUUGUUCCAUCAAUGGCUCGGUGCCUUCCCAAUCUAUGGGAGAUGGAAAUAAAGGAGUGUGAUCAAAUGGAAGGAGUGAUCGUAGACGAAGAUGGGCAGGGAAGCACGUUGGAGGAGAUUACAUUCCCAUAUCUUAUGUCGAUAUAUUUGGAAUACUUGCCUAAUUUGAGUAGUUUCCUCUCAUGGAAGAAUCAUAUGCUAGAAUGCCCUACUUUAUCAACGCUGAGCAUUGCCCAUUGCCCGAAGAUGAGAAGUCUAACUUGGCAAUCUUCGGUGGAGAUUAGCAAUGGCACCCCUUCGCUUUUCACUUCACAAGUCAGUCUCUCAAACAAAUGCAUUUAUGGCAUUUCAUUUGAAUAUAUUCAUUCGCGUAUAAUUGGACAAUGCAUGGUAUGCAAACAAAAGUGCUAGAUAUAAUUGUUUGUAAUAUCAAUCAUCAAUGCUUUGCUCAAAUUUGACUGGGACUCUGUUUCAUACCUAAACAAAGAUAACCAAAAUAUUUGCCUUCCCACAAUAAUCCAUGAUCACAUCCAUAAAGUAUUAAUGCAAAACAAUUCAGACAUUGAUAAUCAUGUGCAGUUUUAAAAUCAUUUAAUUAUACAUAUAUAUGUACAUAAUCUAUUAAUAUUUACUUAAAAGAUUAAAAUUUUUCUAAUCCUCAGCAAGUAUAACUAUUAAUUGUCCAUCUCCAUAUAUUUUUAGAAGUGUUAUUCUUGUGAGCUCAUAAAAUCAUAUUGUGUGCAGUACCUCAAAAUAUAUUACAUAGGAUUUUAAAAAUGUUAUGACAAUAGCCAUAUGAAAUCAUUUACUUUUUGUAAUUUCAACUAUAAAGAAUAUAACAGUAAACAUAGAAUAGCAUUUAAAAAUGGCAAAAAAAAAAAAAGAAGUAUUGCCCACUUCAUAUUUCUUGCAUGGAAGCAAACUGGCAUCAUUCUAUUAAACAUGAAGAAAAGAGGAAAAGAAAAUUUCAUAAUUAUAAAAGCUUAAUUCACAAAUUGCUUAGCUAUUACAACUCAUUGUACCAUAAUCAUCUUUCCAAUCAAUGAAAUUGGAGGAAUUAGAGAGAAUUUCUCCUUUAAUUGGAGUGCUUUAAACUUCGAUAAUGAUCAGUGCUGUCAACUUUUUAUAUCUUAAUAAUCACUAAUGCUUGAGCUGGGUCUUGAUAAUAAAAUAAAUAAAAAUAAAAAGGCCAAUAUGUCUGAAGUUUUUUUUUUUUUUUGUAAAUCAUAAUUGAAUCACUGUACUCCAACAACCUAUCAAAUUAUGUACCUAUAUUAUACAAUAAAUAUUAACUCUAGAUUAUCAUGUUGAGUGAUAAUUAGUGUGAUACUGCGUACAAUCUAUGUUUGGCUAGAGGAAAAUAUAGAUUGCUUUUUCCAAAAAAAGAAAUGGCAAUAAAAAGGAAAAAAAAAUAAAAGAGAGAAAAGGACAGCGGUUGCCGACAUUGCAAGUUUUAUUUCGUCACUAGAUGACAAAAUUUAGUCAAUGUCCUAGCUAAAAUAAAAAUUUAAAAAAUUAGAAUAAAUUAUCCAAUCAACAACACUACUGAAGAGAAAAUAUCAGGUGCAUUAAAUACACCAUGUAGGAUCCAUAUUAAAUCAUCUGCAAAUCGACAUGUGGUAAAGUCGGGCCCACCUAUCAGUUGAAUGAUCAAAAUAUUUGCUCCCCCUCCCUUCAAUAACGCCCUGUUAUUGGAAACCUCUCUUUCCUCUUUUCUGGUGUGGCUUUGCUCCCUCCUCUCUCUCUCUCUUUCCUUCCUCGGUGGCCUUGGCCUCCGUCUGUUGCAGUGCUGUUGCGAUGCGCUCACUAGACAAAGGAAGAAAUUAGACAAAGUCUAUUUGAUGAUUUCGCUUCUCCCCCUCUAAGAAAUGUUCGCUCUCAGUCAUUUCGUUUCACCUUUGAUCCUCCUCUUCGCGACGAGGGGAAAAAAGAAAGUGAACCAAAUCUACAGAGUCAAGUAAUAAUAACUCUUCUUCCUCCCCCUCCCCCUCAUCCUCUUACCUUCUGUUUUUUUGGGGCGAUUGAUUGGGCGGUCUGUCCAAUGGUUGAAUCGGAAGCUUCAGAAUCGCUUCUCUGAAGCUCGCCUCCUCUCUGUGUGCGUGCUUCCAUGGGUUCCGAGUGAUUGCGCGAACCGGAGCUUGUUGGUUAUGGUGGGUCGAAGUGGAUCUCCGAUACGGAAGCGAUUUCGGCAUCGAUUCGGUCGGGGCGUUGAUUCCCGGCGAAGAAAAAUUAAAAAAUCUUCUCUUCAGCCCUCUCUUCCUUCUCCUUCGUCCACAGCCGCCCGACCUCCGCCCCUCUUCCGCUGUCGCCAAUGGCGGAGUCACCGACGCCUUGAUUAGGCUGACCCCCGCUAUGUCCAAGCCGAGCAUGGUCGGCUUACCUCUGUUUUGUCCGUCUCAUAGUUCUACAGAUCUCGAAAUCUGGCUGUCCAUAGCGACGGAGUUGCAGAUCUGGAAGUCGACCACCGCCGCUCGCAGCCAUGGACGAGCCGCUGUCGCUAGAGACAUGGUUGCAGAUCUGGAAGUCUCGUCGCGAGCAACGACGGCUUAUGGACUGCCAUUAUCCCCUCCGUCGUCGCUCGCGAUUGGCUCGCGGUCGUUGCCCGUCCAAAUCUGGGCUGGAGUCGUGCCUUCAGAUCUAGUAUCGUCCAUGGACGCAAGCCUAGCUCGUCCAUGGCUCGCCAGGAGGCUCCUCCACAGAUCUGGCGACCGUAGCUUGUCCAUGGCCAUGAGUCUUGACGGCGAGUUUGAGAUCCCUUCGUCCAUGGACUGCGAGGUCAAACGGCGAAAGAGAAAACAGAGAAAUAGAUGUCAGGGAAGAGCGGCCAUGGACGAGAGGCGUCAUGAAUGGGUAGACCACAGAGACGAUGGAGAGGGUUGGACGAGAGGCAAUGGUCACCUUGGACGCGACGCCGGCAACUCCACCGGUGGUGAUGGCUGGGGGAUGCGGGAAGGUUGGGCUCAAUGUGGCUGGAGAUGGAGGAGAAAGCGUAGAUGGAGAAGGAAAGUGAGGUGGAUUGAGAUUUUUUAUGUUUAGUCAUCCGACCAAGAAGAAGCCAAAGUUUAGUCAAUGUCAUAGCGUCCAGUCAACACUUCCAUUUCGUCUCAUGAAGUUCUCCUCAUGUGAAGACUAAACGCAGUAAAUGACGACCUCCUCCAGCACUUUUUUUUUUUGGGUUGAAACUGAGGCACUUGAAAAUGCGCGAUAUCAUUUUUUUAUUACAGAUUCUAUACAAGUUUUGUUUUUUUUUUCCACGACAAACGAAAUCCUUUUUUUUUUUCCUUAUUCUAAUACUUUUGCGCAAUUCUUUCUAUGGUUUUAUACUAGUAGAAUAGAAUGUUUAAUUAUAACAAGUAUCUACACAUCUGGUUACUUUUUAAUUGUAAGAAUUAUCACUAAUUAUUUAUUGAUAAUGUCAUUUGCAUGGAUAAGUUGUUAUAUAAUACCUAGCCCCACAUUCUAAGAAUAUUUCAAAAAGUCAGUAUAACACUCAAUCAACGAUACUAAUAAAUUUGGGGAAGUAUGAAAAUAGUCACCUGAUCUUUUGGUAGUGACAAGUUGUGAUAGAAUUGUUUUCAUUUUAGUGUCAAAUAUGAGCUGUCAUAUAAUAAUUGAUUUCUCCCACAUUAUUAGAUAAUUUCAAAAACUCAUCAAAAUCCUCAAUUAAGAAUAUUGAUAGAUUUAAGGAAGUGUGGAAAGUCUUUUUCUUUUUUUUGUGACAAGUCGUAAUUGCAUUAAUUAUAUUUUAACCAAAUGAAAAAUAUCAAUACUUACUUUCCAAUGGACAAUUCAUCAAGGUCAUGAUGUAGCGAAAAAAAAAAAAAAAAAAAGCACUCUUGAGUUUCUCCAUACAAACAAAAUGUGAUCAGCGGGUGCACACCCACUUUUUGCCAAAGGGUGGACCACUCGUACACCACAAGAUUCUAUUUUUAUUAUUUCACCUCAAAUCUGAAUAAAUAUUAUUUCAAGGAUGUUAUUAAUGCUCCAAUGUAAAACUAGUAAAUUGUCCCAACGUGCUUUUGCUGAGAUCAUAACAUUAUGUUAUUUAUUCAAGUGUUAUGUUGCCCGUGCCUAUUAAGAAAUUAUUUUCUUUCAAUACAAAAAUUUUCCAUGCAUAAAAAAAAAAGAAAAGGUUGUGAACAAUUGAAGUUACUAUCUAUCCAUAUAUAUGCAGUUCGCCAUAUAAAUUUCAAGACUCUUCUCUUUGGUGAACUGUAUUAAUUAGAAGAUUCAUAAAUACCAUUCGCAAUUUAGUAUGAAUAAGUAGCAGUGCUCAUGGUAAAUAGAGGAAAUAAUGUUGAGCCAAGCAUCGGUUUCAUCCAUUCCUUCUUCAAUACAUACACUAUUUAAGUUCUCUGCACCCGCUAUUCAUAUCCUUAGUUGACUGGCUCAUCAUCACCAUGCCUGUGCUUUUUCUCUAAUUGUUAUGCAUGUUCACCUUGAAGCAAACAUAUCUAAAACAUAACUGAUCUUUGCCGACGAAACUAACGUAACGGAAAUUUUCAGUCUGUAUUAAUGAAUCUAAAUGUUGCUCUUUUCAAUAUUUCUAUCGAACUGCCUAGCAAGCUCCCUAAACUUUUUGCCAAUCUUCGUGCUUAUUCAUUACAAAAAAAAUACAACUUGUCACUCCUCCAUGGCAUCAACAUUGUUUUGUGAGAUUCAUAUUAUGUUCUUCUUCGUCUUUGUCCUCAUUUAAUUGCGUAGAGAAACAGUUGAGUGAGCUAUCAUUGAUGUUUAGUCAAUGGCUCCAUUCAUGCAUCAGCAUAUAGGAGGGCUCUCUUCUCUCUCUCUCUCUCUCUCUCUACGCGAGCUACUAUAAAAAAAAAUGAGGACUUAGGAGGGGAGGAUUAGGAUGAAGUUGAAAGGUAGAAAACUGGAAUUCGGGAGACCUACUUAGCAACCAUUUGAACGAGCCCAAGUUCCACGUGCAUCGGGCCCAUCCGCCUAAUUCCUGAACUUUUAAGUUAUCGCUAUGAUUGUGUUUUUUUUGGUAAGGGUUAUCGCUAUGAUUGUUGAGUAAUCAAGAAAAGUCAACAUUGGCUCAUCACUCUAAAAUCUACGUACCCUUAAUCAUCAAUUAAGCCACUCAAAAAGUCGAUGCUCAACAUACUAUUGAUUUAUAAAAGCAUUAUAAUUCCAUGCUUGUUGCAAUGCAAUACCCUUGGCCUUAGUCAUCAGUCAACUUGUAUAAAAGCAUCAAUCAACCCCUCCCUGUUUAUAUCACUAACAAGAUCUUGACUUCUCAUGAUUUGUGAGAACGAGGGAAGUUUGGCAAUUCGUUCUUUAAGGUCAUAAUUCAAUGCAAUAACAUUCAUUGUGUCAUUCUUUUCUCAAUAUGGCAGGUACAAUUUCCUCAACUUAGGUGGAUGCAUCUCUCCCACAUGGACGAUUUAAGCAAAAUAUGGACUGACGGUCCUCAAGAAACUCUGACUUUUGAUUGUUUAAGGGAAGUGAAGGUUCGGAAUUGUAAGAGCCUUGAAGCUUUGUUUCCGUAUUGGGUGGCUACAAGUUUAACCCACCUUAAAAAACUUCAAGUGGAGUCUUGUGAGAUCGAGGAAAUUGUUGCUAAUGGGGGUGACACUCCACACUCCAAUACUACUGAAGAUCUUUUCCCAGAACUAACCUCUUUGGUGUUACAUGACAUGCCACGACUCAAGAGUUUCU